AUAUGAGGAAGAAGAUAACGAAUGAGUGCACGAUCAUUUGAAAGCUUCUUGAUCCACGUCCACAAAUUGUUCCCUUGUGUUCAAGCUUCAAACGGAUUGAGGUAAGUCAAUUCAUCUGACAGUCAAUGUUUUCCCUUUUCAGCAAUGUACUUCUUUCACGGAUAUGAACGGUGAAGUUUCACAUGCACUUUUUAAUUAACUUUUCUCGAGUUGAUGGCUGCAAAUUUGAUAAAGGCAUUGAAGUUACGAUACCUCUGUACAACCAAAGGGUUGUUAAUUACGUACAAAUAUCCGUUCUCUUUUCCUAGUUUGGUUUUGCUUUUUAGCUAUAUUUUUUCUCGGAUGGUUUCUACUUGUUUUAUGUUUCCCAGCUGAAGGUAUGUAUGUCGAUUGCAUCGUUUUUAUUUGAAAUGUAACAAAUUUUUAGAGAUACUUGUCAAUUUGCUGCUUCACAUAUUUCGAAGUUGAUAACCUUGCCUUGCAUUGAAGAUAACUUUGUUAUGCAGUAAACAAUCCGAUGGAAUGGGUGUUGGAAGGCCAUAUAACUGCGGUUCUCAUCCUGGAACUUUACAGCAUAAUCAACUCAUCGAUGCAAUUGUGAAGAAGAUAGACACUCUCUAUUGAUAUGCUUAUGUUCAGUUUAUUUUCCAAGAAAGGUGUGCUUCUUAGUGGGAUUUGCAAAUGUUAUGGAGAAGUUAUAAAAUGAAGAAAGACGGAUUUCACUUGGGUAGCGGCAUCAACAGUUUGCGCAGCAAACUUCCACCUGUGACAGGAGAGAGGAGCUACUUAGCUUCUCCAAUGUAUCAUAAAUCAUCUUAUAGUCAAAAGCUAAUAUUUCAGUAUUCCUGGUGCAUAGGACAUAUGAUGAGUCUUGCUGGGGUCAAAAAUCAUGUAAGUGGACUCUCGUAUGAUAUCCAUUAUUGCCUACAUCUUCUAGAAAUGGUUAAACCUAGGUGAUUAUCUGUAAUAGAAGCCCAUCCAUUCACCUCAAGCUAUACUAAAGGACUCUUUUAGGUUUUGAGUUUGACAAGAACUGUGAAGGGAGACAUCUCAAACGACCAGCUUUUUGCCGGUUUCUAAUGUUGCUGAGAGGUUUUAGAGUUUGAGAAACUUACAUAAAUCUUUCUGUGCAGGGAGCUGUGGCUAAUUAGGCAUCUGUACAAAUGAAGACUGAAUGAAGGAAAAUGAAGAUGACAUUCUGUCGCCUGAGUUUCCUUUCACAUUCUUGGGGGCGGCAAACUGUUCAUCCAUUUGUCGAGAGACAGAAACUUGAAGAUUAGGGAGGAUAGUCGUUGCCUAAUGAUGAAAUUGUCAAAUCUGUUGAACUCGAUGUUAAGUUUCAGUUGAAUUUUUUGCACUUUUUUUCUAGACCAGGGCAGGGGGGAUUCAUUGUGCGAUUCGUGGCAUCAUACGUAAUGUUUUUUUUUGGGGGGGGGGGUGUAAAAGGGCUAUUUAAGCAAACCCGAUAGUUUAUUAAUCUUUUUUUGUGGGGCCAGAGAAUGAAUAUUGCACUUCAACUGCAUGUGUGUUCUCUUCAUUGACAUGCAAUAGAACUUGCUUAUCAGUACACAGAUAUUCCUCUGCGAGGAAACACUUGAAGGGCUUGUCUGGACAGGGUGAAAAAUUGUGUGUGCUUAAAGAAGUGUUCACGGUAUUGCCUGCCAAAAUCAGUUCAUGGACUUCUUGAUGUGAAAAUGGUGCUCAAGGUAGUUUUCCUCAUGAGUAUGAUGGGCACUCACAGCAUAAGAAGCAGGAAUUGUUGGAAUUCAUGAAAUGGACGGUGGAUGUCAGUUGAGUCUCACCAAAAUUAUCUACAAUAGUCUUCGCAUGGUUUUGAGUACUGUUGCUUUCUUUCUAACAAUCGUGAUACUUUAGAGCUCAAGGGCAAUCAGUACUUAAAGAAUCAACUCAUCUUUUGCGUCCAUAAGUGGAAAUUUACUGAAAUAAGUAAUGUUGAUGAAAGGAUCAAGACAAAUGAAAGAUAGGCUAUCUAGUAAAAGAGUUCUCUUCCUUUUUGAUGAUGUUGACAAGAAGAAACAACUGAAUGCGCUUGGGGCAAAUAUCUAUGAUAUUCAGGCAUUACUGAAUUUUUCGAUGCUAAGGGCGCGAAUGACAAUCAUUCUGGCCAGAAAUUUAUUUCUCGAAAAUAAAUAGAUUUUCUAUUCUAUUUAUAGAUGAGUUUUUAAGCAAAAAUAACCGUUUGAUAACGAUAUAAAAUUUCUACUCCAAAAAUAUAAAUUCAUUUGAUAAUGACAAAAAAUUUCUUCCUUUCAAACGGCGGUGGAUCGAUGGACGGUGGUGGACCGGCGAUCGUUGGCAACGGCGGCAAUCAGCGGCUGGCGGCGACGGCGGUGACCGGCAACCUGCGGCCAUCGACUGGCGGCGUCGGCCGGUGGUCGGCGGCGACGAAUGGAGAACACAAUAAGAAGAAUUUUUAUUUCUCAUUUUUAUUCCAGAAAUAAAAAGUAGAAAAUUUCUACUUCUGAUUUUUAUUCCAAACCUAUUUUUGAAACAAAAAUCUAUUUCAGAAAUAAAAAAAAUUGAAUAAGUUUAUCAAACGGAUUUCUAUUUCAGAAACGAUUUUGGAAUAGAAAAAUUAUUUUUGGAACAAAAACAGGUGUUUGUCAUAGACUCCCUAAGCAUCAAGUGCCGAUGGAUCUCGAGAUUUUUAGUGCUUCACGUUGUUCAUCACUGAAUAUAAUCUCUUCCAUUGGUUACUUGAUAUCUCCAUCGAGGCUAUCCUUCAUAACCACCACAAUUACACAACUUCCUCUGUCGAUUCAAGCUCUUACAAGCCUUAAAUACUUGUCUUUGAAAGAAUGUAGAUGUAUACAGAGGCUUCUAGACUCGAGUGGCAAUCUACAAUGGCUAAUUGAGUUCAAUAUCUCCUACAUGUGCAUUAAAGAGCUACCUACUCGAUGGGAAAUGAAAAGUUUGAAUGUUGUGAGGAUGAAUAAUUGUUCCAUUGGAAAGAUACCUAGUGCCUUAUGGUUGCUGUAAAAGCUUCAAGAAAUAGAUGCAGCAAGGUGAAACCUUGCAACUGGAACUAUAAAUGACAUUUGUAGAUAUUCCUCUUUGAGGAUCUUGAAAUUGACACUGAUUUAAGCAUGAUGAGUACAAGUACCAAGGCUUUCUCGUCUGUUUACACAUUGAUUCAUCAAUGGUGACACAAUUUAGAUUUCUUAAACUUGACUAGUUUAAAUGAUUUGUAUUUGGGCUAUUUGACGAGAUGCUUAGCCGUUGACAGUUGUCCACUUGUGGAAGAUCCCAUGCCAUGGUGCAUUAUGAGAUUAAAUAAAGUGGGGUCUUUUACCUGCUUGUCUGCUGUUGUAAUUACUUGAUCAACAGACAUUGGUCAGCUUUCUCUACUCAAAAGACUAGAACUCCAAUGUGCUAAUUGGCUGCACCUCCAAAGGCUUCCCUCAAGUUUGUCUUAUUUAUCUGUUGAAUCUUGCUGGUGGAGGAGAACAGCGAUGGAUCUCUCAAAUAUGAAUAGACUAUCAGAACUAAGAAUGGUAAAAUCUGCAGUAACAGAGAUUUAAGCCCUUGAAUAUUUGAAGAAUCAUGAAUUGCGAAACUCUUUGAUCUUGAAAAGGGAGAGUUUCCUUAAUCCGACUCAUUUGAAGAAGUUGAAGUUAGUUGCAAUAGAUUAUUGGGAGCAAUGUGGAUUUUGCUCGUCGCAAACCACCAGAAUCUCUGGAAGAAUUGUUGAUUGGAGGCCCUGCCAUACCCGAUCUAAGUUGAUCGGGUCUAAAUUUUUGGCGAGCAGGGGAUAACAAGUGUGAGGCCUGACUGUUUCAACUUGAAGAGGUUCAAAUGAUGCAAUGUCUAGCAUUGCAUAGGAGAUUCGUCCUCGAAAAAUUUAGAAGACAUGCUCUACACAGGAAUACAUUUUCCAAUAAGAAGUGCAUGUAGUUCUUGAAAGGUCAAACAUUUACAACCAAAUAUGUUGUCAAGAAAGCUCUGAAACAUAAACAAAUUGCUUAUUGGCCUAGGUCAUUUUAGCAGGCUUCAUUAUUGCUUUCCUGGAAUUGUGUUCUUUAUACUAAUUAGACUCACAAUUUGGCAAAUUCACUUGAAACUUGCAUCCUUGUAUAGUUAAAUACUGGCCUUUUUGCAACCACUUUCUAUUUUGAAGAUGGAUGGCUGCAAAAUGCUCAUGAAAUGGACCGUGGUUUCUUUUGAUCUAUUUCUUGAGUUAGAUUUGGUUUAGAGAUAUUCCCUUUUGACGAUUUUGGUUGGUGAAUAAAAUUUCUGGUAAAAGACUAAGUCAAAUUGAUGCUAGUUUACUAUAGUCAAGGGCAUUAAUCUUGUCAAUUUACACAUUGGUCUUUUAUGUGAGAUCCUUGAACUUGCUCAGUUGUACAAUUUGAAGCUGAUAGCCAUGCCCUGUAAAUAUUAACUUCGCUACACCUUUAACAAUGAAGGAUGUAUCCAAAGUGUAGGUUUUAAUCAGAGACAGAAGCUCUGUCAUUCACCUUUUGGUUAUCCUUGAAAUGGAGCUUUAGGUUUCAACAUCGAUAAGGAGAACCACUGUCCCACAAAAGUCCCACUUGACAGCCUAAGCUUUUUUCUCUUGGUAACAAGAGAAAUUUACGGGGUCUUUCUAUGCGAGUAAGCUGUGAUUAACUCAAUUAAUGCAUAGAAUUGACAACUAUCUCACCAAGUAGAGGAAAAUAUACAUAAGAUGACAAUAUUUUUUGCCAAUGCUGGUCUCUUGCACAAUGUGCUUUGAAUGGUCAUAAUUAGCAAUAUAUCCUUUGAAAAGAUGAAGGAAAUUUAGUUCUUCAGCUUUCCACUAAUGUUAGUUCCUGUAUAUCAAGGAAAAAAAAUGUAAAAGCUUACAACUCUCGUUCCGGAGGCUGAUCAGUGUUACAUGUCAAAGCCAAGAUGACAUAAAUUGUUUACUCCUAAGAGUUAAGAUUGAGCAAAGGUUGCCAGUGGAAAUGAUGCAAGACAAGGUCAUCAUCUGCUUCCAAGAUGGAUUGAUGUAAUAAUUAAUCAGCAUAACUCCCUGCCAGACAACAGUUGAAGUACUUGCGCCAAGAAGUCUUUAGUGACAAUGUGCCUAUAGUAGAAGGUGAGGUCACAGAUGGAGAAGUGGUCUCCCAAGGCACUCUUUGCUUCACCUUAUAAAAACGGUUAAGUCUGGUAAACAAAGCCACGGGCCAAGAUAAGACUGAGAGGUCAACUAGCGAACGCAUUCAUUCAAUAGAAAUCACGGAGUUGUAUAAACAAGAAUGACACAUUCAACUUCGCACUAUUUACAUUCAGAGUAAAUUUGAGUAGAGCUCUUAUGCGUCUUGUGAUGGAUGUGGCCAACAGAUUGAUGGAAUCCAUUUCAUAACCGUCAUCACAGAGGUCCCCGAUAAUCUUUGAGAAACCAGGUGCUGACCUGGGAGCAUUUUAACUGAAGUUGCUCUUGGCAUCGGAGUCUGAAGGCAGCCUCAAUGUGGAAGCAGAAGGAUUCCCAGAAAAGAAAAGAUUUCCUUUGACGUCUUCACCUCCGUAUUCCUUCAAUCGUGCAUCCAUUACGAUUUUGCAUGAUCCCUAUGUCUCAGCCAUUAAUCCCACGCCAUAGUAGACUAAAUGGUCCGAGAUACUGUUACCAGUUACCAAUCUGCACGGAUGCACCCUCAUCAGUCAUCCAUGUACAUUCUCUAGAACAAGCUGGUUUGUCAUGACUUAUUGCGUCUAGCAUGACAAAUCCACAAACUAAUUGCUUGAACAAGUAGCCAUGACUGAAACUACCUCAUUACCUGCUACAUGAUGAGUCUUCUCCAGAGCCGUCACAAACUUUCUCGACCUGAUAAACCAGACUACCAAAUCCUAUAUUAUUCAGCCAUACCUACAAAAGGGAACAUCCCAAUUACAUGUGAACAUUGACAUAGAAAAGAUUAUGAGUAGUCACCAGAGAAACAGUUGGAAUCAAAUCAUUUUCACAUUAUCUCACAUCAAUAUGUUUAUCCGUGGCUGUCUUUGAGCAAGUCGCCAAUUAUCAUAAGCAUUAGUAGACAUACAAUAAUUAAAAUGUGUAUAAUUGCACAUAAACUAAGACUAAGUCAAGACUAGGUUAUCAGCCAUCAUAAAAAAGAGAAAGAGAAUAUAUAGCAAACGUUAUUAUGCGUCUUAAACUUUCGAAUCAGUAUGAAAAAACUCAUGAUGGCUUUUGCAGGAAUGAGAGUUACUCAAAUAUUUCUCAGAAGUCACGAGCACCACAAACUACCCUGCUUUGCUAAGAUGAAAUACAAAAAACUUAUUUUUCUAUGCUGAAAAAAGAGAGUACAUAAAUUGUCGGAAUAAAUGAGACUUAGAUGGGUUGGAAGAAAUGCAAAGCAAACGUCAAAGUCAAUCAGCAACAAUUCCCCACAACAUAGAUGAUAUUCCACCAAGAUCAAAGCCUUACCUCUCUAGGGAAGUGAUGGUAAGUCUUCUGUGGGAACUGAGAAUAGUAAGGAGGCAAAUGAGGCACAAUAUCAUGUCCAUUGGUAAUACGUAUUGUAUUUGGCACAUGUCACUGUAGUAAGACGCAAACACUGCAUUGCCAAUACGAGGUUGUCCAAAUGUUAAAACCUGAACAUUCUGUGCUUCAUGAUUGACCUGGAAAUGAAGCAUCCCCAGUUAAGCAGCAGGCGAAUAACAACUUCAGCGCACAUAAUUAGACAGCCAAAUAACUUGAAUGUUAAGACAUCAAUGGCCCUGUCAGGAUGGGCAAAAAAAAAACAUUGUGCAUCAAAAACCAUAUACUGCAUUUCACAUACAAUGGUGAACAAAAGAGCAUCCCUUUCUCUCCAUGAGGUUUGAAGGUCUAGCGUUACUCUGCAAAGUUCCCAUCCACAAUUUUCCCAACACCAAACCCAACACCCACAAUAAAACCGACCCUACCCUCAGCUUCAAGAAAAGAUGUUAACAAUAUAAAAUAGUGGGAUUGGGGGUGAAUUCACAAUCGAGGUGCAUUUACAUGCUGCCACAAGAAGCAAUUGGAUGUUGGUGGCAUGAGUCACAUCCUGCUAAUGGCAUAAACAAAAAAUUCCAGGUUCACAGUGAAAAUGCCCCUUGAACUCCAAAACUUAUGUCAUAAAUAGCAAAGGAGAAACUAAAUCAAAAUAAGGGCCACAACGCAUGGGCAUGAUGCCAUAGUCAGAUAAGAACAAUUUUCAAGACGAAACCAGAAAACAAGUAGUAAAAUUUUAAAAUCAUUCGUGUUAGGACAAGAUGUCAUGCUUGCUACUUGUACUUCAAGAAAAGGUAUAGUCUAAAGUGUAUGCAACCUAUGAUCCUAUCAUAGGCCACAUGAAUGUUUGACUCUCAAGAAAUCACCACUUCUCAUGGAGAGAGAACAAUGGGACAUGACUUUGCGGUGUGUACCAUUUCUGGUACCAGUCCCACAACAGGUGCCUAGAAAAGUACACUAGACCACUAUUUAACAAAGCCGAGACGAAAAGCAUAAUUUAGACAUCUUAGAAUUGGCUCCAACCUACGACAUAUCUACCCAGCAGUCCGACUGAAGAAGGGCUGCUUCAUUUGAUUAGGAAGAGACAGACAGCAACAGCACGCAAAACACAAACUUGGGCUUGAUACAUAAUGUAUCUUAAAAUGCCUUAGCACUUUAAGAUUACAAUACAUAAAAUUUGAGCUUCAAGUGCCUAAAAAAGUAAUAUGUCUGGACCAUAAACAUAUCGUCAAUCCCAUAAAGUUUCCAGCAAGUGAACUUUGUAAUGAAUAGUUGGAUGUCCUUACCCACUACAUUUAAGUAUUCAACCAACUCAAAGCUCCAAAGCUUAACACGUGCGACUCAAUUCACUAACUAGAUACUCCAAUAAUUGGUGGUUCGCGCAAAGACUGAGUGCACCCCAUUCUGCUUGUGUAUUGUCUAUGGAUUGAUCUAACAAAAACAUAAGAAAACAAGAUGCUAUUAUGAAAAAUUGUACAUAUAGCUAUGAGAGCCAUAGAAAGUUCGAGAUCCAUGUAAAGAGUCUAGAAACUUCAAGGUAAAGUUGGCAGAGAAUUCCAAAUAAAUCUUAACAGACCAAAACUGAACAGUUGGAAGAACACGAUAGAAAAGAAACCAAUAAAAUUCACAAGUCCCAGGCAUAACAGUUUUUCCAAUUUAUCUUACCACAAGAUCGAGUCCACAAAAGGAUGCCAUAGCCCCUCCCAUAGAAUGCCCUGUCACCAUGAUGUUGAUGUCUCCAUAUAAAUCCUUGGCUCUAACAACAACAUCCAAAAUACCAACUCGAAUUGUCGUAUUGUGAUAAGCAAAAUAGAAUCCAUGAUGAACCUAAGCAACAAUCAAUAGAGUAAGACCAUAACUCAAUCUAAAUCAUAAGUAUCCACAGGUAGUGAGAGGCUUAUCAUCUCUGGAACUCACCAUGGCACCACCGCACCAGGCAUGCCGGGGUAAUUUAUGUCAAGCUGUUUCCAAUAGAGAUCUUCAACCCAAUUUUGUAUGCUAUAGACAUAAAUAGAAGUAAUCAGUAACUGAAAAGCUCAAAUGAUAAAGAGAAGUGACAGAAUUUUUCACUGAACAAAAUUAGUGAAGUGUGGGAUCUCCUCAUGACUCCAUCUGAAAUUACAGGAGAGUAACUUCCGUGUCUUGGUGGAAAUGAUUCACCCUUUUUCUGUUCGUAUGGACAGCAUUCCCAUGUGCCCUGUGUGCACAUUCACUGAGGCCGCUCUUCUUAGCUUAAAUUUUGUUCAAAUUUUUUGCAUGUCAAUUAUAAGGGGAGGAAUUGCAAAAGCUAACAUGCAUACCUAUGUUCUUGGGUACCUCCGAAAGCUAUAACCAUAGCAUUAAGGUCCUUGGCCACUCCAACAUAUGCCUAUAUAUAUAUAAAAUAGUUUAGAAAAGAGACAAAAUUAGAUGCAAUUCAAACAUAGAGGCAUUGCAAGCAUCCAAAUUGAUAGGCCACUGUACAAUGAUUUAUAUACUUGUAAGCAAUGCCGAACGUCACCUAUCAGUUCAAUGACUUCGAACCCCUGCUUUCAUAUCAAAAAGGCAUUAAUAAACAGUUCAAAAGCUCAUAAGAUGAGGUAGCAUAUGCCCACAAAAUGUCAUCUUAAGAACUGGGUACUUAGUACUAAAGAUCCAUUCUUCACACAACCUUAGCAACUAAAAAGUAGUCAAAUUACCUUGGUCUUUCCAUCACAUCUAGGACAUGUCCAACUAAAAAGUUCUGUCAAAUCUGACAUGUAAACCUGCAACAAAGAGCUUUGCAUUAAAUUACAAUUUUAUUGUAUUGAAAUGGUGAAACAUGAUGCGUAACAACAAUAAGGUCUAGGUAAAUCUGAAAUUUUUUUUAAAGAGCACUUAUGGCCGAUGCAUACUCCACAAAUAUCGUGGCAAGAGUAUGAUUGUAAACAGCUUUAUGAGCCUUGGACCUCACUCUGAGUUCUGCAUUUACCAGUAGAUAAAAUUCCAGAUUGAAAAGUGGUCACGGGCUCAUUCAAUCACAAGCAAUGAAUUGAGUUUUUUUAUCUCUCUAGCAAGCUAUUUUGACGAAUCAAGUGACGGGAACGCUUUGAGGAAAUAUCAACUCAAAACAACAUUCAGUGUAUUUUUGCAGUCCUUCGUGAACUGAAAGAACUAUUUACACAAUGCAAUGCGAUGAGGAGGAAUAAGUGAACGACAUAGGUUUCCACUUUUCAAUAAAGCUGCUCCAUGAAAACCUACAGGCGACAGUCCAUAACCAAACAAAAGCUGAAUAGCUGAUAUUCAAUCACUCUAAGACAUUCGACAAAUUAUAUCCCCAAAGUAGAAACGGCAGAAUGAGAUUUGCAUCAAACAAAUAUAAGGAAAUUCGAUCAAUCUGACCAUAUUCCAGCCAUAGCAUCAAUCCAAACUUGGAAAUCUAAGGGCUUAACAGAACCAACCAAGCACAAUUCGACGCUUGUCCUUUAUAUGCUUUGAGAACAUCCAAUUGUCCACCAGAGGGAUCAUAUAGCUAAAGUUUUGCCCCAUUCAGUCAGGUACUAAAGCUCCGCGACACAGUCAACGAUUGCCCCGUACCCUGAAAUACCCAAUCCCCCAAAUUUACAACACAAAUCUCACUGUCAAAGCUCAAAACCGACGUACUCAAUUCGAGAGCCUUUCUAUUCGCACCUUCUCACAAUCAAAACUCCCAAUCCGAAUCGAGUCAGAGAAUGGGAGCAGUAACUGAUCACAUGAACGCGAAUUGCAAUUACCUCUCGCCCGGCUCGUGGCAACCAAGCACGUCAGAACCACCAUCGCCCUCAGCCACGACCCGUUCCGCUCCAUAUCCUGCAACAGAAAACGGAUCGAACAGCGUCGUCGAUUAUUAAAAAAAAAAAAAAAAUCUCGCCACCAAGGAAAAAAAAAAAAAAACUCCAAUCUCCGCACCUUUCAUGUACGCAAACAAUCACACGCGAUCAAAACGGCGCGGAUGGCCCGGCGAGAUAGAUACAGAGAGAGAGACCGAUCGCGAGAUCCUCGCCCGCGUCGCUCGAAUUCGAAUCUCGAUUCUGGUCCCUCGCGGCGGCGUCGUUCGUGGACUUUUAUUAUGGCGAUUGAGAGCCGCAUUGACUUGAUGGGGGCGAAGGGAAGCGGAGGACGACGACGAAGUUACGUAUCUUUCCUGAUUUGCCCCCGUGAUCUUCCCCCGUCGGCGGGCAUAUUCGGUGUCCGCGUUCGGUGAUUUCGUCGCUUGCGCGAGGGCAAUGAAGGGAGUUCGUCUGAAAUCGGGGAGCUUUGAGAAUGACCGCGUGGCGAUUUCUUCUGUUUUAUUCUGCUUUUGGACAAAACUCGGGAUCCCAUCUCUCUCUUUUCGGAGCUUCCCCUAGGUUUCUCCACGUCAGCACUUUGACUCGCCGCUUGUCUCAAGCUAGAAUUCCCCCAAAAAAAACAAAAAACUAAAAUUAAUGCUAAUAUUCGUGGAGAUAUAUGAAAAUGCGAGUACUACUUCGGACGAAUGUUUUAGAAUUCAAGCUCGAAUCCAUCUAAUAUCUCGACUCGUACGAAUUUGAAAAUAAUGUAUUACAUUUGAGUGAUUGGCGAGUGGAGCUUCAUCCCGAAUUGUGAAACCUACUUCUCUUGAUUUAAGAGAGAGUUGGAGAAGGUGACUUGCUGUAUGUAUUGAUUCUUGAUGCUCUUGGUGUCUUUAUUGACUUGGACACAAUAGCUUUUAUUUGGACUGAUAUCAUGAAAAACUCAAAUUAUUUUUUUGAUCAUUAAAAACUUAAACCCAUACAUCUGUAACAAAUUUACUCAUUAUUAGUUAGUGUUAAAAUUUACUAUUAAAUUGUUGAGUUAGAUAACAUGUAAUGCUGAUGGAUAUACUAGUUUAAAAUUUUACAUAUCAUUAGUUUACGUUAAAUUUACUGUUAAAUUGUCAGGUUUUAUGACAAUUGACAUAUGUACAAAUUUAAGGUUUUACAUUUCAUUUAUCAUAGUUGUCAUGAUAUUGAUCCAAUUAAAUGGAAAUUAACGAAAAAUAAAUUCGUCACAAAUGUACCAUAUUGAAGAUUUUUGUGGUAAGUUCGUCAAAUGUAUACUAGUUUGAGAUUUUUUAUUGUUAAAAAAUUAAUUAAGGAUAAAAUGAUCACCAGUGCAUCAAUUUUGAAUUUUUCAUGAUAUUAAUUCUUUUUAUUUUUUAGAAUUUCGAGUUUAGUUGCUUUGUAUAAAAUAUACAAACUACUCAUAAUGUGAGCACAUUUAGAACUGAUCACUGCCUUAAAAAUCACAGCAUUGUUAUCUUAUAGUUGCUCGGUGGAAUGUAUGAGUCGUACGGAGAUUAAAUGUUUUACAUAUAAAAAGAACAUGAAGUCCAAUGAGUUCUAAUCUCAAACAAAAAGGUUGCAAGUGUACAUUUUAAGAGGAAAGAUUGUGAAUGAAUUUUUAUUUUUUAUUUUGCAUUUAGCUCACACUAAUAAUAUAAAUAAGAACAUUAAUAUGAGGCACGUGCCAUAUUUGGUGGCUCUCACAAAUUUAUAUUGGUAGUGGAAUAUUUAUAAAACUAUAGUGAAAUUAGUACACGAAACAAGUGGGAGUUAAGAAAAAGGCGAUGUUCAAGAAAAAUUAUCAUGAAGAGCAAAAUGAUCAAUUUCGUAGACACCGAAUCUUUUCCUUUAUAUGCAGUAGAGAUGAAUGAAUUGGUGUGACUUAGGUCAAACUUUACAAGCACAAAACUGAUUAGUACACUGCUCAGUUUUUGUUGCUAGGCCUAUACACUACUCAUUUGCUUUAUAAAAAGAAGGGGUAAGUACAUUAUCAGUGCCAAAAGUUGCGUACGGCGCUCACUUUGGUGCCAAAAAUUUCUGUCGGAUCACUUAAGUGUCAAAUCAGAUGAAAAAUGAUAACUUUGGUGCCACCGGCGAGAAAUUCCGGCCAAAAUGAUUACGUCGCUUUUUUAUUUUAAAAAAAAAUUGACAUGGCUUUUAAAUGACGUCGUUUUCCGUCAUCCUUAAGAAAACGAUGUCAUUUUGCCGUCAUAUGUGGAUGGCCUCACAAAAACGAUGUCGCACAGCUCAUAUGGGAUUGAAAUUAGGGUUUUUUUUGUUCGAUCCUUGCCCAACGCCGACCUAGCUUGCUUGGCCACCGUUGCUCAGCCUCUGUUGUAGUUGCUUGACUAGGUGAGCAAGGAGAGGCUGAGGUUGUUUCUCGGGCAAGAAGCGACGGGAAGAAUAGGAGGCAAGGGUGGAGGAGGAGGAGGAAGAAGGGGGCUCGAAGGUGGAGAGAGAGAGAAUACGAGGAGGGCGAGGGAAACAACGAGGGCGCAUAUGGAAAUAGUGGAUUGGGCUCUGCUCAAGAAGUGGUUGGUGCUGGUGUUGUUCUUCGGGGAAGAAGAUGACUGUCACGCCCCGAUCCUCUAAGCACGUGCACAUCCCUCCUUGGUCUCUUAAUAGCGAUAUCCUAAGAUGCAUCACCGACCCAUUCAUUUUAAUAUACGCAUGGGGAAGCAGAUAUAAAUCCCUAGACAAUAAAACAAAGGGAUAAGGAGGUAGGGCCUUAAAUUUUUCAAGCCAACAUCAACCUUUUAUAAACGCAUAGGUUUAUUUAAAAUAUCAGGUUGCUUACAAAAAUAUCGGCUAAAUUAAAAAGGGGCUGUCUUAUGACUAAUGAGUUAGAUAGCUUUGCCGAUUCUGUUUCCUCCACUCCCCCAAACUCUGGGACUUCUGGUCCUGCACCAACACCAUCUACAGACCUGAAAAUAGUUAUACAAUAACCAAUGAGACAACGUCUCAACGAGUUCUACCCCUAAGACUCUAUUAGGAAGAAAAUAUACCCUAAGGGUUGCCUAGGCACAACCACGAGUCAGAGGUCUUACCUUGGCCUCAGUUCCUUCUUACAAAUCAGUUCAAUUCAUAAAUACUGACGAAUACAGCGUCCACUCAAUUCAAUCAGAUCAAAUCAUCGAUCAAUCGACUUCGUCGAUUACAUGUCAUCAAGACCAUCAUGCGGUCAUUUCGAUUAAUCACUUUCAACUCUUGAUUUUGGCCCAACAGGCACAACCUAGAUUAAGUGGUCAUCACCGCCCCACUGGCAACUUUUCUAUAUUUGGUGGUAAUCACAGCUCCACUUGGCAAUUUUCUAGGUUCAGUGGUAAUCAUGGCCCUACCUAGCAAUUUGCUUAGAUUUAGUGGCAUCACGGCCCCACUCGGCAAAUUUUUUAUAUUUAGUGGCAUCACGGCACCACUCGGCUAAUUUCUUUAUUGAGUGGGAUCACGGCCCCACUCGGCUAUUCUUAGGUUUAUACCCACAUUAAUAAAUUUUCGGGAUAAAUCUUUAUAAUCACCAAUUCACUCAAUUUUCACCAACCAAGGCUCAAUUAAAUAAACAUACCGCACCACAAUAACUAGCAUAAAAUUUUCUAGGUUCAGGGUCUAACUUAGGCCCGUUAUAGCCUAAUUGAAAGCCGAGACAAGUAGGGAAAAUUCCCAAGACUUGUUUAAUAAAUACUAAUACGAGUCUACUUGUUAAUGUCACUAGCUAACCACCUAACAUGCAAUGAUAAGACACUAAUUUCAUUGUUCUACUCUAAUCUAACCACUUAAGUAUGCUUAAUUAAAUCUAAUCAAUCCCUAAACAUAAUUUACCAACUAAGCGAAGAUUAGUGAGUGAAACUCGCUUAUUAAAAGUGAAGACGGGAACACCGCGACGACACGUGACGGCGGCCAAAAUCCAAAUUUUCGGCAGUGUCGACGGACACUCGAGCCGGGCCUAGAAUGGGCCCAACAAAUCUCAGCCCAACUGAGAUUUGUUUUCAACUUGGGUUGGGCUUCAAAUGGGCUGCUCUUUGGGGCUUCAAUGGACUUGCUGGAAUUAUACGAACUGGGCUUGAUGGACCCAAUGAAAAUCGCUGGGCUAACUUUCAUGGAAAUGGGCUGAACAGGCCUUGAAUGGGCUGGAUCCAAGCUGGGCUUGAAGAUGGGCCUAACCGUGAGUUGUUGACUGAUCGCGGGCUUCGGUGGAUUGCUGUUUGUGCGGAUGGAAGGCUGGUAGCUGGGAGACACGUGAUUGAGGAGCUGCUUCUAUUGACUCUGUGCUGGCGUGAGCUGCUGUGGUGUUUGCUGGCGCACGAAGAAACGAAGAUGGCAGGCGCGUGGACGUGGCUUCGGCGGUAGAAGCGUGGGGACUUCGGUCAACAAAGUGGGAAGAGUUUUGCUGCUAUUGACUGUGAGGAUGUGAUGGCAGCCAAAGAACAAACGGAGAGGAGAGCAGACAAGCGACGAGCGGCUUCGGUGGACGUGACUUCAAGGGGUCAACGAAAGAGCUUCUGUGGGCUUGCUGUUGACCACAGAGACACACAGCUUCGAUCGUGGGCUGUCGGUGGCUUCGCUGGACGCACAACGGAGCCGCAGCUCAACGAAGCCAAGAGGAGGUUGACGCUGGGGUUGUUGCGGUUGAUGAUUGACUCGGACGAAUGCUACGGUGGGUGAAGUUGCGGGAGAUAGCAAUAAGAGAGAUGGUCCAUGAAGGGAAUUUCGUUGGUGGAGGCGUGCUGGCCGAAGCUAGGGUUUGUUGAUUGAGGGAAAACAGGGAAAAAUGAAAGCAAAUCCGAAGCUGCAGAAAGGAAAAGAGUCGGCCAUAUGGGAUGUGCGAAGGAGAUGGAGGUGGCGUGCAUGAGAAUUUUGAGAGGGGGGACCCAAAAAUCAUCAAACCUAUCUCUUCUAUUGAUGUCUUUGUGGCAUCCCAAAAAUUCAAGGCGACCUCCAGUUACAUUAAAGUCUAUGAAUAAGUGAUGGAAGCACCAUCAAGUUAUAUUAUAGCCACUUAAUCCAUGAUUUGCAAUAAGAUUUAUGGCCAAGCUUUUAAUGGAGAGUUAUGUGAUAGGAAAGAAAAUUCUAUCAUUGGUCAUGUGUAUUAUAAAUUGGAAUUUAUGGAUUUAUGACUACAAGUUUUAUGGCCAUAUUAUUUUUGCAAGUUAGGUAUUUAUUUAUGUGAAAAUGAUAGUAGAUUAUUAAAAGGAUAGUGGGCCGAAAUUCUUAGGCCAAGCUGGCCCAAAAACCCAGCCCAAGACCCCCACCAUUUUGGCCCAAAGCCAGGCCCACGAAGCCCAAAGGAAAGGGCUGCUGUCGACCAAGGGGGAGGGGGGAACCGGUUUUGCAUGCCUCCCCAUUUGCCCCAUGAAGCUUGCCAAGUGUUCUUCCCUAGUUGCCAAGUGUGGCUGCCCCAUUGGCCUUCUUGGGCGGCCACAUGCAAAUUCAAUCAUUGCAAAUGAUUGUAAGGGAAAGUAAAGAGGGGGAGCCGGUUUUGGUGAGAGAGAGAGAGAGUUGUCGAGAGAGUGAGAGAGGGAAACUGAGAGAGAAGGAGGCCGUGCGUGCGAGGGAGAGGAAGGAGGUCCGUCCGCCGUUUGUCCGCCUAGCUCGCUGCCGUUCGUUCGCCGCCUUGCCCGCUGUUUGUCGCUGUUUUGUGCUUAAGUUCGAGGCAAGUAGAAUCCUAAAACCUACCCUUUGCUUGCUGUAAUGUGAGUGUUGAAGAUGGUGGAUUUUGGUUGUGGUGGAAGUGAUGAAAUUUGGAGCUUUGGGGAGAGAUUCGUUGGCCUAACAUGCUGUUUCUGGAAAAAACCAAUCUGACUGUUCAUGAGUUUGUGAGUUGCAUGCGACUUUUUAGUUGAAAUCUUGCUUUGGUAUCUUCAUGAAAGUUGUAGAGGACUUCUUGAAGUUUAACAUACUAAAAUUUGAGACAAAAUGGACAAGUAUUGGGGGGUGAAACCCUUUUUCUACGAAAAUAUUAGAUCUGGAAACUGUUUUGUUAACCUCUUGGUGACUUUGUGUGCUGCAUGUGACUUUUUAUUUGGAAUUUCACUUCGACCUCUUCGUGAAAGUUGUAUAGGACUUCAAGAAGUAUAACAUAUAAAUUUGAGAUAAAAAGAACAAAUAUUUCUUGGUGAAACGAGUUUCCUUUGAAGAAAUUAGAUCUGGAAUUUGUUGUGCUGACCUUCAGUGAUUUUGUGGAUUGUAAAGUAUCUUUCUUGUAAAAAUAUCACUUUAAUCUCUAAUUGAAAUUUGUAGUGGACAUCUUGACGUAGAACAUAUCAAAAUUUCAGAGUAAAAAAACAAAGAUAGGUCAGUAAAAUCAUUGUUCUUUGAGGAAACUGGAUUUGGGAAAAUGCUACUUCGACCUAGUAUGAUUCUGUGAUUUUUUAUAAAAUCAUCCAGCUGAAAUUUGAUCAUAUGUCCUUAAUGAAAGUUGUAGGUAAUAUUAGGUAAUAUUCUGAGGAGUAACAUACUGAAAAUUUAGAAGAAACGAACAUAUAUAGGUCGGAGAAACGAGUUUCUUUUGGAAGAUGAUAAUCUGGAAAAGAUGACUCCGAGAACAGGGAGAAUAAAUCGUCUAUAUCUAUUAAUAUAGAUCUGUUUGGGUUUCAAUUUAUUCAUGAGAAAUUUACCUUUAGGACUUUUCUAUAACAUGUCAAAAUUUCGGAAUUUUUGAAGUUCAUUUGGGUAUUUAAUUUAAAUUAUUUCCGAAACUGUGCAAGCUGAAAUAUUGAAGUUUUGAAAACUGUGAUGCAUGGACCGUACUGUUUUGUGUGAGAUUCUUUUGGUAUGGUGUUUUUCAUGAGAUAUCUACCUUUAGGUCUCGUCUAUAAUGUGUCAAGUUUUCAGAAUUUAUUAAUGCCAUUUACUAAUUUUCUAGAGUUUUAAUUAAAGGAGUACAUUCUGUUUUAUCCGAAUAUUGAGGUGUUUUCAAAAAAUGAAUGGAAUUUUCCAUGUGAUGUAAUGUUCUGAGUGCUGGAUUUUGCUGCAUAUGUGAUGACAUAUGGCAUGUUAUAUGGCAUUAAAGGCUGAUUGAGAUCCUUGAUAUUGUUGCAUCAAAUGCCAUGUUGAAAUUAAAAUACAUGUGUAAAUAUAAAUUGAGAUAAUAUCAAGACCGUCGGAGGUGUGAGCCGACGAUGCCUUGGGAGUUUCGAGAUGCCCGGAGGUUUGUGCCAAAUGCCCGGAGGUUUCUGCCGGAGGGUCCUCGUGAUGCAAGUUGAGAUAUGAGAUGCCCGGAGGUUUGUGCUGAAUGCCCGAAGGUUUGUGUCGGAGGGUCCUUGCGAUGCCAGGAUUAGGUGCGAGAAGAGGGAUGCAAACACUGAUCCCUGGAAAAAAAAAGAAAAAGAAAUGAGAUCCUUUGAAAGUUGAGAUGGAAAUUGAAUCAUGCAUAUGUGUGUGAGCAUAUGGCAUAGGAUAUGAUUGCAUAUGAAAUUGAGCUAAUAUCAUAUGGCAUUGAAAAUGUGAUCAUGGAUGCAUUGAGUGGAUCUCAUGGAAUACAUACAUGAUGGCAUGGUAUGGAUGAUGUGAUCAUGCGCAUGUAUGGGCAUGUGGCAUGGAACAUGGGUUGUUUUGAUACAUGGUGAUAUAUGCAUGGUUGUAAGGUAAGGUAUGCUUGAAUGCAUGAAUGAUAUGUGUUUAUGAGACCUUGAUUGCUUUGCUUGCUGCAUUGUGUAGUUUGGUGGAUCUUUACUGCUGAGUGGUUGUACUCACCCCUUUUGGGAAUUAACAUUUCAGAUUAGAAAGAUGCAUUUGCUACCAGUUGCACGCGGUACUUAUUAUGGCAUACCUACUGAUGCGGAUGUGGAGAGUACAUAGCACACCUGUGUCGGUGCCCCUAGUUUAGUGUUUGUUCGAGUCCGUGUCCUGGUUAUGUACGAUGUCGGUUGUGCUAAUGGCCCGAUUAUCCAGGAGUUCUUAUCUGUGCACAUUUGACGUCAUGGAUGAUGGUAGGGAUGCUACUGCCGUUGCCGCCUGAUGGACCGGGUUGGGUGUGAUGGCACUAUAAUUGGUGGGAGCUGACACUUUUUGGGAUAGCCGACGCAUGUUGAUGGAUGAGCGUAUAUGUUUGAUAUAGGGUCGAGUUCUUUUUGCUUAUAGCCAAGUGUAGUUAUAAACCUUGGCCUUUUGCUUUAACCGACCCAAGAUGUCCAUCUUGCUAAUGUAAAAAAAAGCGACUCGGCUUUGUUUUUCCUUUGGUGUAUAGUUGGUGUGCAUUGCAUUAUUGUUGUUGGAGUAAGGGAUGGGAUGUUGGUUAUGCUUCCGCUAUAUGAAUUGCGCUGGGACCUAUACAAAAAAAAAAUAGGGACUAAAAAAGGGAGAAGAAUUUUAUUGAUUAACCCCUUUUAAGCUAUAGUUCCUCUUUAAUUGAAAAGCCUUUGGACUCGCUUGUAGUAAGGUAAGUAAUAAGUACCUCUGGUGACCCUACCGGAGUUGGGGGUGUCAGAGCCUUGUCCCCCUAAAGUCUACAUAAUUAUCCUCUUAUGUCUCCAAUUCUUUCUUGAAAUAGAAUUCUUCAAUAAUCCAAUUUUUGGUGUCAAAAUAUAGCCCAUCAACCAUAAAUCCGAAUUUCACUUAAUUUAGCUUCAAUUUCAUCCUCAAUUUCCCAAAUUCAAAGUCCAAUUUCAUCGAAGAAAAUCUUGAACAAUUUUUUGUAAGUCCCUGACACUCAAAGGCUCGGCAUGGAAGUCCAAAUUUCCUUUAAUUUGGCUCAUCUGAAUUUCCGCUAAUUUUCUGCAACGUCCAAACCGAUUUUCCGUAAAAAUUCUGGAAUCUCUGAAAAAUCUUUGGAAGAUCAGUCGAUGUUCCUAAAAUACCUUGUGACACGACAGAACUUUCAGUUUCUGAAAUCGGGUUCAAAUUCGCGGUUAAUUUCAAUUCGGCGUGCUUUUGGCGUGACCCAGUCUACCGAUUAGUUUUCAGGAAUUUUUUGUGCAAUUGACCCGUGAUCGAUUUAUCUUGAGUCACACUGUACAUCUUCGACACAUUGGCGACUAUCGAUUGUCGUGAAAAUUUCGAGAUUUCAAUUACAGGCACCGGAUACCAAAACAAUAGAAAAUCAAUUUAGUGCAAAUCGAUGAGAAUUUUGCAAUCAAGUGGAAUCACCCACAUUUUGAUCACAUAUCUUAGUCGAAUCGACUUAACUCUGAUCUCUAAUCGAUCUCUGACGGUGCUGUAAUGAUCCUUGCAGAUCAACAUGGCUGAGCGGUCGAUUCCUAGUAGAAUUCUCAAGUCCAAUUGCCUUUAGAUUUCUUAAUUGCUUCCCCAGAUAGAUUAGUUAUCUCGUGAGUAAUCGGCCUAGAGAAUAACACUAUUGACGCAUCGAUGAAAGGCUCGAUUUAUUUAAUAAAAAACGAAAUCUGAAAAUUCAGGCUAUCACAACUUUUCCCCUCUUAUAAAAAUUUUGUCCUUGAAAUUUAAACCUAUUGCAAUCCUUAACCAAAUAGGUGGGGGUACAGUCGUCUCAUUGACUCCUCCAUUUCCCAAGUUGCUCCUUCUGUGCUGUGGUGUUUCUAGACCACUUUAACCAAUGGGAUGGUCUUGGUUUGCAAGACAUGUUCCUUGCGAUCCAUAAUCUAAACCGAGCUUUCAACGUAUGACACUCUGUCGUCCACGUCCAAUUCCUCAAAAUUGAGCACGUGGGUUGAGUUAGGCUUAUACUUCCUUAACGUCAACACGUGAAAGACAUCAUACACUUGAUCCAACCUUGGCGGCAAUGCAGAACGAUACGCUAGGAUCCCGAUUCUUUCAAGAAUCUCAAAUGGACCUACGUACCCCGGACUCAAUUUUCCUUUCUUGCCAAAGCGCGAAGUACCUCUCAUUGGUGACACUUUUAGAAAAAUGUGAUCACCAACUUAAAAUUCCAAUGGUCUCCGAUGCUUAUUGGCGUAACUUUUCUAGCAGCUCUGAGCGGUCUUUAAUUUGUCUCUGAUGAUGACAUCUGCAUCCACUGACUGCUGAACCAACUUUAUGCAUGUAAUUUUCUGUUCCCCAACUUCAUCCUAACAUACGGGUGUUCUGUACACUCUGUCAUACAACGCUUCAAAAGGAGCCAUCUGGAUGCUCUGCUGAUAACUGUUGUUAUAGGCAAAUUCCACUAGGUGAAGCUGAUCUUCCCAACUUCCCUUGAAGUCUAGUACACAAGCUCUCAGCAUGUCCUAGAGGGUCUGAAUUUUCCUCUCAGACUAGCCAUCCGUCUGAGGAUGAUAUAAUGUACUAUAUUGCAGCUUUGUACCUAGAGCACUCUACAAGCUUUUUCCAAAAUAUAGCUGUAAAUCUCGGGUCUCGGUCUGAUGUAAUUGUCACCGACACUCCAUGCAGAAGAACUGUCUAACGCAUGUACAUCUGUGCAUGCCUGUCCAAAUCAAGGUCCUUUCGUACUACAAUGAAAUGAGCCGACUUUUUUGACCACUACCCAAAUAGAGUCAUUACCUCUCUGACUCCUCGGUAAACCUGUCAUGAAAUCCAUUGUAAUAUGUUCCCAUUUCCAUUUGGGAAUCUCAAGAGGUUGUAGAAAUCCUCACGGCUUACAGUACCGUGCCUUCACUUGCUGACACGUUAGACACUUGGUGACAUGCUUGGCGAUGUCCGCCUUCAUACCUGACCACCAAUAGCAUUGACGUAGAUUCUGAUACAUCUUGGUACUACCAGGACGAAUGCUGUAACUGCUACGAUGUGCUUCUGAUGAAAUAUCCUCUCUAAACUCUAUAUCGUCAGGUACAACCAAAAGUCCUUGGAACCUCAGUGUUCCAUCAUCAGAGAUCUGAAAGUCAAAUUUUCUUUUAUCGGUAUCCUCUUGCAGGAUCUUCUGAACAUCUAGAUCUGUUGGCUGAAGUGCUUUGAUUCUGAUUUGGACAUUUGACUCACUUCUGAGGGUGACCAUAAGAUUUAAGAGGUGGCCUACCUCAAUUUUGAAAAUCGAAUCUUUAGCAUUUUCUACCAAAGUCCAUUCUUUGAGUAACAUUUGUGCAACUGAGGACUUUCGACUCAAUGUAUCUGCGACCUUGUUCGCUUUUCUGGGAUGAUACAAGAUAUCACAAUUAUAGUCAUUCAAAAGUUCCAUCCAGCGACGCUGUCUCAUAUUCAACUCCUUUUGAGAGAAUGGAUACUUGAGGCUUUGAUGGUCGGUGACGAUCUGGAAUCUUUCUUCGUACAAAUAAUGUCUCCAAAUCUUCAAAGCGAAAAUAAUUGCUACGGGUUCUAAGUCAUGCGUCGGGUAAUUCAAUUCAUGAGAUCUCAACUGAUGGAAGGCGUAUGCAAUAACUCUGCCAUGUUGCAUCAACACACAACACAGUCCUCUAAAUGACGCAUAAUUGUAGAUCCCAUAUCCUCCAGGACCAGAUGGUACGGUCAGCAUAGGUGCGGUAGUCAGUUUUUCCUUCAGCUCUUGGAAACUACGCUUGCACUUGUCUAUCCACAUAAAAUUUUCUUCUUUUUUUAAGAGUCUUGUCAGAGGUGACGCUAAUGAUGAGAAUCCUUCCACUAACCAUCUGUAGUAACCUGCUAAGCCCAGAAAACCUCUGAUUUCUAUCACGGUAGUCAAUCUUGGCCAACUAAUAACUAUUUCGAUCCUGGCUGGGUCCACGAAGAUUCCUUCACCUGAAAUCUUAUGACCAUUCUCAAAUGACUCUCGUGAUUCUCAACACUCAUCGAAUACACUAGAAUAUCCUUGAUAGACACAACUACGAACUAAGCUAGAUAUUCCUUGAAUACUCAAUUCAUCAAUCCAUAAAAGUAGCUGGAGCAUUCGUCAACAGUUCAAACUGUAUUACCUUACGCCAACAAUUCAUUACCACAAGAUGCUCCUUGAGCCAACUCUUUUCAUAUAUGAAGUCAAAGUUAUACAUAAACAACUAGUUAGGUACAACUGUAGCCAGUGAUUCUUCUUUCUAUAGCUUUAUUAUAUCAACUGAAAUUCUACAGCCUUAACCAAAAUUCCACUGCGCUACUUUGAUAAAAUCACUCCAAAAAUGUUCUUCCUUUGGUCGGUGCAUGGUUGGUUCGUUCUUGUCCCCUCCGCCAUCCUAGUGGUGUUCUAUCUGUGGUACUUUCCCUCUGUCUUGUCCUCUAAUGAUGGCGUACAUUCCUUGCUCUAGAGGUCUGUUUAGUCCACCCUACUAUAUGUUUUGUAGCACAAAACCUCUUAUCUGACCCAAUUAUGGCUGCGACGGUAAUUACGGUUGUCCUCUCAGUCUUUUGGGGUAGUUCCUGGCUAUGUGACCUAAUUGGCCACACUUAAAGCAAGUACCUGGCCUAGAAUUACAUGGGACCGAUCCGUGUCGCCUUCCACACAAGCGACACACGCCAUUCUGGAUAGGCCCUGCUUUUCCAAUUCCAUCCUUCUGAUUGGGCGGGAUUUGGAAUCUACCUUCAGUCAUGGGCUUCUUUCCUUAACGGAUCCCUUCUCUGUGAAAGCUAAACCUUGAUCUAGACAAGGCAGCUUGCUCGUUCAAACCUCUCUCUAUCAUCUAAGCUCGACGAUAGACUUCUCGAUAAUCUAUCAAGUCCAAUGGCAACAGAGGUUGCUUCAGCUCGGCAUGAAGACCAUUUUUGAAUCUUCGGGCUUUCUCUUCGGGGUCUUCAAUUAAUCUAGGGGCAUACUGAGAAAGUUCAGCGAACUUGACCUCGUAUUGAUCGGCCGUCAUCGAUCCCUGACGAAGGCAUUGAAACUCCUCCAUCUUUUGUUCUCGGGCAACACCCAAAAAAUAUUGGUCAUUGAAGGCUUUGAGGAAGAUGUCCCACACCCAGGGCACUCCUUCUGGAAACACGGCAUCCUCGGUGGCUUUCCACUAGAUGUUGGCAUUAUCUUGAAGUUGGUAUACAGGAAAUACCACCUUCUCCUCUUCAUUGCACAUCAAGAGUGCAAAUGCCUUCUCUAAGUCUUGUACCCAUUGCGAAGUAGCCUCAGGGUCUCCACUACCCCUAAAUCUUGGUGGACUGAGCUUUAGGAAAUACUCCACCAAUUUAUGGAUUGGUUUUUCAGCGACCACUAUCCAUGGUGGACCUUCGACAUUCAUGGCGGCAGGUGCAGCUGCAGGCGCUGCAGUAGGGGCAGCCUCGGCAGUGGCAGCAAUAGCGGUGGUAGCGGCGGCUUGAGCAGUAGCGGCCUGAUUCUGUGCUUGCUGAUCCAACCUCGUUCCCAUAGCUUUCAAGACACGCAUGAUCCCUUCUAGCUUGGGAUCAUUAGGAACUACUAGUCCGGCACCUACUAUAGGUGGUGCCGUACCACUCACGCUUGCCUGUGCUAGCACUCGACCACGAUUUCCUCGGGUACCGAUCAUGGUCGGUGUCCUACCCCGAGUUACAGUACGCAUGAUCCUCUUAGAAGGAGUCCUCUACUCCCGAUCGCUCAUGAUUCAGUUUCACCAACUGACACCUGCUUCCAAUUCCACACAGAAUUAAAAACAGAGCAAUUCAAACAAUAAACAAUUCUAGCAUUCAGCUAUCACAGACAUGCACCAGCUGUGAAUUUAAAGGCCUUUCCUACUACUAUCCCAUAGGUCAUCGCACCUUAUCACUUCAAUCUUAAACUCUGCUCUAAUACCACAAAAAAGGGAUGUCACGCCCGGAUCCUCCGAGCACGUGCCCAUCUUUCCUUGGUCUCUUAAGAGCGAUGUCACAGGACGCAUCGUCGACCCAUUCAUUUUAAUAUAUGCAUGUGGAAGCAGAUAUAAAUCCUCAAAUAAUAAAACAAUGAGAUAGGGACCAACAUCAACCUUUUAUAAACGCACAAGUUUAUUUAAACUAUCAAGUUGCUUACAAAAAUAUCGGCUAAAUCAAAAGGGGGUUGUCCUAUGACUAAUGAGUCAGACAGCUUUGCCGAUUUUGUUUCCUUCACUCGCCCAAACUUGGGACUUCUGGUCCUACACCAACACCAUCUACGAACCUGAAAAUGGUUAUACAAUAAAUAGUGAGACAACGUCUCAGUGAGUUUUACUCCCUAAGACUCGAUUAGGAAGAAAAUAUGCCUUAGGGGUUGCCUAAGCACAACCACGAGUCAGAGGUCUUACCUUGGCCUCAAUUCCUUUCUGCAAGUCACUUCAAUUCCUAAAUACUGAUAGAUACAUCAUCCACUCAAUUCAAUCAAACCAAAUCAUUGAUUAAUCGACUCCGUCGAUUACAUGUCAUCAAGACCAUCAUACGGUCAUUUCGAUUAAUCACUUUCAACUCUUGAUUUUGGCCCAACGGGCACAACUUAGAUUAAGUGGUCAUCACGGCCCCACUGGCAACUUUUCUAUAUUUGGUGGUAAUCACGACCCCACCCGGUAAUUUUCUAAAUUCAGUGGUAAUCACGGCCCCACUUGGCAAUUUGCUUAAAUUUAGUGGCAUCACGACCCCACUUAGCAAAUUUCUUAUAUUUAGUGGCAUCAUGGCCCCAAUCAGUUAUUUUCUUUAUUGAGUGGCAUCGCGGCCCCACUCGGCUAUUCUUAGGUUUAUACCCACAUUAAUCACCAAUUCACUCAAUUUUCACCAAUCAAGGCUCAAUUAAAUAAAUAGACCGUACCACAAUAACUAGCAUAAAAUUUUGGUCGUCGACUUUCCCAGCCUAAUUUUUGGGAAAUAAAUAAAUAAAUAAAUAAAUACAUAAAAUAUUAAAUAAAUGCAAUAAAUCUAACUUAGGCCCGUUAUAGCCUAAUUGGAAGCCGAGACAAGCAAGGAAAAUUCCUGAGACUAGUUCAAUAAAUACUAACACAAGUCUACUUGUUAAUUUAACUAGCUAACCACCUAACAUGCAAUGAUAAGGCACUAAUAUAAUUGUUCUAUUCUAAUCUAACCACCUAAGUAUGCUUAAUUAAAUCUAAUCAACCCCUAAACAUAAUUAACCUACUAAGCGAAGAUUAGUGAGUGAAACUCACUUGUUGAAAGCAAAGACAGGAACACCGCGACAACGACGCGAUGGCGGCCGAAAUCCAAAUUUUCGGCGGCGUCGGCGGACACUCGGGCCGGGCCUAGAACGGGCCCAACAAGUCUUAGCCCAAUUGAGAUUUGUUUUCAACUUGGGCUAGGCUUCAAAUGGGCUACUCUUGGGGGCUUCAAUGGACUUGCUGGAAUUACACGAACAGGGCUUGAUGGACCCAAUGAAAAUCGCUGGGCUGGCUUUCACGGAGAUGGGCUGAACAAGCCUUGAAUGGGCUGGAUCCGAGCUAGGCUUGAAGAUGGGCCCAACCGUGAGCUGCUGACUGAUCGCGGGCUUCGGUGGAUCGCUAUUCACGCAGAUGGAAGGCUGGCAACCGGGAGACGCGCGAUUGAGGAGCUGCUUCUGUUAACUCUAUGCUGGCGUGAGUUGCUGUGGCGUUCACUAGUGCAUGAAGAAACGAAGAUGGCAGGCACGUAGACGUGGCUUCGGCGGCAGAGGCGUGGGGACUUCGGUCAACAAAGUGGGAAGAGUUUUGCUGCUGUUGAUCGUGAGGAUGCGCUGGCAGCCAAAGAACAAACGGAGAGGAGAGCAGACAAGCGGCGAGCGGCUUCGGUGGACGCGACUUCAAGGUGUCAACAAAAGAGCUUCUGUGGGCUUGCUGUUGACCACAGAGACACGCAGCUUUGAUCGUGGGCUGUCGGUGGCUUCGCUGGACACACAAAGGAGCCACGAGUCAACGAAGCCAAGAAGAGGUUGACGCUGGGGUUGUUGCGGUUAAUGAUUGACUCGAACGAAUGCUAUGGUGGUUGAAGCUGCAAGAGAUAGUAGCAGGAGAGAUGGUCCAUGAAGGGAAUUUCGUUGGUGGAGGCGUGCUGGCUGAAGCUAGGGUUUGUUGAUCGAGAGAAAAUAGGGAAAAAUGAAAGCAAAUCCGAAGCUGCAAAGAGGAAAAGAGUCGACCAUAUGGGACGUGCGAAGGAGAUGGAGGUGGCGUACGUGAGAAUUUUGAGAGGAGGGACCCAAAAAUCAUCAAACCGAUCUCUUCUAUUGAUGGUGUUGUCCCCCUAAAGUCUACAUAAUUAUCCUCUUAUGUCUCCAAUUCUUUCUUGAAAUAGAAUUCUUCAAUAAUCCAAUUUUUGGUAUAAAAAUAUAGCCCAUCAACCAUAAAUCCGAAUUUCACUUAAUUUAGCUUCAAUUUCAUCCUCAAUUUCCUCCUCAAUUUCCCAAAUUCAAAGUCCAAUUUCAUCGAAGAAAAAUCUUGAACAAUUUUCUGUAAGUCUCGAACACUCAAAGGCUCAGCUUGGAAGUCCAAAUUUCCUUUAAUUUGGCCCAUCUGAAUUUCCACUAAUUUUCUGCAAUGUCCGAACUGAUUUUCCGUAAAAAUCCCAAAAUCUCUGAAAAAUCUUCGGAGUAUGAGUCGACGUUACGACAUAAAUUUCAAUUUAUGAAAUCGAGUUGAAAUUUGCGAUUAAUUUCAAUCCGGAGCGCUUUUGGCGUGACCCAGUUUACCGGUUAGUUUUCAUGAUUUUUUUGUGCAAUUGACCAGUGAUCGAUUUAUCUCGAGUCACACUAUACAUCUUGUUGAAGAAAAAUCCCUUAUGUGUUUUGAAGCUAACAAAACAUCCUCGUCAGUUAACUCUGAAGAAUCCAAGACUCAAUCGCUUAAGUCUGAAGAGUUCAAGACCUAGGUGUUUUAGUCUGAAAAUCUCUAGACUCUUCUAUCAACCCCAGAAGUGUAGACUUUGAUUUUCUCGAUUCAAUCAAGAUUAAUUUGAGAGAAAAGUUUUCUUGUUUACAGCUUGAGACCUUUUGCACUGAUUCGACAAUCGCCUAUCCUGAAUUGAUGGCCUACUUCUAUUCAAAUCUAUCAUUUUUAGAUGCGAAUAGACUUUCAUUUACUUUCAAGGAUAGAGAAUAUGUUGUGGACGUCGACACUCUUGCUGCCAUUCAAUACUAGUGAUGUUAGUCGGUCUGGUGCAGAUGCAGAGGAUGUCUAUGCAUCACACUUUCCAGAGGUUGAGGUAUCUUCUCCCACAGAAGGUCAAAGGGCUGAAAAUGAACCCCCUAGCUUCUAGACUUAAAGAACGGAGUCUGCAGGUCCAAGCACUGCAAAUGUCCAUUCAGCCGAUUUUUCAAAGCUGUUAGAUAUUAUGAUGGAUCUUAAGAAGCAGGUAUAUGGGAUGGAUUAUGAGUUGCGGGAUUUGAAGCAAGCACUCUUGGCUACUUCCGUUUCUAUGCAGAACCAGAUUAAUGCCCUUAAACUUCAAGUUGAAUCAAAUGUGAAGGGUGCUGAUUUGGAAUCAUUAAAGGAAGGAUUUGCUAGCCUCGAGAAGACAGUUAACUCGCUGGGUGAAUAUCAGCUUGUUCGUAUCCCCAAACAGCCUUGACUUUUAUCAUCUUUUUCAUUGAUUCCUCUGCCUCCUUUUGAUGUGACAAAAAAGGGGGGAGAGUGCUGCAGAUUUGAUCUUCUCAUUCGUUUUUGGAUUUAUGACUUAUUUUGUUUUGGACAUUUGGUUUGGAUCUUUCAUGUUUUAUUUUGUUAAGACUUUGGACUGGUGGCGCGUUUGAACUAAUGCUUUUAAUGAUUGGGUUUGGACUAGUGAACUUGCAGGUUUAUUUUAUACUUGUGAGGAUAAUUAUUUUCUAGACUAACAUUUUUUUGUGGUUGUAGAAGUAAUAUAAAUUAUUCCCCAAAUUAUGUAUAAGUUUUCUUUGCAGGUCAAAAGUUUUUCAAAUUUGCCGAGAUAUUUUGUCACCAUAAAAAAUGGGGAGAUUGUUGAAAAAAAAUCCCUUAAGUGUUUUGAAGCUAACAAAACAUCAUCGUCAGUUAAGUCUGAAGAAUCCAAGACUCAAUCGCUUAAGUAUGAAGAGUUCAAGACCCAGGUAUUUCAGUCUGAAGAUCUCUAAAUUCUUCUAUCAAAGUCUGAAGACUGUUAGACUCAAUUUUACGAGUCUGCCGAAGUUGACAGCAUUUUAAUCCAACGGUUUUGGAAUUCAAAGAUUGGAUAAUAUCUUCCUUGAUUCGUUCUAUUUAGUGGAAGAUCUCUGGCUGAAACUAAGCUCGAAGAUUUUGGAUUUAUCUCGAUUAAUCCGUUGAAGAACAAGCAAGAUUUGGAAGGUUCUACUUAUGGAAACUCAAGAUCCUAAUUGUAUGGGCGAAUAGGAUUAACAAGCUAUCUUCCACAUAUAUUUGACAGCUUGAAGAUCACCUUAAUUGAUUCAUUCCAAUGGGUAGAUUGGAUGAACUCGUUUGGAAGGUCUUAACGUCUAUGAAGGCAUGAAGGAGUAUUUAAAGUAGAGUCAUUGUUGUUCGAAGGGAGUGCGCUGAUAGAAAAUUUCGAAGUCUGAACCUCUGAAACUCCUUGUUCUCAAAUUUCUUGAGCUAUAGUUGUGUACAAAGGAGAGAUAUAUACAGUGAGGAUUUGUGUGAGCAAUAGCCAAGACUUUCUACUAAAGAAGUCUAGAUCAUAAGCUGUACAAAUCUCAUUUGCUACAUAGUGAAUUUAUCCAAUGGACUGUCAGCGUGGAGAGUGGAUGUAGGCUUGAACUAAGCCAAACCACUAUAAACUUCGGUGUCCAAAUCUUCUUACCUUAAUCUCUUUAUUUUAUUGUUGCAUGUUUUAAAACUGCUUAAGUGUUUAGUUUCAAAUCUUUCACUCUGAUUUUAUUUCAAGUCGUGUGAUUUGGGUUAAAUGUUUCAAAAGAAAAUUAUAAACACUUAUUCACCCCCCUAAGGUGUACUUACUAGCCUUUAUCACAUCUUCGACACAUUAGCGACUCUCGAUUGUCAUGAAAAUCUCAAGGUUUCAAUUACAGGCAUCGGGUACCAAAACAACAGAAAAUCAAUUUCGUGUCGAUCGAUGAGAAUUUUGAAAUUAAGUGGAAUCACCCAUAUUUUGAUCACAUAUCUUAGUCGAAUCGACCUAUUUCUGAUCUUUAAUCGAUCUCUGACGGUGCCAUAAUGACCCUUGCAGAUCAACACGGUCAAGCAGUCGAUUCCUGGUCGAAUUAUCAAGUUCAAUUGUGUGACAUUCAAAAUUUUCAACCUGUUUUUUGUGGAGUUAAUCGGGUAUUUCAUUGACACGUGUUGACUGUUGACACCCGAAAUUUUCGUCGACAUUUUAAUCAUCCAUUUUGCAAAAAUAUAAAAAAUAAAGAGCCAAAAAUAAAUAAAUAAAUUAAUAAAAAGAAAACAAAAAAGAGAAAAAAAGAAAACAAAAAGAAAACAAAAGAAAACAAAAAGAAAAAAAUGAAAUGAAAUGAAAAGAGAAAAAAAAGAAAUAAGAAAAACGAAAAAGAAAAAGGAGAGAAAAAGAAAAAAUAAAAGAAAGAAAAAGAAAAUAGAAACGGGGAUCGGGGGGAUUGGACGAUUUUUUUUGGCUCUCUUGGAGGUCUCUCUUUCCUGCUCUCCCGCAGGCUCUCUCUCUAGGGGGACUCUUUCUCUCUGGGGAUUUUUCUCUCUUUCCCUGGUUCUCUCUGGGGGAUCUCUCUCCUUUCUCCUUGUCCGCACCAGAAACCCUAGGCUGGAAACCCCUGAUCUCUGCCGGGAUCGGAGUUCAUGAGUAGGAGAGGAAUCGAUUCGACUCUGAGAAGAACCGGCAACAGUGACGAAACACCGCACGCUCUGGAGUCUCGCCUUAAAGGAACCGCCGCUUAGAGAGCAGCUUCCCCUCCGAUCGAAUUGCACCGCCGUCGCCGCCGUCGCCGUCGCCGCCGUCGCCGUCGCCGUCCUCUCGGCAAAUCUCGGCUCCCGCCGGCCUCGGAUGGUCAUCUUCAUGCCCGCGUUUCCCCGAGCUCUGGUCGGAGGCGAAGGUUUUUCUCCAUUGGCGAGCGAUCGGAGAUCGAGCUUCGGCGGUCGGGGAUCGUGAGGAUUUGGUUCUUUCUCGAAGACCAGACGCUUGCUCGCUCAAUCGGUGAUUCUCUUUCCAGAUUAGGCUCGCCAAAUCAGGUUCUCUUUCUCUCUCUUGAUUGCUCUCUGAUUUGAUUGCGAUCCGUUUUUCACUCUCGCUCUUUCUUUUUCGAUUUUGUACUUGUAUCUGUUUUUUUAGCUCCGAGGUUGCGUGCUUUCAUUAGCCUAUUCUGCCAAGUCACUGUAGCUUGCAUGUCGUUCGUGAUAAAUGCCGUGUUCGGGAUGUUCUGUUUGGCGCCAUUUGCUCCAUAACCUAGAAAUGCCCUCUACCUGUUUGAUAGAAAGCCUGACUCCAUUGCCGAUAGUUCCUAUUGCAUUCCGUUUACCAACGUCUUGAUAUUCAAUUGAAAUUGCGUUGGUUGUGUCUUUGCUGGAUUUCCUGUAUAUAGUUGAUUGAAAUGUGAACUAAUUAGAUGUAUAAGUGAUGUAUGUCCAAUGCUGUUCGUGAUUAUUUGCGUGGAUCAAAUUCUGUUCAUGUGUGAUUUUGUAUAUCAAAUGGUUCUCAUGCAUGUUACUUUGAGAUGUUGAGUCUGCCGAGGAAGAAGAGGAGACUGUUCUGUGCGUUCUUGAUAUUUUUCACGCAAUACUUGUUCACAACCAUGAUAAUCAAACUAAUGAAUUCGCAAAGAACCUGAUCUGUAGUUCUUGGUUCAUCUCCUCAUUUAGCUGUUUGGAUUUAUAUCCCACAGAGAGGGUGAAGCACCGAAUUUAUUUGAUGAUGAGUUCACUAAUUGAAGUUCUACUUCAAAAUGAUUGUGGGCGACACAUUAGGGAUGCUGUAUCUUACCUUCCCUCUGAGCCAAAUGAUUUGCAAUGAGUUGAUGAUUAUUGAUGAUGAACUUGAAGUUGAUUGAACUUGAUUUGCCUUGAUCUGCAAAUUCGAAUACCUGAUAUAUCACUUUCUGUUUUGGCUGAAAUGAGGUGUUAGAUAAGGUUUUUUGACUUCGAGCCCUUCUAGACAGAUAAAAUACACUUCUAGAGCUUCAAUUUGAUAUGUUGCACGCCCUGAACGGACGUCGUUCAGUCAUCGAAAAACACCUGCAGAAUCUAUUGAUUCUGCAGUAGUUUUAGAUUUAUUUGUUGUUCUGAUUGAUUCUCUGUUUCGAAUGACCUUUUGCGCAAAUGACCCGAUAUGAGCUGGUUGUUGUGGUUUUCUGUGUUUGAUGCUUUCAUGAGAGCUGAAGAUGGUUCGACUAGCUUUCCAACGAGCUAUAAUACACCCUGAUCCGAUAUCAUUAGCCACAUGAAAUCUUCUUUAAAAGUUAGGAAGUAAUUCUGGAAAAUUGUUGUGUUCUGCUUUGAUGUGGAAAUUCGUAUGCCUAUUUUGACUGAUAUGCUUCGGUCCUCGAAAUGAGCUGGUAGAUGAUGUUAUUAGGACUUAAUGUCUUCUAGAUAAUUGUAAUAGGCAUCUCAAGCUUUAAAAUGACAUAUUGCAUGCCUGAAUCAACCAUCAUUUGCCAUGUUUAACAUUUUUUUUCUAAUCCAUUCUGAAAUCUGGAAUUUUGCCUUGGUCAGAAAUGCAUAUUAUGUUUUUGCGUGGGCUUGGUUGUCUGUCACUUCCUAUGAUCUUUUAAGAUAGAUUUUGAGGUUGAUGAUACAAAAAAAGUAUAUCACGUGUGGAAUGGUCUUGCUCUAUUGUUCUCUUUUUUAGCAAAGUUUUGUUGUUUGAUAAUUGAUAUUAGAUAUCUACCAUCAAUCCAAUUUCUAAUAUUAAUCACUUUACUCAGUAGCUUAUUUGUAUUCUACCGAUCCAAGCUCUAUGUGUUUUUGCUUGCAAAGAUGUCCAAAGUUAUGUUGUUCUUUAGUGUCAAUUUUUCUUUGCUUGCUGUCUUUUCUUAUUUUUGACUUCCAAGCUCUUUUUGGCUUUCUUGAAGUUGUAUGUGUUUUCAUUUGUGAAUAUCAGUAUGCUAUAAUUGCUGCUCUAUUCUUGUGUAGAUUGUUUUUAUCCAAUUGAUACAUCUCUGCUCUUGAUUUUUUUUUUUUUUUAAAUAUGCAUACUGAAUCUGAAAAAAUGUUGUCUUUUCUAUGGCUAAUUGCAAGAAAUUUGUCAAGCAUGACAUUCUUAGUUCCAAGUCACUUUGCAAUGUUAAUGACUUGUGUGACUUAUUUGCAUUCUGAUUUAGGGUUAAAUGUUUACCCAAACCUUUUUCGCAUUUAACCUUAUGUCAUGUGCAAGUUUCACAUUUUUGUAUAUUGUCUAGGUGAUCUUAUGAACCUUUAAACAUGCCUUGUAUUUUGUCCUGUUUGUGACUUGAAUUUGCUAGAUUCAUGUUCAUGUCUUAUGCCUAUGUUUGUUCGUUACAAUAAUGAUUUCUAUGCGUUAUCUUAGUCAUAUAAGAUGAGGCAAGGGAUCCUUGUUUCUUAGAUUAGGUUUAGAUUAGGACGAAGAUGGAGAAGGCGUAAGGCGUAAAGAUGGUGGAGGUCGAUGUCCACUCCGACCGUUAUCAUGUAAUGCUCAUUUUUCCCGACACAUGUCUCGGGUUCCAUGCAUUGUAUAAAAUCCGACGAGUUGUGGGUUUUCUUCCUUUCCCAAUUGUUUUCUCUUUUAUACAUUUUUGGAAUUGCAUGAUUAGGUUUAACUGCUUUCCCUUAAUUGUUUACUUCACGUCUUGCGAUUUCAUUUUCAUUGUUUGUUUUCCUUUCAUUUCUUAGGAAUAGAAUAGAAUGAAAGUAAUCCACAACGCAUAAUCAUUUAGUAUAGAAUUGACGAUCCUGAAAAUAUAAAAAGAAAUGCAUGAACAUGUUAGGAAAAACACAACAUACUGAUUAGGUACCGAAAGGGUGCUAAUAACAAUAUUAGCGUAACCCAAGUCCCCGAACCUAGAUAUCUAGCUACGUAGGAAUCGAGGGAACACUCCCGACCCUCGAUUGGGUUUCUAGCCGACUCCCAAAAUGAGGCUAGUGGCGACUCCUGUAUAUUCUUAGGUUGUUAAAUACCUAGAUCGUAUAAAUAAAUCCGCUGUCACGCGGGGUACGAGCUUGGGAGAGCUCGCGAUCUCGUGAGGAGACUCUCGUGAUCAAAGUACCCCUAAAUCCGACAUUUCCCCUCUUUGGACAUUUCGAGGGGUGGCGAAAUCGGGUCGCGAUAGGUUUGACGACUCCAUUGGGGACUGGUUACUAGAUUAAGAGGACUUGAAGCCGUUUAAAAAUGGUUGUUGUGUUUUAACUAACAUGUCUUAUAUAGGAUCGCUUGCAUGUCAAAGUCGCGUGAAAAAUCAGGUUAGUCGCUAACCUCGUGUUAAAUGGUUUUGUAGGUGGGAGUUAUAAGGGGAGGCGUGCUUGUAAACCAUUUGUUUUGCAGGUGGUGUAAGGAUGUAUGAAUGUAUGUGGGUUUAUAUUGAAGUGCUGAAUGUUUAAAUUUAAAUGCAUAUUUACAAGCUUUAGCACGACACCGCACACACAACCGCGGUCUAAAACCCCGAUUGCCCAAUUUAGGACCUUAGGAGGGUUUAUGGGUGGAAUCUGCGGGUGGAUGCUCAUGGUAAUCCAUUACUUACAUAAACUCGCUCAUCCCAACCGAUAAAAUAGCACUGACCGGUGAUAGUAGCGGUGGGUAAACUAUUUUUAUCCUUUGGAAUGAGGACCUUGAGCCUUUAGCACCCUCACCUUAGGCGUCAAAACCUCACAGUUUCAUGCGACGUGAUUUGUGCCUGUCAUGUGUCUGGUGGGUAAGAUAUCGUUCCUUCUUCAUUGUGCUUAUCUUUUACUUUCCAUAUUUCAAUUAUGCAUUUUAUAUUUCAACGACGAUAUGUUUUAAUCAUGGUUUAGAUUUAGAUGGGUAAACCCGAAGUGGACGUGAUCCUUGUGCUUGGAAAUCUCAAGACUCUAUUGGUGAAUCUCGACCCAAGACAUAAAGACUACGUGGAAAAAUUCUUGAACCCCAAGGUUUUCGACAGGCUCACAUUAAGGAACAAGAAGACAAUGCCUUGAUUAAUGAAGAAUGCUUGGCCCAUGAUAACAAGUGUUUCCGGGCGAUCCCACCUAGUCCUUAGGUUUUCAUUUCAUGCACUUUUUUUUAAAAGGGAUUUCAUUUGUGUUUCCCUCUUUUCUAUCGAGGUUUCCCUGUAUUCAUUUUUCAUAUCCUUGUAAAAUCGAACUACUUUGUAAGCUUCAAGAAAGCAAGAUUAUGUUUCCCUUGUAAUUGUUCAAUGAAAUGAAUAAAAUUCUUGAACAUUUUCAUGUAAUUUUUAGAAAAGGGGCAUCCUGAUUAAAUACUUGUCGUCAUUCCUUUUCAAUUGUAUAAUUUCUUUUGAGGAAAUUUUGAUAAGAGGAUGUUAUAUGAUAUUGUGAUCAUAUACACUUCUUAUCAUUAUUUCAUCUCAAGAAAAUAUAAAAUUGACUAGGAUUUGUACUUUAAUGGUUUCUCUUGACUGGUACUAAUUCAAGUCAUCUUCUUUUAUAGGAGGUUUUGAAAAACGGCUAAAGAAAGAUUUGUUAUACGAACUCGCUGCCAAACACAGAUGAAAAACGAAGAUACCCGAGCCCGUGUCAUUAAUAUGGAGAAUCAAAUGGUGCAUAUGAUGGCGUUGUUGGCUGACCUAUCCAACCAAGUCAAGAACUUAACGUCUAUAGUUUUUGCUUCUCCUACCAUGAAUCUUCCUACCGCUCAUACACCUACCAUGGAGAUAGGGGGUUCUUCUCGAAACUUUGAGCGCAAAAGAAAAGCUCCUCAAAGGCAAUUCACUCCAUUGCCUAGACCAAUGUCCCAACUACUUCCAAUGCUGAUCGAAAAUCAUCUUGUGGCAAAAGAGAUCCCGAGAGAUAAUUCGCCAAAGUUUGUCGGGUUCAACCUUAAUAAGAUGUGUGAUUAUCAUAUGGGAGAGAGAGGUCAUCAUGUGGACAACUGUCUGGUGCUUCGUUCUAAGGUCCAAAAUUUGCUGGAUAAAAAGCUGCUCAUCUUUAAAGACUUAGCGCCGAAUGUCCAACAAAAUCCCCUUCCAAAGCAUUCUGAAGAGGUCAACAUGAUUUAUGGGGAUGACGACAAAGAUAUACCCCUGAUAGAAAUCCAAAAGAUGGAACAAAUCACGCCAUUUGCUGAUAGCCAGUUGAAAGACAACAUCACUCGUGAUAACGAAGACCUUACUUCAAUUUUGUCGAAAGAUAAAGAGGUCUACUCCUAUGACGGGGAUGAGGAUGAAUACAAAACUUCUCAUUUGGAUAGUGAGUUCAUAAAGAAAGCUUGCGAAAGAGGUGAAGUGGUGGACACCUGGGGACAACCAAGAGGGAAAUACGACUUUAUGGUCAAGUAUAUUCCUCUUCCAAGUUAUUUUCAAAAUCCCGAAGACAUUGUCCCUAGUGGAUGGGGAAAUGAAUUCGAGGAUGAAUUCAUGGCUAUGAUUGAGCCUGUUGUGAUUGAUUUGACCAAAGAGAAAACCUCAUGUGGGAGUGAUACAACUAAUAAAGGUGUCAUUGAAAUCGGCUCAUCGAUUGACAAUUUUGGAACCAUGAAGAUCUCAAGCGCGGGUUUUGGACCUAUUGUGAUUGAAUUGCCACUAGAAGUUGGUGAGUGUUCCAACACUAAGAUGACUCCCACUUAUGACACUAAGGCGGUCCCUUGGAAUUAUAAUACAAAUGAAAUCGACGCUGUCACCCGAUCGGGUCGAAUCUACUCACCACGUGAAGGUGAGGAAAAGAAGGCCGUAACUGAUGAGGAAGCUGAAUAACUCCUCAAAACACUCAAGACAAGUGAAGCUGAAGUGAUUGACCAAUUGCGCAAGAUGCCUACGCAGAUUUCUCUAUUGGAGCUUUUCAAGACCUCUGAAAAACAUAGAAAUGCUCUCCUCAAAAUUUAAAAUGAAGUUCAUGUACCUGAGGCCAUUGGAGAAGUACAGUUGGAGGAGUUUGUGGGUGCAAUACUUCUAAGAGAUCAAAUUACUUUCUCUGAGAGAGACCUCCCUUCUGAGGGCCAAGCACACACUAAGGUGUUAUAUGUGUCCGCUCAACAUUUUGAGACAAAGAUUUCGAAGGUCCUGAUCGAUAAUGGCUCUGCCUUGAACAUUUGCCCUUUAUCCACCCUUCAUAAAUUGGGGAUAGGAAUGGAAAAUGUCUCUUCUCCAACAAUUCCUGUUCGAGCCUUUGAUGGGAUGAAGAGAGAAACAAUAGGAGAAAUCAAUUUAUCACUGACGAUUGGCCCUAUUACCAUGACUAAAAAAUUUCAAGUACUAGAUAUCCCAAGCAAUUUUAGCUUGCUAUUGGGACGACCUUGGAUCCAUGCUGUAGGGAUCAUUCCUUCUAGUCUUCAUCAGAUGAUGAAACUGCUCAUCGAUGGAAAGAUUGUGACCAUCCGACGUGAAAGAGAUGUGGAGACUUUCCAUAACACGGCCAUACCUUUCAUUGAGCCUGAUGUCAAGGGGGAAUCGAGCUAUCACUUGUUUGAGAUGGUGUUUGUCACUCAUGUGCCUGUUGGGUCGAUUAUUAGGAAGCCUCGAUUCUUAAAAGCCUCCCUGAUGGCAAGUAGAGAACCGCUCAAGAACGGUUUUGCUAUGGGGAAAGGUUUGGGUAAGUUCGCCCAAGGCAUUAUAAAUCCUAUUAAGGUGGUCAAAAUCAACAAGCGUGAAGGCCUGGGUUAUCAAGGCAACCGUAAGGAUCAAGGUAAUUGCAAAGGCCCAAACAUCAAAGGUAAAAGCUACCAACGUCUCUUGCUUCCACCUUUGAAAUAUUUCUUUCCUGGACCACCGAAGCUCUUGCAAGAAGGAGAGGCCAAUGUCUAUCACUUUGCUGAUUUGUUUGAAGAUGGUCUAGUUGGCACUAUGGGUAAAGAUGAAGAGCCUACAAUUCCCACUGUGUGAGGGAUGUUUCUAGUUCUUGCAUUUAAUUUUUAGUUGUAUUCGAUUCAUUUCUCCCCUGCAAGGGAAUUCUAUUCAUUUCUCCCCUGCGAGGGAAUUUCAUUCGUUUCUCCCCUGUGAGGGAAUUCCGUUCAUUUCAUUCGUUUGUGCUUGUAAUAAUCUGGAUCAUAAACUUUCUAGAUCCAAGAUGAUAUACAUUGUAAUGCAAUUUUUGCAUAUCAAUAAUAUUCAUGUUUUGUUAAUAGACGUGUGAGGCCCAAAUCAGUCUUAUGAUGAUGCUUUGAGGCCUGAGCCUUCACACGAUCUAUCGUUUCAAAAUGUUUUAUUGGAACGAUGACGUCCAAUGACAUGAGGAUUAGUUCCCAAUAAAUUUUUCAAAAAACAACUUGAAUUUGAAAACAAAUUUUUCAUGUCAUUUACAUUCAUUACAUUCAUUCAUAUGUAUAUAUACUAACCAUUUUUCGAUUGCAUCCCAAGCAUGACAUUUCACAUCAUGAUAGUCAUUUGCAUGGCUUGGAUUCGCAUUCAAAAGACUUUGACGAACCCGAUUAUUCCAACUCAGAGAAUGAAGAUGAUCCUCGAGGUAUUGAAAAAGAAUAGCUCAGACAUGAAAGUCCAAACCUCCUAUCGCCAAACAGCCAGUCACUCUAAAUUUAGGAGAUUCAGAUAACCCUAAAGAAACCAAGAUUGGGGCAGGUCUCUCUCAAGCGGAUGCUAAUGGAUUAAUUGGGCUCUUGAAAGAAAUAUAUGGAGAGUGUGGCACUCAUAUGAACGGUCAUCUCUUAGCUAGAAAAAUAUUGAGGCUUAGUUACUAUUGGUUGAUCAUGGAAGCCGAUUGUAUUUAGCAUGUGAGGUUCUGUCAUCAAUGCCAAGUCUAUGGAGACAAAAUCAAUGCUCCUCCUAAUGAGCUACAUCAAAUGUCUGAGUCCUGGCCUUUUUCAAUGUGGGGCAUCGACAUCAUUGGACCAAUUAAUCCUCAAGCAUCGAAUGGACAUCGUUUUAUCUUAGUAGCAAUUGAUUACUUCACCAAAUGGAUUGAAGCCAAUUCUUAUGCCCAUGUUACUGCAAAGAGUGUGGAAAAAUUCAUCCGUCGUGAUAUCAUCGCUCGAUAUGGAGUUCCUGAAGUGAUCAUCACGGAUAAUGGAUCAAACUUGAACAAUAAAGUGGUGGAUGAUUUACUUGGAGAAUUCCACAUUCGCCAUUUGAAGUCUUCUCCUUAUCGCCCACAAAUGAAUGGAGCUGUGGAAGCGGCAAAUAAGAAUAUCAAGAAGAUUUUAGCCAAAACAGCAGAAAAUUAUCGUGAUUGGCAUGAUCGGUUGCUAUAUGCUUUGUUUGCUUAUCGAACUUCAAUUCGUACUUCGACUGGGGCAACACCAUUCUCAUUGGUUUAUGGAAUGGAAGCUGUAUUACCUGUGGAAGUGGAAAUUCCUUCACUGAGGAUACUUUCUCAAAUCAAGCUCUCUGAAGCUGAAUGGGUUCAGCAAAGAUUUGAACAACUCAAUAUGAUUAAUGAAAAGAGGGUGAAAGCCUUAUGCCAUGGACAAAGCUAUCAGAAGAGAGUAGCUAGGUCAUUUAACCGCAAGGUUAGACCAAGGCAUUUCGAGAUUAACGAUAUUGUCUUGAGGAAGGUUUUACCUAUCAUUUCAGAUCCUCGUGGGAAGUUUACUCCAAACUAUGAAGGUCCAUAUAUUGUAAAGAAAAUGCUACCUGGUGGAGCACUAAUCCUUGUAGAAAUGGAUGGUCAUGAAUUGCCAAGACCUGUAAAUGUUGAUGCUGUCAAGAAGUAUUAUCCAUGAAUAAAGUGAAAAGCCUUUGAGCCAUUUUUGGAUGUUUGCAUCAUGCAUUUUCAUGCAUACAUAUUGCAUCUACAUGUUUGUUAAUUUUGCAGGAUCUCUGAUGAAGAUUCUACCUAUCCGCAAGAGGUUCAUCUCAAGAGUGCAAAACUUUCAAAAGUGUCAAUUCUUCUUUAGAACUUAGAAGUGACCUUAUCCUUUAGAAUGCUAGAGGAGUCGGUUAGAAUUCUAAAAGUACAAUUAGAACUCUAGAAAUGAACCCAUGUGCUAAGCAAAGCCUGUUCUAUCUACAAAUUUUGUCAAACUUUACUUCCAAAAAUCUUCCCGGUAGGGUCAAGGAAACAUGUCAUCUCAGACAAAAUUUCAUUAUAUUUUCAUUUCCCCAGGGAGUUGAAUUUAACUAAAAUAUGCUUUGGAAAACCUGAAAAGGAUUGUAAAAUAUGCCAGGUGGUAGUGCCUAAAAUGAUGAGAGGCAACCCUUUUACCAAACACGUCCUCAUACACUCUUUGAAAGAGUAGAGUGGAAAGAACCACGUCUUAGGGCAUAUGAUUCAUUCACAGUGAAUACAUGAUUUGAGAUGAUCAAGGCAUUUUCAUUUCUCAAUCCCAAACACUAUUGAUAUCCCUUGCAAGCCACUUUGAGCCAAAUAGGGAGCAUUUCAAAAUAACCAUGUCAAGAACAACCCCACAUUGGGCAAAAUAGGAGGUCUUGGUUGAAAAUCAUAGAGCAAAAGAUUAAGAAAGAUUUUAUUGCUUUCACUUGCAUCAAUCUUCUUGUGCUGGCUUUAGGUGAUUUCUUAUCGAAACUUGAAGCAUCCCGAAGUGAUGAAGAGCAUUCCGUUCACUACCACAAACACAAUUAUCCAUUACUUAGCCAAUUUGAGCUUAUGCAAUUCUUUCAUAACCCCAGGUGAUGAUUAUCUCCCCACACUAGGGCAAGGCACAUGAUUUACCAACAAAAUUGAGAAUAUUGGUAAUGUUUGUAAAUGCCACUCGAGAGUCCUAGAUACUCAAAAGAGAAUGAAAACUAGGGGGCAUGAAAAAGCAGUGUGCCUGGUAAAAACAAGGCCAAUGCCCAUGAAAAAAAAAUGCAAAGAAAAGCAAGAAUGUAAAAAAGAGCGAAAUCCAUGAUCAUGCAAAAGAUCAUUUUUCGAAAAACAAAAGAAAUAUCUUGCAAGAAAAAACAUGUAUUGCAAGCAAUAUCAUUAGAACAAAGAGCGAAGCUCUCAUGUCUCAAGACAAAUUACCCAAAGGACUCUCGAGAUAGGUUAAAUUUCAAGAAUCAAAUUUUGAAAACUCGUGUGAUGGUAAUGAUGCCAAGAUAAUCACUCACUUUUUAACCCUUUGAUAUCUGAAAGUUUUUCAAGCCUUUCUAAGCCUCACCCGAACCAACACUACAACCCUUAUCCGAAGUCUCUUCCGAUUGGGAUGGUUCGAGUUGAAAUGAGAAUAUCACAUAGGAGCUACCGCUAGAAGGAGUGGAAGCAAUCCUAUCUUAUCUUAUCUUCAAGGUUCUUGACUUGUAAACCCGAUGAAGAUAUUGAUUGAAUAUUCAUUUCUUGGCCUCAAAGUGCAUACCCUUUGUGUAAGCCCAUGACCAAGCCAUCAUUACGGUCCAUUUAAAAGACCUUUUGAUCAGUGGAUUGUAUUCACUGUGAACGUUUCCAAAAAUCUUAGACAUAGGUUGAGUGAGAUUUCUCCAGUGAGAUUUAAACAAUUUUCCCAUAUCAAUGGUUGGGAAUAAAAGCCCUUUUUGAGAGCUAGUGUGAAAGACCUAUUUUGAUUAGGAUAUUUCCACCUAGCAUAUUUGAUUUAACCCUUAGAUGGUUAAUCAGAUCCCAUUUUGUUAAAAUCUUCUCUGGAAGGAUUUGACAAUCAAUAUUAUUUUGCAAGAUUGUUUCUCCAGCAAUUGAGAAAAUCAUACCCGGUUGAAACCCGUUAGUAUAUGGUGAGACUAUCAUACCUAGUCAAAACCUGUUUGUAUACGGUGAGACUAUCAUACCCAGUCGAAACCUAUUUGUAUAUGGUGAGACCUUCCUCUCAGUCGAAACCCGUUUGUAUACGGUGAGACUAUCAUACCCGUUCGAAACCCGUUCAUAUACGGUGAAACUUUCCUCUCAGUUGAAACCCGUUUGUAUACGGUGAAACUAUCAUACUCGGUCGAAACUCGUUCGUAUACGGUGAGACCUUCCUCUUAGUCGAAACCCGUUUGUAUACGGUGAGACUAUCAUACUCGGUCGAAACCCGUUCAUAUACGGUGAGACCUUUUUCUCGGUCAAAGCCCAUUAUUACACGGUAAGAUCCUUUUCCCAGUUUAAAACACACAGUUCUAGGUCAACUUAAAACCUUGUCCUCAAGUUCUAGGUCAACUUAAAACCUUGUCCCCAAGUUCUAGGUCAACUUAAAACCUUAACCCCAAGUUCUAGGUCAACUUAAAACCUUAUCCCCAAGUUCUAGGUCAACUUAAAACCUUGUCCCCAAGUUCUAGGUUAUCUUUAAACCUUGUCAUUAGGUUCGUGGGUCCAUCCUUAAACCACACGGUUCCAAGUCAUCCUUAAACCUUGUCUCUUAGGUUCGUUGGUCCAUCCUUAAACCACUAGGUUCGUGGAUCCAUCAUUGUCUCUUAGGUUCGUGGGUUCAUCCUUAAACCGCACGUUUCCAAAUCAUCCUUAAACCUUGUCUUUUAGAGAGAGAGCGAGAGACAGAAUGAAUAAAUCUCAACAAGAGUUUAGAUACCCCAAUGAGCAAAGGUAAGUAUCAGGUAUGUCCUUAAUCGACUAUCAUUGCUUUUGUCAUUCUCUAUUUUUCAAAGUUGGGUCGACUAAAAAUUGCAGGUAUCAAUUUUGUUUUUGAGUGGAACCUCUUCGAACUCUCACCCAAAGAGGGGCAGCUGUUGACACUCGAAAUUUUCGUUGACAUUUUAAUCAUCCAUUUUGCAAAAAUAUAAAAAAUAAAGACCUAAAAAUAAAUAACUAAAUUAAUAAAAAGAAAACAAAAAAAGAGAAAAAAGAAAAAAAAAGAAAACAAAAGAAAACAAAAAGAAAAAAAAAUGAAAUGAAAUGAAAAGAGAAAAAAAAGAAAUAAGGAAAACGAAAAAGAAAAAGGAGAGAAAAAGAAAAAAUAAAAGAAAGAAAAAAAAUAAUAGAAAAGGGGAUCGGGGGGAUUGGACGAUUUUUUUUUGCUCUCUUGGAGGUCUCUCUUUCCCGCUCUCCCGCAAGCUCUCUCUCUAGGGGGGCUCUUUCUCUCUGGGGAUUUUUCUCUCUUUCCCUGGUUCUCUCUGGGGGAUCUCUCUCCUUUCUCCUUGUCCGCACCAGAAACCCUAGGCCGAAAACCCCCGAUCUCUGCCGGGAUCGGAGUUCAUGAGUAGGAGAGGAAUCGAUUUGACUCCGAGAAGAACCGACGACAAUGACGAAACACCGCACGCUCCGGAGUCUCGCCUUAAAGGAACCGCCGCUUAGAGAGCAGCUUCCCCUCCGAUCGAAUCGCGCUGCCGUCGCCGCCUUCGCCGUCGCUGUCCUCUCGGCGAAUCUCGGCUCCCGCCGGCCUCGGAUGGUCAUCUUCAUGCCUACGUUUCCCCGAGCUCUGGUCGGAGGCGAAGGUUUUUCUCCAUUGGCGGGCGAUCGGAGAUCGAGCGUCGGCGGUCGGGGAUCGUGAGGAUUUGGUUCUUUCUCGAAGACCGGAUGCUUGCUCACUCGAUCGGUGAUUCUCUUUCUGGAUUAGGCUCGCUAGAUCAGGUUCUCUUGCUCUCUCUUGAUUGCUCUCUGAUUUGAUUGCGAUCCGUUUUUCACUCUUGCUCUUUCUUUUUUGAUUUUGUACUUGUAUUUGUUUUUUUAGCUCCGAGGUUGCGUGCUUUCAUUAGCCUAUUCUGCCAAGUCAUUGUAGCUUGCAUGUCGUUCGUGAUAAAUGCUGUGUUCGGGAUGUUCUGUUUGGCGCCAUUUGCUCCAUAACCUGGAAAUGCCCUCUACCUGUUUGAUAGAAAGCCUGACUCCAUUGCCGAUAGUUCCUAUUGCAUUCCGUUUACCAACGUCUUGAUAUUCAAUUGAAAUUGCGUUGGUUGUGUCUUUGCUGGAUUUCCUGUAUAUAGUUGAUUGAAAUGUGAACUAAUUAGAUGUAUAAGUGAUGUAUGUCGAAUGUUGUUCAUGAUUGUUUGCGUGGAUCAAAUUAUGUUCAUGUGUGAUUUUGUAUAUCAAAUGGUUCUUCUGCAUGUUACUUUGAGAUGUUGAGUCUGCCGAGGAAGAAGAGGAGACUGUUCUGUGCGUUCUUGAUAUUUUUCACGCAAUACUUGUUCACAACCAUGAUAAUCGAACUAAUGAAUUUGCAAAGAACCUGAUCUAUAGUUCUUGGUUCAUCUCCUCAUUUAGCUGUUUGGAUUUAUAUCCCACAGAGAGGGUGAAGCACCGAAUUUAUUUGAUGAUGAGUUCACUAAUUGAAGUUCUACUUCAAAAUGAUUGUGGGCGACACAUUAGGGAUGCUGUAUCAUACCUUCCCUUUGAGCCAAAUGAUUUGCAAUGAGUUGAUGAUUAUUGAUGAUGAACUUGAAGUUGAUUGUACUUGAUUUGCCUUGAUCUGCAAAUUCAUAUACCUGAUAUAUCACUUUCUAUUUUGGCUGAAACGAGGUGUUAGAUAAGGUUUUUUGACUUCAAGCCCUUAUAGACAGAUAAAAUACACUUCUAGAGCUUCAAUUUGAUAUGUUGCACGCCCUGAACGGACGUCGUUCAGUCAUCGAAAAACACCUACACAAACUGUUGAUUCUGCGGUAGUUUUAGAUUUAUUUGCUGUUAUGAUUGAUUCUCUGUUUCGGAUGACCUUUUGCGCAAAUGACCUGAUAUGAGCUGGUUGCUGUGGUUUUCUGUGUUUGAUGCUUUCAUGAGAGCUGAAGAUGGUUCGACUAGCUUUCCAACGAGCUAUAAUGCACCCUGAUCCGAUAUCAUUAGCCACAUGAAAUCUUCUUUAAAAGUUAGGAAGUAAUUCUGGAAAAUUGUUGUGUUCUGCUUUGAUGUGGAAAUUCGUAUGCCUAUUUUGACUGAUAUGCUUUGGUCCUCGAAAUGAGCUGGUAGAUGGUGUUAUUAGGACUUAAUUUCUUCUAGAUAAUUGUAAUAGGCAUCUCAAGCUUUAAAAUAACAUAUUGUAUGCCUAAAUCAACCAUCAUUUGCCAUGUUUAACAUUUUUUUUUCUAAUCCAUUCUGAAAUAUGGAAUUUUGCCUUGGUCAGAAAUGCAUAUUCUGUUUUUGUGUGGGCUUGGUUGUUUGUCACUUUCCUAUGAUCUUUUAAGCAUAGAUUUUGAGGUUGAUGAUACAAAAAAAGUAUAUCACGUGUGGAAUGGUCUUGCUCUAUUGUUCUCUUCUUUAGCAAAGUUUUGUUGUUUGAUAAUUGAUAUUAGAUAUCCACCAUCAAUCCAAUUUCUAACACUAAUCACUUUACCCAGUAGCUUAUUUGUAUUCUACCGAUCCAAGCUCUAUGUGCUUUUGUUUGUAAAGAUGUCCAGAGUUAUGUUGUUCUUUAGUGUCAAAUUUUCUUUGCUUGCUGUCUUUUCUUAUUUUUGACUUCCAAGCUCCUUUUGGCUUUCUUGAAAUUGUAUGUGUUUUCAUGAUACACUCCAUUUGUGAAUAUCAGUAUGCUAUAAUUGCUGCUCUAUUCUUGUGUAGAUUAUUUUUAGCCAAUUGAUACAUCUCUGCUCUUGAAUUUUUUUAAGAAAAAAUAUGCAUACUGAAUCUGAAAAAAUGUUGUCUUUUUUAUGGCUAAUUGCAAUAGAAAUUUGUCAAGCAUGACAUUCUUAGUUCCAAGUCACUUUGCAAUGUUAAUGACUUGUGUGACUUAUUUGCAUUCUGAUUUAGGGUUAAAUGUUUAUCUAAACCUUUUUCGCAUUCAACCUUAUGUCAUGUGCAAGUUUCACAUUUUUUUUAUAUUGUCUAGGUGAUCUUACGAACCUUUAAACAUGCCUUGUAUUUUGUCCUGUUUGUGACUUGAAUUUGCUAGAUUCAUGUUCAUGUCUGAAGCCUAUGUCUGUUCGUUAUAAUAAUGAUUUCUAUACGUUGUCUUAGUCAUAUAAGAUGAGGCAAGGGAUCCUUGUUUCUUAGAUUAGGUUUAGCUUAGGACGAAGAUGGAGAAGGCGUAAGGCGUAAAGAUGGUGGAGGUCAAUGUCCACUCCAACCGUUAUCAUGUAAUGCUCAUUUUUCCCGACACAUGUCUCGGGUUCCAUGCAUUGUAUAAAACCUGACGAGUUGCGGGUUUUCUUCAUUUCCCAAUUGUUUUCUCUUUUAUACAUUUUUAGAAUUGCAUGAUUAGGUUUAACUGCUUUCCCUUGAUUGGUUACUUCAUGUCUUGCGAUUUAAUUUUCAUUGUUUGUUUUCCUUUCAUUUUUUAGGAAUAGAAUAGAAUGAAAGUAAUCCACCAUGCAUAAUCAUUUAGUAUAGAAUUGACGAUCCUGAAAAUAUAAAAAGAAAUGCAUGAACAUGUUAGGAAAAACACAACAUACUGUUUAGGUACCGAAAGGGCGCUAAUAGCAAUAUUAGCGUAACCCAAGUUCCCGAACCUAGAUAAUCUGGCUAUGUAGGAAUCGAGGGAACACUCCCGACCCUCGAUUGGGUUUCUAGCCGACUCCCAAAAUGAGGUUAGCGGCGACUCCUGUAUAUUCUUAGGUUAUUAAAUACCUAGAUCGUAUAAAUAAAUCCGCUAUCGCGCGGGGUACAAGCUUGGGAGAGCUCGCGAUCUCGUGAGGAGACUCUCAUGAUCAAAGUACCUCUAAAUCCGACAUUUCCCCUCUUUGGACAUUUCAAGGGGCGGCGAAAUCGGGUCGCGACAUUGACAACUAGAUUUUUGCCCAAAAAUCAUUUCCAAAAAAUGAGAACUUGUUUUUCCACAAAAAUAUUUCAUGUCAAAUUAUUGCAUAUAGAUUAUCCAAGAGUUUAGUAUAGUUUUUAUAAAUGGAAGAUGUUUUUCCUUUAAGAAAAAAUUAAGUAAAAAAAUUAAAAUCUUUAAAAAAAGAAAAAAAAAAGGAAGAGCAAGUUGGGGCCAAUGAUCUAAAUGUGACUAGCCAAGCCCAGGAGGUCAAAUUGGAAUUCAAAUGGCAAGUUGGGGCCAAAAUGCAAUUUUCAAAAGUAGAGAGAUCAAUUCGCAAAUUUUGCAAAAUUUCGCCCGAACCCUUAAAUCAUCAUCUUGGUCACCAAUUAAGUUGAAAUUGAACUUGGGCUAGGUCGAAUCAAUCAAAUUGGGCCAAAAGGAUCAAAUUUGCCUGGAAUUGGGUAUUUUUGGAUAAGAAAAUGGCUAACUUUGAGGGACUUUCUUGCAAAAUUGGGUGGGCAGAAUUGUGAAAGCUAGUCAAGAUUUUAAACUAAUAUACAUGAGCUUGCUAAUUGAUAAAAAAACUACAUGCAAAUUGAGGGAUUAAAGCAUUCAAACAAGCUACCAAAACUCAGCCCACGAUUAAGUUUUAAUUCGGACAUGCUAAGUAGGCAUAUUAGUGGCCCCACCAUAUCCCACUCAGCCACCCAUUUAGCUCGAUCUUUGCACGUGAUGGAAGACCAUUAUUGGUACUGCAAGUGGACGGAAAUUGGCCAGGGAUAAGCUGUUGGAAGCACGGGAAAAUCGCAACAAAGUCCGCAAACUCAACAGCUGCAGAAGUUAAAAAAAAUUGGCUAAGUCAGAAGAGUAGGUGAACCAGCUCAGUUGACAGACUUAGUAGGUGGACAAAAGACUGACAAAAAAUCUCUUAAUUCAGGGGGGAAGAUCACAAAAGAAAGCUCUUUCAGGGGAUGAGAGGGAGGAGACGAGAGAGGGAGGAGAGAGCUCAAAAUCGUUUCCCAAAAACACCUCCGAAAGCAACUCCAGAAAAAAAAAAAAGACCCAGAAAUUCUAGACCAACCCUCAGAGAGAAAAUAUAAUUUUCACACACUUGCAGCCAAAAUUAGCUAAAACCCUCAACUAGAGAGUGAAACUUCACUCAAAGAUCUUUCCAUCCAUAGGUUGCAUGUCCCAAAUGGAGAUUGGGAAGGUCUCUUAAAGCCCCCCGAAAUAGUGCCCUACUGGCGGGCCAAGAAAGUCCGAAAAUUUUUCUAAGUGUUGAGCCUAGUUGGUUACGAGUGCGGGAAAGCGAGUGUUUUUGAGAAAAUUAAGAGAUAAAUGAGGAUGGCCAUGACCGAAAACCCAAACUAGAAUACAUAUGGCUUGGGUUGGUUUUGAUUUGGCCAUCAAAAGAGGUUCGGAAGUCUAAUUUUGGAAGUCAACGAAAACCUUCGUUGUCACUUUUUUCUUCUGCAGAUCUCAUUUCUAGUUUGAAGGAGCCAACUUCCACGUGCCACCCAAGAAUAAUUUCUUGGCUUCCUCGGCCAAGAAUCACUUGAAAAAGAAACUAGGAAGCAAGAUAAGUAUACUAGAUGUUUUUCUGUUCGAUUUUGAACGUGUUUGGAUAGUGAAAAAUCAAGAGAAAAACCAGCGCGGAAAACUAAUUUUUGAGACUGAAAAUUUUCUAAGUGUUUGAAGCCUCUUCAAGAGCCAUAUAUGUUUGAUUUGCUAUACCCCAUUUUCAUGCAUUACUUGUCUUUGUGAUUUUGAUUAAUGUUAUAUGGGAGUACAAAUGAUGCAUAGAUCAGCUUGGUUUGGUCUUUAAACCCCCUGGGUAAACCGUGAAAUCGUCCACAACUUGAGCCAAAACCAAGCCCCUCCAUAUUGAUCCAUGGCUGGUCAGUGUGGACCUUGCGUAUAUGCUUCUUGAAGAGGUCGUUUCGAUGUGUUCGGUUCAUUGUUUUCUAUAAUUUUUGUUAUAUUUGAAAGCCCAUGUUACCUACUUUCACUCGAAUUAAGUAAUGUUUCCCUUAGAUCCUGCAUGUGAUAAUUGUCGAGGCUUGAAUAUGGGCAUGUAACCUGUUUGCUUGACUUGGGUUCAAACCCAGAUUUGCAAAAUCAGCUCGAACCCGCAUAUUUGAUGACAACUUCAGCUUGGUUUUCAUGUGUUUUAGGCUAUGAUUUUUAUAUAAUCUUACUCUUUGCAUGUGGUAGUAUAAUCUUGAUAUUUUAGUUCCACAUAAGAUUGCUCAUGAGUUGAGAUUGAAGGCCGUAAACAUGGCCCAAAGAAGCUGGUUUAGGGUAGUUUGAUGCACGCCAAAUGUUCGACAAAAUGUGCAAACCAAGUUUCGAUCUUAAAACGGUCGAUUUAAGCUUGAUUAUUGUGAUAUUCAUGUGCUGAGUUGUUCAAUAUUAGCGUAUAUUGGUUUAUGGAAUUAUUAUUAUUAUUAUUAUUUUUAAAAAUAAAAAUAAAAAAAUCCAAAAAUUUCAAGAAAAAAAUAUAAAAGUGAUAGAUGGUAUCAAAUUAUGGCAAAAAUGACAUUUAUGAAAUUUUAUUAAUUUUAUAAGGUCAUUUUUCCUAAUUUAAUGCUAUUUUGAUAUUUUAUAAUCAUUUCUGUAAAUGAUCCAUUUUCCGUAGAUUAAAAUUAUUAAGAGUAAUUUCAUGCAUUUAAAGUAAUGUCAUGCACAUUUAAAUUCCCAUUUUGCUCACGGGGGUCCUGUCCCGGGGCGUGAUAACAAGGCCAUGUAAUAUUAUUUGCCCGACUUGUAUCGGGUUUUCAUUUUCCGCAUUUAUUUUCAAGUCAUUUCAAUUUCUUGGAUGUCUACUUAUGCACCGCUUUUCAUUAAUUUGAGUGUAAAUUUCUUUUCUAAAUUAGGUUAGAAUUAGUGUAGACAUUAAGGAAAACAAACCUACAAGAACAUUUGCAUGGACGCUUAGCGAUUUUAUAAGGAUUAUAAUUGGUAAUCAAGAUUGUGUGACCAUUUAAAUAAACAACCUUUCAAGUUAGUGGUACCGCAAGGGCGCUAAUAGAAACAUUAGCGUAAAUAAGUCCCCGUUCCUAGAAAUCUCUGGUUGCGUAGGAAUCGAGACAACACUCCUGUAUCUUGAUUGGUUUCUAGCUGACCCCAAUAGGCUAGUGGCGACUCCUAUAAAUAUUUAGGUUGUUAAGAACUAAAAAGCAAAAUCCAACGCCACAUGAGGUAUGGGCUUGGGAGAGCCCGCAUAAUGUGGACAUCGAGCCAUAUCGAGGAGGAGGUGCUAAGGACCCAUUAUCUAUUCAUAUUGGUUCGAUCACUCGAGCGCGGGCCAAGCAAUUUAGGCAAGCUGUUGGUGUCAUGGUUUGUGAUCUUUGGCAUGGAGAUGACCUUGGAUCAAAUCUUGAAGAAUCUUGGAAAUCUUGGCGUAAUUUAAUUAUCUGGUCACCAAAUAUUUGACCAAUUCAAAUAGGAAUAUUCUUCUUGUUUAGGAAUAUUCUAGAAUAGGAAUAUUCUAGAAUAUGACGCAUUAGUUUUUUUUAGGGUUGGUUUUAGGGUUUGUGUGGCGGCUAGAAGGCUUAUAUAGAUAAGACUGACUGAAUUUCUUUGGGGGACAGAGAUAUAUUUUAUUUUUAAGGACAAGAAUUGAGAGGUUUUCUUCUACUGCUCUUUUGAGGACUUGACCUUAUCAAGAUUCUCUUUGGCGGUCGAUUUGACUUAUCGAGCGAGAUAGCGAAUUCUUUCGCUCGUGGCGUCUAUAACGUUGGUUGGUUGACACGCGUUCGUCAACAGGUCACGUUCAUACCGAGGUUGCCAAUCAUAGGUUUGAUUGGAGGUCGAGGUUUGCAAUUCGCACCAUCUGGGCCUUCGUAGAACGAUCCUUCCGCAACGAUUCACAUCAGUUUGGUAUCAGAGCUUGCUUCUACAAGGUCUAUUUAUCUUUAAUUUUCUGUUGAUAUUCAAAAAUUUGAGAUUUAUUGAGCUAGGGUUUCGGUUCUAGCUAAUUUAGAGAUUUGAUUGCUUUUGUGCUUCCAUACGUAGUUGUUUGCUAUUAGUUUUAAAUUUUCCUUUAUAGCAUCUUAAAUUGUAUCUGAGUUCGACAAAAAAAAAAAAGAAAAGAAAAGAAAAGAAAAGAAAAGAAAAAGAAGAGAAAGAAAACGUACACAAAAAAAAAAGUGCGCAAGAGAAAAAAAACAGCUUUGGCCAAAAAAAAUUAGCCGAACAAAAAAAAAAUCAAGAAGGCGACUCGUUUGUUAGUAGACUGGAUUGAAACAAAAUCAGUAGUGAUUUGCGUUUCAAUUGGAAUUUCGAAGGUUGUACUUGUUGGUUUGAAAUUGUUACUUGCUGAAUCAAAAUCAAUAGUGAUCUAAUCUUGUUUGAUUAGUUCGAUUGAUUGUCAUGAGAGAGUUGUGAGACAGGUUUUGAGUCCGAUAAAGAGCUUGUGAAAAGAGAAUACGAGAGGAAAAAGGCAAGAGUGUGUAAGCUUAAUUGAGGGUGAAAAAAAGCCUAAACUUGAGUUAAACACGAGGGGAGUGACAAACACUUUGAGAGAAACACGUGAGGGAGUGAUUAGUGAGGAUUUUUGUGACUAACGUUUACUUGCAAGUCUAAAAUAUGUCGCACUAAGAAAGUGUGAAUCAAAAGGAGAUUGGCUCCAUACGAAGGGAUGAAGCGCUCGUGGAAAGCAUCCAGCAAUUGAAGGCCGUAGUGGAGGAGCUUAGUGGCCGAAUGAUGGGGAAUGACAUGAGGGUUGAUGGUGACCGAGAGCUACCCCGGGGAAGGCUGCAAUAUCAAGGAGACACCUCUAGAACAUGACAUAGAAGGCAACGGCAUUAUGAUGAUGAUGAGGCCGGCAUGGAGGAUGAUCGAGAUGCUCGAUUUGGAAGGUGGAAUGGAGCUCGAGGGUUUAGACACCGAGAAGAUAAUGAACUUGGCAAUAUCAAGAUGAAGAUUCCUUCUUUCCAAGGGAAGAAUGAUCCCGAUGCGUAUCUAGAAUGAGAGAAACGCAUGGAGAUGGUAUUUGAUUGCCAACGAUACUCCAAGAUCAAAAAGGUAAAAAUUGCAGCUGUUGAAUUUACUGAUUAUGCUAUAAUUUGGUGGGAUCAACUUGUGACUAAUAGGAGGCGCAAUGGUGAAAGACCGAUAGAGACGUGGGAUGAGAUGAAAGCGGUGAUGAGAAGACGUUUUGUACCUAGUCAUUACCACCGAGAUUUGUUUCAAAAGUUACAAAAUCUCAUACAAGGCAAUAAGAGCGUGGAAGAGUAUCACAAGGAGAUGGAGAUUGCCAUGAUCCGUGCUAAUGUGGUGGAGGAUCGUGAGGCCACAAUGUCAAGAUUUUUGAGUGGUUUGAGCCAAGACAUAGCAAGGGUGGUAGAGCUAUAACACUAUGUUGAAUUGGAAGAAUUAGUGGACAAAGCCAUCAAAGUUGAGCGGCAAUUGAAGUUGGACCGAAAUCACAAGAGUGGAGGAGGUUCAAAUCAGAAUUGGAGAUCCAAUUGGAAGAGAGAUGAGAAGCCAAAUUGGAGAGGAAACAAUACUGAAACCGAAACCUCAAAGGAGAAGGAGAGGGACGGUAAAGUUGGAACGAAUCUGGCUUCAAGUAAAACCGAAAACCCUAACACUAGAACUCGUGAGAUUAAAUGUUUUAAGUGUUUGGGCAGGGGUCAUAUGGCGAAUCAAUGCCCUAAUAGGAGGGUGAUGAUCAUGACUGGACAUGGUGUUAUUGAGUCCGAAAGUGAAAGGGAAGAAGAUGAUGAUGAGAUGCCACCAUUGGAGGAUUGUAGUGAUUGAGAAGUGGCUAUAAAAGGAGACUUACUAGUGGUUAGGUGUUCUCUAAGUGUGCAGGUAAAGGAGGAGGAGCAUCAUCAACAAAGAGAUAAUUUGUUUCAUACAAGAUGUGUGGUGAAUGGUAAGAUCUGUAGUAUGAUAAUUGAUGGAGGUAGUUGUGCGAAUGUGGCAAGUUGUAUUAUGGUGGAUAAGUUGGGUUUGAAGACGACAAAGCACCCUAGGCCUUAUAGACUUCAAUGGUUAAAUGAUAGUGGUGAGGUGAAAGUAUCGAAGCAAGUUCGAAUUCCAUUUGAGAUAGGGAGAUACAAAGACGAGGUAGAGUGUGAUGUUGUACCUAUGCAAGCGGGUCAUAUUUUACUUGGAAGACCAUGGCAAUAUGAUCGAAAAGUACAUCAUGAUGGGUAUACUAAUCGUUAUUCAUUGAUGAUGAAUCAAAAGACUUAUACCUUGGUACCAAUGACACCUAGUGAGGUGUAUCAAGAUCAGUUAAAGUUGCAACGAGAAGCCGAGAGAGAGAGAAAAUGUGAGAAAUCCGAGGGCUUGCGUGGUGUGUUUGAGACUCAAGGAAAAGGAGAGGCCGAGAGAAAGAUUGUGGUAAAAACCGAGGGAAAAGAAGAGAGGAAAGAAAAGAAGCAAAAUAAUUUUUAUGCAAAAUCAAGUGAAGUGAGGAGAGCUUUAGUUCUAGAUCGACCAAUGCUUGUACUUGUGUACAAUGAGGUUUUGUUUUCAACUAACGAUCUUGACCCAAGUUUGCCUAGUCCUAUUGUGUCUUUAUUGCAGGAAUUUGAAGAUGUCUUUCUUGAUGAACUUCCUGGAGGGAUACCACCGAUUCGAGGCAUAGAACAUCAAAUUGACUUGAUUCCUAGUGCGCCAUUACCUAAUCGACCCGCAUAUUGAAGCAAUCCCGAGGAGACAAAGGAACUUCAACAGCAAGUUAGUGAACUAUUGGAACGGGGGCAUGUGAGAGAGAGUCUUAGCCCGUGCGCCGUCCCUGUUUUGUUGGUGCCAAAAAAGGAUGGAACUUGGCGAAUGUGUGUCGAUUGCCGAGCAAUCAAUAAUAUUACGGUAAAGUAUCAACAUCCUAUUCCUAGGUUAGAUGACAUGUUGGAUGAGUUGCAUGGUUCUUGCAUUUUCACUAAGAUCAAUUUAAAAAGUAGCUAUCAUCAAAUUAGGAUGAAAGAAGGUGAUGAAUGGAAAACUGCAUUUAAGACCAAGUAUGGAUUAUAUGAGUGGUUAGUAAUGCCAUUUGGAUUAACUAAUGCACCGAGCACGUUUAUGCGACUUAUGAAUAAUGUUUUGCGUGCUUUUAUUGGUCGAUUUGUAGUUGUCUAUUUCGAUGACAUCUUGAUUUAUAGCCGAAGUCCUGAUGACCAUUUUGAGCAUGUGCAAGCUGUCUUGCAGGUUUUAAGGGCUGAGCAAUUAUAUGCUAAUCUAAAGAAGUGCUCUUUUGUUACCAACAAAUUAGUAUUUCUAGGAUUUGUUGUUAGUGCUGAUGGUAUACAGGUUGAUGAAGAAAAGGUCAAAGCAAUCCGUGAAUGGCCAACGCCUAAGACCGUGGGAGAGGUGCGUAGCUUUCAUGGAUUGGCAAGUUUUUAUCGACGAUUUGUGAGAAAUUUCAGCACCAUUGCCGCACCUUUAACUGAGGUUAUCAAGAAGCACAUGGGUUUCACGUGGGGAGAAGAGCAAGAGAAAGCAUUUAAUCUGCUAAAAGAUAAGUUAACUAAUGCUCCUUUGUUAUCUUUGCCAAAUUUCAGUGCUACUUUUGAGAUAGAGUGCGAUGCUUCUGGUACAGGAAUUGGAGCUGUGUUGAUGUAAGGAGGGCGUCCCAUAGCUUAUUUCAGCGAAAAAUUGAGUGGAGCAACAUUGAAUUAUCCUACCUAUGAUAAAGAGAUGUAUGCUUUAGUGCGAGCUUUGGAGACUUGGCAACAUUAUCUAUGGCCAAAGGAGUUUGUGAUCCACACCGACCAUGAGACCUUGAAGUACUUGAAAGGGCAGCAAAAGUUGAAUAAAAGACAUGCCAAAUGGAUGGAGUUCAUUAAGACUUUUCCAUUUGUGAUCAAGUACAAGAAAGGUAAGGAAAAUGUGGUAGCCGAUGCACUUUCUCGAAGGUAUGCAAUUCUAACUAUUUUAGAAGCAAAGUGUCUAGGUUUUGAGCAUAUUAACGGCUUAUAUACUGAUGAUGAUCACUUUGGGAGAGUGUAUGAAGCAUGUGAACACGCUACAUUUGAUAAAUUUUAUAGGCAUGAAGGUUAUCUUUUUCGUGAAAACAAACUUUGUUUGCCUAAGUGUUCUUUGCGUGAAUUGUUGGUGCGGGAAGGGCAUAGUGGUGGUUUAAUGGGGCAUUUUGGCAUUAAUAAGACUUAUGAAGUGCUGCAUGAACAUUUUUAUUGGCCACAUAUGAAGAGAGAUGUCAUACGUGUCUAUGAGAGAUGCAUUGUUUGUAAGCAAUAUAAGUCUAAAACUAAACCGCAUGGCUUGUAUACACCAUUACCUAUUCCAACACAUCCUUGGACUAAUAUUUCUAUGGAUUUUGUGUUAGGAUUGCCUAGGUCUAAGAAUGGUAGAGAUUCCAUUUAUGUGGUUGUUGAUCGGUUUUCAAAGAUGGCUCAUUUUAUACCUUGUCAUAAAACUGAUGAUGCAUCUCAUGUUGCUGAUUUGUUCUUUAGGGAAGUUGUUCGUUUGCAUGGCAUGCCUAGAUCGAUUGUUUCAAAUCGAGAUUCUAAAUUUCUUAGCUACUUUUGGAAAACAUUAUGGAAAAAAUUAGGAACACGGUUGUUAUUUUCUACUACUUGUCAUCCACAGACCGAUGGUCAAACCGAGGUAGUUAAUAGAACUUUAGGGGUAUUGUUGCAUGCAAUUAUUAAAAAGAACAUAAAAUCUUGGGAAGAUUUUCUGCCACAUGUUGAAUUUGCAUAUAAUAGGAGCAUGCAUUCUGCUACUAAAAUUUACACCAUUUGAGGUUGUCUAUGGUUUUAAUCUGUUAACUCCGUUAGAUUUAACCCCUUUACCUAUUGAUGAGCGUGUGGAUUUAGAUGGAGCAAAGAAAGCUGAAUUUGUCAGGGCGUUACACGAGAAGACGCACGCAAAUAUUGAGUGCAAGAUUGAGCAAUAUGCAAGGCAAGCCAACAAAGGGCGCAAGGAAGUGGUGUUUGAACCCGGAGAUUGGGUUUGGGUUCAUAUGCGCAAAAGAGAGAUUUCCUAAGCAGCGACAUUCUAAGUUAUUACCACGAGGGGAUGGACCAUUCAUGGUUUUGGAAAGAGUUAAUAAUAAUGCCUACAAGCUCGAUCUUACAGGUAAGUAUGACGUUAGUGCCACAUUUAAUGUUUCUGACUUGACUCUUUUUGAUGCCAGUGAUGAUUUGAGGGCAAAUCCUUUGCACGGGGGAGGGAAUGAUGUGGACAUCGAGCCAUAUCGAGGAGGAGGUGCUAAGGACCCAUUAUCUAUUCCUACUGGUUCGAUCACUCGAGCGCGGGCCAAGCAAUUUAGGCAAGCUGUUGGUGUCAUGGUUCAUGAUCUUUGGCAUGAAGAUGACCUUGGAUCAAAUCUUGAAGAAUCUUGGAAAUCUUGGCGUAAUUUAAUUAUCUGGUCACCAAAUAUUUGACCAAUUCAAAUAGGAAUAUUCUUCUUGUUUAGGAAUAUUCUAGAAUAGGACGCAUUAGUUUUUUUUAGGGUUGGUUUUAGGGUUUGUGUGGCGACUAGAAGGCCUAUAUAUAUAAGACUGACUGAAUUUCUUUGGGGGACAGAGAUAUAUUUUAUUUUUAAGGACAAGAAUUGAGAGGUUUUCUUCUACUGCUCUUUUGAGGACUUGACCUUAUCAAGAUUCUCUUUGGCGGUCGAUUUAACUUAUCGAGCGAGAUAGCGAAUUCUUUCGCUCGUGGCGUCUAUAACGUUGGUUGGUUGACACGCGUUUGUCAACAUGUCACGUUCAUACCGAGGUUGCCAAUCACAGGUUUGAUUGGAGGUCGAGGUUUGUAAUUCGCACCAUUUGGGCCUUCGUAGAACGAUCCUUCCGCAACGAUUCACAUCACCGCGCCUAAUUUAGGGCCAUUAGUCUACUUCUUUAGGAAAAUACCCCAAACCUUUUUCCUUUUUCCCCCGGACGGAAAAAGGGAGGUCGUGACAAUGCGUCUAUAGGGUUUUCUCAUAGCUGAUCACUCUUGAGAUAACUAGACUACCUAAGUAAGCCAUUAAGGAAUUCUAAGGCAAUAGACUUUAGAACUUGACUGGGAAUCGGCUUCUCGACUGUGUCUAUCUUUAGAGGUCAUUACAGCAUAGUUAAAAAUUGAAUUAAGAUCAGAAACAAGUCAGUUUGACUGAGAGAUAUGACCGAUCAUGGGUGACUCCACUAAAUUGGAAAAUUCUCGUCGACUGUCGUUUUGGUACCAUGUGUCCAUAUUUGGAUCCUCAAGAUUUUCACAACAAUCGAGAGUCGCCAAUGUGUCGAGUGAGUUCGUUGUGACUCAAAGAAAAUCGACCACGGUUCAUUUGCCCUAAAAAGUUACGAAAACUACUCGGUAGCCUAGGUCACACUAAAAACGCACCGAUUGAAAAUUAACCACCAAUUUGAGUGCGAUUUCAAAAAUUGAAGAUUCUUUCAUGUCACAAUAAAUUCUAGGACACACGACUCAGUCUCAGAAGAUUUUUUUUACAACCGACACUUUUUGGGAAAAAGUCGUCGCCGGACCGUUUUUGUGCAAUUGAAGCUAGAGAUUUAUUUUGGUUGUAAAUUUGAGAAGCAUGAUGGAUAUAUGGGUGAGGAAAAAUGCUAAGAGGAUCAAUGGAUAACCAAUUGAAUUUGGGAGAGUCGAUUGAGAUGAAAUCAAGAGGGAUUUGAAACCAAUUGAAGCCAUUCCUCUCAAAAUUUGUAGCUCCCCCUCAUGCCUAGCCAAAGUGGACUACUUCAAAGGUUGUGAGGGGUGUGUGUGGUUAAAUGAGAGCCAAGGGAUUCUACAUGGUUGAGGUUGCUUGUGGAGGAUAUUUUUGUGGAAAAUUUGACCAAAUGGAGCCCAUCUCUCAUUUUUGUCUUAACCCCUCUCCCUCCCUUCACUUGGCCAACCACCCUACCUUCCCCCCUCUCCAUUUUGUGUGAAAACUAACACAGCAAGGAGGAGAGCAACUGCUGUCCACGCCUAGCCGCUCGUCGCCGCGCCGGUGUCGCCCUCGCCCCAGCGCGCGCGCCCUCCUUGCCGUGCACCAUCGUCCCUUUGGUCAUGUCUCUCCCUCGUCCAGCUGCUGUCCUUGGUCCAUGAAAGCCUUGCCGGGGCUGGUUUUGGUUGUUUCUUUGCUAGUAAAGACCCGCCAUGGCCCGGUUUGGCCUAUUUCCUUCUACCGGUCAAUUCAUGUGCUUAACCGAGUUGUUUGCUUCAAUUUCCAACCAAGAUUAGAUCAAUUUUGUAGUGGGUUUCCAGCUGCCUUUAGGCCCGUUUUGGAGGAGUUCCGGGCCUCGGUUUCUAGGUCCGCUUUGGACAUUGUUGUUCCCCGCGCCGUUCCCGUCAGUUUGAGCCAACUUGUGUGUUAUUCUAAUGAGUUUAGCUCACUAAAUCUCGCUUAGUAGACUAAUUAUGCUUAAGGGUUGAUUAUUGUUAAUUAAGUAGGAUUAGGUGGUUAGAUUAGAGUAGAUUAGUGAUUAUUAAUUAAUUGUGAUACAUGUUAGGUAAUGUGAUGAUGCAAUUAACUAGUUGACGUGUUCUAUUAUUUAUUAAAUGCGUCUCGGUAUUUUUCUCGGACCGUUUUGGGCUCCAAUUAGGCGAAUCGGGCCUAAGUUGGAUUUAUUGGUAAUUAUUUAUUAAUUUUUAUAAUUAAUUAAUUAUUUAUUUAUUUUUUGGAAAUUCGGCAGGGAGAGCCGACGACCGAAAUUUUAUGCUGAUUGUUGUGGUGAAGUCCGUUUAUUUAUUUGAGCCUUACAUUGUGUGGAAUUAAUUUAAUUGUGGAAUUUUAAGAAUUGUUCCUAGUUGAAUUGAAAUUGGACAAUUAAUUGGGAAACAACCGGGUGUCGAUUGACAGCACCAAAAAUAUUUUGGUGGACUACAAAUAAGGGUGGGAUUUGUGACAUCCUGAAAUCUAGGUUUUGAUUUCAAUCGAAAUAGUUGGGCAUUUCAUCGACGCAUUUAUAGUUCUUUUCCCUGAAUUGAUCACUCAUGGGAUAGCUAGUCUAUCAGGUGAAGCUGUUAAGGAAUUCUAAUGCAUUAAACUUGAGAAUUCGACUAGGAAACGACUGCUCGACCGUGCAAAUCUGCAAGAGAUCAUUACGACAUAUUAAGAUCGAUUAGAAAUCGGAGAUAGGUUGACUCGACAAAGGUAUGUGAUUAAGUGUGGGUGAUUCUACCUAAUUGCACAAUUCUUGUCGAUCGGCUGUCGUUUUGAUACCCUGUGUUUGUAUUUGAAAUCUUGAGAUUUCUAUGACAAUCGAGAGUCGCCAAUGUAUCGAAGAUGUACUUUGUGGCUUGAGAAUAAUCAACCACAAGUCAAAUGCACGAAAAUUUCCCGAAAGCUACCCGAUAAAUUAGGACGCACUAAAUUUGCGUCGAAUUGAAAUUAACCGUAAAAUCGAACUCGAAUUUAGAAAUUGAGAGUUUUGUCAAGUCACAAUUCAUUUUAGGAACGUCGACUCAUUUUCAGAAGAUUUUUCUACAAAUCGAGAUUUUGGCGGAAAAGCAAAGUAAGGCCGUUUUUGUUCGAGAUUGUCAGAUGGCCAUUUUUGAUCGAAUCUUUGGGAAGCAAGUUGGAUCAUUUGAUGGGAAAAAGUCAUAAGAAGGUUGAGGAUGCAUGGGUUAAUUUAAUUGAGCUUCAAUUUGAUGGAAUUGAUUGAGAAUUGAUUGAAUUAAGUGUACAAAAUUUCAUGCCACGGCGGAAAAUAAAAUUGGACCCAUUGAAGAUAGUUGUGGGAGUUUUGAGUGAGUGGAAGAUGACCUCAUGUAAGGUCAUGGUGGGCCAAUUUUUGGGGGAUUAAAUAAAGAGAAAAAGAAAAGGAAUGGCCCCCCUUCCUUCUCUCUCUUCCCUCUUUCUCCCCCGUCGGCACCUCCAUCUCUCCAUCUUCUUCUUCUUCUUUGAAACCCAGCAGCUGCAGAAGAUCAGCCGGAGCAGCCGUGCGCCUCUGCUUGUCGCACACCCUUGCCGGACCGCUGUUAGCCGGCCCCCCCUUCUCCUUGCUGCUUCCGUCGACCCUCUCUCCUCCAUUUCUUCUUGUUGCUCGAGGAACCCAGCACGCCGAAGAACCAACAAGCCGAAGACCGUUUGAAGCCAGCAGCUCCGCUUGUCGCCGUCGCCGGCACCACCCGUCCGCGCGUGCCGCUCCCCUUUCGCCUGCACGACCGACCAGCCCGCGUGCAGCUCCACCCUGCUCAUGCGACCCCAAGCCUCCCGCACCUCCGUCCAGCUGCUGCUCCUCGUCGCUAGCCACCAUUGGAGCUCCCUCCGGCCACCGUACGCCUCCGCCUCAGCCCGCCGAGACUCCCUCAACCCCUCUCGGCCCUUGCAUGCCCCAACCGAACUCGAAUCUACCCUUUCUCGGCCUUAAACCGUAGCAGACGGCAGCAAACAAAAAUGGGUAUGGCAGCAGCUUCAUGGCCCGUUUUGGCCGGCUUCCUGACCCCGGAAGCUAGGCCCGCCUUAGAGUGAAUCGAUCCCCUCGGCGUGUCCCCGUCGAUUUGAGCCGCUCGGAUCGCUAAUCGGGUGAGUUUAACUCACUAAUCCAUGCUUAGCAAGUUAAUCACGUUUAAGGGGUGUUUAGAUUAAGCUAAGUGGGUUUAGGUGAUUAAAUUAAUUUAUUUAAAUGUUAAGUGGAUUAAGGGAUGUGAUUAGUUUAGUGGAUAAUUAAUUAAGGCUAAGUAAAUGUUUGGAUUAAAGUAAUCUUGUUUAAGCCUUAAUUAAUUAUUUUAAAUUAAAUAAUUAAUUCGAAUUUAUACUAUUAUUUAUUAUAUUUUAUUAUUAUUAUAUAAUAUUAUUUUAUUUAAUUUUCGGAAUAAAUUUAAUUAUUUAUUAUUUUCCGGAAAUUUUGACCGGGAUAGCCGGUGAUCGAAAUUUUAUGCUAAUGAUCGUGGUGAAGCUGAUGAUCGUGGUGAAGUCCGUUUAUUUAAUUGACCUUCGAUUUGAGCUAAAUUGAAUUUAUUGUAAUUAAUUAUUAAUUUUCGAAAUUAAUUAAUUAAUUAUUAAUUUUCGAAAUUAAUUAAUUAAUUAAUUAAAUUUCGGAAAUUAAGAUUGAGAUGGCCGACGAUCAAAAUUCCAUGUUGAUUAUCAUGGUGCAGUCCGUUUAUUUAUUUGUGCGUUAAUAGUGCUGAAUUGAAUUAAUUGUGAAUUUAGGAUUUAUUCCUAAAUUAUCUGAUUUAGGUUAUUAAUGGAAAAAUAACCGGGCGUUGGUUUACAGCGCUAAAAAUAUGUAAUGGGCUGUUGAAAUUAGUGGGAUAUUUGUAAGUAAAAUUAUUAUAUUUUGGCUAAGGCCAACCAUGUACCCACAUACGGCUAUUUUUAUCGAGAAUGAUAAAAGAUGUAAUUGAUUGUAUGAGAGAGUGGUAUACUAUAUCGGCCUACGGGCGAUAUGUCAGCUUUGGGUGAGCAGUAUACCGGUAUACUAUAUCAGUCUACGGGCAAUAUGUCAGCUUUGGGUGAGCAGUAUACCUUAUUAUCAGCUUUGGGUAAGCACAUACUUAUAGUAUACUAAAUUGGCCUUGGGGCCCAAAUCUAUCAGCUUUGGGCGAGCAUAUACAUAGUAUACUAUAUCUAUCAGCUUUGGCCGAGCUAUGCUAUCUAUUAUCAACUUUGGGUGAGCAGUCCUAGACCAUGGUCGGACUUUAUAGAUAGUAUUGAAUGUACCGACCAGGGAAAGGUCGUGGUGAUAUGUAAUCAAUUAAGUCGAUUGAUCGCUAAGUCGAUCUGAUUGGUGGAAUGUGAUCGAUUGCUGUAGUUAUCAAUAUUAUUAAUUAAACUGAUGUGCAUGAAGGAACUAAUGCCAAGGUAAGCCCUUUGACCUGUUUUGUGCUUAAGCUGUGGGUCCAUCCCGCGCGCUGGCUGGCUUUAAUAGCCAAGAGUCAAUUACUGUGGGACAACAACAAAUUUUAUCUCCAAAGUGAACAAAAAAAGGUGAGAUCUAUAUUGAACAAAUAUAAGAAAAUUCGAUCAACAACUUCCCCCAACCCUGAAAUGCCUAAUCAGCCAAAUUCACUAACAAAUCUCACUUCCCCAAGCUCAAAACCGAUGUACUUAACACUAGAGCUUGUCUGUUCGCACCUUAUCACAAUCAGAAACUCCCAAUUAGAAUUGAGCCAGAGGAUCACAACAUAAACCGAUGCAUGAACACGAAUUGCAAUUGACCUCUCGCCCCACUUGCAGCGAUCAAGCACGUUAGAACCAUCACUCUCCAACCACGACCCGUUCCGCUCCAUAUUCUCCAAGAUAAACAGAUCGAACGGCGACAUCGAGAAAACUACGGCGUGAUCGAGCAGCGAGAUAGAGAGAUCGACCGCAGAUCUUUGUCCGUAUUGCUCCAAUUCUGGUCUCACAAGUUCGUGGAUUUCAUGGCGAUUAAAAGCUACUGUGACUUGGGGCAAAGGAAGGAGAGGAAGAUGAAUUUACAAAUUUUCCUGUUUUGCCUUCGGUGUCUUCUUCUGUCGGCGGUCACAUUCGGUGAUUUCGGUGUUUGCGUGGGGGCACUGAAGUAAGUUCCCCUAGAAUUUCAAAUUUGGGUUCUCUCUCUUGGAGCUCCCCUAUGAUGUCUCCACAUUAGCACUUUGACUCGAGCUUAGUUUUUUUUUCUUUUUUUUUGGUCCGUCUCUCGAGCUUAGUUUAAUUAGCCGGGUCUGAACCAGGAUUCUGAAAUUUGAACAGAAAAAAAAAAAAAACACAACAACAAACCAGGAUUCUCAAAAAGCACCAAAAUUAAAGGUUAAUUAAUAUCCUUUAUCUGUUUAAUUUAUAUUUUUUUAGGUAUAUAAAAAUGCACCCUCCACUAUGGUGGAAAGUUUUUUGAGUCAUAUUUUUGAAUUCAAACUCAAAUCGAUCUAAUAACUUAAGUUAUUCAAACUUCAAAAGAAUGUAACCGAACUUGAGUGACUAAUGAGUUGAGCUUAACUGCAAAUUAUGAAAUCUACUUCUCUCGGGCUAGUAAGAGAGUUUAAAAAGAUGACUUGCUAUUAUGUAUAGAUUCUUGAAUGCUCUCUAAAUACUUAUGUUGAACUGGAUGCAAUAUUUUCUUUUCCUUUUUAGUUAAACGUACUUAUAGUAUUUUGAGUCAAGUCAAUUUGUCUAAAACUUCCGGACUAUUUAUAAUGUGAAUGUGUUUCGAACUUAUAACCUUGUAGAAACUUAUAGCCUUCUUGAAACUUGUGGCAUUAUCUUGUUAGGAAUGCAGUUUGUUGAAGAGAAAAUUAAAAAAAGAAAAAGAAAAAAAAUGACAAGCAAAGUUUUCCUUUGGAAUCAGAAAGAAAGAAAAAUUACAAUGUUGCACUAUAUAAUUCUUACACUAUCAAUAUUAGUUUAACAUGAGAAUUACAUGUACACCAUUAGCAAUAAAAAGCCUCUAUGCUUUAAUGGCACUUUCUUCUGUUACACUCCAUAACUCUAUAAUUAUCUUCCCAUAAUUUCUCUAAUUGAAUACGUUAGCAAUACGAUCGUCAACAUUGAAUCUACAUGUAAAUGAAUGAGGAAUAGAAAAAAAGGUCCGCGAAUGUUGAGAACAAAAAUCAUUGGGCUUUUUCAUUGGCUAUGUGCAAAGUAAAUAGAGUUUAUGAUCUUAGACUACAAAAAUCAUGAUACAUUUUUAAAGAACAAAGAGCAUGAAUGAUUUUUUUGAUAAAUAUAAAAUAAGAACCCAAAUGUAUGGCAGGCGCCAUGUUCGGUGGCUCUCAUGAAUUUAUAUCUAUAGUGGAAUAUUUAAAAAGGUACAAAGAUAGAACAACUUUAUACAAGACUUAAUUUUUCUUACCAAGCUCAUGCACUACUCAUUCACUUUAAAGAAAUGAAAAAAAAAUAUGAACACGAAAGAUUCCAACUCACCCCUAACUGAUUAAAGAAUUACAGUGUUUUUCAUGAAUUGUUAUGUUAUGAGCAUAUUUCUAACCAGUUAGUAUCUUAAGUGCUUAUUGCAUCAUGUGAAAAGAUUUUUUACAUUUUUAGCACGUCCAUGAAGUUACAAUGUCAAAUUUAUAUACUUACGAGUGGAUCGAUUAAUAAUAACUCAAAUCAAAUAUUUUGUGAUGGAUGCCUGCUCUCUUUAUUUAUUGAAACAAAAAUUCACAACCCAUCAUGACUCGGGCGGCGAGGCCAAGACGAUCAACCUCAACUCGAGCCGGGGAUCCAUCUGGCCGUGAGCCAGGCGGUGGCUUCAAUUCCCACGGAGGGGAACGAAAGUACACUUCCUACAUUUCCCCCGCACCGCCUGGCGGGAAAUUUUCGCACCACUGACAUAAAACCAAAAUCGAAAAAAGCAAAAAAGGAAAAUUAAAACCAACACAAAAACGAAAACGGAAAGCGAAAAACAAUUCAAAACAGAAAAUACGCAAAGCGCGACCCCUCCUCCCCUGCUUCCUCCCAGAUCCGGACAUCCGUUCAGAUGAAAACGAAACGGCUACGAUCCUUUCACAAUCCCACUCCCACUUUCUCUCUCUCUCUCUCUCUCUCUCUCUCUCUCUCUCUAGAGCAAGCACCGACGACCUCGAUGGACCGAUCGAUCGGCCGGUCGCCGCCGUAACAGGCUUUCAGCAUCGCCGUGGUGAAACUCUUGGAGCAGCGGGCGUGGCCCGACGGCUCCGAGGAGCGGCGGCAGCAGCUCAAUGAGCCCGGUCGAUGACGAGGAGCUCGAGGCCCAUCGGACCGCCCCGCCCGAAGAGGAUGACGCUGCCGCGGCCUGUGGUGCCGACGAGAAUGUCGGGGCCGAAGAGGACGACGAUGAGGUUCGACGUUCGCCUGCGCCGUUCUUGCUGGAUUAGUAGAAUUCUGCAAUUUCACUGCAAUCCAUGACAAAUCUCUUGGAAUACUCCGUGAGGAAACCCCAAAAGUGUCUGGAUCAUAACAAAUGGCUUCAAAACUUUUCCAUAGGAAGAAGGAUGUCAAUAGCACGAGUAAACCGAUAAAUUGAGAGCUGCAAUGCAGACAAGAUGAUAAUAAUAAAGAACAAGUUGAUUUUAUUCAUAUAAGAGUAUUUUUCGCAUGGUUAACAGUUAAGUGCUUUAAUGGUGUACUACGUGAUGAUAAUAACAUCCUUUUCAGAAUAAACAGCUUGGAAGCAGGAUGAUCGGCAUGAAAACAGUAUUGGCCGUACCGGGUUGCAAUGGCAAGUAGUUCUUUUUCAAGAGCUUCAUGACUUCCUGCACGAGUGUAGCAUCUUCUAUUUAGCAUAAAGCUGCAUUUUGAUACCCCAAGUUAACAGAAGAAAUGUGCAAAUAAACCAAAACGAAAGAAAAUCACUUGAUAUAAUAUCAUAGAUGUUAUGCUUCCACAAUGCCUUCUUACCUACAAUUUUGUCAGCCCUUGGUUUCUAUCGUCAAGGACUAAGUGCGCCGCGGUAAUUUAGAUGCAUAGGCAAAAUAAGGAUAAGAGAUAUAAAUGUUGAUUAUAUUAUGUACUUCCAGCAACAAAUUAAUUGAUGUAAUCUCCUGACCAAAGACACACUAUGAAAAUGCAGUUUGAUUGAGAAUCAGCUCGAAUGAAUAACCAAUGAAGCUAUCGUUUGUAAAAACAUGUUUUGCCCAAAGUAAACGCUCGUUGUUAAGCUUCAGUAAUGAAAUAACUAACUUCAAGUAGAGAUGUCAUUCAAGAAAUCAGAGGCUCGUUGAGCUAGCAAUUCGUCAAAAGAUCAAUUGACAAAGUAUGACACAUAUUAGGUUGAAUCGAGCUUAACAGUGCCCUAGUUAUAAAUGAGAUAACAAGUUUGUACAUGAAAAAUAAAGACAUAACCAAUUUAGACACAUCGAAGCACAUCAAGCAAGUUAAUGUGUUACUCCCACAGGACACGUUCAUACACAUUUAAAAAUAUUAUAUAUACUUUGAAUAAAAUGUGGUUUCAUAAAAUUAUAAAUGAAAAACUCUAUCUUGAGCAUGUUACAUGUGUCACGUUACUACUUCAUCCAUGUUGCAAUUAAAAACUUCCAUGAAUUCAAAGAUUCGACAAUCUCUAUAGUGAAAAAAAGAGAGGUUGAUUAUCAACUGUUAAAAGAUCAGAAUUUUACUUCUCAAAUGGAGCAAGAAGUCAACUGACAAAUCUGCGUAGGUUUUACAAUACAUCAAAAAGAAGCGUAAUAUCCUCCGUUUUUGCAAUUUUCAAUCACGCACCGCGUCCAUGCAUUUGGAGCCAUUGUUCUUUUCGGAUCGAUGGAUUCAAGAAUUUCACAAUACAUCUCCUUUAUGAUUUCUGCAUAAUAUUAUAAGAAUUAAAUAUCAAAUAAUAACACAAUUCGUCAAGAGAGCUCACCACGCAAUUUAUUGAAGAAAGCAAAAAACCGGUGGGUUCCUCCUUUUCAGCACUAGCUCCAGAAACAUGGUAAACUUGACAUUAUUGAAUAAGGGGCUGCAGGCAAUCUAUUGCCAUGAACUGGCCCAGUGAAUUUCAACAUCAUAUUAAAACCUUUUACUGCCAUCGAAAAUGCAACUCCAUUUUGCAUCAACAAGGACAAUAAAUAAUUCAACCCAUAACUGACAUUUAAGAACAUGAAGCAUUCAACUAGAAGAAACAAUUCAACGUGAUUAAUUUCCUACUACAGAAUCAUGUCUCCAGCAUCAAAUUUAUAAGAAGCAAACACAAUGACAACAAUAAAAAGAUACGUCUCUCUAUUCACAAGCACAAUCCCUGAUAGCAUGACCAUUUGUGAUCUAUAUAUGCUCUCCGCUUCAGCUUCCUUGCACCAGCUACACAUCCCUCAAACGAGUUACUCAGACUUCUUCAUCGAUCACCAAAUUCCUUUUGCCCCCGUGUCUAGACAUCAAACUCAACCUAAAAUAGGCCCCUACUAACAAAGAACCAUCACUCUGGCAUCUACAUUCCACGCUGAAAUUCCCUAGCGGCAAAAAAGAAAAUCCUAAUAGACAACAAGCAUGCAUUCUGCGAAAUCGAGGGACUGAGCAGUAGAGCAGAAGGAGCUGUGACUUUGACAUGCUUCGACACAAAUUUGAGCACAUUCUGUGACUUGGUGAUCAUAGGGAGUGAUGGAUCCGGCUGAGCUGAGAUGAAUGGAAGGCUUGAAAAUGCGGUAGAGUCUGCAAGCUCAAAUCAGUCACCUGGUUAAUGAAUGUAGUCAUCCUGUGAUGUAAUUGAAUCAUAACAAUGAAUCUCGUAAAAGAUGCGAUCUUUUUUAACGAAAUGAGGAAAAAAAAAAAGUUUGCACACAAGAGUCGACGGAGAUUCCAGGCAACCCGUGGCUUACACUAGUUCAUCAAUUGAUAGAAAUUUAAGUACAGAUUACUCCCCAACACAGUCCAAAACCGUGUUAGCUAAGUACAUGGAAAAGUACAUGGAAAAGACAAACCCCCUGAAACUGCCCAGUCACCAAACGUGCCUAUUCUGACAUUAACUUAAUUAGAAAAAAAUGACCCAAAUCAUUAAAUCUAAUGAAUAGAAGCGUAGCAGUAUCUCAACAGCAGCACUCAAUAGUCAGAAAAAAUCCUCUUUGUUCGAGAAUGGAUUUUAUAGGACUCCACUUCUAGUCCAUCGACAUUUCCUAGUCUUCAGCAACGUCCAGUAAUCAAACUGAGAGAACCUAAAAAAAAUUGAAAGAGGGGAAAAAUAAAUGGUUAAUACCCUGAAAAACCCAAAACUGAUAUAUCUAUGACAAAUUUAUCCCAAAUUAUAUUUUGACCACAAAAAACCCAAAAUUAGUAUACCUUUGACAAAUUUACCCCAAACUGGUACGUUUGUGACAAAUUUACCCUCUGUUAAUUUUCGUUAAAUUUUACUGUCAAAUUAUUAAAUUAAAUGACACGUGACAAUUGAUUAGUAUACCAAUUUGAGAUUUUACGCUCCGUUUGUCACAGUUUAUAAUUUUUGUGAUUUUUUUUUGUAUUAAUUCAAUUUAACGGAAUGUAAAUUAGUCACAAAUUUAUGAGUUUGGAGUUUUUUGUGGUCGAAUAAAUUAAUUUGGGGUAAAUUUGUCAUAAAUGUACCAAUUUAUGGUUUUUUUAUAGUCAGUCGGGGUAAAUUUGUCACGGAUGUAUCAGUUUGGGGUUUUUCAUGGUCAAAAAAAUAGUUUGGGGUAAAUUUGUCAUAAGUGUACUGGUUUAGGGUUUUUCAAGGUAUUAACCCAAAAAUAAAAGGGAAACUACUCAUAGUGGAGGUCAUCAUGCUUGCUGGUCAUAAUUAUAUGAUGUUGUUGAUUUUCCACCGGCAAAUUGACUCCAAGAUAGAACUACACUCUUGAUUCGUCGAAGAGAAAUUACUCAAGACAGGAGAAAAGCUUACCAACCCCGGCCCACCGCCCCACUCCUUGUUUUUCAAUCGCUACGGAGCAUAUUAAAAUUAGACAUAACUCUACCAAAUCUUAGUUACCCUUGAAUCGGGUCACACGAUUCACCUGUUUAGAUUUGGUAGUGGGAGUUAGUAGCGUGGGAGUUGUAGUCGGGGUGGUGACGCCGUAACGCUCGGAGUGCAACGUCAACGUCAUGAAGCUAGAGUAUUCUCCUUAUUUCAAAGACAAACUAGAAAGAAGUUAUAUGCUACCGCAAAUAAAACAAUGAAGGACAUUCUCAAAAGUUAAACUACAAAAAGGGUGUCUUUAAUUAAAGAAGGUGUAGAACUAGCACCACCGUUUUUGUAAACAAAUUUUCAUAAACAUAGUAAAUUUCCUUUUUAAUUCAUUUUUUCAGCUUAUUACUUACAAGUGGGCCCAGCGCCUUGGUACUAAUACAUAAUAUUUAUAUGCCUUCUCUAGUUAGGAGAAAAACUUAUAUCAACUAUUGAUAUCUAAAACUCUUUAGCUCACUAAAGAUUAAUAUCUAUACUUUUCAGAAUCACUAUGUCACGCCCCGAUCCCCGGACGCGCGCACAUCCUUCUACUUGGUCGAUUUUAUAAUGCGAUAUCCCAGGACUAUGUAUCGCCGACCCUUUCUUUUUAUUAAGCACAUGCGGAAGCAGUUAUAAAUCCCCAGACAAUUAAACAAUGAGAUAGGAAAGGAGGCCAUAUUUUUCAUAUUGAAAUUCACAACCACACUUUCAUUAACAGCACCACUCAUAGUAUAUUUACAAUACUAUUUACAGCAUAAAAGUCUCACACCUAUCUAUACCAAGACAGGGUUCACAAAAGGGAUGGGAUCUCAAUCCACAUCCGGGCUAUAUUUAAGAUCCCUCUCUGGAUCAUCUUCUUCCUCAAAAGUCUUUCUCCCCUUCAGGUUCCUCUUCCUUAGCUUCUCCUCAGGGUCCUGAAAUGGUUAUUCAAUAACCAAUGAGACCACGUCUCAGCGAGUCCUACCCACUAAGACUCGAUUAAUAAACUAAUACGCCAUACGGUUGCCUAAGCACAACACGAGUCAGAGGACUUACCUUGGCCUCAGUUCCAACCUGCAAUUCAAGGUUAAACACAGAUAUUCAAACAAUUCACGACAUACGAUCAAGCACUGGUCAAUCGACUAAGUCGAUUACAUGUCAGCCAGACCCUUUCUAGGUCAUUCCCACUCAUACCACGAUUUCCCAGUGGUGUACUCAUUCACCAAAUCACAUGUGUUUCUCGGGCGUCGUUUUCGCCAAUGACAUACCGAUCACCGACACCGUGCGUUCUUUAAGGCGCCGUUUUCACCAGUGAUAACCUUGAUCACCGAACCACGUGUCCUUUCAAGGGCGCCGUUUUCGCCAAGGUGACAUCGGCUAUAGACAACAUCGUGCGUUCUUUAAGGCGCCGUUUUCACCAGUGAUAUUCCCAUAAUCACCGAACCACGUUUGUCUAUAAGUCAUUCACGUGCGUUCUUUAAGGCGCCGUUUUCGCCAGUGAUACUUCCAAUCACCGAACCACGUAUGUCCAAUAAUAUCGUACCUGAUUGGUCUCACCAUUCUCCCUACUAUAUAGCCCAUCAACGUACUGGCGCUAUAUACCCAUGCUUGGCCAUUACCAAUCAAAUAUUCAAUAACAAACAAUUUAGGACAAUUCCUAAAAUUCCACAAUAAAUUCAAUUCCACACAACGUAGAGCUCAAAUAAAUAAACGGUCUGCACCACGACAGUCAGCACGAAAUUCCGGUCACCGGCCAUCCCGGUUGAAUUUCCGGAAAAAUAAUUAAUUAAAUAAAUAAAUUUCGAAAAUAAAUAAAUAAACAUUAAAAAUCCAAUUUAGGCCCAUAUUGCCUGAUUGGAGCCCAAAACGGGUCGGGAAAAAUCCCGAGAUACAUUCAAUAAAUAACCAAACAUUUCUACUUGCUAAUAACUAGGUCUAACCACCUAACAUGCAUUAUUAAGUCACUAAAUUAAUUGUUCUAACCUAAUCUAACCACCUAAGUGCAUGUAAUUAAAUCUAACCAACCCUAAGACAUAAUUAGCAAACUAAUAAAGCAUUAGUGAGUAAAACUCACUUGACAAAAGCGGAGAUUGAAUCACCACAACGGCAAUGCGACGGCGGCCGAAAUCGAACUUUCGACAACACCGGCGGACUUGAACUGGGCCUUAAGCUUGGCCCAACAAAUCUCAGCCCAAUUGAGAUUUGUUCUUGCACUGGAUUGGGCUUCACUUGAUUGAACGGGCCUUGAAUGGGCUGUCCUCGCAGCCUCUAAUUUUGCUAGGCUUGGGAGCUGAAAUCGCUGGGCCUGACUUAUGGCCCAAAUGGACUGAACCUGAGCGGCCCAAGAUAUUUAAAAUUUGCUGGGCUGAUGAUGCUGAAGAUGGGCUGAGCAAUUAAACUGAAGGUGGACUGAAGACUUUUGGCUUCGCUGGACUGCAGAGUUGGGCCGCAAUCCACGAAGAGAAAUUUGUGUGGGCUGCUUCGGUCUUUGCUGGAGGGUACUGCGACUUCAGCCAAUCAAUUUCUUCGGCGGUUGAAAUGAGCUACAGGAGAUUUGUUUAGUUGACUCAACAAAUUGGAAGGAGCGGACGCGUGCGACUUCGGUCUUCGUGGCUUCAACUCGAUGCUGGCGAUGGGUCAACUAAGGAGAGGAGGAGCUCGGUUGUUGACUGAAGAUGGCGGCUUCGUUGGUUGAGUUGUUUUCGUUGGCUGCACACAUGGAAGACUUGAGGAACCGCUGCACGUUGGCCGCGUGGAGUUGCUGCGCUGGCGUGUGUUGCUUCGGUCGAUCUCAAGCAACAAGAUGGAGAUACCAACAGCGAAGGAACCACUGAAGCGGCAGACAUGAAGACCGCACAAGAAAAAGACACGAAGCUGCUGCAGCUUCGGUGGAUGCUGAGUUCUCGGUGGGUUGUGGGCUCCGGGGAGUCAACAACGUUCUGCCGUGUUGACUGGUGUGCUGGCAGAGUGAAGGACGCUCGGUGGGUCUCGCUGAAUGAAGACCAGUUGAGGUGGCGAGCUGGCUUGUGAGUUGCUUCGUUCAGCGUCGCUUCGCUGGCUUCAACUGGCGUGGCAAGACCGAAGUGGAGCUGCAGCAUCGACGUGGAGAUGGACGAAGGAAGCAGCUCGCUGGCGUUGGACUCGUUGAAGGUGCAAGGGACUUCGGUGGAAUGGCAUGAAGAGAGAGGGAUGCUUCGGUGGUGAGCAGGGAUUAGUGGGGCUGAAGCGUGAGUGGGGAACAACUGGUUUUCGGUGGGGGAUUGAACAAAGAUGGGGCUACAGAGAAAGUGAAUUAAAAAUGGGAGCAGCGAAUGCAAAGAGAAAGAAAACAAGGCUGCAGGAAAAUUGAUGGAGGGGAUGGUCGCUCGAGAGAAAGGAGGGGGAAAAGUCGGCGAGUGAAACUUGCUCGAGAAGGUGGAAAGGAAUGGAUGAGGAAGAGGUGGGCCUUAGCUUGAUAUUUUGCAAGAAUAUCUCCAUGAAUCACUCUUAGCCAAGUAAAAACACUUGGCCUUCAUUAGACCAUCCAAAUGACUUCCAUAACCUCUCAAGUAGUCCAAUAUUGCUAGGGUGAGGGGAUGAUACGAAUUUCACCAUUUGAACUUCAAUUUCUCCAAUAAAUUCCCAAAUUGAGGUCCAAUUUCGACGUAGAAAAAUCCCAAGAAAUUUUCUAUAAAUCUCCGACACACACGGGCUCAACCCGAAAGUCAAAUUUCCCAUUAAUUUAGCCAAUCUGAACUUCGGCCAAAUUUCCACGACGUCCGAACCCAGUUUCCGUAAAAUUUCCUGAAUCUCCGAAAAUCUUCUGAGACUGAGUCGAUGCUCCUAAAAUAGCUUGUGACAUCACUGAACUUUUGAUUUCUGAAAUCUGACUCAAAUCGACGGUUAAUUUCACUCCGACGUGCUUUUAGUGUGACCUAGACUACCGGGUAGUUUUCAGAACUUUUUAGGGCAAUUGACUCGUGGUCGAUUUUCUUCGAGCCACAAUGAACCCACUCGACACAUUGGCGACUCUCAAUUGUCGUGAAAAUCUCGAGGGCUCAACUACCAACACAGGGUACCAAAACGACAGAAAAUCAAAUUAGUGCCGGUCGACGAGAAUUUUCCAAUUUAGUGGAGUCACCCACGAUCGGCCACACAUCUCAGUCGAACCGACCUAUCUCUGAUCUCAAUUCGAUCUUUAACUGUGCAGUAAUGACCUCUAAAGAUGAACACGGUCGAGAAGCCGCUUCCUGGUCGAAUUCUCAAGUCCAUUGCCUUAAUAUUCUUUAAUGGCUUACCCAGCUAGUCUAGUUAUCUCGAGAGUGAUCAGCUCUGAGAACAACCCUAUAGACACGUCAAUGAAAUGCCCGAUUAAUUUAAUAGAAAACAAUAUUGAAAAUUCUGGAUGUCACACACUAUCCUCCCCGCCCCCCCCCCCCCCCCAAAAAAACAUAUAUUCGAUUAAUUAUUUUGUAAUAUUCCUAUCAAUGCACAAAGGCACAAACUGAUAAUUCUACUACUUAUUUAUCAUGCAUUUAGAUCAUAAAGUUUGAAUCUUUUCUAUCUCAUAAGUUAUAAAUAAUCUUAUAAAAAGGGACAUAGUUUUAUCUUUCCACGAAUUCACGGAUACAAUUUCUUCGGGAUAAGUACACUAAUGGUGCCAUAAGUUGUGUACGGCGCUCACUUUGGUGCCAAAAGUUUCUGCCGGAUCACUUAAGUGCCAAAUCGGAGAAAAAACGAUCACUUUGGUGCCACCGGCGAGAAAUUCCGGCCAAAAUGAUUACGUGGCUUUAUAUUUUUAAAAAAAAAUUGAUAAACCCUCUAAACGACGUCAUUUUCUGUCCUACUUAAGAAAACGACGUCAUUUUGCCGUCCUAUGUGGAUGGCUUAGGAAAAACGGCGCCGUAUUGCUCAUUUGUGAUUGAAAUUAGGGUUUUUUUUUGUUCAUCCUCGCCGAUCAAGCUUGCUCAGCCACCAUCGCUUGGCCACCGUGCUCGGCCACCGUCGCUCGGCCACGGUGCUCGGCCACCAUUGCUCGGCCACCGUGCUCGGCCAAGAAGUGAUGGGAAAAUAGGAGGCGAGGGCAGAGGAGGAGGAGGAAGAAGGGGGAUUGAAGGUGUAGAGAGAGAGAGAAGACGAGGAGUGUGAGGGAAACAAGAAGGGCGUAGAUGGAGAUGGUAGAUUGGGCUUUGUUCAAAGAGUGGCUGGUGCUGGUGUUGUUCUUCGAGGAAGAAGACGCCGCCGCCAUGGCUUCUCUCUCUCUGUUGGUGUUGUUCUUCAGGGAAGAAGACGACAUCGCCAUGGCUUCUCUCUCUCUGCUGGUGUUGUUCUUCGGAGAAAAAGAUGAUGCUGCCAUGGCUUCUCUCUCUGCGCUAGUGUUGUUCUUCGGGGAAGAAGACAACGCCGCCGCCAUGGUCUCUCUCUCUCUCUCUCUCUCUCUCUCUCUCUCUCUCUCUCUCUCUCUCUCUCUCUCUCUCAAUUUGGGGAUUAGGGUUUCGACUUGCGGUGCCAAACGACGUCGUUUGGUGGUUUACUUGCUGACUGGACUCUCCGGCGAGCCACGUCGGUAUAAGAAAUUAAUUAAAAAAGGCCACAUCGGAUUUCCGGCCAAUUUCGUCGGCGUUGGCACCAAAGUGAGCGUUUUUCAAAUUUUUUGGCACUUAAGUGAUCCGAUGGAAACUUUUGGCACCAAAGUGAGCGCCGUACACAACUUAUGGCACCAUUAGUGUACUUACCCCCAAUUUCUUCAUAUACGUGAAUAAUAUCUUUCAAUUCAUUAGAAAUUUGAAUAUUUUGUAAUAAGAGAAUUGUGCCAAAUCUUUUAAAUAAUAACUUUUCGCAUACACUCAAUACGGGUACACUUUUGCUAACAAUAUCAGAAAGGAACGAUAUAAUUGAUCAUAAAGAUUAUGUAAUAGUACACACGAAAGUUAUUGGCUGGAAAGGAAAAAUGAGAGGAACAAAAAGAACUACUUUUUAGGAAAAAAAAAAAAAAAGAGGGAGGAUACUGUUAUAAGCUUCGAAGAAUAAUACUUUUGAUCACGCAAUUUGUAAUAUAUGCUUGGUUAUUUUUCUCUAUUUCUGAUAAUAUACACUUAAACAAAAACACAAUUUAUUAGUAUUCAGAAAUAUUGCAUUCAAGACAAAGGUGAAAUAGCAUUCUUCUCGUCAAAAAAAUAAUAAUAACAUUCUUAAUUUUACUCCAAAUUCUAGGACAUAUUUUUAUUUUCUUCGUUUAUUUUCUUACUUCACAUCGCAUAGUCUUUGUUCAUUACCAAGACCAUAACUUAUUAGUGUUUAUACCGCGGCAGCAAUUGCACAUUAAAAUUUUCUUCCUUCCUCAAAAUCUGAAUUUGACACAUCAUAGUCAUGCAUUAUUUUAUGUGUCUUUGGUUUUGAACAAAGUUUUCAAAAAGACUAGAACUUCAGCAUUUUUUUUUUUUUUACGUUUCCUGAUAAUAGUUUCUUUCUAGAAACACUUUUUUAAUUUCUAUUCCUGAAAAUAAUUUAUAAACAAUUUAAGGCGUUUAGUAACUAUAUAAAAUUUAUGUUUCUGAAACAGAAAUACGUUUGGUACGACUCCAAAUAUUUUUGUAACUAAAAAUUUCUUUUAAUUUAUUAAUAAUUUUAUUACUUUUUUUCUUUUUCUUCUCCUUCCUCUAAUUGGUCGUCAGCCUUGACCAUAGCCAGUCGAUGACUGGCCAAACGAGGGCAGAAAAGGUUGUUGGCCUUGGGGGAGCCACACCGGCCACCAACGAGGUCCCCCUAAGCCUCAUCGUGGCUGGGUGAGGACAAGCCUUGCAGUGUGAGGCCGAGCCUCACUUGACCACUGCGAGGCUAGGCAACUCCAUCAUGGACGACACUAACCUCGCGAUGGCCUAGGAAGGCUCGGUCUUGCCAAAUCUGGGCAAGGUCGAGCCUUGCCCAGCCACUACGAGGUUUGGGGGGACCUCGCCAAGGGUUGGCAAGGUUGCCAUGCCUUGUUUGGCCUGUCGCCAACCAUCACCGAGGCUGCGCGACCGGCUGGGGGAAGUAGAAAUGAAGAAAAAAAGAAAGAAAAUAAAGGGAAGAAAGGAAGAUAAAAGAAACACUUAUUUUUUUGAGUUGUUUCCGGGAAUAAGAAACAAUUUUGUUUUUAUUUCUUGUUUAUAUUCCAAAUCUAUUACUCCUGGGGAAAAAAUUACCAAAUGCGUUUCUAUUCUAAAAAACAAAAGAACUAAAAUAUUUAUUCCCGGAAGGGUUAUCAAACACAGCUUGACAAAUCCCUACCCUAAGAAUGGUAACCAGGCCAUGCAGGCCCAAACAUAACACGAAUUGGCUCCCUUGGGCCCGAGAACGUGAGGAGCUGUUCCAGGCUAAGCCUGUUAACAAUAGGGGUGAUUGUAGACUUGUGGUCCGAACGAAAGUGAAGAUGGUAAGAGUAACACAAGAUCUCUCAAUGACGAUUUGUCAUGAAUUUUAGUUAUGAAAAGAAAAUACUUGUAUUAACAAAAAAAAAGGGGCAAAAACGGUAAAGAUCAAUACUGAAUAAAUUUUCCACUGGCUUCUUUUGACAAAAAUGUUGCCGACGACACUGAUAAGAUUGAUAAUAUUAUUUGUAAACCAUUGGAAGAUUAGAUUAGAGUUUAAUUUGUUUACGAUUUGAUUCUGCCAUCGAAAGGUUAGAUUAGAGUAUGAUUUGAUUCUGCAAUCGGAAUAUUAGAUUAGAGUUGUACAUAUAAUUUGAUUCUAAUUAUUUCAAUUGCAAAUAAAUUGAUCCAGACCAGGCUUUCAUCUAACAGACAUAAGGGUAUGCUAAAGCAUUGGCCUAAUCGUCUUUUCCACAUUCGGAUGACUCACCUUCUUUCUCCUUUGCUUUUAUUGCUUUAUUUCUUAUCAUCAUCAGUUUGCUUUUUGUAACAAGAUUUUCCUUGGAUUCUCUCGGGGCCAAUUUCGCCGUGAAUGAUGGCGUGAAGUCCCCAAAAGAUGGUUUUGUAGUGGGAGCAAAAGUGAAGAUAGUGAAGAAGGAAUAUUUGUGUGAUUGUUCUUAAUUAGUUAUGAGAAUAAUAAUUUAUUUUAAAUUAUAAAAUCUAAAUAUAAAAUAAUUGAAAAUUAUUACGAGAUUUAUUUUUUUAAGAAUUCAUGACCCAUAAUAUAUUAUGAGCAUAAUAAGAUAGAGCAGUAAUAAAUAUUUUUUUUGCCACUGAAGUGCACCCUCAUGUUUUUAAUUCUUUGCCUUGCGGGCUUCUGUCGACUGAAGUCCCGCUGACAAUACGAAGGCACACUAAAGCAUCGGUCACCGAGCCAUGCCACCCCAGCACUGUACAGACUCGCCCCUCUUUUUUCAUGAAUGUAACUAUGAAAAGAAAUUCCUCGGGCAACGGGAGAGGAAGGGGGCUAAAACAGGACGGGGCAAUAAUGAACAAUGCCUUGCCACCGAAAUGCAUCCUCCUCGCGUUUCUUUCCUCUUUGCGGUCUUCUUUUAACUAAAGUCUUGCCGACCGAACAAAGAGCGCCAAAGCAUCGAUGGGUUUCUUUUCCACACUGGCAGGACCCGUCUUCUCUUUCUUUGCUUUAUUGCUUUAUUGCGUUUCAUUGUCGCUUCUCGUUGAAUGAACCUCGCUUUAUUACAAGUUCCCAAGAAAUGGUUUUGUACUUGUCAUCAAACCGGUGGGUUAAUUAUUUUGAUAAUUUUUUUCUUUGCCAACAGCAUUUGAUAUAUCAUCCACACCACAAUUUCAAUAUUUUCGAGUGGAUUUUCAAUGAGGACUUGUAUAAUAAUGUACUUCCGCCGUUUCGCGCAACAUAUUUUAUUUAGUGACGACUUUAAUUAUUUUUCGCUGGCAAUAUGUGGAUUUUUUUUUCAAUUUUUUUCCCAAAAUUGUGUGCCUUUACUCAGCACGCACAUGCUCGCCAUCAUUUGAAGUUUGAAAACUAAAAAAAAAAUGGACAGGAAUUCGUUCCAUUGAUCACUCAAAGAACCGCAUCCCAGAUUAUAUCACUUCUAGGACCUUAAAAAUUGUUAAAGACUUAUUGUCAUCAUUGAGGUUUUGUUUUUUAACAAUAUUGACGGAUAAUAUUUUUUGAAUCACAAAAAAAGUUGGGUUUUGAUGUCUCACCAGGCAAAAUUUAGACUUUUCAGUGAAAUUUUCCCAACUCAAGUUAGCUUUGUUUGUCUACUUUUGUCAACUCAAAUGAGUACAUUAAAUCUUUAUGAUCAUCUUAGACGGAACUUUGUUGGAAUGUACUUUUCAAUUGCUGAUAUAAAUUUGAAGUUUUGAUGAUAUAGAAAAAGUUUUGAAUAAUUAGUCUCAUAGCGAAUAUAGUUUUGGAUUUUUCGCAGAAUUGCCACCCGUUUUCGCUCAUCCAUUGCCAUCACAAGCCCUCACUUUCAUGUGUGGAUCCACCCAUGACAUAUAACUCCUCACCCGUUCGACUUGUCUACUAUACCUUGGUCUUGUUUUUUUCUCCGUGCGGAACUUGCGAUCUAUGUCUAAUGGAAGUCGCAACAGGCAAAGGUUGCCAGCCUCGCACAGCCAUGGUUGCAUAUGGCCGCGGUGUCGGAGCUCAACUUAGUCAAUUCGCUCGAUUUUUUGAGCAAAAGAGAAAGGUCCUCAGCCUAUUUAUCUUUAUAAUCAGUACCAAAAAGGAAAAGAAAAUUCCAGUCCAGGAGGGCAUUUGGCACCAGCAAAAGGCAAAUGCAAUUGAUGAUCUACAGAUUCCAAAAAAUGAAAAGGGAGGGAGAAAGGACAGGGAUCGUGGUUACAGAUGAAGAGCGAGCUAUCAAGAUGAAAAGGCCAGGAUUUGUGAAAUGCAAAAGUUGAAGAAGCAGAAGAUUCGGGAAAUAUCGGAUCAGCAAAAUGCUGCUAUGGACACUGAUAUGGUGCCUUUCCAUUCUAAAAAUGACUAUUUCUUGCAUUAUUUCGAGUUCAUGUAUUGAUUAUGCCAGUAACAUUUUCUUGUUUUUGAAAUAAUUUUUCAAGAAUGAUAAGGGAAAAGGGCGGUUGAAGUAUCUUCCGCAGCAAACUUAGAUUUUUGCUCAUUUUGCCAGAGGAAACCAGUCUGCUUCACAGAAAAUCAAAGGAAGGUACCAUUACCAAUGACAAUUCUCUCUGGUUUUUUGUGCAUUGCAGAUAUGAUCUCGUGUACAUAUGUUCCUUUUUUGACAACCUGCUGAACAAUGUCUACAUAGGUCCUAACUUUCCUCAUACUUCAUAGUUGCUUAAUUGGGACCGAAAGCUUUGUUUGAUCCUUGACGGGCCGUUUGCUAUAUAUUAAUAAUUGCCUAAUGCUGGAAUUCUUUAGAGGAAAGGUGCCUAUGGUCCAGUGGUCUAACCCUUGCUGGACUUCCAGUUACAUUUGGUGUUAAGGUUCCAUAUUCAAAGGGAAUUGGGAUUUGGUAACAUUUAUGCAAACCAACAAUGUUCAAUUGUAACCUUAUAUUGAUUGUUCUCUCCCAGUGGACAAAUAAACAUCUGCUCAUGCUUAAAAGUGAAGAAAACAUGUUUGUGAAGUUCAAGUCAUCAUUUCCCAGACCAUUUCUGCGUACAGCGUUCAUGUUUGUUCAGUGACAUUUUUCUCUGCUUAACGUGUAGGGGUUGUCAUGAAUCUAAAAUAACUGAAGAGGAAGAGGAUGAAUAACGUCUUAAGGAGGAAGAAGAUGGCUUGUCUGGUACGGGAAACCCGCGGCUGGUGACACAACCCUCUUGUAAUCUCUCUCUUUCUCUCUCUUCCUCUCUCUGGUUUGAUUAGAAGAAGGAUAGUCUUUGCUGCUCGUAUCUCUGCUGUACCCCUGCUUUGACUUGGAGAAGCUGUAAGUUUGCUGCAAUUUCAGAACGCUAAAUAAUGUGGGAUUGUAAAUGUUCUUGGUGUCGACAUGAUUCCUUAUCACUAACAGUUAUAAUACUCCAAGUUCUUACGUUGAUGUUGACUAAGUAGAGAUUUUUGACAUCCCUUCCCGGCCCUUGUCUAGGUGGGAACCUCUUGCACUGGGGACAACCUUUAUUGUAUUGUCGUCUGGCUCCAGAGAGAUUCUGUUUUGCUCUGAUUGAUGCAAUUAUCUUGCCAACGGGAUAUCUCCAGCAAAUAUAAGUUGACUGCUUUCUUAAGUUCUAUUUGUAUGCUUUUUUGCAGGUACACAAGGAAGAUGAGGGAUUACUAGCUUGCUGGAUUGAAUUGGCUCAUAAGAUUGUAUGAGAAUGGCAUUAACGGAAUACUUGCACAGAUGAAAUGGUAGGUCACGGGCUGCGGCAUUUAGACCUCUGCAGUAUGGAAGCUGGAAAGGCUAGAAGAUGCAGAGCUUAGAGAAAAUUUGCUAAUAGAAAUUCCAACGAUAUCUUGGAGAUAUUCAUCUUGUAAGAUCUUGAAAUUGACAUGUGCUGAGAUAACCAAUUAUCGAGGCUCCCAGAAGGUUUUGUAGGUCUACAAUGUUCAUACCGAGUUGAUGGCUUUUCUGGUCUCUCCAACUUGAACAGCUUGAGAGAUUCGUCCUGGGAAAGACAAUUAACUCUCCUCCCCCAGUUGACUAGGAACAUGAAAAGAUCGUGGAAGAUUCUAUCCCCGGUGGAUUGGUAGGUUAAAUAGACUAGAGUCUUUAAAAGUUGUCCUCUUCAAUAAUGACCACCUUAUCACUGUUGGAGAAAUCCUCUUGAAGUGUUUUGAAGCUGACAAAACGUUUCCAUCAGUCUAGUCUGAAGGUUUGCAGACUUUGCUAUUUAAAGUCUGAAGACCUCCGGACAGCCAGACUCAAGACUCAAAGUCUAUCCUCAUUGACAGUCUCUAAUCCGUUGAAGAAAGGUUAUUCAGAACUGGAUGUUUCGUUAAGGAUUUAACCUUAUCAUCUGGAGAAGAUCUCGUAGCUGGAAAAGACGUAACAGAAUCCUUUGAUUGAUCGAGAUUGAUUCGAUGAUUGAAGAUUCGAUGAUUGCCUAAAUAUUCUUGGAAGGUUCUUCUUAUGGAAACCGAGAUCCUGAUUGUAUGGGCGAACAUGAUUGAUGGGCUAUCGACACGUUCCUUUAAUAGCUCGAACAACCUUCCUAAUUGAUUCUGUCCAACGGGUAGAUUGGAGGAAUUCCUUUGGUAAAUGCCAACGGGUAUAAUGGCAUAAAGGAGUAUAUAAGGAAGACGUUCUUAGUUGUUCGAGGUGUGCGCGAUAGAAGAAUUCCAAAGUCUGAAGCUCAUUUUUGUUUAGACAAUUCUUUUGAUUGAACACUUGUAUACAAAAGAGAGUCUAUAUUUGUGAGAAACCUUGAGGAGGUGUGGUAGAACAUCUACACUGUGGAAUCAAGGCAACGCUGUAUUGUAACUUCUCUUUUGAUCAUAGUGAAAUCCAGCCGGUGGGCUGUCAGUGCGGAAGAGUGGACGUAGGCUUGGAAUAAGCCGAACCACUAUAAAUCAUGUGUUCAAUUUUCUCUUCCUCACUCUCUUUACCUUGAUCGUAUUUCAUUUUGUUAAUCAAGAGAGAAUUUCCUUUCUAGCGUUUGCCAAGAAUCGCUUCCGUAUCUCGAUAAGUGUUUGUGCACCUAUUCACCCCCCUCUAGGUGUUUAUACUAGCUAUCUCAAUCACUAGAUAUUCCGCAACUUUCUCAUCUCUACAGAGUUGAACUCUGUCGGGAAUGUCUGUAGUACCUCCCGAGGCUUCCCUCAAGUUUACCGUCCAUAAGUAUUAGACAUUUCCUAUCAGUGCAUACAUUAAUAGACCUAUCAACCUAGAAGAAACUGGUAAGAACUUCUAAUUGAGUAUUGUGCAGUUACAGGGAUUCAAAGCCUUGAAUGUCUGGAGAAUCUAAAAAUUUUAGAGCUGAACGAGCUCCACUAACUGGACAAAUUGGCCGAGUGAGUGGCUUGAAGAAACUAACGGCUUUUCAUUCACAUCAUCUAGUGAUCAGGUUGACCGGAAUCACUGGACAAUUUGUCUAUCUUCUCCAGCAACUUUUAAAGUGGAAGAAAUUAAAAUGAAUAGGCAUCCACCCCGGAGAUUUGAAAACUCAGCACAUUAUCGAGUUGCUUGAUCAAAUUUGGCAAAUUUCUAAGAAAGAAAAAAGAAUGGACACUUGCUCCGUUGAGUUUUUUUUCUUUUUUUCGGAUAAGAGGUGCUUCCCAGUCACACUGCUCAUGCACUGGCCUGCAACUUUGAGGAAGUCAGGUCAUCAAUUUUGACGGGCAUGGGGUUAGGUUAGGGUUUUGGAAGAUAAGGGAUUUGGAGACGAGGAAGAAAUGUGCAGUUUUAAGCUUAUCAUUGAUCAAGCAAACCGCCACGUUGGAUUUUCAAUAUCCGCCUUUGAGCAAACUUUGAUGGAAUGCAUUUUUUUGGUUCCAUAGAAGUUUCGGAUUUUGAUGACAUGAAAAAUAGUUUGGAUAAUUGGCAUUGCAAUGAAUAUAAAGGUUAUGAAUUUUUAGAGAAUCACCACUUGCUAUCAUUCGCCACUUUCUGCCAUCGAAUUUGCCGCCCCCCAUUUGCAUCAUAAGCCCUCAACUUCAUGCUUCAAUCCAUUGACAAGUUAAUGUCUCACUCGCUCUAGUCUAUCUUCUAUGCCUUCAUCUCUUUUUUCUUUCCACGCAUAGCUCAUAACCUAUGUCCAUAGAAUUCGCAACCAACGGAGUUCGCUAGUCUCGCACCGCCACGGAUUUGGGGUUGCAUGGCCGUGGGUGUUGGGGCUCUACUUAGUGAGUUUACUCGAUUUUCUAAGCAACGGAGACAAUCCUCAACCUGAUUAUCAUUAAAAUCAAUACCCAAAAAGAAAAAUAAAUUCCUCACCAUGAGGGCAUGUGGGUAUUUUGGCAGCACACAAAAAGAUAAAUGCACCUGAUAUUGUGUGCAGUGAAAAGGAGGAAAAAGAGGGUUGUGAUUAUGGAUGGAUGGAGUGGGCGCUGUCAGUUGUCGAUGGUCACAUGGGGUGCUUUGAGUUUUUGUUGACUUGACUCUGAAUGAAUCAUUUGGGGGCAAAAAUUGAUUCUCAAUCCGAAAUUUCUAUAUCAUAUGAUUCAGUGAUUUUCCGCGUUAAGAAAAAUAAAUAAUUUACUUUGGCCUGCAGUGAUGCUCCGAGGAAGUACCCUUAGGGCGCGUUUGGCAAUGAUUCUGUUCUUGAGAGCUGAUUCUGACUAGAAAUGAUUAUUUUUGAUUCUGUUCCCGAGAACUGAUUUUGAGUAAAAAAACGCGUUUGGUAAUUGUUCAAAAUUUUUUAUUCUGGAAUAGAAUUGCAUUUGGUACCGUAUUAAUUGAUUUUGUUCCAAAUUAAUUUCUUUUGAUUUUUAAAUAAAUUUUAAAUAAUUUCUUUACUUUUUUACUUUUUUCUUUUCUUUUUUCCUUUUUUUCCCCCUUUUUUUUUUUUUUUUCCUAUUCUUCUUCUUCUUCUUCAUUUGGUUGGUCGCCGGACCGGCAACCGGCUAGACGAGGGCCGGCCUUCAUCGGCCGAGCCUCGCCGGCAGCUAAGCGAGGCUCGCCGGUGGCCAGACUGGCCUUGCCCAGCCUCGGCGAGGCCAACUUGGCCACCGACAGGGCUGGGCGAGCCUCACUGGCAGCUGGGUGAGGCUUGCCCAGCCACCGGCGAGGCUCGACCUUGCCCGAUCUGGCGAGGCCGAGCCUCACCCAGCCGCCGGCGAGGCUCGCCCAGCCCCACCGGUGGCUGGGCUUGCCUCCGGCGGCCGACGGAGGACUGACGACCGAUGGGCGGCGGCGGGCGGUGGCGGACGACGGCGAGCGAUGGCGGAUGGCAACCGAGAUGAUGAAAGAAAAGAACAAGGGUUGAUUCUUUUUCUGAUUCUCGGACGUAGAAUCAAUUUUUUUUUUAUUCUCAAAUCUUGUCCAAAAUCGUUUCCGGGAACAAAUUUGUUCCCGGGAACAAAAGUUUUACCAAACGCGAUUCUCGUCCCAAACUGAUUUUAGGAACAAAAAAUCAGAAUCUGGCACUGUUUGGCACGUUGCCAAACAGGCCCUUACUGACCAACUUUAUAGCAAAACUAGUCCACAACUCUCCGCAUAUUCAUCAAAACCUUUGGCUUCCGAGUUCAGCGACCUCUUGAAAAGUCAUUCGAAAAAAUCUUCCCUUUUAAUAUUUCCAUAGCAAAGAAACAAAGGUCUUGAUAUUUAAGACCCAUCUCUUUACGAAAAAUCUUUCUUUUCCUUUCAAAAGGAGAGGAGUUUAGGCGAUGGAUCCCAAUAUGUUCUCUUCUUCCCAAAGCUUUUGAGCCAAUGGAGGAAACUCAAUUUCAAUUUGGAUGGAAGGAGUCUGAUUUUAAAAGAAUUUACAACGUGACUUUUGGAGUUUCGUUUUUACUAAAACAAAAGUUUAGUGGAGUAUAAUCAAAGCUAAAGUUAUUGGAAAACUAAUUCGAUAGUUCCAAGAAUCUUUUUUAACUCAUUGAGUCCUUGUGAUUAAUAACUUUAAUUUUUAUUUUUUUCUGUCACAUUAGGAUUUAUGUCUUGAAAAGACUUAAGAACUUAAGAACUUUGGAAUGGAAUAAUUUUACACCUCUAAAUCUAGUGAGAUUUUGUUUUUUUUAUCAUGAAACAUGCAAUGUUUAGUCACCACAAAAUCGAUUUAGAAAAUAGAAAGAUUCUUGCAAAUAAACACCUGCCAAUCAUGUCAUGAAAAUCAAUUCAUAAAAGGUUAGAGCCGUCUAAUUUAACUAAAUGGAAAUGAAAAUGGAAUGUGCCUUAUACAUAUAGUUUUGCAUUGCUUCAAAGUACAAUCACUAAAUUAAGAAUUGCAUGAGAUCGGCCGAUAUGAUUUGGUUAAGGAUAGCAACAAUCUAAAACCUCAGUUCCCUUUAGCGUUAGCUACCACUCUUCAAAAGAGAAAAAUCAGACAGAAUAGCGUGUGGGGCGGUGCAAGAAGAGGGAAACCAAUGAUUGACCCGACAGUCCAUGGUGGACCAGCUUGCUCAAGAAGGAAUCGCGCCAAUGAUUGACCCAAGUCCAUGAAGACUUGAACUACCAAAGGCACACACCAAAGCAUUGGCGGGACUCCUUUUCCACGUUAGGAUGACCCCAUCUUCUUUUUUCUUUGCUAUAUUGCUCUAUUUCAUUUCAUUAUUCACUUUGCUUUUUAACAAGAAUUUCCCUCGGAUUCUUCGACGUAGUUUUGCCGUGAAUUAUUGAGAUUCCCAGCGGGUUUAUUGCUAUGAGAAUUUUGUCAAAUAACAUGUAUUCAACGUUUCACAUAACAGAUGGCAUUUUAAUUGCAAUUGCGAGCAAUAUGUGGGUUUUUUUUUUUUUAAUGUUGUAAAAAAUAUGUGCACUUUUACUCAAUAAGGACGAGCUCUUCAUCAUUUGAAGUUUAACCAAUAAAUCUAGGUUAUUUGCAAGUAAUUUAAAUAAGUAUACUAAAAUCGAUACAUUAAGUGAAUAAAUAGAUUUGGGGAAAAAGAUACUACUCUUAACCAAAAAAGAAAAAAAAAAUAGAUACUACUCAAAUUGGAAUUCGAUACUUGCCAAGAGUGUUUUUCGACUCAUUGAGUUAUCGUGAUUAAUAACUUCAAUCUUAAAUAUUAUUUUUGGUCACACUCGGAUUUAUGCCUGAAAAGACAUAAGAAUUUACAAAUUUCGGAAUGGAACAUCUUUACACCUCUGGAUCUAGCAAGAUUUUAUUUCCUAUUGUGAAACAUGAAAUGUUUAAUUACCACAAAAUUGAUUUAGAAAGUUAAAAAAUACUUGCAAACAAACACCAUUUGUUCAGAAUUACUUUGAUCUUUAAAUAGUCUAACCAAUCAUAUCAUCAAUCAAUAUAAAAGUUGAUACUGUUUAAUUUAAUUAAAUGGAAAGUAUGAAAGUGCUGCAUACACGUGGUUUUUGCAUUGCAUUGGAAUACAAUCAUUAGAUUAUGAAUUGCAUGAGAUUGGUCAAUGUAAUCUUGACACGGAAGUCUAAGACCUGAGCUCCUUGUGCCUCGUUUUAACGAGGCAUUAACAUUAGCUACCUUUCUCAGAAAAAAAAAAAGAGAAAAAAAAAAAGAACAGCUUACGGUUGGUGCAAGAAGGCUGAAACGUCAUGGGAUCAGAGGGACAAAGUCAAAAGUCUACGAAGACCUGGACUACCAACAGUCCAUGACGAACCAGCUCUGCUCUGAGAAGGAAUCACACCCAUGAUUCAUUCAUUUGGUGACUUUGUCCCUCACAGUCAUACUUCAAUAAAUGUAGGGAUUUUAUCGAAAAGAAGGAAAAAGAUGUCACUAGAUCACUCUGUAAAAUCCAACAGCGACUCAUCAUUCUCCCAUGCACACGUAAAAUUUACAUGAUAACAAAUCGAUCUCCAAUUCUCAUAUUCAUUGCACCAGUUCCACCGGCCAUAUACCGUCACAAGAAAAUUGAAAAAAAAAAAACUUUUAGGGUGUCUUUAUCUCGCUGAGAAUUUUUUUGUUGCGGGAAAAUGCUAUUAGAAAAUUAAAUUUAGAUAAAGGGAAUCGGAAGAAUUUGAUUACGGUGAAAACAUGUUAAAAGAAAGCCAAUUUUAUCGUAAUUGGUAAUAAGCGAAUCCACUAAAUAUGGCUUGUAUCAUUAAAAGUAACAUGGAAUGACUAAUAAACUGGAAUUGAUAUUGUCUUUGUUUAUUCUAUAUUCCAUCAAAAUAACAACGAUUACAAAGAAAUUAAGAUUGAAAUUAUGAAAUCAUAUUUACAUAGAUAUGAUCGUGCUUUAGGAAUGUAGAAAAAUUGAGCAUUAAUAGAGUAUAUUAACUUUGAAGGGUAGCAAGAAAAUAAGGGUAACGAUUCUUUCUAGCCAAGUCGUUUUUCUUUAAGCUUAUUGUUUUCAGGGUUAAUAUCACGAAAAAUCCCAAAUUGGUGCACUCAUGCUAAAUUUAUUCUAAACUAAUUUUUUGACCAUAAAAAACCAAAACUAACUUGUUUGUGACAAAUUUAAUUUUCAUUCAUUUUUGUUAAAUUGGAUUGAUACUAUAAAACAACACAAAUUAGUACACAUGUGACAAAUAAAUGAUAAAACCCCAUAUUGAUACACCCAUCAAUUACCAAAAUUUGAUGUCUACUUUUGUUCACUUUAACUUUGAAUGAAUCGGCCAUCUAUUGGGGGGGGGGGGGGGGGGGGGGGGCGCAAAAAUAGAUUGUAAUCCCAAAAUUUCUACACCAUAUAGUCCAAUGAUUUUCUGCGUUAAGAAACAUGAAUAAUUGUCAACUUUGGGAGGCUGAGCGAUGCUUCAAGGAAUUAACCUUAUUGACCAAAUUUUGCAGUAGAAUUGGCCCACAACUCUCUUUGCAUAUUCAAUGACCCACCCAAAAGUCAUUCAAAAAUAUCUUUCCUUUUUAGUUCCUUAAUAUUUAUGCGGUGAAGGAACAAAGGUAUUUGAUAGUUAAGGCCCGCAUCUGAUUCGAGAAGUCUCUCUUUUCCUUUAAAAAGAGUAUAAGUUAGGCAAUGGAUCCCCCCCCAUUUUCUCUUCUUCCUUGAGAUUUCGAGCUGAUGGAGGAAGCACAAUUUCAAUUUGAACGGAAGGAGUCUGAUUUAAAAAAAUCUGCAAUGAGAUAUUUAGACUUUCGUUUAACUAAAACAAAAUUUUAGGGGAUAUAAUCAAAGCUAAAACUAUCGGAGAACAAAUUUGAUCUUCCGUUAGUCUCAUUUGAGGAAUUUGAUACUUUUUUAGAGUCUUUUUUUAACUCGUUGAGUCAUCAUGAUUAAUAACUUCAAUCUUGAAAUUUCUUUUCGUCAAGUUGGAAUGUACGUCUGAAAAGACUUAAAAGCUUAUUAAUUUCGGAACAGAAUAAUUUUACGCCAUCAAAUCUAGCAAGAUUUUAUUUUUCCUCAUUGGCUCCUCCCCACCAUUUGUCCUUAUCAAAUAUCAAUAGCCUCAAAUCAAUCAACAUGUGUACAGAUCGAAAUCCAAAAGUCUCGCCGGUGCUGGUGCACAUGGAUCACUCAUGCAAUUGCGAGGAACUUUGAGGAGGUCUUUUAGAAUGACCAUGGCAAUGAGGUUUUUAGGGUUUUGGACAGGUGUAAAUAGAGCAGUGAAUGAUAGUCUUUUGAUAUAAGAACGUGCCUACAGCUGCAAAUUGUAAUAUUUUGAUUUGCUCUUCUUUUGGGAUUUGUUUGCUUGGAAGUUUUCUAUCUUCUUCCCAUAUUUGAUUACGACAAAUAAAAUAAAAAAAAUCUUUCUACCAAAAAAAGAAAAAUCCCAAUAAGGAGAAUUCACCUGAUCUAUCAGUGCACGAGUUGGGUUUACAUGUAUUGGUGCACAGACAAUACCCGCUCCAUGAGUAGAGAGGGAGAGAGAGAGAGAGGGAGAGCGCUAUAUAAUAUGCUCAGGCAAAGACGCAAGUGUGAAGUAACCCGCAGAGGCAGGACGAGUUAAAAUUCAACAAUACAAAAAGAACGAGAGAGAGAGUUUCUUUUAAUAUUUUGUUUUAGUCACCGGAAGAAAUUCAAUUGCUCCCCCAUCCCUCUAGAAAAUCCAAGGUUUUCUACUAGAGCCUUGGCUUCCGCCGGAGCUGCUCCUGAAGUUGCGCGCGUGGACAUCGCAAACCCGUCCGCCGAAACACCACCGCAGUCUCGGCAAGCGUGGCGAAUCGCUCCCUCCGUCGAGCCCUGUGAAGGACCCGUCGAUAUUUCACCUCGAUAGCUCCUUGCCGCAAUCGGAGCCAGAUCUGAGGUGAGUCUCCAAGGGCUCCACUUUUUGGUGUUUAAAAAGAACCCUGGCAUUUUGGCAACUUUGAUUGGCCGCAAUGAAUCAUUUUUUAGUACAGAGAUCUCAUGGCUUGGAAGGAUUUACCGUAUCUGGCUGCCGCUGCUUUUGCUGCUAUCUGGUUUCGACUUUUUUCUCGAGGAGGAGAUCAAGCGAGAUCGAUGGAAAGGAGUGCAAAGAGACGGCAAGGAGAGCAAGCGAGACCAAUGGAGCGGGGUGCAAAGAGACGGCGCACGGGUGGAAAUGAUGGAGCAGCAAGAGGCGCUUCUUCCACUCACGCUUCAACAGAAGGUCAAGAAGUGGCAACUUCAUCGGGAUAUGACUAUGAAGUAUUCUUGAGCUUCAGAGGACCAGAUACUCGAGCAGGUUUUAUCGACUUCCUUUACACUAGGAUGAUAGAUAUGGGAAUCCGCGCAUACGAGGAUGAUGAAGAUCUCCCAAAGGGAGAAGAGUUCGGCCCAAAACUUCUCCAAGCAAUUGAGGAGUCGAAGAUUUUAAUGCCUAUCUUUUCGAAAGGUUAUGCUUCCAGCGUAUGGUGUCUCAAAGAGUUAGUCAAGAUGGUCGAGUGCCAAAAAACAAAGGGACAAAAGAUCAUGCCCAUUUUCUAUGAUGUGGCACCUUCAGAGGUUCAACAUCAAACCGGGGAUUAUGGAGAGGCCUUUCGAUCACAUGAAAGAAAGAAGCGACAUGAUGAAAAGAUUUUGCAAGAGUGGAAAGAUGCUCUCACUGUAGUCGGGCAAAUAAACGGAUGGAACCUGCAAAGCAUGUCCAACAGGUGACUUAUUUUAGCAUUCCAUCUCAUGUGUCUUGGAUCAUUAAAACUCGUUGCAUUUCUUAUGGUUUCUUUUCUGGAUUUGUGUUAGUCUUGUUGAAACCGAAUUUUGUGUUAUUGAAGUUAUACUGCAAAAAUCAAAAUUUUCCCAUUUUAUUCCAAGCAACAUUUUCUCCAAUUCACUUCAUUUAAGUACCAACACUAAUUCAUCUACAAUGGAAUAAAUCCUUGAAGUAACACAUUUUGAAUUCAAUUUGGUCUUCUCAUAAUUACUUUAAUGUUUACACAAUUUUCUCACUCAUUGUCUUUUGUCUCCAUCUAACUCUAGGCGAGAAGGUGAGUUCAUAAGAAAAGUUACCCAGAAGGUUUUCACUGAGUUGAAAAAGGCUUAUCUAGCGGUAUCAGAGUGCUUGGUCAGAGUCGACAACCACGUGAAUGCAAUCAUGGAAAUGAUUGGUGCCGGGACAAGUGAAACACGAAUUAUAGGAAUCCACGGGAUGGGUGGCAUCGGAAAGACAACUACUGCCAAAAUGAUCUACAAUAAGCUUUUACACAACUUUGUCAAUUGUUGCUUUCUUCAAGAUAUUCGAGAAACGUCAAAAGGUAAUGGCAUUCAAUGCUUACAGAAUCAGCUCAUCACUGUCAUCCUCAAAAGGAAUUGCGUGGAUAUAAAAAACAUUCAUGAAGGAACUCAGAUGAUUAAAGAGAGGUUGUUUAAUAAAAAAGUCCUCCUUCUUCUUGAUGAUGUGGAAGAAGUGGAUCAUAUUAAUGCAUUUGUAGGUAAACGUGAUUGGUUAGGCAGAGGGAGCAAAAUUAUUAUUACUACAAGAAAUAAAAAUAUUCUUGAGGUUCCUGAAGUGGAUUGCAAUUAUGAGCUUAGCGCCAUGGAUGUUGAUCAAUCUCUUCAACUAUUUAGCAAACAUGCCUUCAGAAAAGAUUAUCCUUUGGAUGAGUAUAUCGACCAAUCCAAGAGGGCAAUAGGCAUUGCUAGAGGUCUUCCACUAGCUCUUGAGAUCAUAGGCUCACUUUUAUGUUGCACUAAAAAGGAAAAGUGGGAUCUCACAUUGAAGAAGUUGGAAAAUGUUCCUCCUGCAGCAGUUCAAAGUAAGUUGAAAAUAAGCUAUGAUGCAUUAGAUGGUCGACAACAAUAUAUAUUCCGCGAUAUAGCUUGUCUUUUCAUCGGAUAUAACAAAGACAUUGUCAUUUAUUUUUGGGAUGAAUCUAAAUAUCCGGAAGAAGCCAUGGAAGUUCUGCAGAACAUGUCUUUGAUAAAGAUUGAAAAGGAUAAUAAAGUGUGGAUGCACGAUCAACUUAGAGACCUCGGAAGAGAAAUAAUUCGUCAAGAAAGUAACUACAAUAUAGAGGAGCAAAGUAGGGUGUGGGAUCCCAAGGAAGCAUUGGAUUUGCUGAGGAGACAAAAGGUAAAACCCUCCAUACAAUUCAUCUCCAAGUUUCUUAUGGACAUUUUCUUUUCAAAGGGAGGCAGUUAUUUUUUGUAUUCUCUAGCACCAUUGUGACGUACUCAACCAAUAUUUUUGCUCUUUUAAAAUUAAAGGAACGAUACUACUCAACUCAAUCUCUUGAAAUAGUGAAUUUGGAUAAAUGUGUUUCCCUUCAACUCUUUUGUAUUUUUAAAUUUUUCCUUUGGGCAGAUGAAGGAAAAACUUGAAGCUCUUCGUCUCCCCUUGGACCAUCAGCACUGUUUUACCUAUGAAGACUUUAGGAGACUACCGAAUCUACAAUUCUUUGAAGUUUGCGAUUCAAAUGAAACUUCAGGGAACGAAUCACUGUCAAGUGUUGUUCCAACUGAUGUUUUCGAGGAGAAUUCAAAUCUCCUUCCAAAAUUACGAUGGCUUGCGUGGCCUAAUAUUCCCCUAACAUUUAAGAUUAUGAAUUUCUCUAUGAAGAAUGUGGUUAUUCUUAAUCUGUCUAAGAGUAGAAUUACGCACGACUGGGAAGGGUGGAGCCACAUGAAGGUAUCUUUUACAUUAGAAAACACUAAUUAUUCCGUUUUAUGAUAUUUGAAAGUAAUCUUUGCAUGAUUUUUCUUUUCACAGGUGAUGAAGAAUUUGAAGAUUUUGGAUCUAAGCUAUUGCGAUUACUUAAAGAGAACCCCCAACUUUUCUGCACAUUCAAAAUUAGAACAUUUGAUCCUAAAGGUUUGUUGGGGAUUAGUUGAAAUUGACGAGUCAAUUGGUCAAUUGAAAAGCUUAGUUUUCUUAGAUGUAAACUAUUGUAGGGAGCUUCGGAAGCUUCCAAAUACAAUUGGAGGUUUGGAAUCGCUAAUAGAGUUGGAUGUACUUUAUUCGGGGAUCAAAAAACUACCUGAUUCUAUCGGAGAAUUGAAAUUGCUAAAAAAGUUGAAUAUAUCUUGGAUGGGGAUCAAAAAACUACCUCAUUCCAUCGGAAAUUUAGAGUCGCUGACUGAGUUGGAUAUAUCCUAUAGUAAGAUCAAAGAAUUACCCGAUUCCAUUGGAAAGUUGGAAAAAUUGAAAGUAGUGAAGAUGAACGGUUGUUCCAUAAGCAACAUACCCAAUGCCCUCUGGAGGAUUGAGAAGAUUGAAGCAAUAAAAGCCACAGUUGGUCAUUUCGAUGUGAAAAUUGGCAAUGGCAUCUAUAGAAAUCGAGCUCUGAGGAUCUUGGAAUUGAGUGAGGCAAGAAUACAUGAAGUACCGAGGCUUCCCGAAGGUCUUACCAUUCUAAAGUUGUCUAAUUUGUACAUGAAUAUGUUUCCAGAUCUCUCAAACUUGACUAAUUUAGAAAAAUUAUAGUUGAAGUUUGCGCAACGUGAUUCUAAUGGAGAAUCUGAUGGGCCUAUGGAGGAAGAUCCAAUGCCACUGCGGAUUGGGAAUUUAAGCAAACUAGAGUCUCUCUACAUGAGGUCUCCAUACGUGACCGCCUUACCAACAGAUAUUGGAAGUCUCCUUCCCCAACUCAAGUCACUUGAGCUCUGGUGCCCUAAUUUAAGCAAACUAGAGUCUCCAUAUGUGACCGCCUUGCCAGAUAUAAGUCUCCUCCCCCAACUCAAGCAUCUUUUACUCCGGUGCCCUAAUCUCAAUUGCCUCCCAAGCCUUCCCUCCAGUUUAUCAUCCUUGCAAUUGGAAUCUGAAUGUGUGAAUGCCUUACCCACUAUUAGUCUCCUUCCUCGACUCGAGACACUUUUGCUUCGUUGCCCUAAUCUGCCUUGCCUCCCGAGCCUUCCCUCCGGUUUAUCAUCCUUGUGGUUAGAAUCCAAAUGCAUGACCACCUUACCCACGGAUAUAAGUACUCUUCUUCCUCAACUCGGGUUUCUUAAACUCGUUUGCUGCCCUAAUCUGGGUGACCUCCCGAGCCUUCCCUCUAGUUUAAGUUGCUUAUGGUUGGAGGAUGGCAAGUCGUGUCGUUCCAUGGGGGAUCUAUCAAAUUUGAAGACACUAUCAUAUCUUGAAAUCUUUGAGUGUGCAAUCUCAGAGAUUCAAGGCCUUGAUCGUUUGGAGAACCUACAAACAUUGGAGCUUCGGAAACUUCAAUGGGUGGAGAUAUUACCUGAUCUAGGGAAUCUCAACAAACUAUGGAGUCUUAAAGUAUCCAAUUGUGGUAAUCUAGUCGAGAUUCAAGGCGAAUUCCCAUCAUCUUUGCUAGCAUUGGAGAUUUUGGAUUGUGGAUCUUUGCAGAAGUUGCCUGAUCUGUCAAGCUUGAAGGAACUGCCAAGCUUUUGCCUAAAGCGUUGCGAGAAAUUAGAUGUGGAGGCAAUUUAUUCGCUUUAUCCGGAGGAGGAGGAGGUCGAAUCUGAGGGAGAGGACAGCAAAUUUGGAUGCGAAUUUGACGACAAAUCAGAGGGAGAAGAUGACGAAUUUGGAUCCAAAUCUGAAUAUGGAUCUAAGGGAGAAGACUGACGGAUAAGUGCACGUCACUCUUGAAAGCUUCUUGAUCCCUGACUGCAGAUCGCUCUCUUGUGUGCAAACUUCAAACGAAUUGAGGUAAGUCAUUUCAUCUGAUGACUGAUAUUUUCCCUUUUCUACAAUCAAUCUCUUUCACGGAUAUGAACAAAGAAGCCUCAAAUGCACUUUUUAAUGACUUUUUCAUGUGCUGACGUUUGUAAAUCUGAUGGAGGCAUUGAAAUUAUGGUACCUCCUUAUUGGUCUGGUUUUCUUCAGCUAUAUUCUCGAGGGAUGGUUUCUCCUUGGUUUUGUGUUUCCUAGCUAGACGUAUGCAUCUCGAUUGCAUUGUUUUUAUUGGAUAUCUAACGAGUUAUUAGAGAUCCUUGUUGAUUUGCUGUUUCACAUAUAUCGAAGUUGAUAACCUAGCUUCACAUUUGAGAUGACUUCGUUAUGUUGUAAACAAUUAGAUCGAAUGUGUGCUGGAAUGUCAUAUAAGUAUGAUUCUCAUCCUGUAAAUUUACAGUAUAACCAACUUGUUGCAACUGUGAAGUAGAUAGACCCUCUGUGUUGAUAUGCUUAUGUUCAAUAUAUUUUCCUGGAAAGGUAUGCUUCUUACUGGGAUUUGCAAAUGCUAGGGAGAAGUUAUCAAAUGAAGAAAGACGAAUUUUACUUGGGUAGCGGCGUUAAUAGUUGGUGCAGCACAACUUCCAUCAGUGACAGGAGAGGAGAACUAUUUAGCUUGCCCAAGGUAUCAUAGAUCAUCUUGUAGUUAGGGCUAAAUUUCGAUAAUAUCAAUGCCUACUGCCUAGGACAAAUGAUAAGUCUUGCUGGGGUCAGAAAUCAUGUAAAUGGACUUUUGUGUGAUCUCCAUUAUUGCCUAAAUUUUCUAGAAACGGUUAUGCUUAGGUGAUUAUCUGUGAUAGAAGCCCUUCCAUUCACCUCAAGUUAUGCUAGAGGAUUCUUUUAGGUUUUAAGAUUGACAAGAAGUGCUAAGGGAGACAUCUCAAAUGACUGCCUUAUUUCCGGUUUCUAAUGUUGCCGAGAGGAAUUAAAGCUUGAAAAACUUACAAAAAUCUUUCUGUGCAGGGAGCUGCGGCUAAUUGGCAGCUAUGCAAAUGAAUACUAGAUAGAGGAAAAUGAAGAUGACAUUCAAAAUGAAGUUUUUCGUCCACUUUACAGUUACUUUGGGAGUUGAUGCUUGGAAAUCUGAAGAAGGUAUUGAAAUUAGGGUACCUCCAUACGGCCAGAGGGUUCUUAAUUAUGUACAAAUGUAUGUUUUCUUUUCCCACUUUGAUUUGGCUUUUUUAGCAAAAUUCUCUUUAAAUGGUUUCUCCUUGCUUUUAUGUUUCCCAGCUGGAGGUAUGCAUGUCGAUUGCAUCAUUAUUAUUUGAUUUAUGACAAUUCAUUAAGAUCCUCAUCGAUUUGCUGCUUCACAUAUUUUAAAGUUGAUACUUUCUGCUUUGCAUUGGAGAUAGCUUUGCGAUACUGUAGACAAUUAGAUGGAAUGUGUGUUGGAAGGCCAUAGCAUUAUGGUUCUCAUCCUGGAAUUUUGCAGCAUAAUCAACUCAUUGUUGCAAUUGUGAAGAAGAUAGACUUUUGUAUUGAGAUGCUUACGUUCAGUUUAUUUCCUGGAAAGGGUGUGCCUCUUAGUGGGAUUUGCAAAUGUUAUGGAGAUGCUAUAAAAUGAAGAAUGAGGAAUUUGCACUUGGGCAGCAAAGCUUCCAUCUGUGACCGGAGAGAACUAUCUAGCUUCUCCAAGGUAUUAUAAAUCAUCUUAUGGUUGAGGCUAAAUUUCGGUACUAUUGGUGCAUAGGACAUGUGAUAAGUCUCACUUGGGGUCUGAAAUCAUGUAAAUCAACCCUUGUGUCUUCAUAAUUGCCUCCAUUUACUUGAAAUGGUUAUGCCUAGGUGGUUAUCUGUAAUAGAAACCCUUCCAUUCACCUCAGGCUAUACUAGAUGACUCUUUUAGGUUUAAAGAUUGACAAGAAGUGCUAAGGGAGACAUCUCGAACAACCAACUUUUUGCUGGUUUCUAAGUUGCUGAGGGACUUAAAUGUUUGAGAAACUUGCAAAAAUCUUUCUGUGCAGGGAGCUAUGGCUAAUUGGGCUGUUGUAUAGAGGGAGACUGAAGAUGAUGGAUGACAUUUGAUGUUGACCGGUUCCCUCUCACAAUCUUGGGGUGGCAAACCCUGUUUUCAUUUGUUUUGGGGUGUAAAAGGGCUAUUUAGGCAAACCUGAUUGUGUUUUUUCCUUUGUUGUGGUCCCACAAAAAUGCUUAUUACAUUUCAUCUGAAUGUGUAUUCUCUUCAUUGUUAUGCAAUAGAACUUGCCCAUCAGUGCCCAAAUCUUGUUUUACAAGGAAACACUUGAAGGGCUUGUCUAGACUGAGAGAAACAUUGUGUUUGCUUAGAGCGGUGCUCGAGGUAGUCUUAGUUGCUCCUGCCAAAACCAGUUCAUGGACCUCUUAAUGUGAAAAUGGUGUUCAAAGUAGUAUUUGUCAUGUGUAUGAUAGGCACUCACAACACAAGAACCACGAAUUGCUGGUAUUCAUGGAGUUGGGCUGUUGGAGAGACGACUCUCGCCAAACUUAUCUAAAAUGAGCUUUCACAUGGCUUUGAGCACUGUUGCUUUUUAUCUAGCAUCCAUGAAACUUCAGAGCUAAAGGGUGUUCAAUUCUUGCAGAAUAAUUCAUCUCCAAUGUCCUCGAAAGGAAAUUGACAUAAAUUAGUAAUGGUGAUGAAGGGAUCGAGACAAUUAAAGUUAGGCUUUUCAGUAAAGGAGUUCUCAUCCUUUUUGAUGAUGUUGACCAGAAGAAUUAAUUGAAUGCGCUCAUGGGUAACAUCAGUGAUAUUCGAGCAUUACUGAAUUCUUCAAUGCUGAAUAUCAAGUGCCGAAGGAUCUCGAAAUUCUCAGUGCUUUUUGUUUGUCAUUGAAUAUCAGUGCUUUUUGUUGAUAGAAGGCAUUGCCAUCCUUAAUGUGAGUUGAUCGGGUUGAAAUGGUUACAGAAAGGGACAUGUGUGAGCCCUCUCAUCUGGUCCAAAUGACGCAAUGUUUGGCAUUGCUUAGAAGAUUCAUCCAGUUCUUGAAAAAUUUAGAAGACAUGCUCAGCAGAGGAGUUCAUUUUCCAAUAAGAAGUGCAUGUAGUGUAGUACUUGAAAGGUCCUGCAUCCACAACCAAGUCUAUUGUGAAGGAAGAUUUGAAACUCAGACAAAUUUCUCAUUGCCCUAUGUCAUCUCACCAGAUAUUGAUUGUUGUCUUUCUUGGGAUCGUUAUCUGUUAUACAUAAAUUACAAUCACUAUCUGGCAAGUGGACUUGAAAUCUAUUGUUCUUGUACCUAGAGUUAUCACUAGCUGUUUUUGUAACCGUUUCCUAUCUUUAAGAUGGAUUGCUGUGAACUGCUCAUGAAAAGGGACCACGGUUUCUUUUGAUCUAUUUCAUGACUUUGAUUUGGUUUAGAUAUAUUACUUUGUGACGGUUUUGGUUGGCUAAUUACGUUACCAGUAAAAGACAAGUGAAAUUGAUGCUAGUGUUACUCCACUCAAGUGCAUUAUAGUGUCACUACAUUCAAGUGCAUUACUUUUGUCAAUUUACACAUUAGUCUUUUAGGUGAGAUCCUUGGAGCUUGCUGGUUUGUACUUUAAAUUUGAACCUUAUAACCCUACCUUGUAAAACUUAACUUUGUUAUUCCUUAAACAAUGAAGAAUCUAGUCAAACGUGUAGGUUUUAAUCCGUGACAAAAGCUCUUCCAUUUCACUUUUUGGUUACCUAGGAAUGGAAUAAAAGACAAAAGAGUCCUGUAUGACGGCUUGAGCUCUUACUCUUGGUAAUAAGUAAGAAAAACUUAAUGGGGUCUUUCUAUAAAGGUAAGCUACCCCUAGUACAAUAACUAGUAUAGAUUUGAUGACCGUGUUUCUUUCCUAACAUUUUGGUGCUAUACUUCGGCUUCUACUGUAAUGUGCAAACUCCAACUUAUCAUGGAGUGUCAAGGACUUUACUGGUCUCUUGCACAAUGCGCUUUGAAUGGUCAUAAUUGGCAAUUUAUGCUUUGAAAUGACAAAGGAAUUUCAGUUUUGCUAGUUUCCGCUAAUGUUAAUUCCGGCAUAUGAGAAAUAGAAGGUAAAAGCUUAUUGCUCUCAUUCCAAAGGCUAAUCAGAUCAUUCUUACAUGUCUAAGCCAAGAUGAUAUACAUUGUUUGCCUCCUAAAAGUUGAAAUUCAGUAGGGGUUGCCAAUUAAAAUGACGCAAACUUUAGACGAGAUCAUCAUUUGUUUCCAAGAUGGCUUGAUUUAAUUGUUAAUCUGCAUAAUUUAUUACCAUGGAACAGUUGAAGUACUUGGUUACGCCAAGAAAUCUUUUAUGUGCCAAUGAGCCAGUGGUAGAAGGUAAGGUCAUUGAUCAAAAAGUGUUCUCCCUAAACAAUCUUUGUUUCACCUUAUUAAACCCGAUUGAUUGCCAAACCGUGCAAGUCUUACAAUUCCAAAAGUCGCAUCUGACUAUUUUGUGAAGUUCAACAUGAGUUCAACCCCCGAAAAAAGAAAGAAAGAAAGAAAAAAAAGAAAAAAGAAAAAAAAGGAAGAUGGAAAAGAGCAGGGUGAUUCAACUAUGGAUAGCUCAGCUCAGCAUCCACACAUCCUCAUUAGGUUUUAUCGAGUCAGGUAAAUUAGAUUAACAAGUAAACUUGCAAGCACAUUCAUUCAAUAGGCAUCACAGAGUUGUAUUUACAAGGAUGAUACAUUCAGUUACAUGCUAUUUACAUUCCAAGUAAAUUUCAAUAGAGAUCCUGUGCAUCUUGUGAUGGACAUGGAAACAGAUUGAUGGAAUGCAUUACAUGAACAAACUUCAUCUAGAGCUACCUAGUGAUCUUCAAGAAAUUAGGUGCUGACUUAGGAGCAUUUUUACUUUAAUUGACUCGUGGCAUCGGAGUCUUAACGCAACCUCAAUGCGGAAGCAAAAGUAAUCCAGGAAAUCAUAAGGUUUCCUUUGUCUUCGCUCCCAUAUUCCUUCAAUUGUGGGUCCAUCAGGAUUUUGCAUAUUCCUUCAAUCAUGGGUCCAUGACGAUUUUGCACGAUCCCCAUGUCUCCGCCAUCAAUUCCACAAAAUAGUAGACCAAAUGGUCCGCAAGGCUGUUAUUAGUUACCAAUAUGUAGAAACACACUUUAAUACGUCAUCCGUAAAUAUUUCCGGUUAUAAAGGACUGGCAUUCUCUGGAACAAGCUGUUCUGUCACAUGACUUAUUGCACCUAGCAUGACAAAUCCGCAAAAUAAUUGCUUGUAACAGGUAGCUAUGACUGAGACUACCUCCUUACCUGCUGUGUUGAUAUGAUAGUUAUUUCAUUUUGCAUGUGUUGCUGAUUUGAUUUUUCAGUUAUUAGAGGUAGUGGAGUCAUGUGUGUUGGUUAUCCUAUUUUUUAGGUGUUAGUGGGGUAAGUGCUUUAUGCAGAACAUGGGUAGUUAUGGUGUGUUUUACGUUAUGUAUUUUGUCUUUUGUAAAAAAGACUUGGUUGUUCUGUACGUAAGAUGAAGUUUUCAGCCUCAUCUCUNNNNNNNNNNNNNNNNNNNNNNNNNNNNNNNNNNNNNNNNNNNNNNNNNNNNNNNNNNNNNNNNNNNNNNNNNNNNNNNNNNNNNNNNNNNNNNNNNNNNAUCCCUCCCUUAACUGAUGUUUGCUAACAUUCAACUUCAAGCCUUGAGAAGAGAUUUUGAGACACUAGCGAUGAAGGAUGGAGAAUCUGUCACUAGUUAUUGUGCCAAAACAAUGGAGAUCAGCAACAAGAUGCGAUUCCAUGGCGAGAAGAUGGACGACAUCACCAUUGUGGAGAAGAUUUUGCGUUCCUUGACGCCAAAGUUUAAUUGUGUUGUCUGCUCAAUUGAAGAGUCGAAAGACAUAGAUGCACUCUCUCUUGAUGAAUUGCAAAGCUCCUUAUUGGUCCAUGAACAGAAUAUGAACAGAAGUUCAACAGUAGAGGAGCAAGCGUUGAAGGCUUCUACCAAUACUCAUUCCAACAAUUUCAGAGGAAGGGGUAGAGGUAGAGGUAGAGGAAGGGGAGAUCGAGGAAAUAGAGAUGUUGGCAAGAAUUUCAAAGCCAAUAAUGAUCAAUUUCAAGGCAAAGGCCAAGGACGAGAUCCUAACAAAUCCAAGGUAGAGUGUUUUAGAUGUCAUAAAUUUGAUCAUUAUGCAUCUGAAUGUUAUACUAGGCUGCCUAAUAAUAAAAAAAAUGCAGAGAGUUCAAAUUUUGUUGAAGAAAAGGAAGCAGAAACGUUGUUGAUGGCUGUUCAAGAUGAAAAGGAGCGCGAGUCAGCUAUUUGAUAUGUGGAUACAGGCUGCAGUAACCACAUGAGUAGAAGUAAGUCUUCUUUUUCUCAUCUAAAUGAAGAUUUCCAUUCCAUUGUGAGUUUUGGGGAUCAUUCUACUGUGAAAGUGGUGGGAAAAAGGUGAUAUUAAGAUAAGAACCAAGAAUGGUUUUGUGGAAACAAUCUCUACUGUGUUGUAUGUUCCUGACUUGAAAAGUAAUCUGUUGAGUGCUGGCCAAUUACAAGAAAAAUGAUAUGUAAUCACCAUUGAGUAGGGUGCUUGUGAAAUUUAUGAUUCUGUUAGAGGUGCUAUUGCAGUUAUUCCUAUGAGUUCAAAUAGAUUGUUUCCAUUAAAGAUUAAAAAUAUUCAGUCUUGUUUGAUGGCUGAAAAGAAAGAUCCCUCAUGGCUGUGGCAUUUUCGCUAUGGUCACUUGAGUUUUGGUGGAUUGAAGACCCUUCAAUAGAAAAACAUGGUGACGGGUUUUCCUCAAAUUACUGUUCCUUCCCAAGUCUACGAAGAAUGUGUUGUUAGCAAACAGCAUCGUUCUCAAUUUUCAAAAGAAAAGUCAUGGAGAGCAAAAGAUGUUUUGCAGUUGGUGCAUUCGGACAUUUGCAGUCCUAUAAACCCAUCUUUUAAUGGAGGUAAAAGAUACUUAAUUACCUUCAUUGAUGAUUUUUCCAGAAAAACUUGGGUUUAUUUUUUACAGGAAAAAUCAGAAGCUUUCUCCACAUUUAAAAGCUUCAAAGCUCGUGUUGAAAAUGAAGCAGGAAAGACCAUUAAGACUUUUCGAACAUAUCGUGGUGGUGAAUAUUGCUCAAAAGAAUUUGAAGUUUUUUGUGCAAAGCAUGGCAUUCGAAGAGAGCUUACUACUGCAUAUACACCACAGUAGAAUGGUGUAUCUGAUAGGAAAAAUAGAACCAUUCUCAACAUAGUAAGAAGCUUAUUGGCAAGAGAAAGAGUUCCAAAGACUUUCUGGCCAGAAGCAAUAAAUUUGAGUAUUCAUGUUUUGAACAGAAGUCCGACUUUUGCUGUUCAGAAUAUGACACCUGAAGAGGCUUGGAGUGGGAGAAGACCGGCUGUAGAUCACUUCAGAAUUUUUGGAUGCAUCGAAUAUGCCCAUGUCCCGGAUGUGAAAAGGAAGAAACUUGAUGACAAGGCUGAAAAAUGUGUCUUUCUUGGUGUAAGUGAAGCAUCCAAAGCAUAUAAAUUAUUCAAUCCACUAACAAAGAAGAUUGUGAAUAGCAGGGAUGUUAUUUUUGAUGAAUAGAACACUUGGGAUUGGAAUAGGCAGCAGCCUACCCAAGUUCUUUAUGACAAUGAUGCUGACCAAGAGCAAAUUUCAGCACCUUGUAUGCCCCAAAAUUCAUCAAAUACGACUUCUACAGCUAUUGGAAUUUCACCAACAGGCGCUGAAGUCAAUGAAGAAGAAGCCCAAUCUCUUCGCUGCGUUAGAAGAAAGCCUGCUUGGAUGGAAGAUUAUGAGGUAACUGGAAUUGGAGAUUCAAUUACUCACUUUGCCUUGUUUUCAGACUAUGACCCUAUAACUUUUGAGAAUGCUGUCAAAGAAGAAAAAUGACGAAAAAUGAUGGAUGAUGAAAUUAAUUCCAUCGAAAGAAAUGAUACUUGGGAGCUAUCCGAUCUUCCGGAUGGACAAAAAACCAUUGGUGUAAAGUGGGUCUUUAAAACAAAACUAAAAGAAAAUGGUGAAGUUGACAAAUAAAAAGCACGUUUGGUAGCCAAGGGAUACAAGCAGCAAUAUGGGAUCGACUAUACAGAGGUUCUUUCUCCAGUUGCAAGACAUGACACGAUCAGAUUGGUGGUUGCAUUGGCGGCACAAAAUUCUUGACCUAUAUUCCAACUAGAUGUCAAAUCGGCAUUCUUGCAUGGGUACUUGGAAGAACAGGUAUUUGUCGAGCAACCCCCUGGUUAUGUCAAGAUUGGAAAUGAGCAUAAAGUUUAUAGAUUGAAGAAAGCUCUUUAUGGGCUAAAACAAGCCCCUCGGGCUUGGUAUAGUUGCAUUGAAACUUAUUUUCUUAAAGUUGGUUUUUCAAAAUGUCCUUAUGAGCAUACGCUUUUUGUCAAGAUUGGAGAUAAAGGGAAAAUGCUUAUUGUCUGCUUGUAUGUUGGCGAUCUUAUAUUUACUGGAAGUUGUGAUGACAUGUUUGAAGAAUUCAAGAAAUCUAUGAUGGAUGAGUUUGAAAUGUCUGAUCUUGGUAUGAUGCAUUACUUCAUUGGCAUAGAAGUAGUACAAUCAGAUGAUGGGAUCUUUAUUUCUCAAAAGAAAUAUGUGGGAGAAAUUUUGGAUAGGUUUCAAAUGAAGGAUUGUAAUCUUGUAAACACUCCAGUUGAGUUUGGCUUAAAGUUAUACAAAGAUCAUGAAGGGAGGAAGGUUGACAGCACACUAUAAACAAAUUGUGGGCAGUUUGAUGUAUUUAACUGCAACAAGACCAGACAUAAUGUAUUAUGUGAGUUUAAUCGGUAGAUAUAUGGAGAAUCCUACACAAAUGCAUUUGUUAGCUGCAAAGAGAAUCCUUCGUUACUUGCAAGGAACAAGAGACUUUGGGCUAUUUUACAAGAAUGGUGAAAAGUCCAAUUUGUUGGGAUUUACUGAUAGUGACUAUGUAGGAGAUCAAGAUGAUAGGAGGAGCACUUUGGGUUAUGCUUUUAUGUUUGGAACAUGUGCUAUUUCAUGGUCAUCCAAAAAGCAACCAAUUGUCACAUUGUCAAGUACAUAAGCUAAAUUUAUUGCUGUAACAGCUAGUGCUUGUCAAGCUAUUUGGCUAAGGAGAAUUCUUGAGGAGCUACAAUUCAAGCAACCUUGACCUACUAAAAAAUUUUGUGACAAUAACUCAGCAAUAAAACUCUCCAAGAAUCCGAUGUUACAUGGAAGAAGCAAGCACAUUGAUGUGAAGUUUUAUUUUUUGAGAGAUCUUAGCAAUGAUGGAACAAUUGAUCUAAUCUACUGCAGGAGUGAAGAUCAAGUUGCUGAUAUAUUCACCAAGGCCCUCAAGAUGGAGUCAUUUGUGAAGCUCAGAAGGUUACUAGAUGUUUGCACGGUGAAAAAAGUCAAGGCUUUAAACUAAAUGUUAGCAAACAUCAGUUUAAGGGAGGGAUUGUUGAUAUGAUAGUUAUUUCCUUUUGCACGUGUUGCUAAUUUGGUUUUUCAAUUAUUAGAGUUAGUGGAGUCAUGUGUGUUGGUUAUCCUAUUUUUUAAGUGUUAGUGGGGCAAGUGCUUUAUGCAGAAUAUGGAUAGUUAUGGUGUGUUUUACAUUAUGUAUUUUGUCUUUUGUAAAAAGACUUGGUUAUUCUGUAUGUAAGAUGAAGUUUUCAGCCUCAUCUCUCUUCUUUUUAGCAAUUUAACAUGCUACACGUUGGAUCUUCUCCAGAGCCAUCAUAAACUUUCUCAACCAAAUAAACCAGACUAUCGAAUCCAAUAUCAUAUAGCCAUACCUACAAAAAAAAAAAAAUAGGAUUCCAAUUACAUGUGAACACUGACAUAGAAAAGAGCAAGAUUAUCUCACGUCAAUAUGCUUAUUUGUGGCUGUCAUUGAGCUAGUUGCCAAUAAUAGAGGCAUUAGUAGACAUACAUUAUUUAACCUGAGAGAGAGAGAGAGAGAGAGAGAGAGAGAGAGAGAGAGAGAGAGAGAGAGAGAGAGAGAGAGAGAGAGAGAGAGAGAGAGAGAGAGAGAGAGAGAGAGAGAGAUUAUUAUGCAUCUUAAAUUUUGGAAUUGAUAUGGGAAACUCAUGAUAGCUUUAUGGGAAUGAGAAGGGCUCCUUAUAUAUCAUCAAAAAGGUCAUAAGUACUAUGAACUGCCCUGCUUUGUUAAGAAGAUAAAAUAGACAAAACUAUUAAAAGUUAUACGCUAAAUAAAGUGAGUAUGAACAUUGUUGGAAAAAAAUAAGACUUCUCCAGUUAGAUAGCUUGAAAUAAAUGCAAAGCAAAUGUCAAAUGCAGUCAACGACAAUUCCCCAAAAUCAUCUGAUAUUCUAUGGGAACUGAGAAUGGUACAAAGGCAAAUGAGGCACAAUAUCGAGUCCAUUAGCUAUAUGUUAUUGUAUUUGGCAUGCUGUAGUAAGACACAAACAUUGCAUUGCCAACAUGAGGUCGUCCAAAUGUCAAAGUAAAUCAAGAGAGUGCUGAUCUGGAAAAAACAGCUUCAGCACACACAAUUAGAUAGCCGAAUAACUUGAAUGUUAACACUUUCGCGAGGGGGAAAAUUACUGUGCAUCAAUAACCAUAUAUUGCAUUUCACAUACGAAGGUGAACAAUAGAACAGCCCUUAUCUCCAUGAUGAUUGGAGGUAUUGCGUUACUCUGUCUAGACCCCAUCCAUAAUUUUCCCAAAACCAAACCCCACAGCCACAACAAAACCAAACACACCCCCCCCCUUUUUUUCACCCCCCAAGAAAAGGUGUCCAUAAUAUCGAAUAGUGGGUUGGGGGUAAAUUUACAACCAAGGGGCAUUUAAAUGCUCCUACAAGAAGCACUUGGAUGCUGGAAGGGUCAGUCACAUCUUGUUAAUGACACAAACAAAACAUUUCAAGUUCAUAGUUAAAUUGCCCCUUGAACCCCAAAACUUACAGUCAUUAAUAGCGAAGGAGAACUAAAUCUUAAAAAGGGCUACGGUGUAAACAAAACAUUCCAGGCUCAUGGUGAAAUUGCCCCUUGAACCCCAAAACUACGGUCAUUUAUAGCAAAGGAGAAACUAGAUCUUAAAAAGGGCCAUGACGCAUGGGCAUGAUGGCUCAGAACAAUUUUCCACCAGAAAUUGGCAAAUAAAAAUGACAUUUUAAAUCAUCCAAGUAUUCGGACAAUAUGUUACCAUUGCUACUAAUAAUUCAAGAAAAUGUUUAGUCUAAAGUUCACACAACCUAUGAUCGGCCACGUGAACGUCUGUAUAAUCUGAAGAUGAAGUUUGACCCUCAAAAAUCACAACUUGUCGUGGAGAAGAGAAUUAAUGGGACAUGACUUUGGGGUGGAUACCAUUUCUGGCACCAGUUCCGCAACGGGUGCCUCGAAAACUCUGGACCACUCUGCCCAAUAAAGCUGAGACAAAAAGCAAAAUUUAGAUAGAAUUGGCUCCAGCCUAUAACAUAUCUAGUCCUGUAGUCCAAUUGAAAAGGAGCUGCUUCUUUUGGUUAGAGAGAGACAGACAGAAACAACGCACUGAACACAGAUUUAGGAUCAACAUGUUCAAAUUUAAAAUGCAUUAGUACUUCAAGAUUACAUGACAUAGAAUUUGAGCUUCAAGUGCUUGCAAAAGUUUUAUGUCGAACAUAUCAAUAAUGCUGUUAAGUUUCCAUCAAGUAAACUUUGUAAUGAUUAGUUGGAAGUCUUUAUCUACUAUAUUUAGGUAUUCCUCCAACUUCAAGCUCCAUAGCUUAACACGUAAGACUCAAUUCACACAACCAAAUACAUCGACCAUAGGUGGUUAAGGUAAAGGUUUGCAACCCAUUCUGCUUGUGAUUUGUCUACUGGUUGAUUUGCCAAAAAAGAAGAAAAAGAGAAAAAAAAAAUAAGAUGCUGACCAAUCGUAAAUUUAAAUAUGAAGCCAUAGAAUGUUCAAGAUAUCCAAAGUCUAGACUCUUCAAGGCAGAGUUGGCAGAAAUUGCCAGGUAACUCUUAACAAACCAAAAUUGAAAUAAAUGGAAGAACACAAUAGAGAAAAACCAAUAUCUGAACCAUGACAAUCUUUUGACUAUCUUACCACAAGAUCAAGUCCCCAAAAGGAUGCCAUAGCCCCUCCCAUAGAAUGCCUCGUCACCAUGACAUUGAUGUCUCCAUAUAGAUCCUUGGCUCUUUUAAUAGCAUCCGUAGUACUAGGUUGCAUUGUCGCAAUGUGAUAAGCAUAAUAAAUCCAUGAUGAACCUAAGCAAAGAUGAUAGGAUAAGACUGUAACUCAUUCCAAAUUAGAAGUGUCCACAAGUUACAAGAGGCUUAUUGUCUCUAGAACUCCCCAUGGCACCAGGCAUGCCAGGGUAGUUUAUGUCAAGCUAUUUCCAGCGGAGACCUUCAACCCAAUUCUAUAUGUUUAGAAAUAAAUAGAAGUAAUCACUAACUAAAAAGCUCAAACAAAUUUUCCAAGAACAAAAUUAGUGAAGUACGUGAUCUCAUGACUCUAUCUAAAAUUACAAGCACAUAACUUCCGUGUCUCAGUGACAAUGAUUCAUCGUUUUCCCUUCUUAUGGACAAGAGACCCGUGUUCUUUGCGCACGAAGUCAUUGUAGGCUACUCUUCUUGCCUUAAAUUUUCAGCAAAUCCUUCACAUGUCAAAUCUUUAUGAAGAAACUUACAGCAGAUGCAUACUCCACCACCAUCGUUGCAAGAGUGUGACUGUAAUAGCUUUAUGAGCAUUGGAGCUCACUCUAACUUCGGGAUUUACCGAUUGAGAAAAUUUCAGAUUGAAAAUGCAGUCACAAGCUCAUUCAAUUACAAGCAAUGAAGCAAGUCUCUUAUGUCUCUAGCAAGCUAUUUCAACAAAUCAAGUGAGCAGAACACUUUAAGGAAACAUCAACUCAAAAUAAUAUUUCAGUAUAUUUCUGUCGUCCUUGUCCGUGAACUUAAAGAACUAUAUUUUCAAUGCAAUGCGAUAAUAGGGGAAUAAGUAAACAACAAGAUGCCCAUCUUUCCCAGAAAGCUACUCCACUGAACAAAAAAGGGUGAGAUCUAUAUCGAACAAAUAUAAGAAAAUUGGAUCAACAACUUCCUCCAACCCUGAAAUGCCUAAUCAGCCAAAUUCACUAACAAAUCUCACUUCCCCAAGCUCAAAAUCGAUGUACUCAACACUAGAGGUUGUCUAUUCGCACCUUAUCACAAUCAGAAACUCCCAAUUAGAAUUGAGCCAAAGGAUCACAGUAGAAACUGAUGCAUGAACACGAAUUGCAAUUGACCUCUCGCCCUACUUGCGGCGAUCAAGCACGUCAGAACCGUCACUCUCCAAUCACGACCCGUUCCGCUCCAUAUUCUACAAGAUAAACGGAUCGAAUGGCGUCAUCGAGAAAACUACGGCGCGAUCGAGCAGCAAGAUAGAGAGAUCGACCGCGGAUCUUUGUCCGUAUUGCUCCAAUUCCGGUCUCACAAGUUCGUGGAUUUCAUGGCGAUUGAAAGCUACUGUGACUUGGGGCAAAGGAAGGAGAGGAAGAUGAAUUUACGAAUUUUCCUGUUUUAUCUCGGCGUCUUCUUCUUUCGGCGGUCACAUUCGGUGAUUUCGGUGUUUGCGUGGGGGCACUGAAGUAAGUUCCGCUAGAAUUUCAAAUUCGGGUUCUCUCUCUUGGAGCUCCCCUAUGAUGUCUCCACAUUAGCACUUUGACUCGAGCUUAGUUUUUCUUCUUUUUUUUGGUCCGUCUCUCGAGCUUAGUUUAAUUAGCCGAGUCCGAACUAGGAUUCUGAAAUUCGAACAGAAAAAAAAAAAAAAAAAACACAACAACAAACCAGGAUUCUCAAAAAGCACCAAAAUUAAAGGUUAAUUAAUAUCCUUUAUCUGUUUAAUUUAUAUUUUUUUAGGUAUAUAAAAAUGCACCCUCCACUAUGGUGGAAAGUUUUUUGAGUCAUAUUUUUGAAUUCAAACUCAAAUCGAUCUAAUAACUUAAGUUAUUUAAACUUCAAAAGAAUGUAACCGAACUUGAGUGACUAAUGAGUUGAGCUUAACUGCAAAUUAUGAAAUCUACUUCUCUCGGGCUAGUAAGAGAGUUUAAAAAGAUGACUUGCUAUUAUGUAUAGAUUCUUGAGUGCUCUCUAAAUACUUAUGUUGAACUGGAUGCAAUAUUUUCUUUUCCUUUUUAGUUAAACGUACUUAUAGUAUUUUGAGUCAAGUCAAUUUGUCUAAAACUUCCGGACUAUUUAUAAUGUGAAUGUGUUUCGAACUUAUAACCUUGUAGAAACUUAUAGCCUUCUUGAAACUUGUGGCAUUAUCUUGUUAGGAAUGCAGUUUGUUGAAGAGAAAAUUAAAAAAAGAAAAAGAAAAAAAAUGACAAGCAAAGUUUUCCUUUGGAAUCAGAAAGAAAGAAAAAUUACAAUGUUGCACUAUAUAAUUCUUACACUAUCAAUAUUAGUUUAACAUGAGAAUUACAUGUACACCAUUAGCAAUAAAAAGCCUCUAUGCUUUAAUGGCACUUUCUUCUGUUACACUCCAUAACUCUAUAAUUAUCUUCCCAUAAUUUCUCUAAUUGAAUACGUUAGCAAUACGAUCGUCAACAUUGAAUCUACAUGUAAAUGAAUGAGGAAUAGAAAAAAAGGUCCGCGAAUGUUGAGAACAAAAAUCAUUGGGCUUUUUCAUUGGCUAUGUGCAAAGUAAAUAGAGUUUAUGAUCUUAGACUACAAAAAUCAUGAUACAUUUUUAAAGAACAAAGAGCAUGAAUGAUUUUUUUGAUAAAUAUAAAAUAAGAACCCAAAUGUAUGGCAGGCGCCAUGUUCGGUGGCUCUCAUGAAUUUAUAUCUAUAGUGGAAUAUUUAAAAAGGUACAAAGAUAGAACAACUUUAUACAAGACUUAAUUUUUCUUACCAAGCUCAUGCACUACUCAUUCACUUUAAAGAAAUGAAAAAAAAAUAUGAACACGAAAGAUUCCAACUCACCCCUAACUGAUUAAAGAAUUACAGUGUUUUUCAUGAAUUGUUAUGUUAUGAGCAUAUUUCUAACCAGUUAGUAUCUUAAGUGCUUAUUGCAUCAUGUGAAAAGAUUUUUUACAUUUUUAGCACGUCCAUGAAGUUACAAUGUCAAAUUUAUAUACUUACGAGUGGAUCGAUUAAUAAUAACUCAAAUCAAAUAUUUUGUGAUGGAUGCCUGCUCUCUUUAUUUAUUGAAACAAAAAUUCACAACCCAUCAUGACUCGGGCGGCGAGGCCAAGACGAUCAACCUCAACUCGAGCCGGGGAUCCAUCUGGCCGUGAGCCAGGCGGUGGCUUCAAUUCCCACGGAGGGGAACGAAAGUACACUUCCUACAUUUCCCCCGCACCGCCUGGCGGGAAAUUUUCGCACCACUGACAUAAAACCAAAAUCGAAAAAAGCAAAAAAGGAAAAUUAAAACCAACACAAAAACGAAAACGGAAAGCGAAAAACAAUUCAAAACAGAAAAUACGCAAAGCGCGACCCCUCCUCCCCUGCUUCCUCCCAGAUCCGGACAUCCGUUCAGAUGAAAACGAAACGGCUACGAUCCUUUCACAAUCCCACUCCCACUUUCUCUCUCUCUCUCUCUCUCUCUCUCUCUCUCUAGAGCAAGCACCGACGACCUCGAUGGACCGAUCGAUCGGCCGGUCGCCGCCGUAACAGGCUUUCAGCAUCGCCGUGGUGAAACUCUUGGAGCAGCGGGCGUGGCCCGACGGCUCCGAGGAGCGGCGGCAGCAGCUCAAUGAGCCCGGUCGAUGACGAGGAGCUCGAGGCCCAUCGGACCGCCCCGCCCGAAGAGGAUGACGCUGCCGCGGCCUGUGGUGCUCGACGAGAAUGUCGGGGCCGAAGAGGACGACGAUGAGGUUCGACGUUCGCCUGCGCCGUUCUUGCUGGAUUAGUAGAAUUCUGCAAUUUCACUGCAAUCCAUGACAAAUCUCUUGGAAUACUCCGUGAGGAAACCCCAAAAGUGUCUGGAUCAUAACAAAUGGCUUCAAAACUUUUCCAUAGGAAGAAGGAUGUCAAUAGCACGAGUAAACCGAUAAAUUGAGAGCUGCAAUGCAGACAAGAUGAUAAUAAUAAAGAACAAGUUGAUUUUAUUCAUAUAAGAGUAUUUUUCGCAUGGUUAACAGUUAAGUGCUUUAAUGGUGUACUACGUGAUGAUAAUAACAUCCUUUUCAGAAUAAACAGCUUGGAAGCAGGAUGAUCGGCAUGAAAACAGUAUUGGCCGUACCGGGUUGCAAUGGCAAGUAGUUCUUUUUCAAGAGCUUCAUGACUUCCUGCACGAGUGUAGCAUCUUCUAUUUAGCAUAAAGCUGCAUUUUGAUACCCCAAGUUAACAGAAGAAAUGUGCAAAUAAACCAAAACGAAAGAAAAUCACUUGAUAUAAUAUCAUAGAUGUUAUGCUUCCACAAUGCCUUCUUACCUACAAUUUUGUCAGCCCUUGGUUUCUAUCGUCAAGGACUAAGUGCGCCGCGGUAAUUUAGAUGCAUAGGCAAAAUAAGGAUAAGAGAUAUAAAUGUUGAUUAUAUUAUGUACUUCCAGCAACAAAUUAAUUGAUGUAAUCUCCUGACCAAAGACACACUAUGAAAAUGCAGUUUGAUUGAGAAUCAGCUCGAAUGAAUAACCAAUGAAGCUAUCGUUUGUAAAAACAUGUUUUGCCCAAAGUAAACGCUCGUUGUUAAGCUUCAGUAAUGAAAUAACUAACUUCAAGUAGAGAUGUCAUUCAAGAAAUCAGAGGCUCGUUGAGCUAGCAAUUCGUCAAAAGAUCAAUUGACAAAGUAUGACACAUAUUAGGUUGAAUCGAGCUUAACAGUGCCCUAGUUAUAAAUGAGAUAACAAGUUAGUACAUGAAAAAUAAAGACGUAACCAAUUUAGACACAUCGAAGCAUGUCGAGCAAGUUAAUGUGUUAUUUCCACGGGACACGUUCAUACACAUUUAAAAAUAUUAUAUAUACUUUGAAUAAAAUGUGGUUUCAUAAAAUUAUAUAUGAAAAACCCUUUCUUGAGCAUGUUACAUGUGUCAUGUUACUACUUCAUCCAUGUUGCAAUUAAAAACUUCCAUGAAUUCAAAGAUUCGACAAUCUCUGUAGUGAAAAAAAGAAAGGUUGAUUAUCAACCGUUAAAAGAUCAGAACUUUUCUUCUCAAAAGGAGCAAGAAGUCAACUGACAGAUUUGCAUAGGUUCUACAAGACAUCAAAGAGAAGCGUAAUAUCCUCUGUUCUUGCAAUUUUCAAUCACGCACCGCGUCCAUGCAUUUGGAGCCAUUGUUCUUUAGGUAUCGAUGGAUUCAAGAAUUUCGCAAUACAUCUCCUUCAUGAUUUCUGCAUAAUAUUAUAAGAAUUAAAUAUCAAAGAAUAACACAAUUCGUCAAGAGAGCUCACCUCACAGUUUAUUGAAGAAAGCAAAAAACCGGUGGGUUCCUCCUUUUCAGCACUAGCUCCAGAACAACAUGGUAAACUUGACAUUAUUGAAUAAGGGGCUGCAGGCAAUCUAUUGCCAUGAACUGGCCCAGUGAAUUUCAACAUCAUAUCAAAACCUUUUACUGCCAUCGAAAAUGCAACUCCGUUUUGCAUCAACAAGGACAAUAAAUAAUUCAACCCAGAAUUGACAUUUAAGAACAUGAAGCAUUCAACUAGAAGAAACAAUUCAACGUGAUUAAUUUUCUAUUACAGAAUCAUGUCUCCAGCAUCAAAUUUAUACAAAGCAAACACAAUGAAAACAAUAAAAAGAUACAUCUCUAUAUUCACAAGCACAAUCCCUGACAGCAUGAUCAUUUUUUAUCUAUAUAUACUCCAUGCUUCAACUUCCCUGCACCAGCUACACAUCCCUCAAAUGAGUUACUCUGACUUCUUCAUCGAUCAUCAAAUUCCUUUUACCCCCAUGUCUGGACAUCAAACUCAACCUAAAAAAGGCCCCCACUAACAAAGAACCAUCACUCUGGCAUCUACAAUCCAUGUUGAAAUUCCCUCGUGGCAAAAAAGAAAAUCCUAAUAGACAACAAGCAUGCUAUCUGCGAAAUCGAGGGACUGAGCAGUAGAGGAGAAGGAGCUGUGAUUUUGACAUGCUUUGACACCAAUUUGAGCACAUUCGGUGACUUGGUGAUCAUACGGAGUGAUGAAUCCGGCUGAGCUGAGAUGAAUGGGAGGCUUGAAAAUGCGGUAGAGUCUGCAAGCUCUCGAGGCAGCGUGCAUGGCUUUGACGCGAUUGAAUCACAGGUUGACGAGUUCUCAUGCCUGAAGGCUGUGUAAAGACUUUGCAGUCCGACAUCUGUAUUGUAAUUGUAAACUUAGACGUUACUAGGUGAUUUUCUAGUGAAGUAGAAGCAAUUCCACAGAUAGUUAACAGAACUAUGUCUACGUGCAGGAGGCUGUGGUUCAUUCUGUAUGUGAAUUUAUUAGAAGGCAACUAAAUUGAAGGAUUGGGACCGGAUCGAAUUCUUUUCUACCAUGAACAUAAGGAAUCUCAGGAUGUGCUAUCAAUCUACUGUCUAGUUUAUUUCUCAGCACCUAAUUUGUUAAACAGAAUUAUAUGUUGGAUAUUUUGAUUCGCUCAUAGCGUAAUUCAAUUAAUGGAAUCAAAUCAUACAGACAGUCCCAACUCAGAAUUCAAUCUCAAAUCAGUCACCUUGUUAAUGAAUGUGGUCAUCUCGUGAGGUAAUUGAAUCAUAACAAUGAAUCUCAUAAAAGAUGCGAUCUUUUUCAACAGAAUGAGACAAAAAAAAGUUUGCACACAAGAGUCGAAGGAGAUUCCAGGCAACCCGUGGCUUACACUAGUUCAUCAAUUGAUAGAAAUUUAAGUACAGAUUACUCCCCAACACAGUCCAAAACCGUGUUAGCUAAGUACAUGGAAAAAGGGAUUCAAAGUCGGAGACGGGCGCAUCUCCCUCUUAGGGUUUUUUCUCUCGCUGAAGGUGAGUCUUCCUCUACCCCAUCAGGUGGUAGAUUCCCUGUUCUUUUUCCAGAUUGAAGGUAGCUUUCGUGCGAAUAUGGCCAUUUACACAGUUUUUCCACCUGACUAAUCGAAUCCCAUCUCCUCUCGUUGAACCCAAUAAUGAAGAAAUUGGGUCCCGAAACCCUAAUAUGGCUCUCCCCAUUUCCUCUCGUUUGAAUCCAAAUAAUGAAGAAAUUGGGUCCCGAAACCCUAAUAUGGUUGUCCCCAUAAUUUUAGAAUGAUUUACAGAGCUCCCUUCACUCCCCACUCAAUCCAUAUUCCCAACAAAAUCCCUCACUAUUCCCGACUACCCAACCCUGGAUUCACAUAGUUUCUCUAGCAUUUCGGCAAGAAGAUCUUCCGUCAUGGAGGGUAACCACGAAAAUCACCUCCGCUUGUUGACGCUCUGCAAACGGAUGGGGGAUCUAUGGACUACGGAUGAAAUCACGGAGCUGGACAUCAACAUUCCUGAGGUACAAAACCAGACUGAUGAGUAUUUGUUGUAUGGGCAACUAUUUUCAAAACCUAAUGUAAACUUUCCGACAUUCUGGGCUACAAUGCAAAAGGCGUGGAAAGUAGAUAAGGUUAAAUGUGAGGUGAUGGAACCGGGUCGCUUUGUCUUUAUAUUCAAAUCAGAGGCAGAGCAGAAACGAGUUUUACAGACAGGCCCAUGGUCAUUUGCCAGUAAUUUACUAGUUUUACAAGAAGGGGAUCCUACCAUUCCCAAGCAUUGUUAUGAAUUCACACAUUGUUCCUUUUGGGUUCACCUUGUGGGGCUUCCUCGUGUUGUUCUGUUGGAGGAGUGUAUUCGGCUGAUUGUUAGAAAAAUGGGGGAGAUAGAGGAAGUUAGAAUUGAAGCUCGAAACAACAGUUCGUGCAAGAUAGGGAAAGUAAGAGUGAAAUUGAAUCUGCUUUGCCCACUAAAAACUGGAACUAUUAUUCAUGUGGGAGAUCGAAACUGGUGGAUUGAUUUCAAGUAUGAAAGACUGCCACAUUUUUGCUAUUCCUGCAGUUAUAUAGGUCAUUAUGCAAACUAUUGUCCGACUUAUCCAUAUGAAGAAUCAGGCCUUCCUCAGGAUAAACCAGGUCGUUAUGGGUCUUGGUUGAAAGCAGAGGUGAAAAAUCUAAGCCCUUGCUGGAAUACUUUCUAUGGAGAGAUCGAUUUUACCUUAGAAGCAGAUGAUAUGGUCCCUAAGACUCCUAUUAUACCAUAAAGGGAUGAUUCGAACAGCAACUCUUCUAUAGAUGGUAGUCAAGCCAUAGUGAUUUAUAACCCUACAACACAGCCAACACAAGAAAUAUCAGCAUCAGAAGUACUGAUUGCUAAAAAAAAAGGCAAGAGAAUAGAACAAUCUCCGGAACAGCAAGGAGAAUCCAAAUUUCAUGAUGUAGGGAUGGGGAUACAGGUUAUAGCACAGACUGGUCCAAAGAAACAAACUCCUAAAAAGUUAAAACGCUUUUCGCCUUAUGAGAAAAAGGCUUCUCUGACAUCUCUUGUUGAUAUGCACAACCUCUUGGAUACACCAAUUCAGAUGUGGGAAGGUAGUACAGCAAGGGCUUUGGUGGCUAGCCCUAAUAAGUCACCAAGAAAGCCAUGAAGGUGUUAAGCUAGAAUUGUCAAGGUUUAGACUCUCCCUUGACAGUCCAGCACUUAAGAGCCCUAAUGGCUCGAGAGAGGCCUAAUCUAGUUGUCCUUAUGGAAACAAAGAAUCAAUAUAAGAUGGUGGAGAAUAUCAAAAGAAGACGUAAAUUUUCCUCUAUGUUUGCUAUUGAUCCAAUUGGAUUAGCAGGAGGUUUGGCUUAUUAUGGGAUGAAUCAGUGUAGGUUACUAUAGAAUAUAGCUGUCAGGAGGUGAUUGAACUCUCAUGUAGAGAUGCUGGAACUGGAUUUCAAAUGAAGAUCUCUUUCCUUCAUGCGCCAACUAAUUUCCAAAAGAGAGUUUCGCUUUGGAACCUACUUCGAGCCAGAAAUGGCACUACAACAUUACCUUGGCUAUGUAUCAGGGAUUUUAAUGAAGUAUUAUAUCAUUGGGAGAAAGUGGGUCGCCAAGUAGUGGAAAGAUUUAGAAUGACAGCUUUUUCAGGAAUUUAUUGAUACAUGUUCUUUAAUAGACAUUGAGAGCAAGGGAUGUGCUUUUACGUGGACAAAUAGAAGGGAAGGAGAUGAAUUAGUUAAAAAAACGCCUUGACAGAGCACUGUGUAAUCUAGAAUGGAGGCUUCUUUUUCCUAAUGCUAAAGCGUUUGUAUAUCCAACCAUUGGGUCUGAUCAUGGCCCUCUACUUCUAUGUCUAGAUCCAGUCGAACUAAGGAAACAUAAAUUAUUCAGAUUUGAGGCUUUCUGGUUGGAUAACCUUGAAUGUGAAGCUGUAGUAGCCAAGGCUUGAAAGACAGAAACUAGUAUCAGGCAACUAUGGUUAGGAAGACAAAAAAGGUUGCUCGGGAUUUAAGACAAUGGAGUCUAAAAUCUUUCCGGAAUGCAUCAAAACAGAUAGACUAUCUCAAAAACCAGCUCACUCAAAUUAUGAACAAGGCAGACAAAUCAAAUACGGGAAAGGAAUAUUCUACCAUAGUUGAGAAAAUGGGUACUCUUUGGCGUCAGGAAGAAAUGUAUUGGGGUAUUAGAUCCAGAGUUAAUUGGUUACAAUGGGGUGAUUGGAACAUCAAAUUUUUCCAUGCCAUGACUAUUUAGCGGAGACAAAGAAAUAGAAUUACAAUGCUAAGGCUUGAGGAGAAUGCUUAGAGUCGGGAUCCUCAGAUAAUCAGACAGCAUAUCACAGAGUAUUAUAAAAAUCUAUAUACAUCCGUGGGGUCCCGAUUCUAUCAGCCGGUUCUAGAGCAGUGUCCAAUGGUUGUUUCUGAAGAAAAUAAUGAGAAUUUAACAAAACAAAUCACUAUGGAGGAAGUUCAACAUGCUGUUUUUCAAAUGGGAGCAGCUGAAGCCCCUGGACCUGAUGGUUUGAGUGGUCUUUUUUAUCAAAGUCAGUGGCAUAUUAUCAAAGAGGAUGUAUUUACAAUGGUGGAAUCUUUCUUUAAUGAAGAAGCCUUUGAUCCUGACUUGAACGAGACCCAUACCACACUAAUUCCUAAGGUAGCGAAUCCCGAAAGUAGAACUGAAUUCCGACCCAUUAGUCUGUGUAAUUUCAGCUAUAAAAUUAUUACAAAGGUCAUGGCGAAUCGACUUAGACCUUGGCUCCCACUUCUUAUCUCACCAGAACAGAGUGCAUUUGUUGGAGGUCGGCAAAUACAAGACAAUAUAUUUAUUGUUCAAGAAGUUUAUUGUUCAAGAAGUUCUCCAUCAGCUAAGGGUUAAGAAGAGAAGGCGCAUAUUCCAAGCGAUUUUGAAGUUGGAUAUGCAAAAAUUGUAUGAUAGAGUUGAGUGGGAUUUUCUAUGUGAUUGCAUGAAAAGGAUGGGAUUUAAUGAUAAAUGGGUGAACCUGGUCAGAUUUUGUAUCUCUUCAACAAAGUUUCGUGUCCUUAUUAAUGGAGAACCUAGCGGAGUCCAAUCCAACAAGAGGUAUAAGACAAGGUGACCCUCUCUCACCUUAUCUUUUCAUUUUAAUGGCCAAUGUCUUAUCCCACAUGGUGAAUAAUGCUGUAAUGGAUGGAAGUUUAAAGGGAAUCAAACUAAAUCCUCACUAUCCUAUCCUAUCCCACCUUUUCUUUGCAGAUGAUGUUAUUUUCUUCUUGGAUGGCACAAUUAGAGAAGCUCAGAACCUAGCCAACUUACUGAAUUGUUAUUGUUUUGCUUCUGGCCAGUCAGUUAACCUCAAUAAAUCCGGUGUCCUUUUCGGGGCAAGCUGCCAACAGGAGUUAAAAAGCAAUAUUGCAUAUGAAUUGAGGGUUCCUAUAUUGGACAAAACUAGCAAAUAUUUAGGGAUACCAUCUGAUUGGGGCCAAACUAAGAAACAGAUGUUUGAUUGGAUUACAGCAAGGGUUGACAAAAAACUAGAGGGCUGGAAAGAGCAAUUAGUGUCGAAGGCGGGAAAAGAGGUGCUGAUUAAGAUGGUAGUCCAGGCGUUACCACAAUAUGCCAUGAAUAUUUUUAAAAUACCUAUCUCUAUAUGCAGAGCAAUUGAGAGGAAAAUUUUAGCCUUUUGGUGGAAGCAACAUGCAAAACAAAGAGGGAUCCAUUGGAAGAGUUGGGAAUUCUUGAAGCUAAGAAAGGAACAAGGAGGAAUGGGAUUCAAAGAUUUGGUUGAAUUUAACAAGGCUAUGCUGGGGAAACAAACCUGGAGAUUAAGUUAAGCUCCAGAAGCCUUAUGGAGCAAAAUCUUUAAAGGCCUCUAUUUCCCUAAUGGUAACCUAUGGACUGCCACAAGGGGAGCUAAAUCAUCAUGGGGUUGGCAAAGUCUCCUUAUAGGUCGAGAUGCCUUAGAAGCUGAUAUGAAAUGGGAGGUAGGGGAUGGCAAAUCUAUCAAUCUAAAGGAAGAUCGUUGGCUAUUGUCCGGAAAGAUUGGAGGACUAGCGAAUCAAAAUGAUACUAAGCUGGUUGCAGAUAUUAUCGAUCCUACUGCGCGUGCAUGGAAUACUCAGCUCAUAAAUGAUAUUUUUGAUAGAAAUAUUUCAGAGGAAAUUCAAGCAACCCACCUCAGCAUUAUCCCCAGACCCGACCAUCUAGUCUGGACAAGGCACAUCUCAGGACGGUAUCAAAUCAAAAAUGGGUAACAUAAAUUACGAGAAACUAAUGCAAUCACCACAGCAAAUCAGGCAUCCUCUUCAUACCAAGUUCCGAAACGGUUAUGGACAGAAAUCUGGAAGCUACAGACUUAUCCCAGAAUCAAACAUUUUAUGUGGAGCUUAUGUAAUGAAGGCCUUCCUACCAAAACCAAUUUGCAUUGGCGUAACAUCAUACCUGAGCCAACUUGUUCCUUGUGUCAUCAACUUCCAGAGUCAUCUGAGCACCUCUUCGUGCUGUGCCAGUGGACAAAAGAAAUAUGGUCAAAUUACAGCGUCGACAUAGAUGUCUCUCAACUGUCUAUCACACGCAUGGAUAAAUGGGUAAGCAACUACCUCCUAUCUGGGAUCUCAGCACACCAAAAGGCGACCUUUGCGCAUCUUCUCUAGUUAAUAUGGAAGGCCCGCAAUACCUUGCUAUUUCAAGGCUGCAAAUCAAACCCAACUAAACUCAUCAACGAAGCACUUCUCUCCCAGCAGUUAUACGAGAAAUGGAAUCCACGAAAGGGACCAAUUACCUCUAAACAGGACACAUAGGUACCUCCAGAUCCGGGCUCUUUGAAGCUAAAUGUUGAUUGUUCUUGGCAGGGAAGGCAUUUGGAGUGCUCUGUCAUCGGAAUCUGCAGAGGAGCUGAUGGGGUCUGCAUUGCUGGCUUCGCGCAAAAUAUUCACGCCCAAUCAAUUGGUAUCGGCGAAACCCUAGCUAUCCUUCAAGGACUUGUGUGGCUGAAGUAGUUCCGAAGUGCUCUAACAGGCGGAACUCAAGAUGCACAAACUGAUCUAUCUGUGACUAUAUCCAGCGAUUGUCUUCAAGCGGUGGAUUCCAUUGUGGGUCAACAAGAACCACCCUGGGCUUCCCUUCCUUUUGUGCUUGAUUGUCGACAGAUGUUGGCCCAAAUGGAGAAUGUUCAUUUGCAGUUUGAACCGCGCCAAACAAACCGGGCGGCUGAUUGGAUUGCAAAAUCCUUUCAAACUGGAUCUCUACCGAGUAAUUGGAUCUCCAAGCCUCCGCAUGAUCUUUAUCUUAUUUUAUGUUUAGACUUUCGUACUACCUGUAAUCCACCGUCUUAGUAUGAAAUCAAUGAAGUAUCUUUGAACAAAAAAAAAAGUACAUGGCAAAGACAAACCCCCUGAAGCUGCCCAGUCACCAAACGCGCCUAUUCUGACAUUAACUCAAUUAGAAAAAAAAUGACCCAAAUCAUUAAAUCUAAUGAAUAGAAGCGUAGCAGUAUCUCAACAGCAGCACUCAAUAGACAGAAAAAAUCCUCUUGGUUCGAGAAUGGAUUUUUUAGGACUCCACUUCUAGUCCAUCGACAUUUCCUUGUCUUCAGCAACGUCCAGUAAUCAAACUGAGAGAACCUAAAAAAAAUUGAAAGACGGGAAAAAUAAAAGGGAAACUACUCAUAGUGGAGGUCAUCAUGCUUGCUGGUCAUGAUUAUAUGAUGUUGAUUUUCCACCGGCAAAUUGACUCCAAGAUAGAACUGCACUCUUGAACCGUCGAAGAGAAAUUACUCGAGACAGGAGAAAGGCUUACCAACCCCGGCCCACCGCCCCCCUCCUUGUUUUUCAAUCGCUACGGAGCAUAUUAAAAUUAGACGUAACUCUAGUCUCCACCAAAUCUUAGUUACCCUUGAAUCGGGUCACGCGAUUCACUUGUUUAGAUUUGGUAGUGGGAGUUAGUAGCGUGGGAGUUGUAGUCAGGGUGGUGACGCCGUAAUGCUUGGAGUGCAACGUCAACGUCAUGAAACUAGAGUAUUCUCUUUAUUUCAAAGACAAACUAGGAAGAAGUUAUAUGUGACUGCGGAUAAAACAAUGAAGGACAUUUUCAAAAGUUAACUACAAAAAGGGUGCCUUUAAUCAAAGAAGGUGUAGAACUAGCACCACCGUUUCUGUAAACAAAUUUUCAUAAACAUAGUAAGUUUCCUUUUUAAAUUCAUUUUUUCGGCUUAUUACUUACAAGUGGGCCCAGUGCCUUGGUACUAAUACAUAAUAUUUAUAUGCCUCCUCUGGUUAGGAGAAAAACUUGUAUCAAUUAUUGAUAUUUAAAACUCUUUAGCUCACUAAAGAUUAAUAUCUAUACUUUUCAGAAUCACUAUCCUUUUUCCCCCCAAAACACAUUCGAUCAAUUAUUUUGUAAUAUUCCUAUCAAUGCACAAAUGCAAAAACUAAUAAUUCUACUUUAUUUAUCAUGCAUUUAGAUUUUAAAGUUUGAAUCUUAUCAUAAGUUAUAGAUAAUCUUAUAAAAAGGGACAUAGUUUUAUCCUUCCACAAAUUCACGGAUACAAUUUCUUCAUAUACUUGAAUAUAUCUUUCAAUUCAUUAGUAAUUUGAAUAUUUUGUAAUAAGAGAAUUGUGCCAAAUAUAACAACUUUUCGUAUUGCGGGUACCUUUUGCUAUCAAUAUUAGAAGGGAACGAUAUAAUUGAUCAUAAAGAUCGUGUAAUCGUACGCACAAAAGUUAUUGGCUGGAAAGGAAAAAUGAGAGGAACAAAAAGAACUACUUUAAAAAAAAAAAAAAAAAUAGAGGGAGGAUACUGUGAUAAGCUUCGAGGAAUAAUACUAUUGAUCACGCAAUUUGACAAUAUAUGCUUGGUUAUUUUUCUCUAUUUCUGAUAACAUACACUUAAACAAAAACAUAAUUCAGAAAUAUUCAGAAAUAUUGCAUUCAAGACAAAGGUGAAGUAACAUUCUUCUCGUCAAAAAAAUAAAUAAAUAACAUUCUUAAUUUUACUCCAAAUUCUAGAACAUCUUUUUAUUUUCUUCGUUUAUUUUCCUACUUCACAUCACAUUUUUUUUGUUCAUUACCAAGACCAUAACUUAUUGGUGUUUAUACCGCAGCAACAAUUGCACAUUAAAUUUUCCUUCCUUCCUCAAAAUCUGAAUUUGACACAUCAUAGUCAUGCAUUAUUUUAUGUGUCUCUGGGUUUGAACAAAGUUUUCAGAAAGACUAGAACUUCAGCAUUUUUUUACGUUUCUCGAUAUAUACAUUAAGGCUGCGUUUGAUAACAUUUAUGUUCUCAAUAAUAAUUUCUUUUUCUAAAAACAUUUUUUUCUAUUUCUGUUUUCGAGAAUAAUUUAUGAAUAUUUUAAGCCGUUUGGUAACUAUAUAAAAUUUUUGUUAUGAGAACAAAAAUAUUUUUGGUACAAUCUCAAAUAUUUGUGUGACUUAAAAUAUCUUUUAAUUUAUGAAUAAUUUUAUUAUAUUUUCUUUUUUCUUUUUCUUCUCAUUCCUCUAGCCGAUCGCCAAUCUUGGCCAUAACCAGUUGAUGACUAGCCAGACAAGGGCCGAUGAGAUCGCCAGCUUUGGGGGAGCCUCCCUGGCCACCAACGAGGUCCCCCAAGCCUCGGCGUGGCUGGGCGAGGACCCGCAAGGCCAGGUGACACCGACCUCGUGGUGACCUAAGGAGGCUCGGCCUCGCCAAAUCUAGGCAAGGUCGAGUUUGGCCCAGCCAUAUCAAGGCUCGAGGGGUGCCUCACCGAGGGUUGAUAGGGUCGCCGAGCCUCAUCUAGCUGGUUGCCAACCAUCGUCGAGGUCGCGCGACCGACUGGGGGAAGAAGAAAUGAAGAAAAAAGGAAAGAAAAGAAAGGGAAGAAAGGAAGAGAAAACAAAAACUUGAUUCUUGAGUUGUUUCUAGAAACAAGCAACAAUUUUGUUUUUAUUUCUUGUUUUUGUUUCAAAUCUAUUGGUCCCGGGAAAAAAAUUACCAAACGCAUUUAUGUUCCAUUUCUGUUCUAAAGAAUAAAAGAACAUAAAUAUUUAUUUCCAAGAACGUUAUCAAACGGAGCCUAACAAAUUCCCAGGCCAUGCAGUCCCAGACAUAACACAAUCCAGCUCCCUUGGGCCCGAGCCCGUGAGCAGCUGUUUCAGGCUAAGCCUAUUAACAAUAGGGGUGAUUGUAGACUUGUAGUCCGAAAGAAAGUGAAGAUGGAAAGAGUAAUACAAGAUCUCUCAAUGACGAUUUGUCAUGAAUUUAAUUAUCAAAAGAAAAUACACGUAGUAACAAAAAAAGAAGGGGCAAAAACGGUAAAGAUCAAUACUGAAUAAAUUUUCCACCGGCUUCUUUUGACAAAAAUGUUGCCGACGACACAAAGGUACGCUAAAGCAUUGGCGUAAUCGUCUUUUCCAUAUUCGGAUGACUCACCUUUCUUUUCCUUUGCUUUUAUUGCUUUAUUUCUUAUCAUCAUCAGUCUGCUUUUUGUAACAAGAUUUUCCUUGGAUUCUCUCGGGGCCAAUUUCGCCCUGGAUGAUGGCGUGAAGUCCCCAAAAGAUGGUUUUGUAGUGGGAGCAAAAGUGAGGAUAAUGAAAAAGGAAUAUUUAUGUGAAUGUUCUUAAUUAGUCAUGAGAAUAAUAAUUUACUUUAAAUUAUAAAAAAUAAAUAUAAAAUAAUUGAAAAUUAUUACGAUGGCGCGAAGUCCUCAAAAGAUGGUUUUGUAGUGGGAGCAAAAGUGAGGAUAGUCAAAAAGGAAUAUUUAUGUGACUGUUCUUAAUUAGUCAUGAGAAUAAUAAUUUAUUUUAAAUUAUAAAAACUAAAAAUAAAAUAAUUAAAAAUUAUUACGAGAUUUAUUAUUUUAAGAAUUCAUGACUCAUACUAUAUUAUGAUUGAGCAUAACAAGAAAGAGGAGUAAUAAAUAAUUUUUUUGCCACUGAAGUGCACCCUCAUGUUUUUAAUUUUUUGCCCUGCGGGCUUCUUUCGACUGAAGUCCCGUCGACAAUACAAAGGCACGCUAAAGCAUCGGUCACCGAGCCAUGCGACCACAACACUGUACGGACUCACCACUCUUUAUCACGAAUGUAACUAUGAAAAGAAAUUCCUCGGGGCACGGGAAAGGAAAGGGGGCUAUAACAGGACGGGGGCAAUAGUGAACAACUUCUUGCCAACGAAAUGCAUCCUCCUCGCGUUUCUUUUUUCUUUGGGGUCUGGUUUUAACUAAAAUCUUGCCGACAGAGCAAAGGGCGCCAAAGCAUCGAUGGGUUUCCUUUCCACACUGGCAGGACCCGUCUUCCCUUUCUUUGCUUUAUUGCUUUAUUCUUUUCAUUGUCGCUUCUCAUUGAAUGAACCUCGCUUUAUUACAAGUUCCCAAGAAAUGGUUUUCUACUCGUCAUCAAACCGGUGGGUUAAUUAUUUUGAUAAUUUUUUCUUUGCCAACAGCAUUUGAUAUAUCAUUCAGACCACAAUUUCAAUAUUUUCGAGUGGAUUUUCAAUGAGGACUUGUAUGAUAGCAUACUUUUGCCGUUUCGCGCAACAUAUUUUAUUUAAUGACGAUUUUAAUUAUUUUUCACUGGCACUAUGUAGAUUUUUUUCAAUCUUGUUCCAAAAAUUGUGUACCUUCACUCAGGACGCACUUGCUCUCCAUCAUUUGAAGUUUGACAAAUAAGUUCACAUAAUUUACAAGUAAUGUUAUUAAAUAUAGUAAAAUUGAUACAAAAGAUAUUAUUACCAAAUUAGAAUUUUACAUUUAGCAAGUAAAUAGAUGAAUUGAUGAAAGGAGAUAAUAUACGAGCAUAGAAAUGUGAACACUUCUCAUGUUCUUUUAAAAAAAGAAAUCCAUUUUGGAAAAACUGAAUUUCCUGAAAUAGCUAUAAAAUGAACUCGAACUUUCCACUUGCUAUUAAAAAUGAACAUAAUUUUUAAGUUUCUCAUGGAGAAUAUAAACUUUUAGUUUUGUAGCAAGACAUGAUGAAAUCUUAAUUUUCUUUCAACUUUAUCAAGUCAAUUUAGAUAUUGCAGGAGAAUGUUCAUAUCUUAAAUUUGACAUAUCAAUUCAGAGUUUCUAUCUUCACCCUUGUCUAAUGCAUAAUAGCACUUGUCUUUUAUCUUGGGUUUUAUUUCUCUUCAUUGCUUCUACACCGACUAUAAGUGCAUCUUAGUAUUCCCGAUCAAUGAAUUACAAAUUUAUAUAUGGUUUUAUUUCUUUUCAUUGAUUCCGGUUGCAAACUGCUUCAAUUAGAUUAAUCAAACCAUUAAAAAAAGACUUGCCUGAGGUCUUCUAAACACCAUUAGCAAGUUUAUUUUUAUUUUUAUUUUUUAUAUUUGUGGCCCACAACAAAUAGAUCCAAGCACAGUUUUUUCCGUUGAAGAGACGAGACUUCCCUUUUACAAAAACCCUUACUAUUGCUACUCAUCCUAUUAAAAUAUAGUAAAAUGCAAGUUAAUUCAAAAUUAUUGAACUCACAAUAUAAAGAUAAACCCAGUAUAUUUGAAGUAAAAGUAGUUUUUAGAAUGAUAGUAAUCAAAAAUAUUAAAUAGGCGAUUAUCGGCACUACAUCGAUAUGGAAGCAGCUUUUGCAAACGUUGUGGAAUUAGAAUUUUUAAAAUUCUAUGGUUGAAAGAAGUUCUAUUAAAGUCCUGUACGUUAUCUAUAUACACUAAUAUAAAGCCAAAACCUUGAAUUUGGUUCUCCUCCCUCGAAAUAUUCAUUUUAUACUUGACAGACACUGUUCUCUUUAACGAUGAGGUAAAGGUGUUAUCUAAUGGGCAGAGAUGGAAAGCAUUGUUUUUUUUUUCCUUCUGCCACUAUGCGUAUGCAGCAACAGCGUUUGAAGAUGGACUAAGGAAACAGAAGAAGCUAAGGACAACACGUUUAGACGUGGAAGUGUAAGUUGUGAAUCAUUGCUUAAUCGAGCUUUUCAACUCAUCAUGAUUAAUAACUUCAAUCUUAAAAAGAUUUAAAAAAAAAAAAAAAGAGUUGUCACUCUUGGAUCAUACAUGCUCUCUUAUCCCAAAAAUGAGUAGAUUAAAAGUGCAACUCUAAAAAGAAGGUGGACGAAUGUGAAGUCUCAAUGGCACAGCAGCGGAAAAGGAAAAGCAAAGCAAGAAUAUAUUCCAUUUCACACUUCUUAAAGCUGAAAUUGUAGCAUUUUGCAUAUUGAGUUUUAAGUAAGAUUGUUUCAUGGAUUAUCUCACUCCGAGGACUCUAAAAAUCACUAAGUCCAAAUUUUUAUAAAAUUAGACUUUUACAUGUUGUCUAAAGUCGCUUUGGACUAUACUAAAGUCACAUUAGAUCUACAUUAGCUCUGUUUACUUGCCGUUGUUCAUGCAUACCGCUACAUUGGAUUUUUACUAGUCGUCUUAGAUGAAAUUGUAAUGCAAGUUGCUUUUUGGUCAUUAGUAGUAUUAGUAAAUAGUAAUAUGAAAUUUUAAUUUUUGAAGAAUUGGUGUCCCCUGGGUAAAGUACAGACUUUUUAUGGAUUUUUUCAGAGUGAUUGCAAAUCCAUAUCAGAUUUUUAAGCCCAUUGUUGUCCAAACAGGUGUCACGUUGGAUUUUCUGUGUCUAUUUUGGACCAAAUUUGACCGAAUGUAUUUUGUUGGUUAUUGUGUAAGUUUCGGAUUUUUAUGGUGAUAGUGAUUUCCUUUUGGUGAAAUUGUUAUGAAUUGUACUUUUCUUGGAGUUUUUCUCCGUUCAUAAUUUUUGACCCAAAUUGUUUGGCUUUAAGUUGGCUGAUUUUGGACAUAUUUAUUUCCAUGCACUCGAAAGUAAUAGCCGUGCUAAAUUCUUUGUUUUGUUUCCGUUGACAUUUCUUGAUUUGGUAACAGAGACAUUGGGUUCUCGAAUUUGGUAAAAGUUGAACUUUAGCAAGAAUUCGAUUUUUUUAGGAGGAAAAAUGUUGUAAAAUUUCUUCCAUUCUUGAUUCUGUUUCAAGUUCAAAAAGGUAUUUGCCAUGGUAGUUGCAUGCUUGUUAGAAAAACUUAUCGUGUCUUUGGCAAAUGUGGUUGUUUUUGGAAGGGAACGGAGUAGCAUUUGCUCUCUAUUCCGAAAGGGUCACAACCAUGGCAAGCUACUCUCUUCUGAAAAAAUAGCCAUGGCAUAAAACUUCAGGCUAAUGAGAUGCGCAAAACUUUUACAUUUCCAAAAGUUAUUUUUUAAAAAGAAAAUGAGAAAUAUCUAUAUUUUCACGCUUGUAUAGCAUCUAUUUUCAUAAAAUCUAUAUAUUCACUUGUUAAAUGUAAAAUUAAGAUUUGAUCAUAUCGAUUAAUAUAUCAAUUUUAGCACACAUCUUUUUGAAUAAAAUUGAAAAGGAAAUCCAUAAUUGUUAGCAUAAAGCCAUUUCUUGGGAAUCUGACCAUCAUCCACGGCGAAACUAUCGGCAAGAUGAAGAGGUAUAAAGCAAAGUGAUAAUGGAGAGGUAUAAAGUAAUAACGCAUGGAAAGUAAUAACACAAAGAAAACGAAGGUGGGGCCAUCCUAAUAUGGUAAAGAAGAGCCGCUAAUGCUCUUAGCACACCUUUUGUGCUGUCCGUCGGAUUUUAGUAAAAGAAGCAUGCUAGAAUAAAGGUUCGUAAUUGCUCUUUCCUAUUUUGCCCCUUCCUUUCCCGUAGUAAUUUUUUUAAAAUUAAACUCAUAAAAAGUCAUCAUUGAGAUCUUAUUUGUCAAAUCUACAAAAUGUACAUUCUCCUCUAUCUAAAUUGACUUGAUAAAUUUGAAAGAUUAGGACAUCAUAACAAAUAAUUAAGAUUCCAUCACAUCUUAAUAUUGAACUAAAAUUUAUAUUCUCUAUGAUAAAGUUGAAUUUUUAUGACAUUUUUCAUAAGCAAGUGGAAAGUUUUAAAUUCUCUUGAAUAUUUGGCUAAUGAAAUCCAAAAAAUUUCACUUUUUUCCAAAAGUGAUUUCUUUUAAAGGAAUAUGAAAACUAUCCAAAUUUUCACGCUUGUAUAAUAUCUAUUUUCGUAAAUCUGUAUAUUCUCUUGCUAAAUGUUAGAUUGGGAUAUGGUCAUAUUAAUUAUUAUAUCAAUUUUAGCAUACUUAUUAACAUUACUCAUAAAAAACCUAAAUUUAUUUGUCAAGCUUCAAUUGAUAGAGAGCGAGUUCUUACUAAGUAAAAAGUGCACAUCUUUCUUAACAAAAUCAACUAAAAAAAACCCAUAAUAAUAAGCAUAAAACCAUUUUGUGCGUGGUUUUGAUUAUUGGUAUUACAGUGGACAUAUAGGUUAGGAUUUUUCACGGAACUGACAAUUGCCAUCAUUGUGCCAGCCACCCAUUGCCAUCUUGAGUCCUUACCUUAGUGGCGUCAAUCCAUGGGCGAGUUAACUCCUCGCCCGCCCAAGUUGUCUUUUACGCCCUUGUCUCUCUUUAUUUUUGUGCAAAGCUCACAAUCUAUGCCCAUAGAAGUUGCGACCAACAGAGGUCACUAGCCUCGUGCGGCCACGAUCUGUGGUUGCAUGGCCAUGGUGUCGGGGCUCGAAUAAGUUAAUUCCCUUGAUUGUUAGAGCAACGGAGAGAGGCCCUUCGCCUAUUUUAUCAUUAAAAUUAAUAUCGAAAAAGAAAAAGAAAAAAAUUUCUCACCACGAGGGCAUUUGGGUAUUUCGGCGACGGCAGAAGACAUGAUGUAAUUAACAGGGAGAGAGGAGCGGAGGAAUAGGACAGAGCGAGUUGUGAUUCUAGCUCGGGUUCGAGUCAGUUGGGCAAAGAGUCAAAGACCCAAGGGACCAAGGCGCAAGUGCCUCAUGCAAUCCCAUUUCUAUAGUCUGCGGGGAAGUGUGCAUUUGUCGAGAUACGUGUUGUCAGAAAACUCAAUAAAAGAUAUAUUUAUAAUUUAUCAUCGCUUAAGUGUGAAAUAAUCCAUAGACAUAGCAUAAAUUAAAAUUCAACAAUGCCAAAAGAAGGAUAAGGGUUUCUUUUAAUAUUUUGUUUUAGUCACAGAAAGAGACUCAGCCCUAUUUGGUUCAGUAUUUGGAAUGCUCAUUUGGGCUCUAAAGUCCCUUAGCCAAAUGCAAAGGUGUUUGGUUCGUCUUUUUGCGUAACUUUGACGAGAUGUAAUUGCAUCUCCAAGUGGCUCUAAGGGCCUUUAGCCCAAUGCAGCUCUUGAGGUCCUUUGCAAAGUUGCAUCUUCGGAAUGCAACUUUUAGUAUUGUUCAUCUCUCCGAUGGAGAAGCCGAUCGGCCGCUUGAAUAAAAAUAAAUAUAAAAAUAAAUAUGUUUAUAUAAAAAUAUAAACAUAAAUUUUAUGUUUAUUUUUAUAAAAAAAUAUAAACAUAUAUAUUUUUUAUAUAAAUAUAUUUUAUGUUUAAUAAAUAUAUAUAUUUAUAAAUAUAAACAUAUCUAUUUUUUUUCUCCAAUCGUUUUUAUAUAAAUAUAUGUUUAUAUAAACACAUCUAUUAUAUAUAUAUAUAUAUAUAUAUAUAUUUUAUGUUUAUAUUUUUAUAUUUUUUAUAUAAAAAUAUGUUUAUAUAAAAAAUAUAAAGAUAUUUUUUAUUCAGGCGGUUCGACCGCCAGAUUCGACGGUCUGGUGGCCGAACUUCAAAAAAAAAAUAUAAACAUAUAUAUAUUUUUUUAAUUUAAUAAAAGUUAAUUACAAGUGCAAAUUUUACCAAACGGUAUUCUGGCUAAUGUUGUUUUCCAAUACAAAUUUUACCAAACGACAUUUGCAUUUUAACAAACCCCAUUCAUCCAAAGGUAUUUGCAGAAAUGCAUUCUCCAAAAGCCGAACCAAACGGGCUCUCAAUUGCUCCCCCAUCCCUUUAGAAUUUUACUAAUUUUUUUUCUCUUUUUUCGGAAAUCGAAUUCCACUAAUUUUAUUUAUCCCGCAAUUACACUGUUCUUUUGUCAAAUGCGUUGUGUCGGUGGCGAGAUAAGAGAAGGAUGUGGUUUUCCUUCUUUUCAGAAAAAGAGUCCUUCUCCUUUACUCGGGUAAAGAGUCCUUCUGCCAGGGCUUUGGCCUCCGCCGGAGCUGCUGCUGAAGUUGCGCGCGCAGAUCUCGCGAACCCGUCCACCGAAACGCCACCGCAGUCUCGGUACGCGCGGCUGAUCGCUCCCUCCGUCGGGCCGCCAACGAAGGAUCCCAUCGAUAUUUCACCUCGAGAGCUCCUCGCCGCAGUCCGGAGCCAGUUCUGAGGUGAGUUUCCAAGGGCCCACCUUUGGUGUUUAGAAAGAACCCUGGCAUUUUCUCAGCUUUGACAGGCCGCAAUGAUGUAUUCUUAGUACAGAGAUCUCAGGAUUUGGAAGUUUUUCCUAUCUCUGGCUGCCGCUGCUUUUGCUGCUAUCCUGUUUCGACUUUUUCUUCGAAGAGGAGAUCGAGCGAGAUCAAUGAAGGAGAGUGCAAAGAGACGGCGCGUGUGUGAAAAUGAUGGAACAGCACGAGGCGCUUCUUCCACUCACGCUUCAACAGAAGGUCAAGAAGUGGCUACUUCAUCAGGAUAUGACUAUGAAGUAUUCUUGAGCUUCAGAGGACCAGAUACUCGAGCAGGAUUUACCGACUUCCUUUACACUAGAAUGAUAGAUAUGGGAAUCCGCACAUAUAAGGAUGAUGAAGAUCUCCGAAAGGGAGAAGAGUUUGGCUCAGAACUUCUCCGAGCAAUUGAGCAGUCGAGGAUCUCAAUACCUAUCCUUUCUAAAGGUUAUGCCUCUAGCGUAUGGUGUCUCAAGGAGCUAGUCAAGAUGGUGGAGUGCCAGAAAACAAAGAGACAAAAGAUCAUGCCGAUUUUUUUAUGAUGUGGCUCCUUCAGAGGUUCGACACCAAACCGGGGGUUAUGGAGAGGCCUUUCAAUCUUAUGAAAAAAAGAAGCGACAUGAUGAAAAGAUUGUGCAAGAGUGGAAAGAUGCUCUCACUGUAGUCGGGCAAAUAAACGGAUGGGACCUGCAAAGCAUGUCCAACAGGUGACUUAAUUCCAUCUCUUGUGCCUUGGAUCAUUAAAACUUUUUGCUUUUCAUAUGGCUUCUUUUCUGGAUUUGUGUUAGCCUUGUUGAAACUGAAUUCCGUGUUAUUGAAGUUAUUCUGCAGAAAUCAAAUUUUUCCCAUUUUAUUCCAAGCAACAUUUUUUCCGGUUCACUUCAUUUAAGUACCAACGCUAAUUCAUCUACAAUGGAAUAAAUCCUUGAAGUAACACAUUUCGAAUUCAAUUUGGUCUUCUCAGAAUUAGUUUAAUGUUUACACAAUUUUCUAACUCAUUAUCUUUUGCCUUCAACUAACUCUAGGCGAGAAGGUGAGUUCGCAAGAGAAGUUACCCAGAAGGUUUUCAAUGAGUUGAAAAAGGCUUAUCUGGUGCUAUCAGAGUGCUUGGUCAGUGUCAACGACCAUGUGGAUGCAAUCAUGGAAAUGAUAGGUGCUGGGACAAGUGAAACACGAAUUAUAGGAAUCCAUGGUAUGGGUGGCAUUGGAAAGACAACUACUGCCAAAAUGAUCUACAAUGAGCUUUCACACGACUUUGAGAAUUGUUGCUUUCUUUCCGAUAUUCGAGAAAAAUCAAAAAGUAAUGGCAUUCAAUGCUUGCAGAAUAAGCUCAUCUCUGACAUUCUCAAAACAAAAUGCAUGUAUAUGAAAGACAUUGAUGAAGGAACUCAAACAAUUAAAGACAGGUUGUCUAAUAAAAGAGUUCUACUUCUUCUUGAUGAUGUGGAAGAAGAGAAUCACAUGGAUGCACUUGUUGGUAGGUGUGAUUGGUUGGGCAAAGGGAGCAAAAUUAUUAUUACUACAAGAAACAAAUAUAUUCUUGAUGUUCCUGAAGUGGACUGCAGUUAUGAGCUUAGUGGCAUGGAUGUUGAUCAAUCUCUUCAACUAUUUAGCAGACAUGCCUUCAGAAAAGAUUAUCCUUUGGAUGAGUAUAUUAGCCAAUCCGAGAGGGCAAUAGGCAUUGCUGGAGGUCUUCCACUAGCUCUUGAGGUUAUAGGCUCACUUUUAUGUCGCACUAAAAAGGAAAAGUGGGAUCUCACAUUAAAGAAGUUGGAAAAUGUUCCUCAUGCAGCAGUUCAGAGUAAGUUGAAAAUAAGCUAUGAUGCAUUAGAUGUUCGACAACAAGAUAUAUUCCUUGAUAUAGCUUGUCUUUUCAUCGGAUAUAAUGAAGACAUUGUCGUUUAUUUUUGGGAUGAAUCUAAAUUUCCAGAAGAAGCCAUGGAAGUUCUGCAGAACAUGUCUUUGAUAAAGAUUGAAGAGGAUAAUAUAGUGUGGAUGCACGACCAACUCAGAGACCUCGGAAGAGAAAUAGUUCGUAACAAAAAUAUAAAGGAGCAAAGUAGGGUGUGGGAUCCUAAGGAAGGAUUGGAUUUGCUAAGGAAACAUAAGGUAAACACCCCCCCCCUUCCUUAAAAAAAGAAAAUAUAUAUUCCUAGUAUUUAUGGACAUUUUCCAAGAACAAGCUGUUUACUUUUUGUUUUGUCUAGCGCCAUUGCGACUUCCUCAACCUAUAAUUUUUGCUCUUUUAAGAUUACAAGAAUGAUAGACUAAACUCAACCGAUUAAUAUAGUGGACUUGAAUAAAAAUGCGUUUCCCUUUAACUUUUUAAAAUUUUUCCUUUGGGCAGGGAGAAAAAAAAGUUGAAGCUCUUUGUCUCAAGUUGGACUAUUUCCAGCAAUAUCGUUUUUCCUAUGAGGGCUUUGAGAACCUAUCCCAUCUAAGGUUCCUUGAAGUGGAUAGUUCGAUGGAAAAUUUUUGUGUAGAAGAGAGGCUUCUUUGGCAUGAAUCGCCAUCAAAAUUUUUUCCAACUAAUGAGAAUUCAUAUCUCCUUCCACAAUUACGAUGGCUUUCAUGGCGUGAUAUUCCCCCAACAUUUAACAUUACGAAUUUCUUCAUGGAGGAUGUGGUUAUUCUUAAUCUAUCUAGAAGUAAAAUUACGGAUGAUUGGAAGGGGUGGAGCCACAUGAAGGUAUGUUAUACGUUAGACAAUACUUAUUAUUCCAUCUUAUUAGAUUCAUAAAUAAUAUUUGCAUGAUUUUUCUUUUAUAGGUGAUGAAGAACUUGAAAGUUCUAGACAUGUCCCAUUGCCUAUCGUUGGAGAGGCUUCCAGAUUCAAUUGGAAAUUUGAAAUCGCUGAUUGAGUUCAAUAUAUCCAACACGUUGAUCAAAGAACUACCCGAUUCCAUUGGAAAUUUGAAAAAAUUGGAAGUAGUGAAUAUGUGGAAUAGUAGAUUAAGAAAAAUACCUAAUGUCCUUUGGUCGAUGGGGGAUCUCGAAGUCAUAGUAGCCUUCAUAGAUACAUUAGCUGUUGACAGGCUUUUCCACGUGCAAAUUGGCAAUGGCAUCCACGGGAGUCAAUCCCUGAGGAUCUUGGUAUUGAAGAAUGCGGACAUACAUGCACUACCGAGACUUCCUAAAAGUCUUAUCGAUUUAGAAAUGUCUAUAUUACAGAUGGACACAUUUCCGGAUCUUUCAAACCUCACGAAUUUAAAGAAAAUGGAAUUGUAUUUUGGCCGGCCUCAUCACGACGGGAUAUCUAAUGGGCUUGGGGAGCAUCCGAUGCCACGGUGGCUUGGGAAUUUAAGCAAUCUGAAGUUUCUAGCCCUGCGCUCUCGUCACGUGACCACCUCACCGACAGACCUUACCCUCCCUCCUCAAUUGAAGUCACUUCACCUUAAGUGCCCUAAUCUGCGUCACCUCCCGAGGCUUCCCUCAAGUUUAUCCUCCUUAUGUUUGGAAUAUUGCAAGUCUCUUAGCUCGAUGGAGGAUCUAUCAAAUUUGAAGAAACUAUCAUCUCUUUGUAUUUCGAACGCCGCAAUUGCAGAGAUUCAAGGCCUCGGUUGUCUGGAGAACCUACGAGAUUUGGAACUUAAUUUUCUUGGACAGGUGGAGGUACUACCUGAUCUAAGCAAUUUAAACAAACUAACAUCUCUUGAUGUAGGAUUUUGUGAUAAGCUGGUUGAGAUUCAAGGCCAACUACCUCGGUUUUUGGAUUUCUUUAAUGUUUUUUCUUGUGAUUCAUUACAGAAGUUGCCCGAUCUGUCAAGCUUGAUGGGUAAGCAAGUGUUUGGACGAUCUAAUUGCAAAAAAUUAAAUGUGGAGGCUAUUCUUGAUGCUGUUCGGUUGGAUCCACGACAUUUCGAGUUUGUAGACUUUGAACAGCUGCAGACUUUAAGUAAUUCAAACGAACUCAGAUGUCUUCAAGUAGAACGAUGUGAUAAUCUAGUUGAGAUUCAAGGUGAACUACCACAAUCUUUGGAAGUAUUGGAGAUUAAGUCAUGUAAAUCUUUACAGAAGUUGCCUUAUCUAUCAAGCUUGAUAAGAUUGCGAGAGGUUUGCAUACAAAAUUGUGAUAAUCUAAUUGAGAUUCCAAGCGAACUGCCACAAUCUUUGCAAGUAUUGAAGAUUGAUUCAUCAUGUAAAUCUUUACAGAAGUUGCCUUGUUUGUCGAGCUUGACGAGAUUGCGAGAGGUUUGCAUAGGUGACUGUAGUGAUUUGAUUGAGAUUCAAAGCGAACUACCACAAUCUUUGGAAAAAUUGGUGAUUUUUUACUGUGUAUCUUUACAGAAGUUGCCUUGUCUGUCAAGCUUGAUAGGAUUGCGAGAGUUUGCCAUAAAUAAUUGUGAAAAUCUGGUUGAGAUUCCGGGCGAGCUACCACAAUCUUUGGAAGUAUUGAAGAUUGAUUCAUCAUGUAAAUCAUUACAGAAGUUGCCUUGUUUGUCGAGCUUGACAGGGCUGCGAGAGGUUUUCAUACGUCAUUGUGAUGAUUUGGUUGAGAUUCAAGGCGAACUACCACGAUCUUUGGAAAAAUUAAAGAUUUAUUACAUUGGAUCUUUACAGAAGUUGCCUUGUCUGUCAAGCUUGAUAGGACUGCGAGAGUUUGCCAUAGAAAAUUGUGAAAAUUUGGUUGAGAUUCCAGGCGAAUGGCCACAAUGUUUGGAAGAAUUGUGCCUUUCUUCCUGUAAAUCUUUACGGAAGUUGCCUUGUUUGUCGAGCUUGAUGGGGCUGCGAGAGGUUUUCAUACAUCAUUGUGAUGAUCUGGUUGAAAUUCAAGGCGAACUACCACAAUCUUUGGAAAAAUUAAAGAUUUUUUACUUUGGAUCUUUGCAGAAGUUGCCUUAUUUGUCAAGCUUGAUAGGACUGCGAGAGUUUGCAAUAGGAAAUUGUGAUAAUCUGGUUGAGAUUCGAGGCGAAUGGCCACAAUGUUUGGAAAAAUUGUGCCUUUCUUCUUGUAAAUCUUUACAGAAGUUACCUUGUUUGGCAAGCUCGAUGGGGCUGCGAAAUCUUUCCAUAAAUAAAUGUAGUAAUCUGGUUGAGAUUCUAGGUGAACUACCACAAUAUUUGGAAGGAUUGUGGAUUGGUUAUUGUAAUUCUUUACAAAAGCUGCCUUAUCUGUCAAGCUCGAUGGGGCCGCGAAGGGUUGAAAUACAUAAUUGUGAUAAACUGGUUGAGAUUCAAUUCGAACUACCACAAUCUUUGGAAGAAUUGGGGUUUCAUUCUUGUAAAUCUUUACAAAUGUUGCCUUAUCUGUCAAGCUCGAUGAGGCCGCAAGAGGUUAAUAUACGUGAUUGUGAUAAUCUGGUUGAGAUUCAAGGCGAACUACCACAAUCUUUGAAAGAUUUGAGGGUUCAUUCCUGUAAAUCUUUACAGAAGUUGCCUUGUUUAUCGAGCUUGAUGGAGCUGCAAAAGUUUUACAUAGGUCAUUGUAAUGGUCUGGUUGAGAUUCAAGGCGAAUUGCCACAAUAUUUGGAAAAAUUGGUGAUUUCUUACUGUGCAUCUUUACAAAAGUUGCCUUAUCUAUCAAGCUUGAUAGGAUUGCGAGAGUUUUCCAUAAAAAAUUGUGAUAAUCUAGUUGAGAUUCUAGGUGAACUACCGCAAUUUUUGAAAGUAUUGGACAUUUAUGAAUGUCAAUCUUUACAGGAGUUGCCUAAUCUGUCGAGCUUGAAGGGACUGCAAGAGGUCAAAAUAAUUCAUUGCGGGAAAUUAAAUGUGGAGGCAAUUUCUUCGCUUUGCUCAAAGAUGUCAGUCAACUUUGUGGAGUUAGGCGAUGAAUGUGACUCUAAAGAGGAUGUGAAAUUAGACUAUGGAUAUAACUCUGAAGAAGAUGUGGAAUUAGGCGAUGAAUAUGACUCUGAAGAGGAUGAAUAUGAUUCUGAAGAGGAUGAAUAAGUGCAUGUUGCUCUUGAAAGCUUCUUGAUCCGCAACCACAAAUUGUUUCCUUGUGUUCAAACUUUAAACAAAUUGAGGUAACUUGUUUCAUCUGACAACCAAUGUUUUACCUUUUCUGCAAUCAAAUUCUUUCACAUAUAUGAACAGAGAAGUUUCACAUGCAACUUUUAAUUACCUUCUCACAAGUUGAUGACUGAAAAUCUGAUGAAGGUGUUGAAAUUAUGAUACUUCCAUACAACCACAGGGUUCUUAAUUAUGUACACAUAUUUGUUUUCUUUUCCUAGUUUGGUUUGGCUUUUUCAGCUAUAUUUUCUGUGGAUGAUUUCUCCUUGCUUUUAUGUUUCCCAGCUAGAGGUAUGCAUGUCGAUUGCCUCGCUUUUAUUUGAUAUGUAAAAAAUUCGUAGAGAUCCGUGUUGAUCUGCUGUUUCACAUAUAUCAAAGUUGAUAGCCUCGUUUCUCUUUGGAGAUAACUUUGUUAUUCUGUAAACAAUUAGAUGGAAUGUGUGUUGGAAGGUCAUAAACUAUGAUUCUCAUCCUGGAACUUUACGGCAUAAUCAACUCAUUGUUACAACUGUGAAGAAGAUACUCUGUAUUGAAAUGCUUAUGUUCAAUUUGUUUUCCAGGAAAGGUGUGCUUCUUAGUGGAAUUACAAAGGUCAUGGAGAAGUUAUAAAAUGGAGAAAGACGAAUUUCACUUGUGCAGUGGCAUUAAAAGUUAGUGUAGCAAAAUUUUCAUCCAUUACAGGAGGAGAACUACUUAGCUUCUCCAAGGUAUCAUAAACCAUCUAUAAUUAAGGCUAAAUUUCCUAUGUAGUGGUGCGUAGGGCAUAUAAUAAGUCUCAUGUGGGUCAGAAAUCAUGUAAAUGGACUUUUGUGUGAUCUUCAUAUUACUACCUACAUUUUCUAGAGAUGGUUAUACCUGGGUGAUUACCUAUAAUAGAAGCCCUUCCAUUCACCUCAAGUUAUACUAGAGGACUCUUUUAGGUUUUAAGAUCGACAAGAAGUGCUAAGGGAGACGUCUCAUACAACUAGCUUUUUGCUGGUUUCAAAUGUUGCCGAGAGGAUUUAAAGUUUGAGAAACUUACAGAAAUUUUUCUGCAUAGGGAGCUUUGCCUAUUUUUUUUUGGUGGAAAGCUUUGGCUCAUUUGGGCAGCUGUACAAAUGAAGACCAUAUAAACGAAAAUGAAGACGGCUUUUAAUGUCAACGAAAUUCCCUUUCACAAUCUUGGGAUGGUGAACUGUGCAUUCAUCUGUGGAGAGACAGAAACUUGAAGAUUAGUGAGGGAAGUCGUUGCCUAUGGAUGAAAUCGUUAAAUCUGUUGAACUCAAUGGGAAGUUUUAGUUGAAUGAUUAGCCCUUUUUUCGAAGAAAACAUUAGAGCAAGACAGAGGGAUUCAUUGUGCAAGUUGGGGCAUCAUACGUAAUGUUUUUGGGUGUAAAAGGUUUAUUUAGGCAAACCUGAUUGUUUAUUAAUCUUUUUUGUGGGGCCAUAAGAAUGAAUAUUGUUCUUCAUCUGCAUGUAUGUUCUCUUCAUUGACAUGCAAUGGAACUUGCUUAUCAGUUCAUACACCUUCCGAUGUGAAAAUGGUGUUCAGAAUAGUCUUACUCGUGAGUAUGAUAGGCACUCACAACACAGGAGACACGAAUUGUUGGGAUUAAUGGAAUGGCGAUGUUGUAAAGUUGACUCUCGCCAAAAUUAUGUAAAAUCAGUUUUCACAUGGUUUUAAGCAUUGUUGCUUUCUUUCUGACAAUUGUGAUACUUUAGAGCUCAUGGGCAUUCAGUUUUUGCAGAAUCAACUCAUCUCCUAUGUCCUCAAGAGGAAAUUGACAGAAAUAAGUAAUGUUGAUGAAGGGAUCAAGACAAUUAAAGACAGCUAUCUUGUAAAAGAGUUCUCUUCAUUUUUUAUGAUGUUGAGCAGAAGAAUCUAUUGAAUGCGCUUAUGGGAAAUAUCUGCGAUAUUUAGGCAUUAUUGGAUUCUUCAAUAUUGAAUAUCAAGUCUUGAAGGAUCUCAAAAUUCUUACUGCUUCGCAUUGUUAUUGAAGAUAAUCUCUUCCAUUGGUCACUUGACAUCUCUAUCAAGGCUAUCUUUGAAAAGCACCGUAAUUACACAACUUCCCUUGUCCAUUGAAGCUCUUGCAAGUCUUGAAUACCUGUCUUUGUAAGAACGUAGAUGAACAUAGAGGCUUUCAGACUCAAUUGGCGAUCUGCAAUCGCUACUUGAGUUCAAUUAACUCCCACACGUGCAUUAACGAGCUACCUGAUUUCAUGGGAAACAUGGAAAGUCUGAAAGUAAUGAGAACAAAUAAUUGUUCCAUGGAAAAGACACCCAGUGCCUUAUGGUUGCUGUAAAAGCUUGAAGAAAUAGAUGCAGCACAGUGAAAGCUUGCAACUGCAAAAUCCAAGUGACAUUUGCAGAGAUUCAUCUUUGAGAAUCUUGAAAUUGACACUGAUUGAAACAUGCCAAGUGCCAAGGCUUUCUCGUCAGUUAAGACAUUGAUACAUCCAUUGUCAAUGACAACAUUUCAAAUUUCUUGAAGCUGACAAGUUUAAAUGAUUUGUAUUUGGCCAUUUGACAAGAUGCUUACCCCGUUGACAAUUGUCAACUUGUGGAAGAUGCUAUGCCAUGGUGCAUUGUGAGAUUAAAUAAAGUGGAAUCUUUGACCUUGUUGUCUGCUUUUGUAAUCACCUGAUCAACAAAUAUCAGUCGGCUUUCUCAACUCAAAAGACUAGAACUCCGUUGCGCUAAUUUGCUGCGCCUCCAAAGGCUUCCCUCAAGUUUAUCUUAUUUACGUGUUGAAUCUUGCUGGUGGAUGAGAAUAGCGAUGGAUCUCUCAAAUUUGAAGAGACUGUCAUAAUUUAGAAUGGAGAAUUCUGCAAUAACAAAGAUUCAAGGCCUUGACUGUUUGGAGAAUCUAUGAAUUCUGGAGCUCUUUGAUCUUGAACCAAGGGAGAGUUUCCUUGACCCGACUCAUUUGAAGAAGUUGAAGUCAGCUGCACUAGAUUAUUGUAGUAAUGUGGAUUUUGCUUGUCGCAAACUACCAGAAUCUCUGGAAGAAUUGUCGAUUGAAGGCCCUGCCAUCCUUGAUGUAAGUUGAUCAGGUUCAAAUAGUUUGCAAAGAGGGAUAACGUGGGUGAGGCCUGACUGUUUCAACUUGAAUAGGUCCAAAUAAUGCGAUGUCUGGCAUUGCUUAGGAGAUUCUACCAUUUCUUGAAAUUUUAGAAGAGAUGCUCAGCAGAGGAGUACGUUUUCCAAUAAGAAGUGUAUGUGGUUCUUGAAAGGUCUUGCAAUUACAACCAGAUCUCUUGUCAAUAAAACUUUGAAACUCAAACAAAUUGCUUAUUGCCCUGUGUCGUUUGAGCAGACAUUGGUUAUUGUCUUUCUCGGAACCAUGUUCAUUAUACUAAAUUAAGAUGACAAUUUGGCAAAUUGACUUGAAAUUUAAUGUUUUACUGCCCUUCUGUAGUUUAUUACUGGUUGUUUUUGGAACCACUUUUACCUUUAAGAUAGAUGGCUGUAAAUUGCUCAUGAAAUGUCACCAUGGUUUCUUUCGAUCUACUUCAUGAGUUCGAUUUGGUUUAUAUGUAAAUCCCUUUUGACGAUUUUGAUUGUGAAUUAAGUGACCAGUAAAAUUCAAGUCAAACUAGUUUUACCAUAUUUUAUCGCAUAAAUUUUGUCAAUGAAGGCUAUAUUCAAAUGUGUAGGCUUUAAUCGAUGACAGAAGUUGUCAUUCACCUUUUGGUUCUCCUAGGAAUGGAGCUUCAGGUUUCAAUGUUGAUAAGGAGAACCACUCUCCAACAAACGUCCUAUAUGACAGCCUGAGCUUUUUCUCUUGGCAACAAGUAAGAGAAAUUUACGGGGUCUUCCUAUGCAAGUAAGCUUUGGCUAACUCAAUUAACGCGUAGAAUUGACAACUAGCCCACCAAGUAAAGGAAAGUACAAAUGAGAUGACAAUUUAUCUUUCCCAAAGCUGUGUGUCAAGGACCUAGAUGGUCUCUUGCACAAUGUGCUUUGAGGGGUCAUAAUUAGCAAUAUAUCCAUUUAAACGAUGAAGGAAAUUUAGUUAUUCGGCUUGCCACUAAUGCUAUUUCCUGUAUAUCAGAAAAAAAAUGAAGGUAAAAGCUUACAACUCUGGUUCCAAACGCUAAUCAGUGUUUCGUGCCAAAAAGCCAAGACGAUAUAAAUUGUUUACCUCUAAAAGUUAAGAUUUAGCAAAGGUUGCCGGCGGAAAUGAUGCAAUACAAGGUCAUCAUCCGUUUUCAACAUGGCUUGAUUUAACAGUUAAUCUGCAUAACUUCCUGCCAGGAAACAUUUGAAAUACUUGUGCCAAGAAGUCUUUAGUGAAUGUGCCUACAGUAGAAGGUGAGGUCCCACAUGGAGAAGUGGUCUCCCAAGGCACUCUUUGCUUCACCUUACAAAACCAGUUAAGUCUGGGAAACAAAGCCAUAGGCCCAAGAUCAGAUUGAGACGUAAACUUGUGAAUGCAUUCAUUCAAUGGAAGUCAUGUAAUUGUAUUUACACAUUCAACUUCAUGCUAUUUACAUUCAGAGUGAAUUUGAGUAGAGCUCUUAUGCAUCUUGUGAUGGGUAUGGACAACAGAUCGAUGGAAUGCGUUUCAUGACUGUCCUCACAGAGGUCCUUGAUGAUUUUUGAGAAACGAGGUGCUGACCCAGAAGCAUUUUAACUGAAGUUGCUCUUGGCAUCAGAGUCUGAAGGCAGCCUCAAUGUAGAAGCAGAAGGAUUCCUAGAAAGCAUAAGAUUUCCUUUGACAUCUUCACCUCCAUAUUCCUUCAAUCGUGCAUCCAUGACAAUCUUGCAUGAUCCCCAUGUCUCAGCCAUUAAUCCCACACCAUAGUAGACUAAGUGGUCCGCGAUGCUGUUACCAGUUACCGAUCUGCAGAGAUGCACUCUCAUCAGUCGUCCACAAAUAUCCCUCGUAACAAAGGACUGACAUUCUCUAGAAUAAGCUGGCCUGUCACAUGACUAUUGUGUCCAGCAUGACAAAUCCACAAACUAAUUGCUUGAACAAGUAGCCACAGCCAAAACUACCUCAUUACCUGCUACAUGAUGGGUCUUCUCCAGAGCUAUCACAAACUUUCUCAACUUGAUAAACCAGACUACCAAAUCCUAUAUUAUAGAGCCAUACCUACAACAAAGGGAACAUUCCAAUUACAUGUGAACAUUGACAUCGAAAAGAUUAUGAGUAGCCACCAGAGAAGCAGGUGGAAUCAAAUCAUUUUCGCAUUAUCUCACAUCAAUAUGUUUAUCCGUGACUGUCUUUGAGCUAGUCGCCAAUGAUCAUAAGCACUAGUAGACAAACAAUAAUUAAAUUGUGUAUGAUUGCACAAAGCUUCAGACUAGGUUUAAGACUAGGUUGUCAGCCAUCAGGAAGGAGAGAGAGUAUAUAGCAAACAUUAUUACGCGUUUUAAACUUUAAAAUCAGUAUGAAAAAACUCAUGAUGGCUCUUGCAGGAAUGAGAAUUACUCAAAUAUUUCUGAAAAGUCAUGAGCACUCUGGGCUACCCUGCUUUGCUAUCAAGAUGAAAAAACAAAACAGUUAUUUUUUAAAGGCUGAAAAAAGAGAGUACAUACAUCGUCAGAAGAAAUGAGACUUUGGUUAGAUAGGUUGGAAGAAAUCCAAAGCAAACGUCAAAGUCAGUCAGUGACAACUCCCCAUAAUUUAGAUGAUAUUCCAUUAAGAUCAAAGCCUUACCUCUCUAGGGAAGUGAUGGUAAGUCUUCUGUGGGAACCGAGAAUAGUAUGGAGGUAAAUGAGGCACAAUAUCAUGUCCAUUUAGUAAUACGUAUUGUAUUUGGCACACGGUCACUGUAGCAAGAUGCAAACACUGCAUUGCCAAUACGAGGUUGUCCAAAUGUUAAAACCUGAACAUUCCGUGCUUCAUGAUUGACCUGGAAAUGACAUGUCCCCAGUUAUAUAAGUAGAUCAGACGAAUACUGGUCUGGAAAAAAAACAGCUUCAGCACACAUAAUUAGACAGCCAAAUAACUUGAAUGUUAAUACAUCAAUGGCACUGUCAGGAUGGGCGAAAAAAACAGUGCAUCAAAAACCAUAUAUCACAUUUCACAUACAAUGGUGAACAGUAGAGCAGCCCUUUCUCUCCAUGAGGUUUGAAGGUCUAGCGUUGCUCUGUCAAGUUCCCAUCCACAAUUUUCCCAACACCAAACCCCACACCCACAAUAAAACCAACCCCGCCCUCAGCUUCAAGAAAAUAUGUUAACAAUAUGGAAUAGUGGGAUUGGGGUGAAUUCACAAUCGAGGCACAUUUACAUGCUGCCACAAGAAGCAAUUGGAUGCUGGUGGCAUGAGCCACAUUCUGCUAAUGGCAUAAACAAAAAAUUCCAGGUUCAUGGUGAAAAUGCACCUCGAACUCCAAAACUUACAGUCAUAACUAGCAAAGGAGAAACUGAAUAAAAAAAGAAGGGCUGCAAUGCAUGGGCAUGCUAUCACAAUCGAAUAUAGAACAAUUUUCAGCAAGAAACCAGAAAGCAAAAGUAAAAUUUUAAAAUCAUUUGUGUUAGGACAAAAUGUUAUGCUUGCUACUAGUACUUCGAGAAAAGUUAUAGUCUAAAGUUUAUGCAACCUAUGAUUCUAUCAUAGGCCACAUGAAUGUUUGACUCUCAAAAAAAUCACCACUUGUCAUGGAGAGAGAACAAUGGGAUGUGACUUUGGGCUGCGUACCAUUUCUGGUACCAGUUCCACAACAGGUGCCUAGAAAAGUACACUGGGCCACUCUAUUUAACAAAGCUGAGACAAAAAGCAUGAUUUGGACAUCUUAGAAUUGGCUCCAGCCCAGUAGUCUAACUGAAGAGGAGCUGCUUCAUUUGACUAGAGAGAGACAGUCAGCAACAGUGCACAAACCACAAACUUGGGAUCAAUAUAUAAUCUAUCUUAAAAUGCAUUAGCACUUUAAGAUUACAUGACAUAAAAUUUGAGCUUCAAGUGCCUAAAAAAGUUAUAUGGCCAGACCAUAAACAUAUCAACAAUCCCAUAAAGUUUACAACAGCAAGUGAACUUUGUAAGGAAUAGUUGGAUGUCUUUACCCACCACAUUUAAGUAAUCAACCAACUCGAAGCUCCAAAGCUUAACAUGAAUGACUCAAUUCACAUAACUAGAUACUUCGAUAAUUGGUGGUUCGCGUAAAGACUGUGUGCACCCCAUUCUGCUUGUGUUAUGUCUAUGGAUUGAUCUAACAAAAACAUAAGAAAACAAGAUGCUAUGUAUCACGAAUUGUAAAUACAAAUAUGAGAGCCAUAGAAUGUUCAAGAUCCACUUUAAGAGCCUAGACACUUAAAGGUAGAGUUGUCAAGAAUUCCAGAUAACUCCCAACAGACCAAAACUGAAUAGUUGAAAGAACACAAUAGAAAAGAAACAAAUAAAAUUUACAAGUCCCAGGCAUAACAGUUUUUCAAUUUAUCUUACCACAAGAUCGAGUCCGCAAAAAGAUGCCAUAGCCCCUCCCAUAGAAUGUCCUGUCACCAUGACGUUGAUGUCUCCAUAUAAAUCCUUGGCUCUUGUAACAGCAUCCAAAAUACCAGGUCGAAUUGUCGUAUUGUGAUAAGCAAAAUAAAAUCCAUGAUGAACCUAAGCAACAAUCAAUAGAGUAAGACUGUAACUCAAUCCAAAUCAGAAGCAUCCACAGGUUGCGAGAGGCUUAUCAUCUGUAGAACUCACCAUGGCACCAGGCAUGCCAGGGUAAUUUAUGUCAAGCUGUUUCCAGUAGAAAUCUUCAACCCAAUUUUGUAUGCUGUAGACAUAAAUAGAAGCAAUCACUAACUAAAAAGCUCGAAUGAUAAAGAGACGUGACAGAAUUUUUCACAGAACAAAAUUAGUGAAGUAUGUGAUCUCCUCAUGACUCCAUCUGAAAUUACAAGAAAGUAACUUCCAUGUCUUGGUGGAAAUGAUUCACCCUUUUUCUGUUCGUAUGGAUGGCAGUCCCAUGUGCCUUAUGUACGCAUUCACUGAGGGUGCUCUUCUUAGCUUAAAUUUUGAUCAAAUCAUUUGCAUGUCAAUUGUAAGGGGAGGAAUUGCAAAAGUUAACAUGCAUACCUAUGUUCUUGGGUACCUCUGAAAGCUAUAACCAUAGCAUUAAGGUCCUUGGCCACCCCGACAUAUGCCUAUAUAUAUAAAAUAGUUUAGAAAUAGAGACAAGCGAUUAGAUGCAAUUCAAAAAUAUAGGCAUCACAAGCAUCCAAUUGAUAGGCCACCAUAAAAUGAUUUAUAUACCUGUAAGCAGUGCUGAACGUCGACUAUCAGUUCUAUGACUUCGAAUCCCUGCUUUCAUAUCAAAAAAGGCAUUAAUAACCAGUUCAGAAGCUCAUAAGACGAGGCAGCAUAUGCCCACAAAAUCUCAUCUUGAAAAAUUGGGUAUUUAGUACUAAAGAUCCAUUCUUAAUGCAACCUUAGCAACGAUGCUACAUUAAAAAGUAGUCAAAUUACCUUGGUCUUUCCAUCACAUCUAGGAAAGUAGUUCUAUGACUGAUGCACGAACGCGAAAAUUGCAAUUACCUCUCGCCCCGCUUGCGGCAACCAAGCACGUCAGAACAACCAUCGCCCUCAACCACGACCCGCUCCGCUCCAUAUCCUGCAACAGAAAACGGAUCCAACAGCGUCGUCGAGAAAAGGACAAAAAAAAAAAAACACGAAAUCGCGCCAAAAAAAAAAAAACUCCAAUCUCUGCACCUUUCAUGUACGCAAACAAUCACGCGCUAUCAAAACGGCGCGAAUGGACCGGCGAGAGAGAGAGAGGGAGGGAGAGAUCGCUCGAAUUCAAAUCUCGAUUCCGGACUCUCUGGCGUCGUUCGUGGACUUUUUAUUAUGGCGAUUGAGAGCCGCAGCGACUCGUUGGGGGCGAAGGGAAGCGCAGGACGACGACGAAUUUACGUAUCAUUCCUGAUUUGCCCUCGGUUUCUUCCUCCGUCGGCGGGCCGCGUUCGGUGAUUUCGUCGCUUGCACGAGGGCAACGAAGGAAGUUCAUCUGAAAUCGGGGACCGUUGAGAAUGACCGGGUGGCGAUUUCUUCUGUUUUCUUCUGCUUUUGGUCAAAAUUUGGGGUUUCUGUCUCUCUUUUUGGAGCUUCCCUUGCGGCUUGGCUCAAACUAGAAUUCCAAAAAAAGAAAAAGCUAAAAUUAAUGCUAAUAUUCGUGGAGGUAUAUGGAAAUGCAAGUACUACUUCGGACGAAUGUUUUAGAAUUCAAGCUCGAAUCGAUCUAAUAACUCAACUUAUUCGAAUUUAAAAAUAAUGUAAGUAUGGUUGAGUGAUUGGCAAGUCGAGCUUCAUUGCAAAUCAUGGAACUUACUUCUCUUGAUUUAAGGGAGAGUUGCAAAAGGCGACUUGCCGUAUGUAUUGAUUCUCGAUGCUCUUGGUGUUUUUAUUAAGUUGGAUAUAGUAGUUAUUAUUUGGGUUGAUAUUGUAAAAACUUCAAAUAGGUACGCACGUGACAAAUUUACCACAAAUUAAUUUUUUUUAUUACUAAAAACUUAUACCGAUACAUUUGUAACAAGUUUACUCUUUAUUAAGUUAGAUAACGUGUACUGCUAACAGAUAUACUAGUUUAAAAGUUUACAUUUCAUUAGUUUACAUUAAAUUGCCAAGUUUGAUGAUGGUUGACAUAUGUACAAAUUUAAGGUUUACCUUAUAUUUAUUAUAGUUAUUAUGGUAUUGAUCCAAUUAAAUGAAAAUUAACGAAAAAAAUUGUCAUGCAUGUACUAUAUUAAAGUUCUUUGUAGUAAGUUCAUCCAAUGUAUACCGGUUUGGGAUUUUUUUAAGGUUAAAAUAUUGAUUUAUGGUAAAUUUAUCAUGAGUGCAUCAAUUUUGAAUUUCUCAUGAUAUUAACUCUUUUUAUUUUUUAGAAUUUCGAGUUUUUUGCCUUGUCUAAAAUAUACAAACUACUCAUAACGUGAGCACAUUUAGAACUGAUCACUACCUUAAACAUUACAGCAUUAUCGUCUUAUAGUUGCUCAAUAGUAUGUAUGAGUCGUAUGAAUAUCGUGAUUAAAUGUUUUACAUAUAAAAAAAACACGAAGGACAAUGAGUUUCUAAUCUCGAAUAAAAAGGUUGCAAGUGUACAUUUUAAGAGGACAAAGAUUGCAAAUGAAUUUUUAUUUUUUUAUUUUGCAUUUAGCUCACACUAAUAAUAUAAAUAAGAACCCACCCCGCUAUGGGCGCUUUGGUUCGGGCAUUUCCCCCAUCUUGGUCAAGGGGAGGAUCGAGUCACCGCGUGCCCAAUUGCGCGACUUAAGUGCGGCGCCAUGGGAGGUGGGUACUGUGCUAGCGCCGUCCUGAGUUUACGUCACUGGCUACUGGCUAUAUGGUGGUUCCUAGAUCAUAAAAAAUAAUAAUAAUAAUAACAUAAAUAAGAACAUUAAUACGAGGUGCGUGCCAUAUUCGGUGGCUUUCACAAAUUUAUAUUGGUAGCGGAAUAUUUAUAAAAUUACAAUGAAAUCAGUACAAAAAACUUAAGUAGCACUGACAUCAACACGCAAUUCGAUACGAUACAACAUGCCAACACGUCGUUUCUCAAAAAAUAAAUAAUUCCAACAUGUUGGGAUAUGUUAUAUAUUAUAUUCAUAUUUUAUAUAUAAAUAAUAAAUUAUUAUUUUUAUGAUUAUUUCAAUCAAAUUAAUCUGAUUCAAAUUCACAAAUAAAUAAAUAAUAAAAAAUUCAUAUAAUAAAUUUACACUAAAAAUAUUAAUCCAUACUUUAUUGAUAUCUUUCAUUAUUUCAAUUUGACAAAUUCAACUUCAUUUCAAUAAAUUCAUAAAACUUGGAAAGAAAAAACAGGUAAUUCACAUUGUAGAUUUGCGUGUCAAACGUGUUGAAAGAAAAAAGAAAAAACUUAAAGGUAAAUUAUGUAUCAUAAAAAGUGAGAGUCAAAAGAGAAGAUAAGAAAAUAUUAGGUUUUUCUUAUUUCUUAAUUUAUUAUUUUUUUCACAUAUAUAUUUUGACCAUUCAUUUAUUGAAAUUUUUUAAAAUUGACCUUGCAUGUCGGAAUCGUGUGGUGAAAACUCGUAUGUCGAAAUUCCAACUCAAGUAUCGAAGAGUGUCGAAAAAAUUGAUUAGGUAUUAGAUUUUUCGACACAUGUUAACCAAAUAUCAUAAAGUGUUGGACACGUAUCGAAGUGUUGACAUGACACAAAAGCUCCCAAAGAGUGUUGAUUCUUCAUAGCAAAAAAACAAUAGGUGGGAGUUAAGAAAAAAGGUGAUGUUCGAGAAAAGUUAUCAUGAAGAGCAAAAUAAUCAAUUUCAUAGACACCCAAUCUUUUCCUUUAUAUGUAGUAGAGAUAAAUGAAUUGGUGUGACUCAGGUCAAACUUUACAAGCACAAAACUUAUUAAUAUACUGCUCAUAUUUUUUGUUGCUAGGCCUAUACACUACUCAUUUGCUUUAUAAAAAAAAGAUACGAACACGAAAAAAUAGCAAACCCACCCCCGAACAUGUUAGCUCAAUGAUAAAGAGGCCGCAUGGCCCUUCGCGGGUUCAUAAAUUCAAGCCAUAUCAAGAACGGAUUUCCAACUAGUUAGAAUCUCGAGCAUUUACAAUUUCCUUCCAAACUUAUAAUAUGUUGAUAGAAUUUAUAACGACGGGCUCAUAAAUGUAUUAAUAAGCAUAUUAAUUGUGUUUCAAACUAAACACAUUAUAAUGAUUAAGGAAUCUUAUGGUGAUAUCAAGAGUUAAUAACUGUAGUGAUCAUAUUUUCGUACUUCUUUAUUUACCAGAAAAAUUUCGCAACCCAUCACGGCGUGGGCGGCAAGGCCAGGCCGGACCACCCCCCCCCCCCCCUGAUCCUCGAGCCGGGGGUCCACUCGCGCGCUGGCUUUAAUUCCCGUGCCGGGAAAGGAAAUUACAUUUCUCCCCCCCCCCCCCUCCCCCCGACUGGCGGGAAAUUUUCGCACCCAGUCGUACAUGUACAUAACGAAACCGAAUAAAGGGAAAAAAAAAAGCCGGAAUAAGAAAAACCCAAUGGAUAAUUAAAAAUCAUAAUAAAAGCGAAGAGACUAUUUAAAACAAAAUUACGAAAAAGCGCAAUCCCUCCUCCCCCUCCUCGCUUCCUCCAUUUUCGGACUCCGACUCCGAUCGAACGAACCACUCAUCGGCCUCCGCCCCCCUUUUUCAUUCCGAUCGUUUUCGGAUUUCGAUUCGGCCUCUCUCUCCCUCUCUCUCUCUCUCUCUGUAGAAAGAGCAGCGACGAACUCAUCGAUCGACCGAUCCCGCCGAUCACCGCCGUGAGCAGGUCUUCGGCACCGAUCGCCAUGGCGAGGCCCUCGAAGCAGCAGGCGUUAGGGUCGAAACAUUGUUCGACCCAAGCCAAACACGUUACUUACAUUAAAGGAACACCCAAACAAGCAAAACACAAUUUCCCUUUAUAAAAAAAGAGAUUGAAAGCGAAACUUCAGAGCCGCCUCCCUCAGUCGUCGCCACCGGCGGAGUAGCCGAUGCCAUGUCCAAGGCGAUCAUUGCCGGGCAUCCAACCCUCUCCGUCGUCUUUGUGGUCUGCCCGUUCUUGACGCCGCUAGACCAUGGCCGCGUUCAAGCUCCGGCCAUCUCAUCCACGGCCGCUCUUCCCUGACAUCAAUUCCUCUGUUUUUACUUUCGCUGUUUGACCUCCCAGUCCAUGGCCGUUGACAUCUCAAACUCGCCGUCAAGGCUCAUGGCCAUGGACGAGCUGCGGUCGCCAGAUCUGUGGAGAAGCCUCCUCGCGAGCAAAUGGACGAGCUAGGCUUGCAUCCACGGACGAUACCAGAUCUGGAGGCACGACUCCAGUCCAGAUCUGGACGGGCAACAACCCCGAGCAGCUGUGACGAUGGAGGGGUGGCUCGGCCAUGGACGGGGCCAACCACGAGCCGACCGCCCGCGACAACGGAGGGGACAAUGGUAGUCCAUAGGCCGUCGUUGCUCGUGACGGGACUUCUGGGUCUGCAACCAUGGCUCUAACGAAAGUGGCUCGUCCAUGGCUGCGAGCUAUGGUGGUCGACUUCCAGAUCUGCAAUUCCGUUGCUAUGGACGGCCAGAUUUUAACAUCUGUAGAACGAUGAGAAGGACAAAAUAGAGGAAACCAGCCAUGCUCGGCGCUGGUGACCCCGCCAUUGGCAACAGCGGAGGAGGGACGGAGGUCGGGCGGUUGUGGACGAAGGAGGGGGAAGAGAGGGCUGAAGAGAAGAUUUUUUAAUUUUUUUUCCUCAAAUUCUACAUCGACAUGGAAUUAGCAGACACGUGGCAUGAGUGAAAAUACAAACCGUCCACAGAAUGUCUACUACUAAUUAUCCAGCUGUCUUCGAACAAAAAAUAAUCAUCUAGCUGUCCUUUUCUUUCUAUUAUUUUUUCCUUCUUCCUUCUCUUUUUUGGAAAAAGCAAUCUGCCUUUUUCUCUUCCCAAACAUAGAUUGUAUGCUUUGUCACACUAAUUGUCACUAAAUACAAUAAUCCAUAAUUAUUAUUUAUUGCAAAACACAGGUCCAUAAUUUGAUAGGUUGUUUGAGUAUAAUGAAAACCCAGAAACCAGACCCAAAAUUUCGAUUGGGGUCUUAUGUGUUUUGGGUUGGGUCAGGGUGGGUCAUAAUGUGCGACCAUUACAAUUUGGGUCGGGUUAGGUAACAUCAAAAUCCGACCCAGCCCGACCCAUCGACACCCUUAGUUUUUUUUUUUUUUUGGUCAGUCCUACUCUAUUCCUACUCUACACUCACUCGCAGACUUGUGCCCUGCCUCGUGCAGGGCGUGGGAGUCGCAACCCACGCUCGAAACUUACUCGUCCCUACCCCCAUCCCCCCGAGAAGGUGGGGAUUUGAACCCCUCACCUCCCCCUUCCAUGUUGGAAGGGUGGCCACUGGAGCGAACCCCCAGUGGUUCGACACCCUUAGUUCAAAUGGCACUAGAGUUAAAAGCAUUUUCGAGGUGAACUUGUUUCUUGCUCUUCGUUCGGGGUUUACUAUUUUCUGGCGUACUCUCGGUUGGAUGAAGAAGAGCCGAAGUUGAGAGUGUCUCUCGCUCGUAGUGUAGGCAUGUUGUUCAAUUGUGCAUGCCAAAAACUAUGCCUUUGGGAGGGCUUUCUGUUUUUUAUUUUUUUAUUUUCCUGGUUGGUUGGUUGGUUUUGCAUCUCCAUGGCUAGAACACUCGAGCAGAGCUGCAACUUUUCAUGUUUCUUAUAUUCGAAACUGAUGACUCUGGGUUUUUUUUUUUUUAUUUCAACAUUUCCUUGUGAUUGAAAGCUUCAUCAAUCACUUCUCACCAUAUGCUAAGUGGGAAACAAUGGAAAACGGAGCUCGUUAAUCUUGCUCUGCUUCUCUCUUUACAUACACAUGACUUCUUAAGUUGGGCCAGUGCUUUCAUACGUCUGAAAUGUUGUUAGAUACUUGUAAGUAUGACUCGGUGAGGAUCAGAAUCGUUGCCACUAAUUUAUUUUUGCAUUCUUUUUCCCAUUCAUUCCACAGGAAGAUAAUGGUGAAACAGAAGUUAGCAAGCGUGAGAAGGCCAGGCUUCGUGAAAUGCAAAAGUUGAAGAAGCAGAAGAUUCAGGAAAUAUUGGAUGGGUAAAAUGCCGCUAUUGAUGCUGAUAUGGUGCCUUUGCAUUCUAAAAAUGACUCUUUCUUGCAUUAUUUCGAGUUCAUAUAUUGAUUAUGACAGUAAAAUUUUCUUGUUUUUGAAAUAAUUUUUCAAGAAUAAUAAGGGAAAAGGGCAGUUGAAGUAUCUCCUGCAGCAAACUGACAUUUUUGCUCAUUUUGCCAAAGGUAACCAGUCCGCUUCACAGAAAAUCAAAGGAAGCUACCAUUACCAAUGACAAUGCUCUCUGUAUUUUGUGCAUUGCAGAUACAAUCUCCCGUACAUAUGUUCCUUUUGACAACUUGCUGAACAAUUUCUGCAUUGGUCCUAACUUUCUUCAUACUUCAUAGUUGCUUAUAUGGGACUGAAAGCUUUGUUUGAUCCUUGCGGACCUUUUGCUAUAUAUCAAUAAUUGCCUAAUGCUGGAAUUCUUUAGAGGAAAGGUGCCUAUGGUCCAGUGGUCUAACCCUGGCUAGACUGUCACUUACAUUUGGUGUUGAGGUUCCAUAUUCAAAGGGAACUGAGAUUUGCUAAUAUUUAUGCAAAUGAACGAUGUUCAAUUGUAACCUUUGUUCUCUUCCAGUUGGACAAAUAAACAUCUGCUCAUGCUUAAAAGUGGAGAAAACAUGUUUGUGAAGUUCAAGUCAUCAUUUCGCAGACCAUUUCUGUGUUCAGCAUUCAUGUUUGUUCAGUGACGUUUUCCUUUGGUUAAUGUGUAGGGGUCGUCAUGAAUCUAAAAUAACUGAAGAGGAUGAAGAUGAAGAACGUGUUAAGGAGGAGGAAGAUGGCUUGUCUGGUACAGGAAUUAUGCGGCUGUUGACACGACCCUCUUGUAAUCUCUCUCUCUCUCUCUCUCUCUCUCUCGUUUGAUUGAAAGGAUAGUCUUUGCUGCUUAUAUCUCUCCUGUACCCCUGCUCUGACUUGUAGAAGCUGUAAUGUUUGCUGCAAUUUCAGAACGCUAGGUAAUGUGGGAUUGUCAAUGUUCUUGGUGUUGACAUGAUUCCUCAUCACUAACAAUUAUAGUACUCCAAGUACUUACUUUGGUGUUGACUAAGUAGAGGUUUUUGACAUCCCUUCCCGGCCUUUGUCUAGGCAGGAACCUCUUGCACUGGGCAUAAACCUUUAUUAUAUUGUCGUCUUGCUCCAGAAAGAUUCUGUUUUGCUCUGUUGCAAUUAUCUUGCCAACAGGAUAUCUCCAGCAAAUAUGAGUUAACUGCUUUCUUAAGUUCUAUUUGUAUGCUUUUUUGCAGGUAUACAAGGGAAGAUGAGGGAUUACCAGCUUGGUGGAUUGAAUCAGGUCAUAGGAUUGUAUGAGAAUGGCAUUAACGGAAUACUUGCUGAUGAAAUGGUAGGUCACGGGCUGCAGCAUUUAGAUGUGUGCAGUAUGGAAGCUGGAAAGGCUAGAAGAUGCAGAGCUUAGAGAAAAUGUGCUUAUAGAAAUUCCAAUGAUAUCUUGGAGAUAUUCAUCUUGUGAGAUCUUUAAAUGGACAUGUGCUGAGAAAGUCUUACAUGUCUACAAUAUUCAUACCGGGUUGAUGAUGGCACUUCUGGUCUCUCCAACUUGAAAAGCUUGAGAGAUUUGUCCUGGGAAAGCCAAAACUCUUCCCCCAGUUGACUAGGAACUUGAAAAGAUCGUGGAAAAUUCUAUCCCCGGUGGAUUAGUAGGUUAGACGGUUAGACACAUUGGAGUCUUUAAAGUUGUCCUAUUCGAUAAUGACCACCUUAUCACUAGAUAUUCCCCAACUUUCUCAUCUCUACAGAGUUGAACUUUGUUGGGAAUGAUUUUACCAAAAAAAAAAAACUUUGUUGGGAAUGUCUGUAGUGCCUCCCGAGGCUUCCCUCAAGUUUACUGUCCAUAUGUAUUAGAUAUUUCCUAUCAAUGCGUACAUUGAUAGACCUAUCAACUUGAAGAAAUUAUGAGAACUUUGAGUAUUGCGCACUUACAGAGAUUCAAAGCCUUGAAAGUCUGGAGAAUCUUAUAACUUUGGAGCUGAACGAAUACCACUGACUGGACAAAUUGGCCGACUGAGUGGCUUGAAGAAACUAAUGGCUUUUCAUUUACAUCAUCGUAGUGAUCUGGUUGACCGGAAUCACUGGACAAUUUUUUUAUCUUCUCCAGCAACUUUAUCCUGAAGUUUCUAAUGUUUCAAAGUGGAAGAAAUUAAAUUGAAUAGGCAUCCACCCCGGAGAUUUGAAAAUUCAACACAUUAUAGAGUUGCUUGAUCAAAUUUGGCAAAUUUCUGCAAAAGAAAAAAGAAUGGACACCUGCUCUGUCAAGUACUUUGUUGUACAUAUGUGUAACAAAGAGGUUUAUGUAAAUCUUCUUUUUCAGUUCACUUUGCAUGUUGACUAGUGAUGGUUCUGCAAGUACCCUUGUUCAGAUUUUCUCUAUUUUAAUUUGGUUUUGUUUAGAUAUUUUAAUGGCUUUGAAUUGCUAACUAACUUACCUAACGAGGUCAGGUCAAAUUAUAUGAACUCCAAGUGCAUUAUUUUGUCAAUUUACCAUGUGAUGAUUUAUUUGAGGUAUCUUAUAAAUUGCUGCUUCGUUUUACUGAAUUUGAAACUGGUCGAUGCCCAUGCUUCACAUAGGAGAACUUUAAAGUAGCUGUUACAAUGUGUAUGAAAGUACUUGAGCACUUGUGGCAUUACCUCUACAGCAAUAACUAACACAAAAUUGCGACAUGAAGAAGAUGGACGAUCUACAUAGGUAAACACAUGUUUAGUUUGGCUUUUGGGUAAAGCACGUUCCUUAAUUGGAUUCACACAAGAUGAAGAGAAGUGGUAACGAUUCUUAAAUAAAUUAAAUAAAUGUUUCCAGUUGCAACUUGGUCCGACAUUAUCUAAUGUUGAAGUAAAUAUGAAAUAAUGACCCAAAUCGUCAAAUUUCAAAUGAAUAGAAGUGUGACAAAACUUUUUCCAAGUCUAAAAAUUUAACAUGGAAUAAUCUCGCACCGUCUACAAGUUCUUAUCAUUUUGCCUCUUUUUUGUAUCUUUCGUAAUAGAUAAUCCACAAGCAUUAACCAAGAUAAUGAAGAGCCACACCUUCGAAAACACUAUUUGAAAUAGAGAACUUUCGUACUUGAGAUAAGGAGGAGUCAAUUUUUUUUUUUUUUAAUCAUUAUAGUCAUUGGAGAGGCGUCAUAAAACUUUGGCCAAUCACUGAAAAGGCUUCCAAGUUUGAUUGAGAAUAGGGAAAGGCUAAUUGAGUUGGUGUCCAAAUGGGAUUUAACUAGUCACAUCAAGUUUGUGAGCUUAUUUACCGAACUUGUUAGUGGCCCAAAGUUCGGGACAAGGACCCCUGGAGUGCCAAAAGUUGGCACAAAGGGACACUUAAGUGCCAAAAGUUACGAAAGGUACACUUAAGUGCCAAAAUCGGAGCAAAAUGGAUCACUUGAGUGCCAAUCCGGCCAAAAUCCGGCAAAAAUGCCGACGUGGCAUUUUUCCGGCGAAUCGAGCCAAAAACGACGCCGUUUUGCAUGCUGACAUUGCCAAAUAAUGUAAAAACAGCGUCGUUUUGGACUCAUGGGAUAAAAAAAUAAUAAAUAAAUUAAAUAAAUUAAAUUUAAAAUUAGAUUUAGUUAAAAUAUUAAAAAAUGAUAAUUUUAAAAUUAGAUUUAGUCAAAAUAUUUAUAAAAUAAUAAUUUUAAAAUUAAAUUUAGUUAAAAUACUUAAAAAUUAAAAAUUUUAAAAUUAAAAUUUUAAAAAUAAUUCAAAAAUAAUUAAUUUAAAAUUAAAUUUAGUUAAAAUAUUAAAAAAUAAUAAUUUUAAAAUUAAAAUUAAAAAAAUUUAAAAAAAAUUAAAAUUAGAUUUAGUUAAAAAUUUUAAAAAUUAAUUUAAAAUUUAAUUUAGUUAAAAUAUUAAAAAUUAAAAAUUUUAAAAUAAAUUUUUUUAAAAAUAAAAAAUAAUAAUUUUAAAUUAGAUUUAGUUAAAAUAUUAAAAAAUAAUAAUUUUAAAUUAAAUUUAGCAAAAUAUUAAAAAAUUAUAAUUUUAAAAUUAAAAAAUUAAAAAAAUUAAUAAAAUUAAUAAAAUUAAUAAAAAGGGGGGCGGGUGGUUGAGGGAGCCUUAGCCAUCGCCCCCCCCCUUUUUCUAAAUUUUUUUAAUUUUAAAAUUAUUAUUUUUUAAUAUUUUAGCUAAAUUUAAUUUUAAAAUUAUUUUUUAAAAAUAUUUUAACUAAAAAUAAUUUUAAAAUAAUUUUUUUAUUUUUAUAAAUUUUAUUUUUUAAAAAUUUUAACUAAAUUUAAUUUUAUUUUUUUUAAAUUUUUAACUAAAUCUCAUUUGAAAAUUAUUUUUUUAAUUAUUUAAAUUNNNNNNNNNNNNNNNNNNNNNNNNNNNNNNNNNNNNNNNNNNNNNNNNNNNNNNNNNNNNNNNNNNNNNNNNNNNNNNNNNNNNNNNNNNNNNNNNNNNNNNNNNNNNNNNNNNNNNNNNNNNNNNNNNNNNNNNNNNNNNNNNNNNNNNNNNNNNNNNNNNNNNNNNNNNNNNNNNNNNNNNNNNNNNNNNNNNNNNNNNNNNNNNNNNNNNNNNNNNNNNNNNNNNNNNNNNNNNNNNNNNNNNNNNNNNNNNNNNNNNNNNNNNNNNNNNNNNNNNNNUUUUAUUUUUUAAUAUUUUACCUAAAUCUAACCAAAAGUCAAAUGUAGUUCAUUGAGAUAUGAUUUUUUGCCACAUCAGCCCAAAACGACGCCGCUUUUGCAUUAUUUUCCACGUCAGCAUGCAAACCGGCGUCGUUUUGGGUUCAUUUCGCCGGAAAUUCGUCGGAAAAAUGCCACGUCAGCCUUUUGGCCGGAUUUUGGCCGGAGUGACACUUAAGUGAUCCGUUUUUUUUAGAAUGUGGCAAUUAAGUGUUCCUUUCGUAACUUUUGGCACUUAAGUGUCCCUUUGUGCCAACUUUUGGCACUUGAAGCGUUCUUAUUCCCCCAAAGUUCUAAUACAACACUCAUGAAUGAUUUUCCCAUCUACAUUGACACAAAACUGUGCUUAUACAUUGGUUUUGUGUACUCUAUUUUAAUAGUAUUUUGUAUAAUGAUCAGCACAAAGCAUGGAUAUAUAGGGGUUAAAUGCGAAGGUUGGUUUACCUCUAAAUAGAUGUGAUUUUUAUAAUUUGAUUGAUCACUAAGGGAGUGUCUUGGAUGAAGAUCAAGCCCGAUAAUUCCACCGGGUUUUAUGGUUUGAUGUCAAUUUAGGCCUGGGCCCUCUUAGCCCAUUAAAUUGGACCAACAAGAGUUCGCCUUGAUUAGAUUUUUGGGGGGGGGGGGGGGGUGGUGGGCAGCGAACUUGUUUGGAAGUUCCAUGUUUGCUUUGUUGACUUUGACUUUGAAUGAAUCCGCCCAUUUAUUUGGAGGCAAAAGUAGAUUCUCAUCCACAAAAUUUUGCACCAGUGAUUUUUGUGUCAAAGAAAUGUACAUAAUUGUCAACUUUAACAGGUUGGAGUGAUGCUUCAAGAAAGCAUCCCUAUUGAUCGAUUUGGCAGCAAAACUGGCUCACAACUCUCUUUGCAUAUUCAGUCAAUGUUGUGGCUUCUUCUAAGUUCAAUGACCUAUCGAAAAGUCAUUCAAAAAAUCUUCAUUUUUAGUACCUUAAGAUUGUUUGGAAGUUCCAUGUUUGCUUUGUUGACUUUGACUUUGAACGAAUUUGCCCAUAUAUUUGGGGGCAAAAGUGGAUUUUCAUCCCCAAAAUUUUUACACCACAUAUUAAGUGAUUUCCACAUCAAAGAAACGUAAAUAAUUGUCAACUUUGAUGGGUUGGAGUGAUGGUUCCAAGAAGCAUCCCUAUUGAUCGAUUUGGUAGCAAAACUGGCCCACAACACUCUUUGCAUAUUCAGUCAAUGCUGUGCCUUCUUCUAAGUUCAAUGACCUAUCGAAAAGUCAUUCAAAAAAUUUUCAUUUCUAGUACCUUAAGAUUCUGUGGUGUAGGAAUAAAGGUCUUGAUAGUUAAGGCCCACAUCUAUAUAAAAAAUCUUUCUUAUAAAAGGAGUAGGAGUUUGGUAAUGGGAUCCCACAUGUUUUCUCUUUGGGAGGGGGGGAUAAACUUGUUUGGAAGUUCCAUGUUUGCUUUGUUGACUUUGACUUUGAAUGAAUCUGCCCAUAUAUUUAGGGGCAAAAGUGGUCUCAUCCCCAAAAUUUUUACGUCACAUAUUAAGUGAUUUCCACAUCACAGAAACGUAAAUAAUUGUCAACUUUGAUGGGCUGGAGUGAUGCUUCCAAGAAGCAUCCCUACUGAUCGAUUUGGCAGCAAAACUGGGCCCACAACUCUCUUGCAUAUUCAGUCAAUGCUGUGGCUUCUUCUAAGUUCAAUGACCUAUCGAAAGUCAUUCAAAAAAUCUUCAUUUUUAGUACCUUAAGAUCAUGUGUUAGGAAAAAAGGUCUAGAUAGUCAAGGCCCACAUUUAUAUAAAAUAUUCUUUCUUUCUUUUAAAUGGAGUAGGAGUUUGGUACCUAGGUCCCACAUGUUUUAUUUUGGGGGGGGGGGGGGGGGACGAACUUGUUUGGAAAUUCCAUGUUUGCUUUGUUGACUUUGACUUUGAAUGAAUCUGCCCAUAUAUUUUGGGGGCAAAAGUGGAUUCUCAUCCUCAAAAUUUUUACACCACAUAUUAAGUGAUUUCCACAUCAAAGAAACGUAAAUAAUUGUCAACUUUGAUGGGCUAGAGUGAUGCUUCCAAGAAGCAUCCCUAUUGAUCGAUUUGGCAGCAAAACUGGCCCACAACUCUCUCUGCAUAUUCAGUCAAUGCUGUGGCUUCUUCUAAGUUCAAUGACCUAUUGAAAAGUCAUUCAAAAAAUCUUCAUUUCUAGUACCUUAAGAUUCUGUGGUGUAGGAAUAAAGGUCUUGAUAGUUAAGGCCCACAUCUAUAUAAAAAGUCUUUCUUUUCCUUUAAAAGGAGUAGGAUCUUGGUAAUGGGAUCCCACCUGUUUUCUCUUCUUCCUAGAGCUUUUAAGCUAUAAUGGAGAAAGCUCAAUUUCGAUUCGAAUGGAACAAGUCUGAUUUCAAAAACAUUUGCAACGAAUUUGUUUGGAAGUUCUACUUCUGCUUUGUUGACUUUGAAUGAAUUUGCCCAUUUAUUUGGGGGCAAAAGUGGAUUCUCAUCCCAAAAAUUUCUGCACCAUAUAAUAAGUGAUUUCCGUAUCAAAGAAACGGAAAUAAUUGUCAACUUUGAUGGGCUGGAGUGAUGCUUCCUAGAAGCAUCCCUACCAACCGAUUUGGCAGCAAAUUUGGCCCACAACUCUCUCUACAUAUUCUGCCAAUCUUGUGGCUUCUUUUAAGUUCAAUGACCUAUCAAAAAAUCAUUAAAAAAAUCUUCAUUUUUAGUAUCUUAAUAUUCUAUGGUAUAGGAACAAAGGUCUUGAUAGUUAAGGCCAACAUCUAUACAAAAAGUCUUUCAUUUUCUUUAAAAAGAGUAGGAGUUUAGCAGUGGGUUCCCACAUGAUUUCGCUUCUUCUUGGAGCUUUUGAGCUAUAAUGGAGAAAGCUCAAUUUCGAUUCGAACAAAACGAGUCUGAUUUCAAAAAAACCUACAAUGAGACUUUUGGAGUUUUGUUUUACUAAAACAAAAGUCUAAAAAAGUAGAAUCAAAGCUAAAGUUAUCGGAAACAAAUUCAAUCUUCCGUUGAUCUCAAUUCAAGGAAUUUGAUACUUUUCAGGAGUUUUCUUUGACUCACGACAUGAUUAAUAACUUCAAUCUUAAUUUAUUUUGUCAUGCUCGGAUCUAUGUCCAAAAAGAUUUGAGAACUUAUGAAUUCAAAAUGAGAAAUAUUUACACGUUCAGAUCUAGCGAGACUUUAUUUUUCUUCCUUGGUUCCACCACCACGUACUUCCUCCAUGUUGUCCUUAUCAAAACAUCAAUCGGUUCGUUUAAUCAACAGCUCGCACCCUAUCGAGAUCUAAAGGUUUUGCUGGUGUUAGCGCAUUCACAUCCCUCAUGCACUGGCCCGCAACUUUGAGGGGGUUAGCUCAUCAACUUUGGGGGCCAUGGAGUUAGGUUAGGGUUUUGGAAUAUCGAGGGAUUUAGAGCAAGGAAAAAAUGUGCAAUUUUAAGCUCGUCAUUGAUCAAGCAAACCUCAACGUCAGAUUUUCGAUGUUCGCUUGGACCAAACUUUGAUGGAACGUAUUUUUUUGGUUAUAAUACAAGUUUUGGAUUUGAUGAUAUAAAAACAGAUUGGAUAAUUGGCAUUGCGAUGGAUAUAAAGGUUAGGAAUUUUUUCGGAACUAUAGCUCACUGUCGUCGAAUUGCCGCCCACCCAUCGCCAUCAUGAGCUCUCAACUUCACGCAUCAAUUCAUUGGCGACUUAACUCCUCGCCUGCUCAAGUAUGUCAUCUACACCUUCAUCUCUUUUUCUUUUUGCGCAGAGCUCAUAACCUAGGUCCAUGGAAUUCGUGACUGAUAGGAGGUCGCCAGCCUCGCACAACGACAGAUCUAGGGUUGCAUGGCCACGGGUGUCGGGGCUUUGACUUAGUGAGCUGGCUCGAUUUUCUAAGCAACGGAGAGAGGCCCUCAACUCUGUUUAUCGUUAAAAUCAAUACCCAAAAAGAAAGAGAUAAAUAAAUUCCUCGCCAUGAGGGCAUUUGGGUAUUUUGGCAACAGCAAAAAGACAAAUGCAAUUGAUCUCGAGUGUAGUGAAUCAUAGAAAAAGGGGGUCGUGAUUAUAGAUAUGAAGCGGGUUUGUCAGCUUUUAGUGGUCACAUUUAUUUGGGGGCAAAAGUCGAUUCUCAAUCCGAAAUUUCUGCACCACAAGGUCCAGUGAUUUUCUGCAUUAAGAAAUGUAUUUGAUUUGUCAACUUUGAUAGGCCGCGGUGAUGCUUCAUGGAAUAUCCUUACUGGCCAUUUUGCAGCAAACUUGACCCAAACGACUCUCUGCUUAUUCACCCAAAUCGUACUCUCUGCAUAUUCACCCAAACCUUUGGCUUCUUAGUUUAAUGGCCUCUUGAAAAGUCAUUCAAAAAAAUCUUCUAAUUUUAGUUCCUUGAUAUUUUUGUGGUGAAGGAACAAAGGUCUUGAUAGGUAAGGCCCGUAUCUAUACUAAAAGUCUUUAUUUUCCUUUCAGAAUAAGGAGAGUUUAGGCAAUGGAUCCCACCUAUAUUCUCUUCUUCCCCGAGCUUUUGAGCUAAUGGAGGAAACUCAAUUUCAAUUUGGAUGGAAGGAGUCUAAUUUUAAAAGAAUUUGCAAUGAGACUUUUGGAAUUUUGUUUUUACUAAAACAAAAUUUUAGUGGCAUAUAAUUAAAGCUAAAGUUAUUGGAAAACGAAUUUGAUACUUCCCAAGAGUUUUCUUUCUUUUUUUUUUAACUCAUCGAGUCAUUGUGAUUAAUAACUUUAAUCUUAAUUUUUUUUUGUUAGACUUAGAUAUAUGCUUGGAAAAACUUACCAACUUAUGAAUUUCGACCACUGCCCGCAGCGGCACAGCUGGCUUGGGGCUCUCUCCUCCUCACGAAGGAGAGGAGUUCGAAUCCCAGAGGCGUCGUUAGGGAUUCUUACCUGGAGUACUGUGGUGGUGCUCACCGGCUGUCGGCCUACGGGGUUUUCUGGGUUACCAAAAAAAAAAAACUUACGAAUUUCGAAAUUAAACAAUUUUACACCUCCAGAUCUAGCGAGAUUUUAUUUUCUAUCGUGAAAUAUGGAAUGUUUAGUUAUCACAAAAUCGAUUUGGAAAAUAGAAAAAUACUUGCAAACAAACACCAGUUAAUCAUGUCAUCAAUCAAUAAAAAUGUUGGAACCGUCUAAUUUAACCAAAUAGAAAUGGAAUAUACAGCAUAUAUAUAGUUUUGUGUUACAUCAAAAUACAAUCACUAGAUUAAGAAUUGCAUGCGAUUGGUCGAUAUGAUUUUGAUGAGGACGCCAACAAUCUAAAACCUAAACUCCCUGUGCCUCGUCUUAAUGGGGUAUUAGCAUUAGCUACCACCCUCAAAAAGAGAGAAAAGAAUCAGACAAAAUAGUGUGUGGGGGCGGUGCAAGAAGACUAAAACUAAUAAUUGACCCAAGUCAAAGUCUACGAAGACUUGGACUACCAUAGGCACACGCUAAAGCAUGGGCGGGACUUCUUUUCCACAUUAGGAUGACCCCAUCUUCUUUUUCCUUUGCUUUCAUUGCAUUAUUUCUUUUCAUUAUCACUUUGCUUUUUAACAAGAAUUUCCCUCGGAUUCUUCGAGGCAGUUUCGCCGUGAAUGACUAUUGAGUUCCCAGUGGGUUACUUACCAUGAGAAUUUUGUGAAAUAAUAUGCAUUCAACGUUUCACAUAACAUAUGACAUUUUAAUUACAACUGCAAGCAAUAUGUGGAUUUUUUUUUUAAUAUUGUUAAAAAUAUGUGCACUUUUACUCAAUAAGCACCAGCUUUUCAUCAUUUGAAGUUUAACCAAUAAAUCUAGAUUAUUUACAAGUAAUUUAAAUAAAUAUACUGAAAUCGAUACAUUAAGUGAAUAAAUAGAUUUGUGAAAAUAGAUACUACUCAAAUGAGAAUUCAAUACUUCCCAAGAGUGUGUUUUGACUCAUCAAGUCAUCAUGAUUAAUAACCUCAAUCUUAAAUGUUGUUUUUGGUCACACUCAGAUUUAUGCCUGAAAAGACUUAAGAACUUAUGAAUUUGGGAAUGGAACAUCUUUACACCUCCAGAUUUGGCGAGAUUUUGUUUUCUAUUGUGAAAGAUGGAAUGUUUAAUUACCACAAAAUAGUUUUAGAAAAUAAAGAAAUACUUGCAAACAAACACCAUAUGUUCAUAAAUACUUUGAUCUUUAAAUAGUCUAGCAAAUCACAUCAUCAAUCAAUAGAAAAGUUGAUACCGUCUAAUUUAAUUAAAUGGAAAAUAAUAAAGUGCUGUAUACAUGUGAUUUUUGCAUUGCAUCAAAAUACAAUCAUUAUAUUAUGAAUUGCAUGAGAAAUUGGUUGAUGUGAUCUUGAUACAGACGCCAACAAUCUAAAACCUAAGCUCCCUAUGCCUCAUUUUAACGUGGCAUUAACAUUAGCUGCCUUUCGCGGAAUGAAAGAGAGAGAAAAAUAAGACGGAACAGCGUAUGGUUGGUGCCAGAAGACAAACAUCGCAAGAUUAGAGGAGCAAAGGCAAAAGUCUACGAAUUGGACUACCAUCAGUCCAUGAUGAACCAGCUUUGCUCCAAGAAGGAAUCACACCAAUUAUUAAUUCAUUUGGUAACUUUGUCCCUCACAGUCAUAGUUCCAUAAACGUAGGGAUUUUAUCAAAAAGAAGAAAAACAAAAUGUCGCUAGAUCGCUCUGUAAAAUCCAACAAUGACUCAUCGUUCUCCCAUCCACCUGCAAAAUUUACACGGUAAUAAAUCGAUCUCCAAUUCUCAUACUCUUUGAUAAUUUCAUCACACCAUUUCAUCGAUCAUAUGCCGUUAUAUGAAAAUUGAAAAAAAAAAAAAAAACUCUUAGGAUGUCUUUAUCUCACUGAGAAUUUUUUUGCCACGGGAAAAUGCUUUUAGGAAAUUCAAUUUCAGAGAAAAGGAAUUAAAAGAAUUUGAUUACGAUGAAAACAAGUUUUAAAAAAAAACACUGAUUUUAUCAUAAUUGGUAAUAAGUGAAUCCACUAAAUGCGUCUUGUAUCAUUAAAAGUAACAUGGAAUGACUAAUAAACUGGAAUUGAUAUCAUCUUUACUUAUUUUAUAAUCCAUCAAAAUAUCAAGAAUUAUAAAGAAAUUAAGAUAGAAAUUAUGAAACCAUAUUUGUAAAAUAUAGAUAUGAUCGUACUUUGGGAAUGUAGAAAAAUUGAGCAUUAAUAAAGUAUAUUCUUCUCACUUCAAAGGGCAGCAAGAAAAUAAGUGUAACGAUUCCUUCUUACCAAGUCGUUUUUCUCUAAGCUUAUUGUUUUUAGGGUUAAUGAUACAAAAAUCCCAAAUUGAUAUACUCAUGAUAAUUUUACUCAAAACUAAUUUUUUGACUACAAAAACCUCAAACUAGCAUAUUUGUAAUAAAUUUAAUCUCCAUUAAUUUCCCUUAAAUUGGAUUAAUACUAUUGAAAAGCACAAACUAUUAUACAUAUGUCAAAUAGAGGGUAAAACCUCAAACUGAUACACUUGUCAAUUGCCAAAUUUGAUGUAUGCUUUUGUUGACUUUGACUUUGAAUGAAUUCGCCAUUUAUUUGGUGGGCAAAAGUCUAUACUAGUCUAAAAAAAUUUGCACCACAUAGUCCAAUGAUUUUUCCCAUUAAGAAACGUAAAUAAUUGUCAACUUCGGCAGGCUGGAGCAAUCCUUCAAGGAAUCAUCCUUAUUGACCAAAUUUUGCAGCAAAACCGACUCUUUUGCAUAUUCACCCAAUCGUUUGGCUUCUAAGUUCAAUGACCUACCCAAGACUCAUUCAAAAAGAUCUUUCCCUUUUAGUUCCUUAAUAUUUUCGUGGUGAACAAGCAAAUGCCUUUGAUAGUUAAGGCUCGCAUCUAAUUCGAAAAGUCUUUCUUUUCCUUUAAAAAGAGAAGGAGUUAGGCAAUCGAUCCCACCAAUUUUCUCUUCUUCCCCGAGCUUUUGAGUUAGAAUGAGGAAACCUAAUUUUGAUUUGAAUUGAAGGAAUCUAAUUUAAAAAAAAAAAAAAAGAUCUACAAUGAGACUUUUGGAUAUUCGUUUUACAAAAUAAUAUUUUAGGGGGUAUAAUCAAACCUAAAGCUAUCAGAGAACAAAUAUGAUCUUCGAUUGGUCUAAAUUCAAGGAAUUUGAUACUUCUUGCGAGUCUUCUUUUUAAUUCAUCAAGUCAUGUGAGUAAGAACUUCAAUCUUGAAAUUUCUCUUAUCAGACUUGGAGAUGAUAUAAAUACAGUGGGAAUAAUUGAUAUUGUGGUAAAUAUAAAGGUUGGGAUGGAACUGCCCACUUGCCGUGCGCCCAUUGCUAUCACAAGCCCUCAACUUCGCGUGUCAAUCCAUCAGCAAGUUAAGGCCUUACCCGCUUGAGUCUGUCCUCUACGCUUUCGUCUCUUUUUUCUUUCCGCGUAGAGCUCAUAUCCUAUGUCCAAGGAAUUCGCGACCGACAGAGGUCGCCAGCCUCGCACGGGUACACAUGUCUGGCUGCAUGGUCGCGGCAUUGGGGCUUGACUUAAUUAAUUCGCUUGAUUUUUUUAGAAAUGGAGAGAGCCCCUCAGCCCCGUUUAUCAUUAAAAUCAAUACCAGAAAAAGAAAAGGAUAAAUAAAUUCCUCGCCAAGGGGGGCAUUUGGGUGUUUUGGCGGCAGCAAGAAGACAGAAUGCAGUUGAUAGGGGAGAGAGGGGAGCAGAGGAAAAGGACGUGUCGUGAUCAUGGUGCGUGUUCUGUCAGCUGUCGGUGGUCACAUGGGGGGAGCGAUGAUAUCGUGUGCAGUAGUGAAGCCAGGCUGCUAAUAAAAAAGUUCUCCUCAUCUCUGGAGAGAGGAUGCAUUUGUGGUGAGGUACGGGGAGCUUAUUAUUACUCCUAGAAACAAAGAUGUUCUCCAUGCUUCAGAAUUUGAUUGCAGUAUUAACUUAACGGCAUUAAUACCAAUCAAGCUCUUCAACUUCUAUUGGCAGACCGUGUAAUCAUCUGCUGGGAGCCAGAAACUUGUAAGACUAGUGAGGGAAGUCAUUGCCUUUUGAUGGAAUAGUUAAAUCUAUUGGAACUCGAUGUGAAGUUUUAGUAGAAUGGUUUGCCUUUUUUUUUUUUUUUUUUCUCUCCAAGAAAUUAUUAGAACUAGAUACAAGGAUUCAUUUUGCAAUUUGGGGCAUCAUAUGCGGAGUUUUUGAAAACCAUGUACCUAAGAAAAUAACUACUAUCACUGCCACAAUUAGAAUAUGAAAUCCAAGUUAAGGAUGCGUUCAUUGCACGGAAAAUGAGUGAUCUGAAAUAUAAUGUUUGAAAGAUGAUCAUUUAUACCGUUUGGAAAAAUUAGUCAAUGAAAAAUAUUUCUAUUGUCAAUAACAAUUUAUGCCUAACUAUUUUCGUGGGCGAUGAAAUUUUUUUUCAUCAAUUAUUUUUUUGAAUCAUAUAAACGAUCAUUUUUUGAAAAAUAUUUUACAAAUCACUCAUUUUCCUUGUAAUGAACGCACCUUAAGUUUGGGAAAAUUUCAUUAUGGACUCUUAAUGGUAAAUUGAUUAAUAUUCUAUCUUGUAAAAUGAGAAACAACCUAAUUUUUUUAUGACAUGUUCAUGUAUUCCACAUCUCUUGUUUAUGGAAUUCGUAUACUCUUUAUAUACAUCUGGUCUUUAUCCACCUAUUGGCUUAGUCUUCUGAAUUGAUAUGAUAGUAGAGUUGAUAUUAUACCAAAGUUAAGUUCUGCUCUAGUGUAUUUCGCUUGUGUAACCCCCUUUGUCAAAUUCGACAUGUUUUUUUUUUUUUAAUGUUAUAUGGCGAAAAGGUUUAGAGUAGGCAAGGAUUUGCACAAAAGUGUGAAGAACAAGCUGCACCUUUAAAAACAUCAUCUGAAACACUUAUUAGUUGAGAUCCAAGUGAUGUCAAUAUUUUGUUAAUUAUCCUAGUCAUUGAAGAGGCUUCACCGAACUUUUGCGAGUCAUUGAAGCGGAAUCCGAGUUCGAUUGGUGAGGAUAAAUCGGAGUCCCGUGCUUGUUUGAUGAUGCAGAAGGUCGAAGAACAUAUAUUUGGAAGUGGAAGUACCAAAUGGAAGUUGCCCGAUGUAUAUGCAGUACCAAGGCUUAUUUCGAAAAGUCUCGUCCAUCAACGUUUGUUAGAACUGCACAAGAGCACGUUUCCAGUGAAACCAUUGAAAGCUUGAAAACUAAAUUAAAAUUUGAAUAUAAAUUAUAAUCUCAACCAAGAGGCAAUUUUAUUGGUCAGCGGAAAUAGAACUGGGAGAUGGAAGUUAAAUGAAAACUCCAUUACGCAUAAAGAAAGUGGGGGUAGCCUGUGAUACGUUUUCAGAAUAUAAUGUUCAAGGAAAUACAUUCGUAAAACUUAUAUUAAAUUUACUAUAGAUUUAAAAUCAGAUUUGACCAAUAAUUAAAGUUGAAAUUUGAAAUUCGCAUCGGUGGAAUUCGGAUGCUAUAGAAAAACUCAAAUUAAAAUAAACUCAAAUUAAAAUAAUCUCUGUUAGGAAUGGCGAGCAAAGUAUAAAGUGUGUUAAGAUAAAGUAAAAUGAUAGUCUAAUUUGAAAAUUAGAAAUUUGUCCUUAAACUAGUAAUAGAAAAUCUUUUAGAGAAUUUAUGUCAAUAAGAGAAAGCAAAGGUCCGUACAUCUUCAAUGACUUACAUUUUGUGCCUUUGUUCGAAACUAUGUAUAUUCAAUUUAAUGUUCUCUAUAAGCAAUUGAAUAAAUAGUUGACAUCAAAUAAGAUUUUUUUCUUUUGGUCGAAGACAUCAAAUAAGAUAAAAAGGAGGAUAUUUGAUAUAGCUUAUUUUAGUAACUACACUAGCAAUUAAAUCAGCAUAAUCGGAUCUAUAUAUCUAAAUGAUCAUAGUUAAAGUAGAGAAAACAGUUGCAACGGGGCAUGCCACAUAGCUAUUGUGUUUCUGUGCAUGGGUUUGCUUGGUGUAGCGAGAGUGUGAACUGCCUACUUGAAUGUAUCUUACAUUUUUUAUAACUAGGAUUUCAUGCAAUGUGAACAAACGUUUGAGAAAAAUGCCAAACAAUGUUGAUCAAGGAGUGUUCUAAUAUUUUGAUUAAUGACAUGGGGGCUCUCAAUCACCACGAUUAGAAUAGCAAAAGAAAUCAUGGAAGUAUUUUGGAAUCAGCUGAUGAACCUUAUUUUAUGCUGUUGAGAAACUUGGAAGAAUCCGUCCAUAUUAUUUCACUAAACCUAUUUUAUGCAUUACGUGUUAAAAAGCAACCACACCAAGUAACAUGGAAAUCAAUUAAAAUUUAUGCCAUAAAUUACAGGCUCAACCGACUUACCGUUAAAAAGAAGAAUUAGCUUCUGGCCACGAUGGUAUUGGAGUAAUUUGGCAGCGGCAAAAUAUGCAUCCAAAUGAUCAACGGAUUCCAGAAAAUAAUGCGGUUUUGGCCAUUUAAGGUGCGCGUGCGCGUGCGCGGAUCAGGCACAGGAACAACUCAUACGACCCGACGGGAGGCUGUUUUCCCUAAAGUAGCCCCGACUCGACACCCAAACCCCAAAAGCGACGCCACGAUUAUGUAGGGGUGAGCAUGGUCCGGAUUGGUCCGGGCCACCCCCUAACCCUAGGACCAACCCGUACAGUAUCGGUCCUCAAUUUUUAGGACCGAGGACCAACCCUAUUGAGCCUAGGAUCAAGGACCGGACCGACUCAAUGGGUUCGGUUCGGUUCCAGGGUCAACCGGAACCGAUUGAUAAUUUUUGUCGUCCUUUUUUUCAUACUCCCUAAAAAUGCAAACCUACAAAUUCAAAUUACACAUCCAUCGACAAUGCGGCAUUGUGCAACUAAACUAUAAAUACCAAUACAUAUUUAGCAAAUUUAAUAUGACACAAUAAUAGAAAUUUCGUAUCUGCUAACUGCUCAUCGAGAUAUGGGACAAGAUGGAAAGUUCUUGUAAUCAUCUAUUUUUAAUAUUUAUAACACCAUAUGCAAAAACAUUUUCUUGCAUUUGAUCAUCUAGAGUCUACUCAACCAAAAAAUGAACUUCACACCACUUGACUAGCAAAUUACCGUAGCAACUGUAGUACUACUCUACUCUUCAAAAACUUCUACCAUUUGACACAAAUUGAAAAGUAAAGUGCAGCUGAAAUUUAUUAGUAAAAUACAAUUAAACCAUAAAAAGUUCAAAAUACUUAAUAUAAACCAUGAAUAUAUAAAUUCACAUCUUGUUAAUUCACUUGAAUUUCUAAACACCUGAAAACAAAUCAAACGACACUUAAUUAAUACUCAACAAAAGUUUUAAAUUGAAAUUAUUAUUAGUACUAUUGAUAGGCAUCUCAAUAUAAUAUAAUAUAACAGACAUUUUACUUAGGUUUGAAUAUAUAAAAGAAAUAUAAAUAAUAUAAUAUAUAGGGUUGGUCCAGGGUUGGACCAACCCAAAACUCUUGGGAUCGAGGACCAACCCGCACAGUGUUGGUCCUGAAAUUUCAGGACCAAGGACCGACCCAGUCCCCUUGGGAACUGGAUCAGGACCGGCAGGGUUGGGCCGGUCCAGAGUUGGUCCAGGGUUGACCCUAGACCAUUGCUCACCCCUACGAUUAUGUACGAGCAAGGACGCAUUGCGGGCAAGUGCGUAGGCCACUCAUCGCGACGCAAUUGUGGUCAGAAACUCCACAAAGACAAAAAUUAUUAAAAUUCAAAAGAAUAAUAACCGAAAGCACUCUGAUUGCUCCCAUCUUUUUAAUAUUUUAUUUUAGCCACCGAAAGCACUCGAUUGCUCCCAUCUUUUUAGAAUCCCACUAGUCUAUCUAACCCCGCUGUCGUGUCUCUCCUUUUUCAGUUGCGUCAUGACGGUGGAUAAAAGAGAAGAAUUGAGUUGUGGGAGGGGCCACUUUGGUUUUAAAAAAACCUCCAUUCGUCAACUUUGACAGGCCGUAAUGAACCGUUCUUAUUGAUCAAUUCUAGCAAACUGGCCCUAGACCUCUGCAUGUUUAGCCAAUCCUGCCUUCUGAGUUUAAUGACCUACAGAGAUUUCCAUUUGUAGUUCUGGCUUAUAAACUUUUUCCAUCUCUAGCUGUCACUGCUUCUGCUGCUAUACUUUUCAAUUUUUUUCUCAAAGAGAAGAUCAAGUGAGAUCAAUGGAGGGGAGGGCCAAAAAAUGACGCAUCUGUGAAAAUGAAGGAAUAGCGGGAGGCGCUUCUUCUACUCACACUUCAACACAAGGUCAUGAAAUGGCUACUUCAUCUGGGUAUGACUAUGAAGUAUUCUUGAGUUUCAGAGGACCGGAUACUCGAGCAGGUUUUACCGACUUUCUUUACACUAGUAUGAUAGAUAUGGGAAUCCGCGCAUAUAAGGAUGAUGAAGAGCUCCGCGUUGGGGAAGAGUUUGCCCCGGAACUUCUCCAAGCAAUUAAUCAAUCGAAGAUCUCAAUACCUAUCUUUUCGAAAGGUUACGCCACUAGCGUGUGGUGUCUCAAGGAGCUAGUCCAAAUGGUCUCGUGCCAAAAAGCUGAAAGACAAAAGAUCAUGCCCAUUUUUUAUGAUGUGGCACCUUCAGAGGUUCGACACCAAACUAGGGGUUAUGGAGAGGCCCUUGGUUUACAUAAAGAGAAGCGACGAUAUGACAAAGAGACUAUAAGUCAAUGGGAGGCUGCUCUCAAUGCAAUUGGGAACAUAAAAGGAUGGGACUUGCAUAGAGAGAAGGAGAACAGGUGAUUGCUUUUAGCAUUCCAUCUUAUGUGCAUCAUUAAAACUAGAUGCAUUUCAAUCAUUUUAUUUUUAAGGUUUGUGCUAGUCUUGUUCAAAUUGAAUUUAAUGCUAUAAAAGUGAUUACGCAGAAAUCACAUUAAAUAAUGGGACAAUCCUGAUGUUGUCCUUGUUUAUUCCAAACAAAAUUUUCUUCGGUUUAGGUCCUUCAUUAUCAGUCUAUAACAACACCAAUUGAUCUACAUUGAAAUAAAUCCUUGAAGAAUGCAUUACGAAGAUGUUUCUAGUUUCAAUUUGGUCUUGUCAAAACAUAAUUUGGUUCAGCAUAGUUUUCUAACCGGUUGCCUUUUGACCUCCAACACUAGGCAAGAAGGUAAGUUCGCCAGAGCAGUUACACAAGAGGUUUUCAAUAAGUUGAAAAAGGCUUAUCUGGAGGUAUCAGACUGCUUGGUUAGUGUCAACCACCAUGUAAAUGCAAUCAUGGAAAUGAUAUGUGCUCAGACAAGUGAAACACGGAUUAUAGGAAUCCAUGGGAUGGGUGGCGUUGGAAAGACGACUAUUGCCAAAAUCAUCUACAAUCAACUUUCAAAUAGAUUCGAGAAUUGUUGCUUUCUGCCCAACAUCCGUAGUUGCACGAGCAUUGAAUGCUUGCAAAAUCAACUCAUCUCUGACAUCCUCAAAAAUAAAUCGAUAAAUAUAAAAUACAUAGAUGAAGGGACUUGGAUAAUUAAAGACAGGUUGCCUAAUAAAAGAGUCCUCCUUCUUCUCGACGAUGUGGAAGAAAAGGAUCACAUGGAUGCACUUGUAGGUAAGCAUGAUUGGUUUGGUAAAGGGAGCAAACUUAUUAUUACUACUAGAAACAAAGAUGUUCUCAAUGUUCCUGCAGUGGAUGACUAUUAUGAGGUUGAUAUCAUGGAUCCCGAUCAAUCUCUUCAACUUUUUAGCAAACAUGCAUUUAGAAGAGAUUCUCCUUUAGAUGAGUUUAUGCACCAAUCCCACAAGGCAAUAGGCAUAGCUGGAGGUCUUCCGCUUACUCUUGAGGUCCUAGGUUCACUUUUAGGUCGCACUGAGAAGAAAAAAUGGGAUCUCAUGUUGAAGAAGUUGGAAAGUAUUCCUCAUGAGAAAGUCCAGAGUAAGUUGAUAAUAAGCUAUGAUGCAUUAGAUGUUCGACAACGGCAUAUAUUCCUCGAUAUAGCUUGUCUUUUCAUUGGAUAUGACAAAGAUAUUAUGGUUCAUUUUUGGGAUGAAUCUAAAUUUCAAGAAGAAGCCAUGGAAGUUCUGCAGAAUAUGUCUUUGAUAAAGAUUGAAAAGUUAAAUAGAAUGUGGAUGCAUGACCAACUCAGAGACCUUGGAAGAGAGAUAGUUCGUCGAGAAAGUAACAUGAAAAUAGAAAAGCAAAGUAGGGUGUGGGAUUAUAAGGAAGGAUUGGAUUUAUUGCGGCGACAUAAGGUAAAAUCCCCUCAUAUAAAUUCUUAGUAUUUAUGGAUUUGUUUUUCAGAAGAUAAGCCAAUUGCUUUUUGUGUUGUCUAGCACCCUUACAACUUACUAAACCAAUACUUUAUUAAAGGAAUGAUAAUACUCAACUCAACCACUUAAUGCAGUGGACUUGAAUAAAUGGGUUUUCCUUCAACUCUUUUGUUUUUAAAUGUUUCCUUUGGGCAGGGACAAAAAGAAGUUGAAGCUCUUCGUCUCAAAUUUGACCAUAAGCGACCAUAUCAUUUUACCUAUGAGGACUUAAAGAGCCUAUCAAAUCUAAGGUUCCUUGAAGUUGAUGAUUCGAAGGGAAAUUUUGGUGCAGAGGAGAUGCUUCUUUGGCACUGGCAUGAAUUGCCAUCAAAUGUUCUUCCAACAAAUGUUUACCAAGAGAAUUUAGAUCUUCUUCCACAAUUACGGUGGCUUUCUUGGCAUAAUAUUUCCCCAAUGUUUAACAUAACAAAUUUCUCCAUGGAGGAUCUGGUUAUUCUUGAUCUAUCUAAGAGUAGAAUUAGGCAUGACUGGAAGGGGUGGAGCUACACAAAGGUAUGUUUUUAGUGGACAACACUUAUUAUUUUGUCUUAUUAGAUUCAAAAGUAAUCUUUGCAUGAUUCUUCUUUUAUAGAUGGCGAAGAAUUUGAAAGUUUUGAAUCUGUCCUAUUGCCAAUGCUUGAAGAGAACUCCCAUCUUCUCUGCUCAUCCAAAUUUAGAGCGUUUGAUCCUACACUUCUGUAAAUCAUUGACUGAAAUAGAUAGAUCGAUUGGUAAGUUGGAACAUCUAGUUUUCUUAGAGUUAAGCUAUUGUAAAAAUCUUCAAAGGUUGCCGAAUGAACUAGGAGAUCUUGCGCGCCUUAAAUACCUAUCUCUAGAAUGUUGCGCAUCGUUGAAGAGUCUUCCGGAUACAAUUGGGAAUUUGGAAUCACUGAUUGAGUUGAACUUAAACGAUACGGGGAUCAAAGAACUAUCUGAUUCUUUUGGAAAAUUGAAAAAUUUGAAAGUAGUUAGCAUGUGGAAUGGUGAAAUAAGCAAAAUACCCGAUGCCUUUUGGACUAUUGAGAAGCUUGAAGAUAUAUCAGGCCAUUGUGGCUACACCCGUGUGAAAAUUGGCGAUUGCAUCCACAGGAAUCAAUCGCUAAGGGAAUUGCGUUUGAUGGAUGUGGUUAUACUGGCACUGCCGAGGCUUCCUGAAAGUCUUAUCUAUCUAGAUUUGUCUGACUUGUACAUGGACGCGUUUCCGGAUCUCUCAAACCUCACUAAUCUACGAGAAUUGAAGCUGGGGUUUGGUCGCGUUUGUACCAAUGGGCCUCUGGAAGAUCCUGUGCAGGUAGAUAAUCUAAUGCCGCGAUGGUUGGGGAAUUUAACCAAACUGACGUCUCUGGAUCUGCGCUUUGAUUGUCCGACCGCCUCCACAAUAGACGACCCUAGCCUCCCUCCUCAACUCGAGUCACUUCGCCUCUCCUGCUCUAAUCUGUGUCGCCUCCCGAGGCUUCCCUCAAGUUUGUCCUCCUUAGUGUUGAACGGUUGCCACUCACUUUCCUCGACAGAGGAUCUAUCGAAUUUGAACGAACUGUCAUCUCUCUCGAUUAUGGGCACUGCAAUUACAGAGAUUCAAGGCCUUGGUUGUUUGGAGAACCUACGAAUUUUGUCGCUUCAUUGUCUUCGACAGGUGAAGAUACUACCCGAGCUGAGCAAUUUAAACAAACUAAGUCAUCUUGGAGUAUCUGAUUGUGAUAAUCUGGUUGAGAUUCAAGGCGAACUACCAAAGUAUUUGGAUGGGUUGAGUAUUUAUUCCUGUGGUUCGUUAGAGAAGUUGCCUGAUCUGUCAGGCUUGAAGGAACUGCAAGCGGUUGUGGUGCGAAAUUGCACGAAAUUAAUUGUGGAGGCAAUUUUCGGCUUUGCACAGAGAAGUCAGGCGGAUUUGUGGGAGAACCUACGAUAUUUGCAUAUUGGUGACCUUGAACAGGUGGAGAUACUACCUGAUCUAAGUUAUUUAAGCAAACUAAGGAGUCUUGAAGUAAACUUUUGUCAUAAUCUGGCUGAGAUUCAAGGUGAACUACCACUAUCUUUGAAAACAUUGAAGAUUUUUGCUUGUGAAUCUUUACAAAGGUUGCCUGAUUUGUCAAGCUUGAAGAAUCUGGAACAGGUUUACAUAACAAGUUGCACGACAUUAAAGGGUAAGGCAAUUCUCGGCUCUGCUCAGAGAAGUCAGGCGAAUUUGUGGGAGAACCUACUAUAUUUGGGGAUUUGUGACCUUGGUCAGGUGAAAAUACUUCCUGAUCUAAGUGCUUCAAACAAACUAAGACGUCUUCGAGUAUCAAAUUGUGGCAAGCUGGUUGAGAUUCAAAGCAAACUACCACAAUCUUUAGAAAAAUUGGAGAUUUCUUCUUGUGAAUCUUUGCAAAAGUUGCCUGAUCUGUCAAGCUUGAAGGUGGAAGAAGUGGAAAUUUCUUCCUGCGGAUCUUUAAAGAAUUUGGAUGAUCUGUCAUUCUCGUUUGGGCGGCAAAUUGUUCUCAUUGUAGGUUGUCAAAAAUUAAAUGUGGAGGCAAUUCUUGGCUCUGCUCGGAAAAGUCAGGCAAGCCUGUCGGAGAACCUACGAUAUUUGCAGAUUUGUGGCUUUGGACAGGUGAAGGCACUACCUGAUCUCCGUAAUUUAAACAAACUAAGAUGUCUUCAAGUAGAAGAGUGUCCUAGUCUGGUUGAGAUUCAAGGCGAACUACCACAAUCUUUAGAAGAAUUGGAGAUUUCUUCCUGUGGAUCUUUACAGAGGUUGCCUGAUCUGUCCAGCUUGAAAGGACUGCAAAAGGUGGUAAUGAAAGGUUGCAUGGUGGAGGCAAUUUAUCGUCGUUUUUGCUUGGAGAGGUCAGUUGAAUUUGUGGGAGAAGAUGACUCUGAAUCUGAGCAAGAAGGCGACAAAUCUGAAUCUGAGCAAGAAGACGAUGAAUCUGAAUCUGAGCAAGAAGAUGACGAAUCUGAAUCUAUAUCUGGGGGAGAAGACAGCAAAUAUGAACAUGAAUUUGGGGGAGAAGACGAUGAAUGAGUGCACAUUGCUUUUGAAAGCUUCUUCAUCCACGACCACAAAUUGUUCCCUUGGGUCCAGACUUAUAAACGAAUUGAGGUGAGUUAUUAUAUCUGAUAACCAAUGUUUUCCUUUUUUAUUGGCAAUAAAAUUCUUUCACAGAUAUAAAUGGAGAACUUUUACGUGCACUCUUUAAUGACCUUUUGUUCAUGCUUGAAAAUCUGAUGAAGAUAUUAAAAUUAUGAUACCUUCAUUCGUACAACAAGAGUGCUCUUAAUUAUUUGCAACCAUCCAUUCUCUUUUCCUGGUUUGGUUUGGCUUUUUUAGCUAUGUUCUCUUUGGAUGGUUUCUCCUUGCUUUUAUGUUUCCCAGCUUAAGGCAUGCAUCUCGAUUGCAUCGUUUUUCAUUUGAUACGAACAAAUUAUUAGAGAUGCCAGUCGAUUUGCUACUUCACAUAUUUCGAAGUUGAUAACCUCACUUUGCAUUGGAGAUAAAUUUGUUAUGCAGUAAACAAUUCGAUGGAAUGUUUGUUGGAAGGUCAUAUAACUGUGGUUCUCAUCCUGGAAAUUUACAGCAUAAUCAACUCAUCGAUGCAAUCAUGAAGAAGACAGACACUGUAUCGAUAUGCUUAUGUUUAGUUUAUUUUCCAGGAAAGGUGUGCUUCUUACUGGGUUUUGCAAAUGUUAUGGAGAAGCUAUAAAAUGAAGAAAGACUAAUUUCACUUGGGUAGUGGCAUCAAUAGUUGGCGCAGCAAACUUCCAUUUGUGACAGGAGGGAGGACCUACUUAGCUUCUCCAAUGUAUUGUAAAUCAUCCUAUAGUCAAAGGCUAAUAUUUCAGUAUUCCUGGUGUAGAGGACAUCUGAUAAGUCUCACUGGGGUCAAAAAUCAUGUAAAUGGAUUCUUGUGUGAUCUCCAUUAUUGCCUACAUCUUCUAGAAAUGGUUAUGCCUCAGUGACUAUCUGUAAUAGAAGCCCUUCCAUUCAUCUCAAGCUAUACUAGAGGACUCUUCUAGGUUUUAAGUUUGACAAGAAUUGCUAAAGGAGACAUCUCAAAUGACUGGCUUUUUGCUGGUUUCUAAUGUUGCUGAGAGGUUUUAGAGUUUGAGAAACUUACAGAAAUCUUUCUGUGCGGGGAGUUGUGGCUAAUUGGGUAGCUAUACAGAUGAAGACAUAAUGGAGGAAAAUGAAGAUGACAUUCAAAGUGACGUUUUAUGUCCACUUUAUAAUUAUGUUGGGAGUUGAUGCCUGGGAAUCUGAAAAAGGUAUUGAAUUUAUGUACCUCCGUACAACCAGAGGGUUUUAUUUUGUGCGAAAAUAUGUUUUGUUUUCUUAGCUUUGUUUGGCUUUUUUAGCUAUAUUCUCUUUGGAUGGUUUCUCCUUACUUUCAUGUUUCCCAGCUGGAGGUAUGCAUGUCGAUUGUGUCCUUUUUUAUUUGAUUUAUGACAAUUCAUUAGAGAUCCUGGUCGAUUUGCUGCUUCACAUAUUUCGAAGUUGAUACCUCUACUUUGCGUUGGAGAUAACUUUGCUAUACUCUAAACAAUUAGAUGGAAUGUGUCUUCAAAGGUCAUAGCACUAUGGUUCUCAUCCUGGAAUUUUACGACAUAAUCAACUCAUUGUUGCAAUUGUGAAUAAGCCAAACUUUGUAUUGAUAUGCUUAUGUUCAGUUUAUUUUCCAAGCAAGGUGUGCUUCUUGGAAGGAUUUGCAAAUGUUACGGAAAAGUUAUAAUGAAGAAAGAGGAAUUUCACUUGGGUAGCGGCAUCAAUGUUAGUGCGGCAAAGGUUCCAUCUGUGACAAGAGAACAGGCCUAUCUAGCUUCUCCAAGGUAUAAUAAGUCGUCAUAAUGUUAGGCUAAAUUUCGGUAUUAUCAGUGCAUAUAACAAGUCUCACUUGGGGUCUAAAAUCAUGUAAAUCGACCCUUGUGUGAUCUCCAUCACUGCCUCCAUUUUCUUGAAAUGGUUAUGCCUAGGUGGCUAUCAGUAAUGGAAGCCCUUUUAUUCACGUCAAGUUAUACUAGAUGACUCUUUUUGGUUUAAGGAUCGACAAGAAGUGCUAAGGGAGAAAUCUCAAACGACCGGCUUUUUGCUGGUUUCUAAUGUUGCUGAGAGAUAUUGAAGUCUAAGAAACUUACAAAAAUCUUUCUAUGCAGGGACCUGUGGCGUUUUUGGGCAGUUGUAUAGAUGGAGACCCAAGCAAAAGGCAGAUGAUGGAUGAAACUUGAAGCUGACCGUAUUCCCUCUCAUAAUCUUGGGGUGGUAAACCCUGUAUUCAUCUGUUUUGGGGGGUAAAAGGGCUAUUGGGCAAAUCUGAUUGUGUUUUUUCCUUUAUUGUGGGCCCACAAAAAUGAUUAUUACAUUUCAUCUAAUGUGUGUUCUGUUCAUUGUUAUGCCAUAGAACUUGCUUAUCAGUACCCAGAUGUUCUUCUCUGAGAAAACACUUGAAGGCCAUGUCUGGACCGGGAGAAAAGUUGUGUUCUUAGAGUGGUGCUCGAGGUAGUCUUAGUUGCUCCUGCCAAAUCCAGUUCAUGGGCCUCUCGAUGUGAAAAUGGUGCUCAAUGUAGUCUUAGUCAUGAGUUGUAGGCACUCACAACACAAGAAACAUGGAUUGUUGGAAGUCAUGGAAUGGGCCAUGCUGGAGAGACGACACUUGCUUAGCUCAUCUACAAUCAUCUUGCACAUGGUUGUGAGCACUGCUGCAUUUUUUCUAACAUCUGUGAAACUUCAGAGCUCAAGGGCAUUCAGUUCUUGCGGAAUUACUCAUCUCCAAUAUCCUCAAAAGGAAGUUGACAAAAAUAAGUAAUGUUCAGGAAGGGAUCAAGACAAUUAAAUAUAGGCUUUUCAGUAAUAGAGUUCUUGUCCUUUUUUAUGUUGUUGACCAGAAGAAUCAAUUGAAUGCACUCAUGGGUAACAUUUGUGAUAUUCGAGCAUUCUGAAUCCUUCAAUGGGAAAUAUCAAGCGCUGAAGGAUCUUGAAAUCCUCAGUGCUUUUUGUUUGUAAUAUCGGUGCUUUUUGUUGAUCAAAGGCACUACCAUCCUUAAAAGAUUCAGCCGUUUCCUGAAAAAUUUAGAAGAAAAUUUCAGCAGAGGAGUUCAUUUUCCAAUAAGAAGUGCAUGUGGUACUUGAAGGUCCUGCAUCCACAACUAAUUCUGCUGUCAAGGAAGAUUUGAAACUUAAUUGCUUAUUGCCCUAUGUCAUCUCAGCAGAACUUCAUUGUUGUCUUUCUUGGGAUCGUUAUCAGUUAUACAUAAAUUACAACCACACCUUGGCAAGUUGACUUGAAAUAUAUCGUUCUUGUAGGUAUAGUUAUUUGUGGCUGAUUUUGCAACCGUUUCCUGCCUUUAAGAUGGAUCGUUGUAACCUGCUUAUGAAAUGGGACAAUGAUUUCUUUUGAUCUAUUUCGUGAGUUUGAUUUGGUUUAAAUAUAUUACUUUUUGACAUUUUUGGUUGGCUGAUUGAGUUACCACUUACCAGUAAAAGAUGAGUCAAAUUUAUGCUAGUGUUACUACAUUCAAAUGCAUUAUAGUGUUACUACAUUCAAGUGCAGUACUUUCGUCAAUUUAUGCAUUGGUCAUUUAUGCGAGAGCCAUGGAGCUUGCUGGUUUGUACUUUAAAUUUGAACCUUGUAACCCUGUCUUGUAAAACUCAACUUUGUUAUUCCUUAAACCAUAAAGAAUAUAGUCAAAUGUAUAGGUUUUAAUAUGUGACUAAAGCUCUUUCAUUCACUUUUGGUUACCUAGGAAUAGAGCUUUAGGUUUUGGUAAGGAGAAUCAUUAAACGACAAAAGAGUCCUAUAUAACAGGUUGAGCUCUUCCUCUCGGUAAUAAGAAAAACUUAAGGGUUCUUUCUGUAAAGGCAAACUACCCCCAGCACAGUUACUAGUAUAUUUGAUGACCGUAUAUCUUUCCUAACGUUUUGGUGCAAUACUUCCACUUUUACUGUAAUGUACAAACUCCAAUUUAUCAUGCAAUGUCAAGGACUUAACUGGUUUCUUGCACAAUGUGCUUUGAAUGGUCACAAUUGGCAAUUUAUGCUUUAAAAUGACGAAGGAAUUUUUGUUUUUUCCCGAUUUCCACUAAUGUUUAGUCCAGCAUAUCAGAAAUAGAAGGUAAAAGCUUACAGCUCUCUUUCCAAAGGCCAAUCAGAUCAUUCCUACAUCUCUCAGCAAAGAUGAUAUAAAUUGGUUAACAGUUGCAAUACUUGGUUGCGCCAAGAAUUCUUUUAUGUGCCAAUGAGCUAGUAGUAGAAGGUAAGGUCACUGAUUGAAAAGUGUUCUCCUUAGAAAACUGGUUAAUUGCUUACAGUUCCAGAAUUCACACACGUCUACCAAAUUUGUGAAGUUCAACACAGGUUCAACCUGCAAAAAUAGAAAAAUAUAAAUGAAGGAAAAAGGCAGCAUGAUUCAGCUCUUCAUAGCUCAGCACAGCAUCCACACAUCCCUUUAAGGUUUUAUCGAGUCUGGUAAACAAAAAUUGACAGGUAAACUUGUGAGCGCAUUCAUUCCAUAGGUAUCACAGAGUUGUGUUUACGAGGAUAUACAUUCAAUUUCAUGCUAUUAACAUUCCAAGUGAAUUUCAGUAGAAAUCCUAUUCAUCUUGUGAGGGACAUGGAAACAGAUUGAUGGAAUGCAUUACAUGAACAAACUUCAUCCGGAGCUGCCUAAUGAUCCUCAAGAAAUUAGGUGCUGACUUAGGAGCAUUUUAUGUUAAGUUACUCUUGGCAUCAGAGUCUUAACGCAGCCUCAAUGCAGAAGCAGAAGGAUUCCUCAAAAGCAUAAGGUUUCCUUUGUCUUCACUUCCAUAUUCCUUCAAUCGUGGGUCCAUGACGAUUUUGCACGAUCCCCAUGUCUCCACCAUUAAUUCCACACCAUAGUAGAGUAAAUGGUCCGUGAUGCUGUUACCAGUUACCAAGAUGCAGAAACACACUUUGAUUAGUCGUCCGUAGGUGUUUCUGGUAAUCAAGGACUGGCAUUCUCUUGAACAGGCUGGUCUGUCACAUGAUGACUUAUUGCACCUAGCCAUGAUAAAUCCACAAAAUAAUUGCUUGUGACAGGUAGCUACGACUGAAACUACCUCCUUACCUGCUGCACAUUGGAUCUUCUCCAGAGCCAUCACAAACUUUCUCUACCUCAUAAACCAGACUACCAAAUCCAAUAUCAUACAGCCUUACCUACAAAAAAGAGGAUUCCAAUUACAUGUGAACACUGACAUAGAAAUUAGUAAGAUUAUCUCACAUCAAUAUGUUUAUCUGUGGCUGUCAUUGAGCUAGUUGCCAAUAAUAUAGGCACUAGUAGACAUACAUAAUUUAAAUGAGUAAUACCUUAUAAUUGCACAGAGCUUAAGACUAGGUCAUCAGUCAUCAUAGAGAUAGAGAGAGAGAGAGAGAGAGAGAGAGAGAGAGAGAGAGAGGGGACAGGGAGGGAGAGGGAGGGAGAGAAAAAAUUCAUACAAAGUUAUCAUGCAUACCUUUGUUCUUGAGAGCCUUUCAGAGCUAUAACCGCAGCAUUAAGGUCCCGGCCUCUCCAAUAUAUGCCUACAGGUAAUAUAUUUUGGAUAGAAAUAAAGACAAACAAUUAGAUGCAAUUCGAACAUAGAGGCAUCACAAGCAUUGCAAAUUGGUCAGCCACUACAACACGAAUUAUAUACCUAUAAGCAGUGCUGGACAUCAACAUGAUUUCGAACCCCUGCUUUCAAAUAACAGGGCAUUCAUAACCAAUCAGAAGCUAAAAAGAGAAGGCAGCAUGUGCCAACAAAAUCUCAUCUCAAGAAUUGGCCAUUUAGUAUUGUACUGAGGACCUAUUCUUUAUGCAACUUUAGCAAAGAUGGCAUUUUAAAAAGUAGUCAAAUUACCUAUCUUUCCAUCUCGACUAGGACAUGUCCAACUAGAAAGUUCUGUCAAAUCAGACAUGUAAACCUGCCAAAUAAUAAUAACAACAAGCUCUAGGUUAAUGGGAAAGUCUUUAUAAGGAACACUUAACAGCAGAUGCAUAAUCCCCCACCAUCAUCGCAAGAGUGUGAUUGUAAACAGCUUUAUGAGCCUUGGGGCUCACUCUAAGUUUUGCGUUUACCAGUAAAAAAAAGUUCAGAUUGAAAAUGCACUCACAAGCUCAUUCAAUUACAAGCAGCGAAGCAAGUCUCUUAUAUCUCUAGCAAGCUAUUUCAAUGAAUCAAGUGAGCGGAACACUUUAAGGAAACAUCAACUCAAAAAAACAUUUCAGUAUAUUUAAACCUCGAAUCCUGGUCUUCGCAGCGUUCGUGGACUCCGUAGCGAUUUUCGUGACGGAUGGCGAUUGGAAACCUCCGGCAACUUGGGGAGAAAGGAAGGAGGGGGUUGAUGGAUUUACAAAUUGUCCUUAUCUGCCCUCGGGCGCUUGCUAUGUUGGCGGCCAUAUUCGGUAAGUUCGGUGAUUUUGUCGUUUCCGUGAGGGCAAUGAAGGAAGUUUCGCUGAAAUGAGACGCGCUCCAGGGCAAAUACCCGUUCCCUGCGUCUCCCCUCUUAUGGCGCUUCCUCUGAUGUCUUUCAAUCGAGCACAGCAAAAGUCACAAAAUGUCAUUUUAAAGAUAUCAAAAAGCGUGAAUGAUUUUUUUAAAAUCAAAUUUUAUAGAAACCAACCUUUAAAUCUCUUCCUUAUUGGUGACGUAAACACAUCAAUCCCUCAUUCGACUCAAGUCACAUUUUACAAGCACAAAGCAAAUUCAUAGAUCACUCUUUUUUUUAUCAGGCUGAUGCACCACUCAUUCACUUUUAAAGUAGAAAAGAAUAAAAUUGAACAUGAAAAAGUUGCAGUUGCAAUCCAAGCACUAUGACCCGAUGAUGGAAGGACCACGCCAUCUUUCACUAUUUACGAGUUCAAAUCAUGUCGCAAGCAAAUAUAUCACCAAUCAAUAUUUCAGGCAUUCACAAUGUUAUGUGAAAUUUUUUUCAAGCUUUUGUCAUAUUAGUUAAAAUGAUGGGGUUGCAUACUUACAUAUAGAAUGAGUAGUUAUGACUCAAACAAGAUAUUUUGUAACGGAUACAAUAUUUUAUGUGAUGAUAAGAAUAAAUAACCGUAUUGAACAUCUCCUUCCUGCAUUUUUUUUUAAUUUAUCGGAGGAAAAAAAUCGCAAUCCAUCAUGGCUCGGGCGGGAAGGCUGAGUGGGACCAUCCCCAAUCCUUGUGCAUCUCGACGAUUCUUGUUUCCGCUGAGUUGACCACUUGUGCUAGUGCAAAACGAUCGACCACUUGAGGUUGCCCUAUGUGGUGACAGUUGCUAUCAUUGUUGUUUCUGCUGUUCUUUUCAAAGAUUUCUUCCAGACAAGACUAAGCAUGAGUAAGAUCACUGAAAGAGGGCAGUUCAAAUAAUGAUGCUGCUAUAAACCAUUGAGUAGUGUGAACGGUGAACUGACUGAAUAAAAUGAUGAAACAAGUAUACCUCGGUUAGUACCUCUCGGAGGACUUUCAAAUGAACAAAAAAAAAUGUUUGCAAGAGCUACCGGUGUGAACCGCCCACCAAUUAGCAAGGGGUGCAUGAUUUUUGGGGGAAAACGUCAUGUCGACUAACUUGCUAGACAUUGACUAGUCCCAAAGGAGCCUGGUAAAAUGGUACGUUUGAGAAAACCCUUGAUCGAUGGGACAUCAAUAAAGCAUAUGCCUGAAUGUCCAGGAUUGAAGAGUGCACAAAUUCUCUGUGCUUGCCAUCGUUCCUACUGACUACAAAGCCUUCAAUCAGUCACCUGACUUCCCCAUUGAGCUUUCUCUGCAAGGAGCUGGGAUCACGAGAAGCUAUCCAGCCCGAUUGGAUCCCUUGUAAGCCUUGAACACUAGUCUUCCAGAAACUGCAAGUCAAUAAAGACACUACUGGACUCAAUCAAUUUGGAAUCACUUGCUGAGUUCGAUAAAUUGAACAUGGACAUAGAGAAGCUGCCUGGUUUGGUCGGGAACAUGAAGAAUUUGAAAGUAUUGAAGAUGAGGUUCUCUGUCAUAAGAACAAUAACUAGUGCAGUAUGGAAUCAGGAAAAGCUAGAAAAAAGUUAUGAUGAAACAAGUAUACCUUGGUUAGUACCUCUCUGAGGACUUCACAUGAACAAAAAAAUGUUUGCAAAUACAUACGUUUAUCUAGCCCAGUAGUCUGACUGAAGAGGAGCUGCUUCAUUUGAUUAGAGAGAGAGACAGAAACAGCGUACAAAACACAAAUUUAGGAUCGAUAUAUAACCUAUCUUAAAAUGCAUUAGCACUUUAAGAUUAUGAGAAAUAAAAUUUGAGCUUCAAGUGCCUAAAAAUGAUAUAUGUCUGGACCAUAAACAUAUUAACAAUCCCAUAAAAUUUCCAGCAAGUAAAUUUUGUAAUGAAAACAGACCAAAAAAAGAAAGAAAAAACUUUGUAAUGAAUGGUCGGAUGUCUUUACCCACUACAUUUAAGCAUUCGACCAACUCAAAGCUCCAAAGCUUAAAAUGUACGACUCAAUUCACACAACUAGAGACUUCAAUAAUUGGUGGUCAGCGUAAAGGGCUGUUUGCACCUCAUUCUGCUUGUGUUUUGUCUAUGGGUUGAUUUACCCAAAACAUAAGAAAACAAGAUGCCAUGCAUGACGAUUGUAAAUAUGAAUACGAGAGCCAUAGAAAGUUCAAGAUCCACGUAAGAGUCUAGACUCUUCAAUGUAGAGUUGGCAGAGAAUUCCGGAUAAGUCCUAGCAACCCAAAACUGAACAGUUGGAAGAACACAAUAGAAAAGAAACCAAUAAAAUUCAGAAGUCCCAGGCAUAACAAUUUUUCAAUUUAUCUUACCACAAGAUCGAGUCCCCAAAAGGAUGCCAUAGCCCCUCCAAUAGAAUGCCCUGUCACCAUGACGUUAAUGUCUCCGUAUAAAUCCUUUGCUCUCAUAACAGCAUCCAAAAAUCUAGGUUGAAUUGUUGUAUUGUGAUAAGCAUGAUAAAAUCCAUAAUGAACCUAAGCAGAGAUCAAUAGAGUAGGACUGUAACUCAAUCCGAAUCAGAAGUAUCCACAGGUGUAAGAGCCUUAUCAUCACUAGAACUCACCAUGGCACUAGGCAUGCUGGGGUAAUAUGUCAAGCUGUUUCCAAUAGAGAUCUUCAACCCAAUUUUGUAUGCUAUAGACAUCAAAUAGAAGUAAUCACUAACUGAAAAGCUCAAAUGAUAAAGAAACGUGACAGAAUUUUUCACAGAACAAAUUAGUGAAGUAUGUGAUCUCCUCAUGACUCCAUCUAAAGUUACAAGGAAGUAACUUCCUUGUCUUGGUGGAAAUGAUUGACCCCUUUUCUGUUCAUAUGGACAGCAGUCCCAUGUGCCUUGUGUAUGCAUUCAAUGAGGCUGCUCUUCUUAGCUUAUCAAAUCCUUUGCAUGUCAAUUGUAAGAGGAGGAAUGCAGAAGGUAACCUGCAUACCUAUGUUCUUGGAAACCUCUGAAAGCAAUAACCAUAGCAUUAAGGUCCUUGGCCACCUCAACAUGUGCCUAUAUAUUAAAUAGUUUAAAGAUAGAGACAGAUAAUAAGAUGCAAUUCAAACAUAGAGGCAUCACAAGCAUGCAAACUGAUAGGCCACUGUAAAACGAUUCAUAUACCUGUAAGCAGUGCUAAAGGUCAACUAUCAGUUUAAUGACUUCUAACCCUUGCUUUCAUCUCAAAAAGGCAUUAAUAACCAAUUCGGAAGCUCAUAAGAUGAGGUUGCAUAUGCCCAAAAAAUCUCAUAUUAAGAAUUGGGUAUUUAGCACUAAAGAUCCAUUCUUCACGCAACCUUAGCAACAAUGCUAUAUUAAAAAGGAGUCAAAUUACCUUGUUCUUUCCAUCACAUCUAGGGCAUGUCCAGCUAAAAAGUUCUGUCAAAUCUGACAUGUAAACCUGCAAUAAAGAACUUUGCAUUAAAUUACAAUUUUAUUGUAUUGAAAUGGUGAAACCUGAUGCGUAACAACAACAAGCUCUAUGUAAAUGUGAAUUUUUUUCAAAGAACACUUAUGGCUGAUGCAUACUCCACCAAUAUCAUGGCAAGAGUGUGAUUGUAAACAGCUUUAUGAGCCUUGGACCUCACUUUUAAUUCUGCAUUUACCAGUACAUAAAAUUUCAGAUUGAAAUGCGGUCUCAAGCUCAUUCAAUCACAAGCAAUGAAUCAAGUUUCUUAUGUCUCUAACAAGCUAUAAUGACAAAUCAAGUGAGGGGAACACUUAAAGGAAACAUCAACUCAAAACAACAUUCAGUAUAUUUUUGCAGUCUUUUGUGAACUGAAAGAAGUAUUUACACAAUCCAAUGCAAUGAAGGAGGAAUAUGUAAACAACGUAAGGCUCCACAUUCCCACAGAGUUACUCCACUAAAACCUACAGGCUACAGCCAUAACUCAACUGAACAAAAGUUGAACAACUGUUAUUCAAUCGCCAUAAGACACUCAACAAUUUUUUUCCCCAAAGUAGAAACAGCAGAGUGUGAUCUGUACCGAACAAAUAUGAGGAAAUUCAAUCAGUCUGACCAUAUUCCAAUUGUAGCAUUGAUCCAAACUCAGUAAUCUAAGGAAUUAACAGAAGCAACCAAGUACAACUCGACACUCAUCAGUUACAUGAAUUGAAAGCUGCCAAUUGUCCACCAGAGGGAUCACAUAGCUAUAGUUUGCCCCAUUCAAUUAGGGACUACAACUCCACGACAGAGUCAACAAUUCCCCCCAACCAUGAAACACCUAAUCUGCCAAAUUCACAAUACAAAUCUCAAUGUCUAACCUCAAAACCAACGUACUCAACGCUAGAGCCUGUCUAUUUGCACCUUAUCACUAUCAAAACUCUCAAUCCAAACUGAUUACAUGAAUGCGAAUAGCGAUCACCUCUCGCCCCACUUGCGGCAAUAAAGCAUGUCAAAACCACCAUCGCCCUCAACCGCAACCCGUUCUGCUCCAUAUUCUUUACGAUCUUUCCCGAAGUGCCCCUGGGAUCUUCUUCCUUGGCGGCCAUAUCCGGUGUCGUGUUCCGUGAUUUCGUCGUUUGCGAGAGGGCACUGAAGGAAGUUCCGCUAAAAUCGGGACGUUUUAAGAAGACUCGCACGGCAACGUCCUCCGUCGGGUUCUUUUAGCCAAGAGAACGAGACGUGCAUUUUUGGGGUUCGAUCUUCUCUCUUUCGGAGAUUCCCUCCCUUCGACGUCUCCACAUCAGCAUUUUGACUGGGCUGGGUUCAAUUUAGUUGGUUCACACUAAAUUUUAAAGAACAUGCUAAAUUAAAGUUAAUAUUAUUUAUCAUUUUACUUAUAACCAUGGAGAUACGCGAAAAUGCAAUUGGUCCAUUAUGGCCGCAGGCUUCUCGGGUUAAGUGUUUUCAUAUUCAUCAUUGAAUCGAUCUAGUACACAACUUGUUCAAAUUUUAACAAAAUAUAAUUGAACUCAAGUGAUCAAUGAGUUGAGCUUAAUUGUGAAUUACAGGACCCACUUGUCUUGGGUUGAGAGUUCAAUAAGGCAACUUGAUAUUGUGUAUUAAUUCUCAAAUACUAUCUCUGAAUACUUAUGUUGAACUGGAUUUUUUUAUAGAUACAAGUACCCAUAGUUUUUUAAAAUUGAGUCAUUUUGUCUAAAAGUUUUUGGACUAUUAUGGUGCGAAUACAUUUGGAACAGAUUGACGUCCUAAAAGUCAUGGUAUUGUCAUCCAUAAUGGCUUGAUUGAAUAUAUGAGUCAUACAAUUGUCGAGAUUGUAUACUUUACAAGUCAAAGAACAUGAAAUAAAAGAAAACGUCCAUAAACCUUGAGAACAAAGGUUAAUAGGAUUUUUUCACUGGCCAUGUGAGAAGUAAAAAGAGCAUGUAACUUCUGACAAUGCAAGUCACAAAUGAAUGUUUUUAAGAAUGCAAAUGGUGUCAAUAAAAUUAUUUUUAUUUCGCAUUUAGCUCACAAGAAUAGCACAACAUAAAAAUCCCAAUGCGUGGUACGGGCCAUGUUUGGUGGCGCUGGCGAAUUUAUAGUUGUAGUGGCAUAUAGUGAUAAAUUAGUUCACGGAACAAAAGUGAACAUGAAAAAAAAGUGAAAUUCACGAGAUAUUAUUGUGAAUAGUAAGAUGAUCAAUUUUAUGGAUAUCAAUUUUGAAAUCUUUUCAUUCGAGUUAAGUCAAAUUUUAACCGUCCAUUUUUUUAUAGGGUCAUGCACUACUCAUUUACUUUGAAAAGAAAUAAAACCGAGCUUGAAAAAUUCUCAACCCACGCCCAAGCGUGGUAAGUGGUAACGCAAUGGUAAAGAAAUCGCGCCAUCUUCCAAAGCGUAUAGCCUCUUAUCAUUUUGUGGAUUUGCUACCGCAAGCAGAAAGACUGAAGUUUUAGCAUAUCAAUAGGGCUACAAUGACAAAAAAAGUAGGGCAAAAAACGGAAAAUUGAAAAAUCAGACUGAACUAAAUCAAAUUUUCCGUUUGGCUCAUAUUCGGUUUAGGUUGCGAUUCAUUUCGGUUUGGAUUCUUUGAAAAUCCGAAUUGAACCAAACCGUCGACAUCCCAAGUUACAAUGAUAGACUCAUACACCUAGUGUUGGACUGAGUUGAUAUGCUCAAACGGAACCUUCCGUAACUAGUGUACUCCCUUAAUGGCGACAUCAACAAUGAGUAAUUGUACUUCCUAACUUUUUUAUUUUAUUAAAAAUAAAAUCGCAAAAAUCGUGACCGGUGCAGCGAGGCCAGGUCGGACCAAUCCUCGAGCCGUGGGUCCAUCUAAUGCGCAAGUCAUUCCAGGCUUGAAUUCCCGCGGGGGGAAACGAAAGUACUUCUCCCCUACUCGUUUUUUUUUUUUUUUUUGGUCUAACAUAAAAUUUCAUUCACUCAGGAGAGCAAGGAACACAUGAUUCAAGGCAUAACACAUGGCGACCCCGAUCGGUGGAUACUUUUGUGCUAAUAUAACCUCACAGAACAUAUAUGUAUACGUAUAUACUUUUGUCUUAUCAGACUUCAUGCUACGCAAGCACUAAUAGAGCGGAGGAUCGAUACAGCAAGCGCCAAUCUGCAGAACCGAAUGAAGACUGGGGGUUUUUCUCCCUUUUUUUUUUUGACAUUUCCUUGUGAUUAAAAGCCUAAUCGAUCACCUCACACCAUAUACAAAGUGGGAAACGAUGGCGAACAGAGCCUGUCUAUCUUGCUCUGUUUCUGUCUUUAUAUACACAUGACUUCUUAAAUUGGUAAGGGUUUCCAUUCGUCUGGAAUGUUGUGGUUAAGAUAUUUGUGGUUAAGAAAAAAGGUAGGCUUUUGCUUUUGGUUUUCUAUAUAUUGAAAUUGGUGUUUUACCCAAAACCGUAAUUUACAAGGAAAGGUUCUUGUUAAUGAAUGUCUUGGGGCAUUGUUAAGCACGCUUAAGGAGGAAAUUUUUUAUUUCCAGAGUAUUGAUUACACAUAAAAUAAGAAAAAACAAUGUACGAGAAAAUUGUAGUAUCUUUAUUAUUGAGUUACUUAACAAGUGUCCUAAGGGCACUAUUCAACAAAAUCCCUGAGAAAAAGAUUCCACGAUGCCUCACAUGCAAGCCGAUCUUUACAUAUGAAGCAAAUAAUCUAUGCGUCAAUUGGAUGCAGGAAAGGCAUUUAAACAGAGGUAGCAAGAUAGAAGAAAAAGAGGGAGUGACAGGAUUUAAAAUUGUAACAUGCAUUAUGAUACCAAUUUUUAUAACCCAUUUUUGUCCAAAAGCUUACAUUGGAAACAAGCAAGUUCGUAAUGUGUGUAUUGCAUAUUGAUCUUUAAAGAUUCUCCGCUUAAUAGCGAAAAAAUAUACUUCCGAGAUAUGUUUGUCUUAAAGAUCUUAAGUUGGUCAUCUCUUAUGUAUAUGAAAUCCAAAUGCCUGACUGUUUUUUGUGAAUGAAUUUGCAGGCUACCCAGGCAAUCUGCAAGCUUGGUGAAGUAUUGGGUGAAUCCCUGUCUCCUAGUCAUCAAGUUUUGCGCAUAUCUCUUAUGGAAGAACUUCCAGGUCGAUUAUGGGAGGUAGGAAAUGUCUUGGACUUUUUUACAGGAGAGGCGAUGUGUAGUUUGUCUUCUAAAGUACUAGCGCAAUGGCAUGGAACUAGAAUAGCAGGAAUAAAGGCUGAAUUAUGUCACAUACUAUACCAGUUAAACUUCUUUGCCUUCUUAUGACAAAAGAUAAUAAUAAUAAUAAUAAUAAUAAUAAUAAUAAUAAUAAUAAUAAUAAUAAUAAUAAUAAAACAACUUCCUUGCCUUCUCAGAUGUUAAUCCGUCAAUUCCUUCCUACAAUAUUGUAGGGGAAGGACGCUCUCUUGCUUGCCUUGGGUGCUCUUUCAAAGUCUUGCCAUCAAGCCAUCUCCAAGGAAGAUCCCAACGCUGCUGGUGCUACUCUGGAUUUGCACAAAAAAGGACAAGAAAUACUGGGAAGCGGUACUUUUAAGCCUUGAUCAGGUAAUUCCAGAUUAUUGUGUGUUUGCGAAUGCAAUUGUCUUCAAUUAGAAAAUGUUGGGCUUUUACGAGCUCUCACAUCAAGAAACUUUCCAGCCGUACAUUGUUGAGAAAGUGCUGUUUCAGGUCGAUUUCAUCUUUUUAAUCCCCAACUAAAAUCUGCCCCCGAUCAUCCCCCUUCCUCUCUAAUGAAGAUCUUGAAUUUUUCAUGGUUUUUCAGAUUAUAAAAGCAUUUGGCAAUCAUGAGUUCUUCAACAUGGUUUUUCCAAAAUUGUUGACAUGUGCAGUUUAGGACUUCUGAUAAAUCUGGCCAAGCACGUUCAGCAAAUGAUUCUGCUAAAUCAGGUUCAUCCAUAUUUCUAGCUUGUAACUGUCCAGCUUUCAGGAUUUUGAGUUGUCCUGCAUUGCAACUUUUGAAUUCCAUAUCAUAACUUUCUCUCGUUGUUAAACUGUGCAUUUUACAUGGCAUGGUUGAUAUGUGCAGACUACGAUGGAAAAGAAGAUUCUUCUGUUCCACUAGAAAAAGUACUGGACUGCAUCAUAUCAUGUAUCCAUGUGGCAUAUAUUGAUGAUAUUCUUGAAAAGGAAAAUAACUUGGAGCACCUCUGGAUUGCCUCUCUCGCACCUGAGUUGUCAUGGACUGGUACCUUCAUAACAAAAAAAAAUUCUAAGGUAAAUGCAGCAUGGAAAGUGUUUCUAUUAACUGUUUCAUCAUGCAGCCAAAAUAUCGGCUUUUCUAUCAAUUAGGGGACUCGGCUCAAGGAUUCAUGACAUUUUGCUUGAUUCUCAGCAAGCUUCUCAACAUGCAAAUGCAGCAUCUUUGUUUCAUGACAUAAUUAGUACCCACUUUCUAACAAUAUUGCUGAGGAACAGGGUAACUAAGGGAUGAUAUCUCUAACUUUGGUUAAGGAAAAUAGCUUUCCUUUAUUAUGACGGACAUGUUGCACUUACCGGCUUUAGAAUCAGUUGUCAUUCUGUUCUCCAAAUUCCUUAUCUGGAUUCCAAUCAUCUGUUUUUCCUGCGCAAGUUUAAGCUGUUUUCUUUGAUGUUACCCAAAGUGGCAGACUGCAUAGCCACAGUUAAGAUAGCACAUGUAUGUCUUCACUUUCCCCUUUGUGGUGGAAAUCGCCUUUGCCAUCAUCUUCGUCAAAACAAUCUGAUCUUGUGUGGCUUUCACCUAGAUGUAGGAUUGUAGCAUUAUUAAGUCCCAUGCAUAUAUAGGUGACUUUACUCCAGUAAAUAAGAGUUUCAUUAAGUUAUCCAUCAAGAGUUCUGGAGUCUAGAUAGCAUACAGUGCCUUUGCAAUGUGAAGAAGCAGAAUUUUUCUGUCUUUAAUUUUUCAAGUUUCAAUGGUUCUUCUGAUGUGGGCUCUGUAUUAAUCAGACUGCUGCGUUCAGCUGAUGUUUUUCUUGGAUUCAAUUCCAUUCUGACUCAAGGCACUAGAGGCAUUACCUUUUACUUGGCUUACAUUUUUUAUGAUGAUCAGCCAAACCAGAGAGAUCAGUUGAUAUCAUCCCAAGGAUAUUUAUAUAGUAAUCAACAUAGCCAUUUCUUGUAUGUGCGAGCAAGAGUAAGUUAAUAUUUUGCAGGGAUUAGUCGACAUGGUAAGUGGACCACUUAAGAGUUCUCGAUUGUCUUAGAUCAUUCUUACAGAUGCAUUUUAGAUGUCCAUCUGGCACUGUGGACCAAUAAUCCAUUUGAUACUUUUUCAAAUUUAGGUUCAUGUCAGUGCUUCAGAGUGCCUUUUGGGGAUGAUCACCCUUUGUAGUGAGCUUCCUUCAACGUUCUGGACAGAUGCAGGUUCGAAGGGUUUGCUGGUUUUUUCUUUUUUCUUUUUUUCUUCUACGUGAGGUGGAAAAAAAUGAACAAGCCAAGUCCUUGCUUAAGAGAUGCAUCCAUUUACUAGAGACCUCUUAGAGUAAAAUGUGAAAGCGAGUUGAUUUCAAAGAAAGGUGAGGAGAGUUCUGGCCACUGUCGGUGAAGUAUGAUGAAUGGGUAAAAUCAGUAAAAAGCUGAAGUGAGGAGGUAAGUAUAAAAUGGGUAAUGACCGUCUUGACUGUUUGGUGAAUCAAGGCUGACGCCGCCUUAGCAACCUUUUGGAUAAACUGAAAUGUUCGACCAAAGGAAGAACCAAGAAAUAAGCAAGCAAAAGAAGAGCUUAGCUAGACAUGCUUUAGGAAGUACACACGUUGGCCCUGCACAUCUCAAGCGUGGACAGAUUUAAAUAGAAAUUGCACAGGCUUAAUAUCUUUCAUUUAAUGAGCCGACUACUUUGUUCUUUUUACUCUCAUUCAGCUCUGUACGUUCAUAUUUGCAAACACCAAAUAAUUCUGAACUAACCAAUCCGAUCUUCAGUGCGUGAGAUGAUGUUUUUUUUUUUUUUUUUUUCUGUUAAAACAUGAGCAUGCUAUUGUUUUUAUUUUUUUCCUUCUUUUUGGUUAUUUAGUUAGAAUGAAUUCUUGGGAGCAAGAUUCCCGAUCCAUCUAAUGAUUGGUGAUCCGAUGCAGCCUGUUACGCCUCACUAGUAAAUUCACCAUUAAUGGGACGACGUGUUCAUGAACAGAGAUUUAUUGCUGUAGUUGCAAAACACUAACACAAGCGAUCAUCCAUUUUCCUGCUUUGACAGGAGAAUCUGGUGGGGACAGAACUGCUGCUUUCACGUGCAAGUACACAGCCUGAAGGGACUGAGGAAUUUACAUAAAUUAACGCUUGUAUACAGUGCACUUAGGAUAGUCUGGGGUUUCUUAAGUCUUUCUUACAUUAUAAAACUUUAGUUUAGACUGGGAGAAAUUUGAUGGCAAAAAGUAACGCUCUUGGUGUAUGAUCUUUCACAUGGACUGUCUACCAUCUUAACUAAGAGAUUAAUUUCGGUAUGAUGUCGUGAAUGACCCUAUAUAUAUUCUGACGUCUAAACAAACUACGUCAGGUUCCUUCAUUGGAGGGUGACUCUUUCAUCUUUCUUUGCUUGAGAAGAUCUUUACCUCGAUCCUUCCUUACUACUUUUGAAGAUAUGCUUUUCUUUGCUGAUCAAGCACCUAUUCUCAAAAACAUGAUCAUUCGACGUGUUUAGCGUUAUUGCAUAAAGUAAGAUUUGUCAAAAAUUUUGAGGAAGUUCGACUCCUAGGUGAACAUCUACUGGUAAGAUAAUCUGAAUUUUUGAAAAUUGCGAGUGUUCUAAGAAAAAGGAUCCAAAAGUCUAAUGCUAAGCUUCUUAUUCUAAUGUAUUAGACAUUAGCAAUUCAAACCCAAUCGAGGUGAUGACGUGAAUAGCAAAGCAUUUGUUUCUUUAACGUUAUAACUUGUUUGGGCUUCAAAGCUUGCUUGGCUAAUUCAAAUGCGCUUGGAUUUUGGCUUGUUAACUCAGGUUAUAGCUGACCAAAAAAAAAAAAAAAAAUCAGAUUAUAGCAGUAAGAGUGAUAAAAGAAGAUAAGAAAACGAUGGAAAAUGAGGAAAAAAGAAAGUGCUAUUUCUUUCUAUGUUUAAUUACAUUAAAUUUGAAGGAAAAAAAUUAUGUCAAAUAUUCAAGGAUAAAACGUAUGCUCGUGUGCAUGAAUGGCCAUCUAAUCAACGGAAAAUAUCACUUAACUUAUAAAUUUGAUUAAUUGAAAAUCAUCAAAAUUAAAAACCAAAGAAUAUAAACAAAAAGCACCUGGAUUAUUUCUUAGUUUUGUAUGUUGAUCUUUAUUCAUUCUAAAGUCCUUUUUUUUUUUUUUUGGCAUGUUGGGGAAAAGGACUUUUGUGCAAUUAUUCAAGGCUAAACAACCAUAUGGCCAGAUGAUUCUUAAUUUGUCAUGAUAUCCUACAUUGUGUAAAAUUUUCAAUAGUUAGCAAAUUUGACAACAAUAUCAACUUUUUUUCUGUUUGAAUUACUCGUAGCAGAUUCAAAGAAGAUUUGACAUGAAGUUGGACGCCUAUAAUGUGUGAAACUCAUGCUUUCUUUUACUGUGAAAAUGCAAUUUUACAUGACAUUGCCUGCAGAUUAGAGACUCUGAUGUCCCUCUAGCACUGAAAACACAAAGUACAUAGUAGGAGCAUGUUCGUCAAACUAGAAAAGUCUUUAUUUAGUUGUGUGAAUAAUAUGAAACAUAAGAAAAAGUAAAAAACAAAAAGCAGUUCAUUUUCCCAUUCGAGAGGAAAUUAAUAUGUUGGUCCAAAGGGGAAGCAAUUUUCUGAUAUCUUUCUCUCUCUUCUUUCGUCUCUCUUAUUACUACGUCCCAAAUAAAGCAAAACGAAGACCCAAUUAGAGAGUGGGGGGGGGGGGGGGGGGGGGCUUUUUGCAUUUGCGUUUGCAUCGGAGACGGGAUGGAUAGGCUCAUUUAAUUACAGCUUACAUAUUUACGUUUCUCUCUUUCUAAUCUAGAAUUAAGAGAAAGAUAAAAAUAAACACGCCAAUUGAAAUAGUUUGAUAUAAUUGUCCCAGUUUAUCUAGAAUAUAGUUAAGUGGAAAAAAAAAACGAAUACUCAUGGAUAAGCGCAAGGUGCAUGAUUCCCCAUAUCUAUAGACUCUCUAACCGAGAGAGAGAGAUCUAUUACUUCCAAAAUUGAUUCUCCUUAGAAGUUUGUGAAAAUAAAAUGGUUUUCACUAUAUUAUAUAUAACUAAUGAUAACUCAAUUCAGACUGAGAGAUAGUAAAAUUUAUAAAUUUCACUUAUUUGAUACGACGUUGCUUUUCAAAUCACAUAUUAUCCCUAAUUCAUAAUACUAUCAUUAAGAAGAUUUUUGUGUUCCUUGAUGACUUCCUCUUUCCUCUUUUCAUCUUUCGUUGCGUGGCAUGGCGAGGCCACCUUGAGCGCGGCGGAAGAGAGUGACCACAUGAGAAAUCGACUGAAUAGCAGCACGGUUGUGCCAGAAGGCGGGCCAGAGACAGAGGGAAUUAUGGCUAUUUGUCAGUUUUUGGGUUCAAUAUUUUCUUAAUUAUCAUGGUCUGUAUUUUGCUUUUGGUGAAGUUGCUACAAAGCUUUUCAUGUUUGCUGGCUGGGAUAAUGGCAUCUAGUAAGCAAGGCCCAUUAAUGUGAAUUUAUGUUGACGCACAAGGCGGCCCUACUCAGAUUUGGGCAAGGCCACGAAAGGCCAGCGAGGACCUCACCCUCAUAUGGUGAUGGCCCCGCCCAGGGGCCUUCGCGGUUGGUGAGGGACUUGGAAUAAAAAAAAAAUGAUAAAAUGAUAAAAAAUAAUAAUUAAGAAAUUAAAAAAAUUACAAAAUUACAAAAAUUAUCCACGUCAGUAAUUUUUGGCAAAAAUUGGCUGGAAGAACUAAAAUGACAAAUUGUCAAAAGGCUUAAAAUUAAAUUGAGCAAGUUAAAAAGUUAAAAACUAAAUAUCAAAGGUUUCAAACAUUUUUCAUAAUUUUCCCAAAGCUCAUAAGACAUUUUCUAGAGUUAACGCUUCAACAACUAAUACUUACUGAAGAAUUCGAGUGACCUUUUCUGGAUGCAUCUUUUCAUGCAUUAGAGCCUCUUGGUAAAUCCCAAUUUGAAUGCCUAUCCGUGAUCCGCGAUGUGAUUACCCGUUGCAGUGUUCAUCCAUCAAUUAUUCGAGAGAUGUGCUUCAAAAAAAAAAAAAAACUGAGGGCAUGUACAAUGAUCGAUGUAAUGAUUUUGAUAUUUGAAACGUAUCAUGACUUUAUCUCUAUUAGCAGUUUUCACUGUGCCAAGUUUGCCCAUAACCGCUUAAGCAAAAAUCAGAAAAUCUCUGGCUUGGAAGAAAGUGAAAGUCCAUUCAUCUUCCAUCCUUUGAUAUCCCCAAGGCUUCCCACCUUGCUUCAAUUAUAUGAACAAUCCUAACUGGACCAACCGACAUCACUCCCCGUCUAUUCUCGUCAAUGGAUUUCCGCGCAUUGUCAAGGCAUCCUCUGCUUUGCAAACCGUAGUGCUUGCUUUGCUGGAAGCCAUUUGGAACUAUACUCAGAUCAACAUAUCUGAUAUGGUGUCUAACUAGAGCGAAUUAGCCCUUGGUACUACUCUUUUCAGAUUUAAGAGUGGCCCAUUGUAACAGAGAAGCAACUAAGAUGGCGAACCAGAUUACCAAAGUCCAUCAGAGAAAAGCCUUCUUUCUAAUUGGAUUUUAUAUCCUCUCAAACACUUUGGGCUCUAUUAUGUUCUGAAGCUGCUCCUAUGUAUGGUCAAACAAUUUCUUACUGAAUGGUUAUUGUCCUCCUGACCAAAAAAGAAAAAGAAAACAAGGUCCUUUAAUUUUUGCAGGCUCACCAUUCCAUUCUCUCUCUCUCUCUCUUUAAAAGACUACUCUUUUCGGUUAUGUAUGCCUACUAUUUUCUUAAUUUGGCUUCACAAAUGGUGGAAGAGGAGAGCUCCAAUGAACCAAAGUUAUUGGGCCUUCAGAGUGUAGAACCAUUAGUCGCUUCGGAGAAAAUAAUAUGUCUAGUUUGAUUGAACAUGCGGCCCUCAAUCUAAGUUUCUAAAUAUGCAGGCGUGGAUUGUUGCCAUGAUGGACAGGACAUUUCGCAAGAAAAAGAAAAAAGCGGUGUCUACAGUGGCAGAAGGAACAAGAGACAAUAGCAACGCUGAUCCUGAAGAGGUACUUGAUUUGUGAAUAUGUUUGUGAGGCUGAAUAGAAAUGGUCGGGGAUGCAGAAGGGAAUGAUAAGAUCCAGAUUGGGGCGCAGGACCAUUGUGCUAGGGAUUCCGUUAUGCUAUUCUUCAUGAAUUCCCGUUUCUCCAGAGAAAUGCACCAUGCCUAAGUGACUGUCAAUGGAUGAAGUCAUUUCGUAAUUCAUGUCGAGUCAAUGCAAAGACUCUGCAGUCAAACAUUUGUAUUGUAACUGUAAACCAAGGCAUUCCUGGAUGAUUUUCUGGUGAAGUAGAAGCUCCUCCAGUGAAUAUUAACAGAAUCAUGUCUAUGUGCAGGAGGGAUCAUUCAAUUAUAAUUUGCCCCACUCAAUCAGGCACUAUAGCACCACAACACGCUCAAUGAUUCACUCCAACCCUGAAAUGCCUAACCAGCCAAAUUCACUACACAAAUCUCACUUCCCCAGGCCCAAAGCCAACAUACUCGAUGCUAGAGCUGGUCUAUACGAACCUUAUCACAAUCCAAACUCCCAAUGCGAAUCAAGUCAGAGGAUCACAACCGUAACUAAUUUCAUGAACACGAGUUGCAAUGAAGCAUUAUCAGAACCACCAUCGCUGUCAGCCACAACCUGUUCCACUCCAUAUUAUUCUGCAAGAGGGAAGGAUCGAACAGCAUUGUCGAGAAAAAAACACGAUAUCUUGCAACAAAAGAAAUUCCAAUCUCCACAACCUUUCCUUCCAUAUACGCAAAACGGUCACGCGCGAUCGAAUGGCACGGUCGCCUGGCGAGAUGGAGAGAUCGAUUGCGGUCUUUGUCCGUAUUGCUCGAAUUCAAACCUCGGAUUCUGGUCUCGCGGGUGAGUGGACUCUUAUAGUGAUUUUCGCGACGGAUGGCAAUCGAAAGCUCCAGCGACUUGGGGGCGGGGGGAGGGGAGGAAGGACGGGGACGAUGGAUUUGCUGAUUUUCCUUAUUUGCACUCGGGCGCUUGCUCUGUUGGCGGGCGUAAUCGGUGUCACGUCCGGUGAUUUCGUCGUUUCUGUGAGGGCAAUGAAGGAAGUUUCGCUAAAAUGAGGCGUGCUCCUGGACAAAUUUCUGUUCUCUCUGUCUCUCUUCUUUUGGCGCUUCCUUUGACGUCUUUCAAAUGAGCACUUUUGACUCGGCUUGGUUUAUUUAGUGGGUUCAAACUAGAAUUACGAAAAAUGCACGAAAAUUAGAGUGAAUAUUACUUAACCAUUUAUUGAUAUUCGUCGAAGUAUACAAAGAUGCGGAUUACUCUAUUAUGAUAGCAAGCUUAUUGAGAUAAAUUUUUGCAAUCCCAAGCUCCAAUCCAUCUCAUAACUUGAAUUAUUCAAAAAAUUUCUUUCAUCAAUAUUAUUCAAACUUGAAAAGAAUGCAAUCCGACGUGUGUGAAAAGCAAGCGGAACUUAAUUGUGGACUGUGGAACCACAUGACGUAUCAAUUCUUGAAUAUUCUUUGAAACUUAGGGUCCGUUCGUUUAGCAGAAAAUAUCAUAUUUCCAUAAAACAUUUUCUUGAAAGUCAUUUUCCUGGAAAAUGACUUUAGUUUCCAAUGUUUGACUGAAACCUAAACUUUGAGUAUAAAUAUUUUCCGCCGUUCGUUAGCUAAUUUAAUUGUUUGAGAAAAAUUAUCAAAAAUUGAAUUUUAAUAUUUUAAUUGACUUAAAAUUAGUUUUAUUUUAUAUAUUUUUAAAUGAAUUUUUAAUUAUUUGUAUUUUUUAAAAAAAUCGAAAUUUUUAUUAUUUUUUCUUUCUUUUUCUUUUUCUUUUUUCCUUUUUCUCCUCCUUCUUCUUUCCUCCUUCCUCCACCGCCGCAUGCCUGACGAUGGUCGGUUGCUUAACGGCCGACCAAGACCCGAUCGUCAGAUCCGACGAGCUUGAGGCUCGGCCGAUCUCCCUCGAGAUCGCCGAAGGUUCACCGAGCUCUAGCGAGCUGCAAGCUCGCUAGAUCUGGCGGCGGAGCUCGGGCUCGCUUCGAUCGAGAGCUCGAGCUCCACCGCCAAAUCUGACAAGCUCGCGGCUCGCUAGAGCCUAGCGAACCUCUAGUGAGCUCAGGCGAGGCUCGAGCCAUGCCCAGUUCGCUGGAUCUAGUGAGGCUAGAGCUCCACCUCGCCCGAUCUGGCGAGGCCCGAAUUUGCCGAGCUCGAGUGAGCUCGGCUUCCCCAGAUCGGGCUAGGUGGAGCCUCGCCUGGCUCACGGCUGCUUGCCGGCCUGGGUUUGAGCCUCGCCUGGCUCCUGAUUGCCGACCGGCGUCGUGGGCACGUGACCAGCCAAGGCUAAGGAAGAAAGAUGUAAAGAAAAAAAGAAAAGAAAAAAGAAAAGGAAAAAAAAAGAAAAAAUAAAAAGAAAGCAUAAAAAAUAAAACAAACAUGUGUUGGUGAAAAAAAAUAAGGUGGAAGAAGUUAUGGAAAGUGGAAAAUUUUUCCUUAAGUAGUUAAUUUUCCGUGAAAUGAACACCGGAAAAUCCAGAAACGUUUUCUUGGAAGUUAUUUUCAGUAAAACGAACGGAGCCUUAAUGGAAGUGAAUUUGAUAGUUUUCUUUUUAGAUAAAUAUAUAUAUAUAUAUAUAUAUAUAUAUAUAUAUAUAUAUACACAAUAGUUUGAGUUGAGUCGUUUUAUCUAGAAUUUACAAAAUAUUUAUAGCGAGAAUAUGUCGAAUUGAUCACCAUAUUAUAAAAUGAUGCUAUCAUCAUCUCAUAAUUACUCGAUUGAUAAAUGAGUUGUACAAUCACGGGGAUUGAAAACUUUACUUUACGUGUAAAAUAUUUUUAAAUAAAAGAAAAAAGGUCCAUAAUCUUUGAGAACAAAAGUCAUUGGACUUUUUUGGCAGGCUAAGUUUGAAGUAAAAAGAGUUGUAACCUCAGGCAACAAAAGUCACAUGAUGUCAUUUUAAAAAUAUCAAAAAGAGUGAAUGAUUUUUAUUUUUUAAAUCGCAAUUAGCUCACACAAAAAAAAUAAUAUAAGAACCACACCCCAAUGCGUAGUAUAUGUGAUGUUUGGUUGCUCUCACGGAUUUAUAUUCGUAAUCAAAUGAUUAUAAAACCACUAGAAAAAUCAGUACACAAAAAAAAAAAAUGGAAGUUAAACAAUAAGUGAAAUUCAAGAGAACUUAUUGGAAAGAGUAACCUAAUCAAUUUUAUAGAAACCAAUCUUCAAAUCUCUUCCUUUAUUGGUAACAUAUACGCAUCAAUCCCUCAUUCGCCUUAAGUCAAAUUAUUUUGUAAGCACAAGAUAGAUUUAUAGAUCACUCCGUUUUUGGUCAAGCUCAUACACUGCUCAUUCACUAUGAAAGUAUAAAAAAACCAAAACUAAAAGUGAAAAAGUCACAUUCACAAGCCAACCCCAACCCCAAGCACGAUGACCUAAUGGUGAAGGGAUCAUGCCAUCUUCCAUUAAUUCACUAGUUCGAAUCAUGUCACAAGUGAACUUUUCACUAGUUAGUAUUUCAGCAUUCACAACACUAAGUGGUUAUGGCUCAAAUGAGAUAUUUUGAGACAAACAUAAAACUUUAUGUAAUGACAAGAAUGAAUAAUCAUUUUUGAUCAUCUUUUUCCACAUUUUUUAACUUAUCAAAAGUUCUCAUAAGCAACUGAAUAUGUUCUCCAAGCAUGAUAGGCUUGAAGUAAAAAGAUUAGGGAAAAUUUUAAAAAAGGACCGAAGUGCCCUCAUUUCUCAAAAAAGGAUCUGAAGUGGACUCUGUUUUAAAUAAAAACCCAAAGUGGCAUUGGUUGUUUCAAAUAAAGGCCUGACUUUAUCGAUCACCAGCUAGCUAAAUUUUUCGAUUGGUCAAGAGUGUUUUCAUCCAAAUUUUCUUCUCUUUUUUUCUCUUUUCUUCUUUUUUCUUUUUCAGCGUCAACUGACAAUUGCUAGCAAAGGCUAGCGAAGGCUUGACGACUAUCGCGGGCCAUUGGGAAGGGCUGGCGACGGCCUGUAAGCACUCAUUAGCAGUGGGUGAGGAACUAAAAGCCCUCGCGAAUGGCCAUGGGGGGCAGCCUCUGCUUGGGUGAGGCACGUGAGGCCAUCCCUCACUUGUGGCCGGCAUGGGUGGUCCUCGCCCAGCCCUCUGUGGGCAUCACUAGUGGCCGACUGGCCACCAUCGAAGAGGAAGAAGAAGAACCGGGAAAAAAAAAGGAAAGAAAAACAAAAAAGGAAGAAAAAAAAAGAAAAUAUUAUACCUUGACUAUUGGAAAGUCGAGCCCUUAUUUGAAACGGACAUAGCCACUUCAAACCCUUAUUUGAAAGGGACACAAUCACUUCAUGUUCUUAUUUGAGAAAAUUAUGGCACUUCACGUCCUUACUUGAAACAAGAUCCACUUUGGGAUCUUAUUUAAGAAAAUGAGAGCACUUCCAGUCCAUUUUUGGAAUUUUUCCAAAAGAUCAUUUGAGAACCAAAACAUACAACAAAAUGAUUGUGCAAAUGAAAAGGUAAGUAGCAACAAUUGAAUGCAGAAGAAGAAUCAGAUGACUAUAUUAGCAAGAUAUAAAAUUUUGAACUUUGCACACAACUUGUGUAGUUAAAGCUCGCCUAAAUCAAGAGCCCUUGCACGCACACAUGCUUUUGUGACUUCCUGACAAAGGUUGCAGUUAAAAUUCUCAUGAAUUCGAAGAUUUGACAAUCUCUGUGAUGAAAGAAAAAACCAGGUUAAUUUAUCAACUACUCAAAAAGUAAAACUAUACUUUCAAAUGGAGCCAGAGGUCAACUGACAAAUCUGCGUAAGUUCUGCAAGACAUCAGAGAGAAACUUAAUAUCCUCUCUAUUCUUGCAAUUUCCGAUCAUCGACCACGUCCAUGCGUUUGGAGCCACUGUUUUUUUUUUUUUUUUUUGUCUUCAUAUUAACGGAUUCAAGAAUUUUAUCAUACAUCUUCACAGUCUCUGCAUAAUAUGACAAGAACCAAAUAUCAGAGAAAGAACUACACAAUUUGUCAAGAAACAAAUUAGAUGGGGAAAAGGAAAAAACCUGUGGGUUCCUCCCUUUCAACACUUGCUUUAGAAGAAUACUGUAAACUCGAAAUUAUCGAAUAAAAGGCUGCUGGCAAUCUAUUGCCAUGAACCGGCCUUGGGAAUUCCAACGACAAUCACAUUAAAAGCGUUUCACUGCCAAGAGAAAUGCAGCUCCGUUUUGUAUCAACAAACUAAUUCAACCUGAAACCGACAUUUAAAAACAUGAAGCAACUCAACUCGAAGAAACAAUUCGACGUGAUUAAUCCUAUUACAGAAUCACAUCUCCAACAUCAAAUCCACAAAAGCAAACACGAUGAACGCAAUAAAAUUAUGACAUCUCAAUUAAUUAAGCACAAUCCUAACAGCAUAAUCAUCCCUCCGCUUCAACUUGACUAAACCAGGUGCACAUUCCUCGAAUGAGUUACUCAGAAUUCUUCAUCGAUCAUCAAACGCCCCCCCCCCCCACCCACCAUAUCCAGACAUCAAACUCGACCUAAAAAAAGCCCCUAGCUAAAAAAGAACCAUCGCUCCGGCAUCUACAAUCCACGUCGAGAUCCCUCGGCAGUAAUAAACUAAAAAAUCUAAUGGACGAGAAGCGCGCUACCUGCGAAACCGAGGGACUGAGCAGCAGAGGAGAAGGAGGAGUUGCGAUCUCGACAUGCUUGCGCAGAAAUCCGAGCGCAUUCCAAUACUCAGUGGUCAUUCGGAGAGACGAAUCCAUCUGAGCUAAGAUGCACCGGAGGCUUGAGAAUGCGGCAGAGCCUGCGAGCUCUCGCGGCGGCGUGCAUAGCUCCGGCACGAUCGAAUCAACGAGCCGACGAGUUCCUCGUGUCGGAAGGCCGUGCUGCUGCCGAGCGAGGUUUUUCGGCCGCUCAGGGUUUUGCGAGGAGGAAGAAGAAAUGAGGUAAUGUUCGCCUACGGCGGCGUCUAUGGCCACUUAUGGUGUGGAACAUUCAAAAAACUUUUGCAGACGACACUAGGGGUGUGCAUGGUCCAGGCGGGUGGUUCCCGACCUAGAACCGAGAACUGCCCGCUAAGGACCGGUUCCAAAAAAUUGGAACCGGAUCCACCCGUUUGUUGCAUGGAUCCACCUAGGAACCGGACCACCGGUCCGGUCCGGUUCCCAGGUGGAUCCAUGAAACCGAUCUUGACGCGAAACAAUUUUGGUUUUCAACAUAGAAUGGUCGGGUCUAUGAGUUGGGAAGGAGGGAAGGAGGUCUAUGGUCGGGUUUUCAACAUAUAACGGUCGCAAAACAAUUCUGUGGCGGGUGCCGGCCAACACGAGAGGGCGAACAACAGCGGCGGAGGAGAAACAACGGCAGCGUCGACGCUCGGGGAGGAAUUGAAAUGGCGAUAGGAUUAGGAGGAACCGAGGAAAAGACAAAGAGAGAGAGAACCGAAGACGAAGGGAGUGAAGAGAUGAGAUCUAAUCUAGGAUUUCUUUUAGUAAUUUUUUUUUAAUAUUAAAAAGGUUUCGGUCCAGUCCGGGUGGGCGGAUCCGCCCAUGGAACCGGGAAUCGGACCGGUACCCACCGGUUCCGAAAAAUUGGAACCGGGAACCGGACCGGUUCCCUCAAGAACCGCCGGUUCUGGGCGGUUCCGGUCCGGUUCCGGGUAGUUCGGGCAGUUCCCGAGUAUUUUUGCACACCCCUAGACGACACUCUCAAAUGGAAAUGGACAGAUGUUUAGAAAUGCUUAUUAUUUAGCCUAAAAAAAAUAAAUUAUGGCAAGUUGAGAGAAAUUUAAAUUCCAUUUGGGAAGCAAAGUCUUUGUGGGAUUAAUUGACGAUAUCUUGAUUAUCCAUUUUACUAACAUUAUUAUAAUUCAUCUUCACAAAAAAGACGGUAUUUAGCUUUCUAAGUUGAUAUUUUUGGGAUUAAUUGGUCCAUUUUGAUUUAGUAGUUCAGGAGAGGAUUUGUACGUGUAUUUGGAAUAUCGUAUAAGUUGAAUUUUCUACAUGAUUAAGUGUAAACAAUUCCAUAUUUAACGCCAUAUGAAUUUUAUGGUUUAUAAGGUAGAUGAUAUUGGGAUAAUAUAAAAGGCAUGUCUCAUUUUUUACCCAAUGACUUAUUAUGUACCUCUAAGUUUAAAUAUUACCAAAUAUGUAUGAGUUUUACCUUUGGAGACCCUUUGCACUUCCGCAUCAAUUUGCCUCGCAUCCUUAGUUUUUCUCAAAAAAAUGUCUACCCCAUAUUCCAAAUUCUUAUGUCCAAAAAAAAGCACUCGAAGCCAACUGAAAAUUAAAACAUUCAAACGUGAAACAAAAAACUAAAAUAAGUUUUCAAGAAGGGACGGUUUGAUCUUUUCAAUAUUGGAUUUUACUUAGAUGCAUGCGAAAGUUAAUUGUAAACAAGCUUUUUCAUUGAACUACCCCCGGUAAGGUUGGGUUGAAAGCAAAAAAAAAAAAAAAAAACCACGGAUAAUGAGAAACGAGCUGUCGUUUUCUAGAUUCGAGGGAAAUACUCCCCUUUUUAACUUGGGCUGCAGCUGUCUCCCCUCCACCCUCUAUACACAACAGAAAAAACUCCCUUCAUUUUGUCAGCCACGGAAACGGACCGCUUAAGCAAAUCUUCAUUACCGGGGGGAGAGACGAUCAAUCCUCCAAUCUUAAUUCCAUUCGAUUGACAUUCUUUACAAAAAUGGGUUGUGGGGAGUCGAAGCAUGCUGUUGCCACCGGAAACACCAUAACCAAAAGUAGGAGUUCAAGCGCCCAUCCAGAGAAGAACAAACAAGUGGAACAAAACGUUCCUCAGAUGGAAACAAUUGGGAAUGGUGCGGCAUUACUUGUGCGACAAGAAAGCAAUAAUGCGGUGAGCCAGGAUAUAGGAACUGCAGCUGAUGUUAAGGACAUAACUGAACAUCCUGGGCCCAAACAAGAAGAAGAGAACAAAGGAGAAGAGACAAAGGCCGAGGAUGAAGACAAAGAGGAAGAGAAGGAGAUCAAGCCGGAGCAAGAGUUAGAGCCAGAGAUGAAACCGGUAGUAGAAGAGGAAGAGGCAGAGCCUGGGAGAUUCAUAUCCUGCGACUCGCCGGAUCAUUACUUCUCUCCGAGAAGACAUGAGGAAGCACUGGAAGGGAACGUGUCUGAGGGGCUCUCCUCUGAGUACAACUCACCCUGGCAUGAACCGGUGAAGGAGGACGAGUACGGUAAAGUGGUUGUGGAAGAGAAGAAUCCAACUGGACUGGAAAAGGCAGAGGAAUGGAAGAAGGAAAUUGACUCCGCUCCUGAUGAGGUAAUUGAAUGAGUCUUGUGAGAUUUAAUGGCUGAGUUCUAAUAAUAGAGACAUGUAUUCAGGAUCAAAAGGUCACGGUUGCAGGUUAGCAGACAUACGUCUUAACGUGGAUUAUGUUUAUGCUAAUCGACACAACCCGUUUUUUUCCCCUGAUUUUGAUACAUUUACUGUGCAUUUGGACAUUGACGCGAAGGCCAAGAAGUACAAACAUCUCAGACUUGACUGUUUGAGCUGGUUUUCUGAUCGAGAUGGUUGACUCUAGAAAAAGUUUACGGAACCAUGUUUCUGUGCAGGAAGUCGUGGCUGAUUUAGCAAGUGGAGAAGUAGCGAAGAGCAACUGAAUCGAAGAAGCAGCAUUGUGAGAACAAUUUCCAUAACUAAUGUCAAGCAGCCUUUUAUGUGUUAGUUACUUAGAAUAACAGUCAUGUAGUUUGGUUCUAGAUGCUGAAAAUUGUCAGAACAGAGAACAGACUUGAGGUUGGAGCCUGGAAUGCAAUUUAUAUCAUUUGAUAUGCGUGCAUUGGGGCUGGAGAGAUGAUCCUAAUUUCUAUGUAAAAGAAACUCCCAAGGGAUGCUGUCACCUUGCAGUGUUACACUCUCUGAAGACAGUUGAAAUCAAAAGGAUCCUUGAAUCACAUAAGGUGAUCAAAUCAUAAUCAAAGAGUCAUGGAGGCUAGAUUUAAAGUACUUAAAACAAGUACACUAGCUCAAAUGCAAUUUGAACAUCUAGCUAUAUCUGAAAUAAUGACUACGACAUUGGCACUUCAUUUUAAGACAUCAAGUGAAUAGCGGCAGUGUAUCAAAAUUUUAUUCUAAACUCGGAAUACCUAAAACUAAUGUUCUAACAAUAUCUGAAUGCAAGUCCUUGGCGGAGAAAAUUUCGUGACUGGUAGUUUGGAAAGUGGAGGGCCACAUCUCCAGAACCACAUCAGAAAGAUCCAAUUUUCAUGCUUAGAUAUAAGUAGAGCAAUUUUUUUCCUAAUUGUAGUCUGUGAGCUCGGAGCCUAGUAUGAUCACAUUUUCAAUGAUCACUCAACGUGGACAUCUUUAUUUCUGAGAUGCCUAACGAUGUGGGAAUGUGCCUGUCCUAAUUUUGAUGGAUUAGUUAUAACAGAAGCUGAGGUUUGGUAUCAAUUCUUCCCCAGAUAGAGGGGAUUCUCAAUCAUCCUGGCUAGAUUAUUGAAAAAAGAUAUAUCUAUAUCAAAAUCAUCCACGAAAUUGUUGAUGGCCCUUACACUAUGCAUUAGAAGAUGAAAAACACGAAACCCCACUGCUCUUUGGCUGUAUAUCGGAAAAAAAUAGAGUUACUGAGAAUUGUUGAUUUUGUCACUAUCAAAUUACGUUGCGAUAUCCUAUCGAAACAGGAUAACCGUGUCUAGCAAAUCAGCUUAUAAUUAAUUAUCCCUGGAGAUUGUCUUCUCUGCCGUUUAUUUCAAGGAUUUCUUCAAGAGAAGACUUUAAGUAGGCAUUACUGGAGAUGGUGCUACAAAAAAAAAAAAAAAUGAAGCAGCUGUAACAAUGGAAUGGUAGACCCGUCUACUUGCAUAUACGCUCGAAAAAAAAUACAGGAAAUGAAGGUUUGAUCAGGAUUUGAUUACAAGGGUUUGUUGAGCUUUAUGGGAUUAUAUACUUGAGCAGGUAUUACCGACUUCCUUCAUAUCGGCUUGAUCGAUGCAGGAAUCCGUGCUUACAGAGAUGAUGAAGAACCAUGCAUUGGGGGUAGAGAUUGGCAUUAAGCUUCUCCAAGCAAUCAAGCGGUCAAGAAUGUCCAUGUCGAUUUUGUCAAAACAUUAUGCCUUCAUUGAAUGGUGUCUCAAGGAGUUGGUUCAGAUGCUGGAGUGCAAGAAAACCAAGAGACAGAACAUCAUGCUAGUUUUCUUGGAUGUGGAACCUUCUGAGGUUUGGUAGCAAGAAACAAGAGGUGAUACAGUGAUGGAACUAUUAGCGAACGGAAGGCCACUCCAUGGAAGUUCGAGCACUAAAGGGAGGGGACGUAUAAAGCAUGCCCGACAGAUCAUUCAGAAAUCAUGCCAAAAAUGGCAUUGUUCACCGGGGUUUGACUUUUUCUUAGCUUAAGUAUAUGUUGUAAGUCCAUUUUCAUUCUUUCACUUGGCGAAUAAUUUCAACAAGGAUUCUGUCCAAACGAGGUCUUAAAUUUUUCUAAUGUGGUUUUGCCUGACAAUCCGUUGGUCAACCCAAAUUUCCAAUUCCAAGUGUUCUUCUACUCCCCAAGUAUCAGCCUCAAAAGUGACUUAGAGAAAACAUUCAUCAAGAUGGUUUUUAGCGAGUUGAAAAAGGGUUAUUCAGUAUUAUCGGAUUGCUUGGUUAAAGUAGAUAACCGAGUGAAAUCAUGAGAAUGAUUGGCUCUUAUAUAGAUGAAACACUGAUUGCUGGUACCCAUGGAGUGGGCGGUGCUAGAAAGACCACUCUUGUCAUAAUCAUCUACAAUAAACUUUCUAACAUUUUAGAAACUUCGAAGGUGAAGGGUGGUGAGUAAUUGCAGAAUUAGCUCAUCUCUGACAUCCUCAAAAGGAAAUGGACAAAUAUAAGUAACCGUGAUGAAGGGAUUAAGAUGAUUAAAGAUAGGCUGUGUUUCGAAAGGCUUCUUCUCAUCAAUGAUGUCGAAAUAAAUAAUCAAUUGAAUGCAUUGAUGGGCAAGGGUGAUUGUUUUGUGAAGGAAGUAAGCUUAUCAUCUCUAGAGAAACAAAUAGGUUCUCAAUGUCCUGAAGUGGAUUGGACCUAUGAAAUUAAUUGCAUGGAUUUUGACAAAUCUCUUCAAUCUUUCGGCAGACAUGCCUUUAGAAGAGAUUGUCUUUUGGAUGAUUAUCUUGCCCACACCAGAAAUGCAAUAUGCACUACUGGAGGUUCCUCUAACUCUCGAGAUUGUUCUUUCUUGAUUAAAGGAACGAUAGUACUCCAACCUCUUAAAAUAGUGAAUUUGAAUAAAUGCAUUUCGCUUAAACUCUUUUGUUUUUAAAAUUUUCCAUUGGGUAGGGAAAAACAAAAGUUGAAGCUCUUCGUCUCCACUUUGACCAUGAGCGGCAGUACUAUUUUACCUAUAAGGACUUUGAGAAUAUAUAUAAUCUAAGGUUUCUUCAAGUUGACGAUUGGAAGGAAUACUUUCGUGCAGAAGAGAGGCUUCUUUGGCAUGAAUCGCUAUCAAAUGUUCUUCCAAUUGAUAAUUUCCAGGAGAAUUCAUAUCUCCUUCCACAAUUACGAUGCCUUUCUUGGCCUAAAAUUCCCCCAACAUUUAAGAUUACAAAUUUCUCCAUGAAGAAUGUGGUUAUUCUUGAUCUAUCAAAGAGUAAAAUUAUGCACGAUUGGAAGGCGUGGAGCCAUAUGAAGGUAUGUUAUAUGCUAGACAACACUUAUCAUUUCGUCUUAUUAGAUUAUAAGUAAUCUUUGCAUAAUUUUUCUUUUUCAUAGGUGAUGAAAAAUUUGAAAGUUAUGAAUCUAACAUGUGUUUGCUUGGAGAGAACCCCCGACUUCUCUGCUCAUUCAAAAUUAGAACGUUUGAUCUUACGGGACUGUCCCAAAUUAGUUGAAAUUGACAAGUCGAUUUGUCAAUUGAAAAGCUUAAUUUUUUUAGAUGUAACAUCUUGGUCAAUUUUUCUAAAAUCUUAAGCCUAUUUAUUGAAGGCAUGGUCAAUAUUUAAAUACUCUAACGCUACCCUCAUGCAUAAGCUAAAUAUUGGUCUAAGAUUAAAGUGUAGAAAUAUCUAAUUGAAGAGGCACAUAGAGACUUGAUAAGACUUGAAUGCGGGAACUCUUGCUUAGGCAUUGUUUAAAAUCUAAGUACUCCAACACUCUUCACGCAUUAGAUUUCGGCUAAUAUACACAAUGUAGACUAUAGAAUUUGUGCUUAUAUAUAUAUAUAUAUAUAUAUAUAUAUAUAUAUAUAUAUAUAUCAAUGGAAUAUUUAUAGAAUUGGAUAUUCAUACAUUACUCAAGUAAGUAUACAAACCAUUCUGAUAGAACAUAAGUGGUAAACUAGAAUAGAAAUGACAACUAAUGAUCAAGCUUUUUACCCUUUUAUCAAUUGAUGAUUGUAAUUCAAAUAGAACCAAGUGUGAUUAAUUUAACUAUAUUUAGUAUUAUACACGGAAUGGUGACAGGUUGGAUCGUCAUUAAGAGAUGACAUUCACAAUGCUAAAGAGAUCUCGCUGUAAUUAUCAUUCUAUUUAUUUAAAUUGUGAACCAUUUCCACUUUAUAAAAGAGAAAUCAAUUGAAGACGAGCUGAUGAUACUUGGUCACCUAGGAGAAACAUCUGAAAGGGUCACUUCAUUAACAGUAGAAGUUUUGUGAAUUAGACUGAUAGGAUUGAGUGUUCUCACAUUUCUCCCAACUGAGAAUGCAGGCAAAGAUGGUCGAGUAAGUGGGAUAGUAUCGGCUCCUAGCAUAUGAACCACGGGCGACAUGGUUGGUCGAUCUAUUGGGUCUUCUUGAACACACAAUAGACCGAUGUGUAUGCACUUUACCACUUGAAUUGCAUCAUAUGACUCUUUGAUUGAUGGAUCGGUAAGUUCCAAACUUCGACCUUCGGACCACAACGGCCAUGCCUGUCAUUUUGGAAGGGAAGUAAGCAAGGACAAUUGCACAUAAUUCUGAGGUUUCAUAUUAAAAAAGUGUGGUGACUAGGAACAUACAAGGGUGAGAAGGCUUUCACCGUGCUCUGGGAGAUGAAAACCGUUAUUCUUUCGCCCACUUAUCAUCUCUAGCAAGAGAACUCCAAAACUGAAGACAUCUGAUUUAAUAGAAAAUAGUCCUUGCAUCGCAUAUUCCGGUGUCAUGUAUCCACUGACCGAAAUUAUGCGAUGAAGUGCAAUUACUUGGAAGUAAGAAACAAUUGUUGAGAAAUAUUGUGAGUAAUAAGGGUAAAAUAGUAAUUUAGUUAUGAUUAGGGUUAAGCACAUAUGAGCAUAUAUAUUUGUAACCCUUUUUCACUUUUUAAUAUAUAUAGAAAAUAAUUAUCUCAUUCACAUGGUAUCAGAGCAAGGUUGGCCGAAACCUUAGAUGACGGAGCAGCCACUCGCCACCGCAACUCGCCAGAAUAGUUGGCUAUCGCCGCCACUCAUCAUUGAAACCUCCUGCCACUCGAGUGUCCCUCUUCCUUUCUCUUGCUUCUUCGUGUGGCUCGCGUGCGCGGCUCGUGCGGCUCGCGUGCGCGGCUCGCGCGGCUCGCGUGCGCGGCUCGCGCGGUUCGCGUGCGCUGCUCGCACGGCUCGCGCUCGCUGCUCUCGUGGCUGGAUCGCGCUCGUGGCUCACACGCCUUGAUCACGCUUGCGGUUUGCGCUGCUUGCACGACUCUUGCGCGCUACUCACACGGAUUGCUCACGCUCGCAGCUCAUUCACGCUAGCGUAACUUCUGAAAUUGUGAAGCUUGAACCUCAAUUCCGCGAAACCCUAGCACCAAUGCCGCUGUAAACUCGAGACCCAUCUUCGGGAGCUAGUCCGUGUGGUUGAUGGUGUAGGAGGGUUCUUGAAUUUGCUGCCCUAGAAUCACCGAUCAGUAGCCACAUCAAGUAAACUUGCUUUCUUUUGUUUCUUUUUUUUGGGAAAUCAAUGCUGUUGGAAGCUGGAAGGUUGAAUUUAAAGCUGCUAUUGGAAGUUGGUUCGUUUGUCGGGAGGUAAUAAGGAGGAGGAGAAACACAGAAGAGAUUGGUGCUUCCUUGUGUUCUUGACAUCUCUGUUCCCCCCGCACAGUUCUCUGAAGUUGAAAAAAGGUGGGGAGACAGAAACAUGUAUAAGUCAGAGAGGACUCUGGGAGAAGAGAGAUGCGCAUAGUGAAUGAUGGAUUCUUUAUAUUAUCUUAAUUAUUACUUUUAAAUUUUUGUGCUGGCUGUGGAGUACGGAAAGGUUUUUUUAGAAGCAGCAAAUGAUGGGUUAUUUUCUGGCUGUUGAACAAUAACUCACUUUAUUAUUUGUAUUGCACAAAAUUUUAGAAGUGGCCAUUGUGGAAUAUAGAUUUGAUAGUUAUUACAGAGGAUAGAGUUGCUGUUUUUCGCACUUGAAAGUGAUGUUGCAUUGAAUCAAUGGGGAUAUUGAGAAUAAGUAUACUGGUGCUUUGGUAAUCCGUAUGGCGAUUCGAUUGAAUCCUUUCUUUUCGAAAUUUCUUUUUGUGUAUUUGUGUGAAUUAUUGGAAUUAGCAUUGGCAACCAUGAAGUUCAUCUCUUGGGCUCCAUCAUUCUUUAUUCACUAAUGGCGACCUCUGGAUUGACUUCUGGAUCUCCUUUUGGUCAUUUUCAAUUAACAUCUGUCAAGUUAGAUGGAACUAAUUAUCCAUCCUGGUCUAAAGCGGUCGAAGUCUGUCUUACUGCCACUAGACAACUGGACUAUCUCACAUCUACAAUACUGUCUGACACGAGUAAAGCCGCCAAUUGGAUUGCAGGAGAUGCGAUGAUUCGGACCCUAUUAUGGACUAGCAUGGCUCACGAGCCCUCGCCCAGAUUUGGGGCAAGGAUCGUGGCCCUCGCCGCGAUUCGGCGAGGGCUUGCAACCCUCACCAUCGGUUGGCCAGGGGCCGGCGACCCCGGUCAACCCUCCCCACUCCGUCGCCGGCCCUUCCCGGCGACGGCGGGGAGGCAGCGACGGCGAGGGCUUAGCCCUCAGCCGCCCCAUUCGACCUCCUCCCCUUUUUUUAAAAUUAUUUUUAAUUUUUAAUUUUAUAAAUUUUUCUUAAUUUUUUUAAUUUUUUAAAAUUUUCUUAAUUUUUUUUAAUUUUUUUUAAUUUUCUUAUUUUUUUAAUAUUUUAAAUAAAAUUAAGUUUAAAUCUAAUUUAAUUAAUUUUUAUAUUAUUAUCCAUGUUAGCGUGCAAAACGACACCGUUUUGAACCAAACUCGCCGGAAAAUUACCACGUUAGCCAUUUAGCCGGAUUUUCGCCGGAGUGACACUUAAGUGUUCCAUUUUACUCCGAUAUUGGCACUUAAGUGUACCAUUUCAAAGUUAUGGCACUUAAGUGUCCCUCCGUGCCAAGUUAUGACACUCUAGGUGUCCCAACCUCGAAUGACACCAUUAUACGCUUACCAUGACAAAUUGUGUGCCCAUUUUGAGAAUUAGAUAACUUGUACCUUCACUGUCAGACUCAGUGUUGGUUUUGUUUGUUGUAGAAGGUGCUGGUGCUUGUCCUCUAGGUUCCCCACUAAGAUUCAUUUGGUACCGUACAUUACAACUCGGCUGAAGAAUUCUCGCACCUCCCCUUUUAAAAUUAAGAGCGGUAGGAAACUCUUUGAUAGCCGAAAGCAAGCAACUCUUACAGGCUGAUUUUGCUAUGUCGGGGGUUCACUGUGCAAUCUCAUACAUGGUCACUGAACUUGAGACAUUAACGUUUAUGGUUGCAUAUAAACUUUCUGAGGAGAUCACCAAGUUUGUUACAUUUCUUGCCAAAUCCAUCACUUUUGCUGCAACGUCCUCAUUAUCGAAAGUUUGUUCCUCAAUCCUGUUGAAGGAAACUGAACUGUUUGUAGGGUCGACAAUGAAAAUACUCGAUCUUGUCUCCACGAUAGAGAAGACCGAUCUGUUGGAGUAGCGCAUAAGACACUCGUCGUACCAUAUGGUCGCCUCUUUCUGUCCUGGACAUCUUUCCACGAGGGUGUUGCUAGCUUCCUGGAUGCAAGACUGACAGCGAUUGGCAGCAACAUUGCCUCUAAAGAGGAAUAGGGAAGUCGCAUUGGUAGUCACUUAUAUCUGGGUGGUAAUGUUUUAGUUGGCAUUGGAUCAUCGUACUUUGUAGAGAAUUUUAAUUAAGACCAAUAUAUCAGGUCCAUUAUAAAUCCUAUUUCCAAGUGAGCCGAUUCCAAAGAUUAUAAUGAUUGAUUUGGAACGUAUUACUCAAAAGUAGAAAUUUUUGGUAUCUUUCACACGUGAUUUACCUGCAGAGGAAGAGACCAUGAACUUUGUCCGGAUCUUCACCUUCCGUCGUGUUGUAGAAACCGUAAAUGGGUCCUUUGUUGGAAGCAGCGUAGUCGCCCUUGGAGGAGCGUAGUUGCCCUUUUUUGCGCACUGCUCGUGCCUCGCACGCGUCAUCGACGGCCCCCGCACAUGUGCGUUGCACGUGCGUCGAACGUGCUUCGCACGUGCACGCGUCGGCCACACACGCUCGGGCGACGCACGCGCCUGCGUCUUCAAAUCGCACGCGCCAGAGACACCGUUUCGCUUCAGCUACGCGUGGGGGCGCAUCCGACGGCCUUUGGUGGUGUUCCGCCACUCGUCAUGCUUGUCUCGACGAGACCCUCGAUCCUACGCCAUCAGAAACUGAUUUUGACUUAUAGAAAAUAAAAAAUAAAAAAAAAUGGAUGAACAAUGCUCGGGUGUCGGGAUUUUUCCGCCCCCAAUCGGUGUCAGCCGAUUUUCAACGAAAAGUCAAUAAAAAAAUCAUUCAUAAACAUGAAAGGGGUCGGGAAAAACAUGAAUAAGGAUCGGGAAACAUGAACUCUCGCUCUAAUACCAAUGUCGGGAAUAUCGGAUUCCCAAAAAUCGGAUUCGACACUAAAUCGAACCCCUAAAACAAGUGCGGAAGACGAGCUCGGGAAAAAGACAUGUAUCACUGAUCCUAAGAAACAUUACAGAAUCGAACAUACCUUGUUAGCCACAUAUUAAACACCAACGCUGAUAUGAGCAAAAAGAAUUAAUCAUGUUCGAUCCGAUGACGCCAAUUCGUCUUGAAGGGAAGAGAAUUCUGACUCCUUUUGUUAUUGUUCUUCUUUUGGAGUGUUUGGAGGGAGAGAGGGAGGAGGAACGUACAUUACUUGAAAAGAUGCGUUCCUCCCUCUUUGUUUCUCCCUUAAAUACGUCAUCUCCAAAGGACGUGUCCCUUCAGCAAAAGAUGCUCCCAAAAAGUUACAACUCUUCAACAUAUCUCUACAUCCAUGGGCCCUAAUUUUGUGGGCCAAGCUUUUAGGCCCAACAUGGGCGGACGGGCCAACUUAGGCCCAUCACAUUAAUUAAUUAAAACCAUUAGUCUAUGCACCGACAGGAGUGCCUUGGAUGCAGAGGAUUAGGCAUGAAAUCCAGAAAGCGAAGGAAAUAUUUCUUGGUGCAUUGAGAAUCUUUUUUUCUUGAACUUGGAAAGAACGCAAGCACAGUAAGAGUAAUUCAAAGAUGGCCAUGGACUUUCUUUUAACUCAAGAGGAGUAGGACAAUAAGCGACUUCUAGAGGGCGAGGUGAAGAAAUUGAUCAAGAACCAAGUUUUGCAGCUGCUCUCCCUGAUUCUGGGGUUGGUAAAGACGAAUUAGUCCAAAUUCCACGUUCCGUUGUCAAUAGGGACAAGCACCCGAUUGGCCUUUUUUUUUUCCAGAAGAAAUGAGGGCGAACUUUCCUGGCUUGCCCUACCAACGAAAAUACCAGGUGGAGCCCAAUAAGAUCUUCCUGAGUAGCCUCCUGGAGCUCACCCCGCAGGUUGCCUAACUCCAGCCCGUGUAGACGGAGACCUGCAAUCAGACCUUACCAGAGAAGAUGGACUUCCCGACGAGCUUGUUGAGGUCGGACUUGCUGAGGUGGAAGGUAGGCCGCUGCCACCCCGUCCCCCGAGAGGGGAGGCAACACUGUUGAGGGAGGGGGGUGGGGGGUGUCGGCCUGGAGGGAGAAGCUCUUGAGCUUGAUCUUGCAAAAGGAGGGGGAGAAGGAGGGGUGGACGGUAGAGCCCUCGGACUUAGCGGCGAUGGGGAUCUUGAAAGCGAGGCUCCCUACCAUGAGCAGAGAGAAGAAGAAAAAAUAAAGGAAAAAAAAGAAGGAAACUCAUAUUUAAGGAAAAAAGUCAUGGAAAAUCUUGAACUUUGCCCUGAGUGACACAUUUACCUCAAACUUUUUUUCUUGUGCUGUGAAAAACUCCAAACUUUCUAAACCGUGACAUAUUUACUCCAAACUUUUUUUUUUGUGACACCAAAAACCUUGAAACUUUGUCGUGUGAUACAUUUACCUCAAAAUUAUAGGGCAUUUUAGUCUUUUCAUUUUUUAAGAUUUUUUAAGAUUUUUUUUUCUUUUUUUUUUCUUCUCUCUUCCCUUAGCUGGCUGGCUGACGGAGGGAAGCCGGCAUUCGGCAAGGGUCGCCCUCACCAGUGUCGGGCAAGGGCUGCCCUUGCUGGCAUUGGGCUAGGGCGGCCCUUGGUCGGGUCGGGUGAGGACUUCCCUCGCGCCCUUGCCUGCGUCGGCGUCGGCGUCAAGCACCCCUCGCCUGACGCUAGCAAGGGUUGCCCUCGCCAAACGCCAGUGAGGGCGGACGCCAGCGAGGGCGACCCUCGCCGGACGCUGGCUUCCCUCCGCCACCUUCGCCAUGGCCAGCGGAGGGAAGAAGAAGAAAAAAAAAAAAAAAAGGAAAAAACAGAAAAAAGACAAAAAUGCCUUUAUGGGGUAGAUAUAUUACGGUUCGGAAAGUUUGGGUUUUUCACGUCACAAAAAAAAGUUUGGGGUAAAUGUGUUACUCAAGCAAAGUUCAAGGUUUUUCGUGGCUUUUUCCCUACCUAUUUUCACACGGUGAAAUUCCGCGUACGGCCAAUAUUUUGUCCUUUUCGAUGGGAACAAAUCAACCUAGUAUACAAACCCAAAAGACCCAAUAAAGACUCGGCAGUGGUUAUUAAUCAUCCUAGGCAUGUUCCUCCUCUUGGUUCAAGGCGGAAGUUCGAAACACCGCAACUGUGCAUUCUCUCAGGGUCAUCUAGAAGCAUAGAAAUUCUUGAAUGUGUGAGACGGGAGGACCAUCAUACCUGAGGAGACUUGCCUCGAAGGAAUAAGGGUAAAUGUAUCUUUGGUAGAAAAAAAAAACAAAUAGGAUGCUCCACUGAAACUCCAUCAUUUGUUGAUGUUGCGAUAAGGCGAGCGAUCGAACAAUAAUAUAACAAAAGAAUAAAAUAAAUCGAACACUAGAUUUACGUGAUUCAGUCAUAAAGACCUACGUCCACGGAGAGAGUAACAGUGAAUUUCACUAUAAAUCAAGCAAUACAAGGAGAUUACACACUCAAGUCACUCAAACACUCACUCGGUGUUUCCCAAAUUCCAAUUUAACACCAAACCCAACUCACGGCACAAAAUUACCGUGCGUUCAACUCGAAACAAAAACGCUCUUGUGUAUCUCUUCAAAGCUUCACGUGGAGGACUUGCGGCUUCAUGGACGUGCGGCUUCGUAGACUUCGGCGGACGUAUGGCACUUCUUCUACGUAGGGUUUCUUUACCAACUCCAAGCAAGCCCACUAUCAAGGAAAAUAGAUUCUGCUUUUAUACGUGUGUGUGCGCCCAUAGACUUUGACUCUGGGCCCACCGUAACUUUCCUUCUCUACGUGCGUGGUCUUCGCUGGCUUCUAGGAGAAGGAUUUAUUUAUUUUUCUUUAUAAGCUGAAGAGGAAUCCAGGCGUGCAAAUUCGUGUGUGUGCCCAAGGUCAAACUUUUGACCUUGGGCCCCACCUCCUCCUUAGAGCUUCACAUGCAGGUUUCGCGGAUUCCUUUCUCUCGGUUCUUCGCGUGGAGAAGCUUCACGCGGCUUUCCUUUUCUGUUUCGUAAAGGAUUCCGCAGCAAAGCACUUUCUUCCUUUAUUUCAGCAAAUCGAAUUUUGCACUCAAACUUGAAUCAUAUUUAAAAGUUGACGAAGACACGGGACUAAGACUUCACCGCGUUUUUCACGGUCAGAGACAUUGAUUUUUGCUCUUCAAAGUCUAAGACUCCUUUUACAUGCCGACAACUAUAGAUGUCCUUUCGAAUCUUUUCUAAAUGUGUUUUUCUAUGCUUUGAAUGAGCAACCCUGUUUAUGGGAUCUUGUGAGUGGUGUUAUAGAAAAUAAUUGUACUUUGAAAGGUCGACGCAACAUAUUCAUCGAAAUUUGUAAUUUUUGCACAAAUUCAUUGAGAAUAUUAUAUGAGUAUCAUUCUUCUUUUGUACUUUCUUAUGUAAGUGUGUCUUGGAAGACAAUAUUAUAUUCUUCAUAAUAUAUGUUGGCAAAUGAUGAUAGAAAAUAAUUUUCUUUCUUAUUGAUUUGAUAGAUUUCCAACGAGAACAAAGUUAUCAACUAUUUUGAUAUGAUUGGUCAGAAGUAAUAACUUUUCCCUAUGUGGCGCUAGUAAACCUAAUCCACGAGUGGGCUGAGCUAAAUUUUUGAAGACUACUGAGCAAGCCUGGACAGGUCUGGUCAAGCGGGCGGAGGGGGGUUAGGUCAGAGCAAGGGCCUUGAGGCUCGGCCUAUUGCGCCCUUAUAUUUAUUAAAAAAAUUACAAAAAUAUGUCUAGGCUCAGCCUAUUGCGCCCUUAUUUUUGCAAACCAUCCUCAUAAUCUCAAAGCAAAACUCCACCAUGAAAAGAGCAAAUAAUCCCCCCUUACAAAAUUCAUUUUAUUAAACUACUUAGGGUUUAAUGGGUUUGGUCUUUAGUUUGUUUUGGCUAAUUUGGUUGGCGGUGAGAAAUUAGGAUUUGGAACGGGCAUUUUACAAAUUAAAUAGAAACAUACGAAUAAUUGAUGUGAAGGGUGGUUUCCAAAAGUAAUGCUCAAUUAUGUUUUUGUUUUUCUUCAAAAGUAGAGGUAUAUAUGUGGUCGUUCGUGAGCGCUAAUGUAUGCUUUUGGUUUUUUUUUCUUUUAUUAGUAAUUUUACUAUGAUAUCUAGAAUUAAUAACCAGCAGUAUGACAAACUAAGCACAAAAUUCCGAUAUAGGAGAAAAAAAUAGUAUAAAACUCACAGAUAAAAUAAAAAAAUAAUAUAACACAAAACCCUAUAAUUAUUUUACAUUUAUUUUCAUUUUCUUUUUUUCCUAGCUAUAAAUUUUAAAAAUAAAAAAGUAAAGUUCCUCCACCGGGCGAGCUUGGCCAGCUAACGUUUUUCUCGAGCGCCAACGAGUAGACCCGGGGGCCAAGUACCGUUGCUGAGUCAUCCGCACGCGUUUCUUGAUACUAUUGCUUGCCAUUAUUGCUUGGCAUUACUCAUUAUUUUUUGUUUACUUGAUUAUAUCAAAUGAAAAUAGGUCAUUAAUUAUUAAUUUUUGUGGAGAAAUUAUCUAAAAAGUUCUAAACCUAUUAUGUUUUUACUAAUUCAAUUAUAAAUAUUUUAAUAUGCUAUCUAAGUCCUAAACAAUUUUACAUUUUGCCUAUUGAGUCCAUUUGAUUAAUUUUGAUUGGAAAUUGAUGCAUGGAUACUGAAUCUCUUAUGUGGUAUUAUUGAUGCUGAAAAAGACAUUUUUUUAAUGAUAUUUUAACAUUUUAUUGAAUUUUUAUAAUUUCUUUCUUUUCUCUUAUUUUCUUUACCUUUUUCUAGAUUUAGGCUGGAGAGGGCAUUACGGUCCAUAUAGGCCAUUGGGCAAGGGUCGAGGGUUUGGCAAUGGUUAUGUUGCCCUUGCUAGAUCUGGGCAAAUGAGGGCAUCGUGACCCUCGUCGGCCCUAGCCCUAGGUGAGGGCCAUGAUGCCCUGACCCCUUUUGGGCAAGGCUGUGUUAGUGCCAUCAUGACGUAUAAGAUGUUUGAUUUUCAAGUUAGUGAUUUUCAAUCAAAAUUAGUCGGAUGGAUUCAAUUAAUAAAAUGUGAAAAUGUUUAUAAAUGAAUUAACAAAAGUGCAAUAGGUGUAAGACUUUUUGAACAAUUUUCUCAUUUUUGUGUGUCUAAAUUGCAAAUGCGGACAUAGUAAUUUUCUCAUGUGAGAAUCACUAACAACAUUUCGAUAGCAGAGAGUAGUGUUUUAUAGUGGUUUCAAUUAGAAGCGGCAAAUGAUCAAAAUAGCCAAUAGGUUCACUUAAGAUUAUUUGAAUUAAUUAUCAUUAUUUGGUUUAGAGCUAUUGUAAUUGAGAGGAAGAAAAGAAAAUCUCUUUCCGAAGAGUAGAAUUGAUAAUGAAGAUAUUUAGAUUUAGAUGAUGCAAUGUGCAAAAAAUAAAAAUAAAAAUAAAAAUAAAGGACAACACAUGAACGGUGAGGGUCCUUUUUGGGAUUUUCUUCGAGGAAAGAACUCUAUUCAUUAUCACUUGAACGGAAAUGUAUUUUAUAUGAUGAAUGCGUCACAUGACAGUGACACGUGAUACAAUAGAUCAAUUAACAAUAAGAUUUAUAUUCUGGUCAAUAGACGCCUCAUCAAUGUUAAGUAAUAUAUCUAUUUCAUAAAGGAAAAAUGACAAAUGACACCUGAAUUUUGGCUUUAAUGCAAUGUCAUUCUGAAGUUUUUAAUUUAUCUAAUGUGGUCUCAAAAUUAUUGAUAUUAGUUGGGCAAAAAACACUCAAAGUGCCAAAACUUGGCAUAAUGGAAUAAUUAAGUACUAAAAUUUACGAAAGUGACACUUAGGGCGCGUUUGGUUGUGUUUCUGUUUAAAAAUUGUUCCAGGGAACAGAAAUAGAAAAAAGUAUUUCUGUUCCGGGGAACAAUUUUUGAACAAAAAUACGCGUUUGGUAAACUUGUUCCGGGAAUAAAAAAUAAACAGAAACAUGUUUGGUAAAUUUGGAUAAUUUUUUUAUUUCUUUUAUUUUUUCUAUUUUUUUCUUUUUUUUCCUUUUUUUCUUUUUUCUUUUUCAUUUUUUUUUUCUUCUUUUGGCCGGCGACCGGCCGGCGAGGGCCGAGCUCGCCCAGCGGCGGGCGAGGCGCGGCCUCGCCGGGCCACCGCCAGGCGAGGCCGAGGCUCGCCGGCCGCUGGGCGAGCUCGGCCUCGCCGGGCUGGGCGAAGUCUAGGCCUGACCUGGGCCAGAUCAGGCUCGCCCAGGGCCAGGGCGAGGGCGGGCCUCCCCGGGACCCGGCGAGUUCGAACUCACCUAGGGCCAGUGCGAGGUCAGUGCUCGCCCGGGGGAUGGNNNNNNNNNNNNNNNNNNNNNNNNNNNNNNNNNNNNNNNNNNNNNNNNNNNNNNNNNNNNNNNNNNNNNNNNNNNNNNNNNNNNNNNNNNNNNNNNNNNNNNNNNNNNNNNNNNNNNNNNNNNNNNNNNNNNNNNNNNNNNNNNNNNNNNNNNNNNNNNNNNNNNNNNNNNNNNNNNNNNNNNNNNNNNNNNNNNNNNNNNNNNNNNNNNNNNNNNNNNNNNNNNNNNNNNNNNNNNNNNNNNNNNNNNNNNNNNNNNNNNNNNNNNNNNNNNNNNNNNNNNNNNNNNNNNNNNNNNNNNNNNNNNNNNNNNNNNNNNNNNNNNNNNNNNNNNNNNNNNNNNNNNNNNNNNNNNNNNNNNNNNNNNNNNNNNNNNNNNNNNNNNNNNNNNNNNNNNNNNNNNNNNNNNNNNNNNNNNNNNNNNNNNNNNNNNNNNNNNNNNNNNNNNNNNNNNNNNNNNNNNNNNNNNNNNNNNNNNNNNNNNNNNNNNNNNNNNNNNNNNNNNNNNNNNNNNNNNNNNNNNNNNNNNNNNNNNNNNNNNNNNNNNNNNNNNNNNNNNNNNNNNNNNNNNNNNNNNNNNNNNNNNNNNNNNNNNNNNNNNNNNNNNNNNNNNNNNNNNNNNNNNNNNNNNNNNNNNNNNNNNNNNNNNNNNNNNNNNNNNNNNNNNNNNNNNNNNNNNNNNNNNNNNNNNNNNNNNNNNNNNNNNNNNNNNNNNNNNNNNNNNNNNNNNNNNNNNNNNNNNNNNNNNNNNNNNNNNNNNNNNNNNNNNNNNNNNNNNNNNNNNNNNNNNNNNNNNNNNNNNNNNNNNNNNNNNNNNNNNNNNNNNNNNNNNNNNNNNNNNNNNNNNNNNNNNNNNNNNNNNNNNNNNNNNNNNNNNNNNNNNNNNNNNNNNNNNNNNNNNNNNNNNNNNNNNNNNNNNNNNNNNNNNNNNNNNNNNNNNNNNNNNNNNNNNNNNNNNNNNNNNNNNNNNNNNNNNNNNNNNNNNNNNNNNNNNNNNNNNNNNNNNNNNNNNNNNNNNNNNNNNNNNNNNNNNNNNNNNNNNNNNNNNNNNNNNNNNNNNNNNNNNNNNNNNNNNNNNNNNNNNNNNNNNNNNNNNNNNNNNNNNNNNNNNNNNNNNNNNNNNNNNNNNNNNNNNNNNNNNNNNNNNNNNNNNNNNNNNNNNNNNNNNNNNNNNNNNNNNNNNNNNNNNNNNNNNNNNNNNNNNNNNNNNNNNNNNNNNNNNNNNNNNNNNNNNNNNNNNNNNNNNNNNNNNNNNNNNNNNNNNNNNNNNNNNNNNNNNNNNNNNNNNNNNNNNNNNNNNNNNNNNNNNNNNNNNNNNNNNNNNNNNNNNNNNNNNNNNNNNNNNNNNNNNNNNNNNNNNNNNNNNNNNNNNNNNNNNNNNNNNNNNNNNNNNNNNNNNNNNNNNNNNNNNNNNNNNNNNNNNNNNNNNNNNNNNNNNNNNNNNNNNNNNNNNNNNNNNNNNNNNNNNNNNNNNNNNNNNNNNNNNNNNNNNNNNNNNNNNNNNNNNNNNNNNNNNNNNNNNNNNNNNNNNNNNNNNNNNNNNNNNNNNNNNNNNNNNNNNNNNNNNNNNNNNNNNNNNNNNNNNNNNNNNNNNNNNNNNNNNNNNNNNNNNNNNNNNNNNNNNNNNNNNNNNNNNNNNNNNNNNNNNNNNNNNNNNNNNNNNNNNNNNNNNNNNNNNNNNNNNNNNNNNNNNNNNNNNNNNNNNNNNNNNNNNNNNNNNNNNNNNNNNNNNNNNNNNNNNNNNNNNNNNNNNNNNNNNNNNNNNNNNNNNNNNNNNNNNNNNNNNNNNNNNNNNNNNNNNNNNNNNNNNNNNNNNNNNNNNNNNNNNNNNNNNNNNNNNNNNNNNNNNNNNNNNNNNNNNNNNNNNNNNNNNNNNNNNNNNNNNNNNNNNNNNNNNNNNNNNNNNNNNNNNNNNNNNNNNNNNNNNNNNNNNNNNNNNNNNNNNNNNNNNNNNNNNNNNNNNNNNNNNNNNNNNNNNNNNNNNNNNNNNNNNNNNNNNNNNNNNNNNNNNNNNNNNNNNNNNNNNNNNNNNNNNNNNNNNNNNNNNNNNNNNNNNNNNNNNNNNNNNNNNNNNNNNNNNNNNNNNNNNNNNNNNNNNNNNNNNNNGCUCGAGGUCGGCCUCGCCGGAUCUGGGCGAGAUCGAGCUCGCCCAGGCCGGCGCGAGGUCGGCCUCGCCGGGGGAUGGCGAGCGUCGGCCUCGCCGGGGGCCGGCGAGCCUCGCCGUGGCUGGGCGAGGCCGCCGGCCCUCGUCGGCCGGUCGCCGGCCAUGGCCGAGAUCGGCGACCGGCCAAAAGAAAGAAUAACAAAAAAUAAGAGAAAAAAGAAAAAAAAAAAGUGUUUCUGAUUUGUGUUCCAGAAACAAGAAACACAAAAUUUGUGUUUCUUGUUUCUGUUUCUUUUUUGUUCCUGGGAACAAAAGAACAAAAAAGGAACAGAGACGCACCCAAACGCGUUUCUGUUCCUUUUUUGUUCCCAGGAACAAAAAAACAGAAAUUUCUGUUCCUGGGAACAGAAACAGGGUGCAGCCAAACGCGCCCUUAAGUGCCACUUUUUUCUUAUGAAGAAUGGGACAUUUGAGUAUUGCAUCUGGUGAACCUCGUCGGAAAUCUUACGUGACAAUUUUUUUAUUAAUUUUCUUGCUGACAUGGCUCGUCGGAAGGCUGGCUCAAUAAAAACAUAGAAAAACGACGUCGUUUUGGUACAAUUCGAACUUAAUAUAAAAAUUAAUCAAAUUAAAUAUAAAAUAAUUUUUUUUUUUAAAUGAGGAGGAAGGCAGUUGACGGCUGAGGGCUGUCUGCCCGUUAUCACUGAAAAGGUCGGAGAGGGUCAACCGGGGCCUGACGACCCCCGCUGACCGGCAAUGAGGGCUUGCGAGCCCUCGCCCAGAUCUAGGGUGAGGGUUGCGGCCCUCUCCCAAAUCUGGUGAGGGUCGCCAGCCCUUGUCCUACCGGGCCAAAGGCUGCUGCUGGUUGGGGCGACACGCAGGUCCUCAUCAAUAGUCGGCUAGGGUCAUCGGCCACCGACCAGGGUUUGGCGGCCUUGGUUGACCCUCCCCCACCUUUCUAGCAACGAUAGGGAGGCUGUGGCGGCGAGGGUUGAGCCUUCAGCCGCAAGCUGCCUUCCUCCUCCUCCUCCUCCUUUAUAUAUAUAUAUGAAUUUUGUUUUAAAUUUAAAUUAAUUAAUUUCUAUAUUAAUUAUUUACAAUGUUAGCACCAAAAUGACGUCAUUUUGGCAUUGUCUAGUCAUAUCAACGUGCAAAAUGACGUUGUUUUAUAUUAAGCUCAUUGGAAAAUCGCCACGUCAGCAUUUUAAUCGGAUUUUCUCGCUGUUGACACUUAACUAAUCUAUUUUACUUCAAUUUUGGCAUUUAAGUAUCACUUUCCUAACUUUUGAUACUUAAUUGUUCAUUCGUGCCAAGUUUUGGCACUCCUGGUGUCCUUGUGUCGAUAUUAAUUCAGUGUUGUUGAUUUUGUUUGGUCUAUGACCAACUAUUUGUCAUUUGAUGAAUGGGUUAUGGGUUAUGGUUAUUCAUUUCAUGCUGCACUAAAUAAAAAUUAUUUUAUUACUUAUCAAUGCAUGUAUAAUAGUAAAGUGUGGUUGGAGGAUAACGGUGGAUGCGAAGUUAUAGUUGUUGGCGAUAUUAGAAUCAGCAUGUAUGAUGAUAUUGUAAGGACAUUAACCGGAGUUGAAGAAGAACCCGGUUUCCUCGAGUACUUGGAUUUAGUUGAUUGUUAGUAUAUCUCGGAAUGUGUAAUUUUGAAAAUUAUUUGAGGUGUGGCUUAAUGAUAAUAAAAGGAAUCAAGCAUUGUGAGUUGUGUGAACUUUAAGAUGAGAUGGUCACUGAAUUCGUCGUGGAAACGUUGAAUGCGUCUGUUCUGGGCAAUUAUACACGCAAUGGCCGACCUAGAACGUGUUUCUAGCAUACAGCCAAAAGUUUUGACCCAAAACCAAGAAAAAUCACACGUCACUUUCGUUUUUUGGGUCAAGUAGCCAAGAGCCUGUCCAGUUGUCCUUCGAUUUGGACUUCGAAAGCGCUUAUGAACAGCACUGGCAAUCAUCAAGACGCGCAUGUCCAUUCCUUUACUGUAAGAGAUUUCUUCCUCAGCUUUCCUAGUUCUCACAUAAUCCCCAUUAUUAAUCAGCUCAUUAUGAUGAACUUUCUCCGCAAAUCACACUAUGUUCGACUUCUUUGAGCACGGGCCACGGUAUUGGUUUAAUCUCUACGAUAUUUUUGAUUUUGACUUAUACGAUCAUGAACGGAUUAACAAGGUUAUAAGGNNNNNNNNNNNNNNNNNNNNNNNNNNNNNNNNNNNNNNNNNNNNNNNNNNNNNNNNNNNNNNNNNNNNNNNNNNNNNNNNNNNNNNNNNNNNNNNNNNNNNNNNNNNNNNNNNNNNNNNNNNNNNNNNNNNNNNNNNNNNNNNNNNNNNNNNNNNNNNNNNNNNNNNNNNNNNNNNNNNNNNNNNNNNNNNNNNNNNNNNNNNNNNNNNNNNNNNNNNNNNNNNNNNNNNNNNNNNNNNNNNNNNNNNNNNNNNNNNNNNNNNNNNNNNNNNNNNNNNNNNNNNNNNNNNNNNNNNNNNNNNNNNNNNNNNNNNNNNNNNGGCAAAAGGCGAAUUUUUUUUUCCUGAAAAAAAAGAGAGAGACGUCCCCGCGAUCCCUAUCUGUCUCGGGAGGUCGGGAGGGAAUUGGAAACUGGGGCAGGAUUUUCUUGACUGGUGGUCGAGACGGAAUAUCUACGAGGCACGCACGAUGAGCCGCCAGAAUUCAAGAGUUUUGGUUGUUGGGAUGCCCCGUGCCACAAGAGUGCGAUGGAUGGUUCGUGAAUCUUGGGGAAGAUUGGUGGAACGUGGAAUGUAAGCGCUUACUUUCACGGCCGAUCACUUUGCUUAUCCUUAUUUUUGCGCCCCCCCCCCCCCCCCCCCCCCCCCCGCGGCGGGGAAUGGCGCAAGAUUCCAACCUUCUGCAAAACGUUAUCGGCUGUGGCAGUGUUUAGGGAGGACAAGCCUCGCUGUGGCUAGGUGAGGUUCCAACAAGAUUACCAAAGCUUAUCUUUGGCUAGUCAAUGGGUUGGUUACCCUUGGCGAUUGGCUAAAAGAGAAAGAAGAAGAAAAAAAAAAAUAGUUUGAUUAUGAAAUUAUUCCCAAAAAUAAAAGGAGUAACUUUUUUUAUUUCUUAAUUCUAUUACAAAUCUAUUUUGGGGAAUAAAUUCGUGCCCAGAAGUAAAAAAAAAAAAAAAAAAAUGAGAUGACAUUAUUAAAUGGAUUUUUUUUUUUUAACUCCAAGGAAUAGAAAAAUAUAAAUAGUUAAGAAUUGACUGGUUAUCAAAUAGGCUCUAAGUGUAAAGUAUCUUCUCUUUCCUUUGCAUACAUAAUAUCCUAAAACAAAUAUUGUAUUCUCCUUUUAUUUUUAUUUUAUUUGUUUUUUAAAUUUAUACUUUCGUUGUGGUUCAAAUUCAAAACAUAUUUUAAAACAAGUAAAAUGAAGAAACUGUAAAUGGAUCCACUGUAAAGCUGCCUAUAGAGUAGGUGGUUGAGGUUGUCUUGGAACUUGCUAUAAGCAACAUAGUUGUCACUCCCUAAGCACCACGUGUUAAGGUAUGACCGUGCACUGAAAGGAAUGCCUGGGAUGAAGAGGAUCAGGCAUGGAAUCCAGGAAGCCAAUGGAACUCUCAUUGGUGCGUCGAUGAUCAUUUUGAUCUCGCCGAGUACAAUAAGAGUAAUUCAAAGAGAGCCAUGGAAGUUCAACUCAAGAGGAGAUAGAGGAGAUAGAUAAUAAGCUACUACGNNNNNNNNNNNNNNNNNNNNNNNNNNNNNNNNNNNNNNNNNNNNNNNNNNNNNNNNNNNNNNNNNNNNNNNNNNNNNNNNNNNNNNNNNNNNNNNNNNNNUCGCCUCCUCCUAAUUAAAAUUUCUUUAAUAUCAAUUAAGUCGGUGUGCUAUGGUCCUACAUUUGUUUUAUUAGAUCAAGAACUCGUUUUGCAGCAGCUUUCCCUGAUGCCGGAGUCAGCAAUGUGAUUCGCUUCUAAGGUUUUUUUUUUUUUUUUUUAUGACCCAGGGAACCCCCGCACGGCCGGCAGCCGGAGAGUAAACCCUGGGGGUACACGCGCUAGCCACCACACACGUGCACCAGGUAAGUCGCCGAAAAUGCCUCUGCCAGCAUUCCCCCGCUUCGCGGGGGAUUCGAACCCUCGACCUCUCUUUCGGGAGAGGGAGUGCCGAACCAGCAGAGCCACCCUAGCGGGUGGUUCUUCUAAGGUGUUUUUGUUAGGAAAAAACAAAAAAGAAGCUCCAAUUAAACUCCGAUGCAUGUUGACGAAGACGACGAGCUUCAAAAGAUUGAUCUGAUAAGACUUCACAGCUCAUCAUGUUCUGGAAGCUCGGAGAUGUUCUUGGUCUUCGAAAGUCCGUUGUCUUAGUUUAUGUGGAAAGCUCUUGAUGUCCUUUUCGAAUUUCCUCUAAACAUGUGUCCUAUGUUGGAAUAAUUUUUAGAUACAAUGAAAAUAAUAAUAAUGGUUGGAAAUAUAUUGAAAAAGAUUAGAAAAUCAAGUCAAUUGUUUGAUAGGGGUAUGUGUGCAAAACGGACGGCACGAACUGAGAACUGCUUGGACCGGAUCGGACUGGCUAGUUGGGUCCGGUUCUUUGGAGUGUUGGUCCGGUUCUUGAUUUGUAAAAAUGAAAUUAGUAUCCAAGUGAUCCGGUUCCUGAUUCUAAGGGGGAAUUGGAGCGUACCAACUACAUAUGCCCUUUUUGUAAUUAUUUCUUUAAAAAAUCUAAUAAAAUGUAAACUAAACACUUUCUUGUCCAUUAGUACCACAAGCUAUGGCACAAUAACUCUUCAUUUAUUGUCGCUUCUAUCAAUAUCUUAAAAUUUAUCACUCUUUCUCAUUGUUCACUGCCACUCUUUAGCAGGAAAAAUAAAGUGGCCGAUUCCAUUAGACUAGACUGAAACCAAAUGUGGUCCUGGGAUUGAGAACCAAAUGGUCCGAUUCAACAUCCUCUUCCAGCACCACACAACAAUGGUAUGGGUGGACGAGGGUGUGGGAUAUCUAGUUUCCCAUCUCUUUGUGGCUUGGUUUGCCUAGGUUGAUAAGGACUUUUAUAGUCCUUUACACAGGUUCAAUAGUCUGCUUGGUGACGUUGAUGGAUUAGUGUUGACCCCUCCUAAUGGCACUGUGGAUGACUUCAAGUCUGGCCCUAAUUAUGACCAAGAGCCCAAGCCCUAAUUGUGAGGACACUGGCUUUUGAUGGAAACUAUCUUUGGUAACCAUCCUUGUAGAAGGAGCUAGGACUAACCCCCUUCUCUUAUAUCUUUUUGUAUGGGAAUGAAAAAUCGGAAUGGCCCUUAGAAAUGGGCUUGUAAAUGAAUCAUUUUGGUUAUAUAAAUGAAGCAUAAAAGUUGUGUUGUAUAUGUUUGUUUUUUUUAUUAUUAUUAUUGUCUAUUUCUUUAUUAUUGAUUGGGUGAUUGAGAUUGCAUGCUUUCUUAUGUGCUUAAUGGAAAGAUAAAAUUAAUGGAACGGCGACACCCCUUAGGACAUCACACGUUCUCGUGGCAAGGGAAACAUUUGGGGCGUGACUUUGCUUGUAUCUAUUGGUAUUAAAGCGAGAUUAAUACCUAAAAUGAUAAGGUGCAUGGGAAAUUGGGAUAGUUAGUUAGGAAAACACCUAUUGUUUGUGAUUGCCAAUUGCUUUCUUAGCUAGUGUUCUUGAGGUCUAAUCUUUUGUUGGAACUUGCUUUGCAAGUUUUCCCUAGAACCCGUACAGUUGCAGCAUGAGUGCUUGGGAACCAAGGAUUUUGAGAGGAAGGACUACUUAGGGCUAGUCAAUUCCAAAGGGAAAGGCAAAAGAGGACUCUUCAUUAGAUGGAAUUCUACAAGCUCAUAAUCAGGCCGCUGCUGCCCUUAUCAAUGCUCCAGUAGCUAGAAAUGGGUUUGGCAAUAGGAAUAGCAAAUGACAAAUGUAUGGACUGGUUGAACAAUUCCUGAAAUUGCGACCCUCAAAGUUUUUUGGGUCAAGUGAUCCCAAAGAGGCCAUUACAUGGAUCUACGAACUAGAGAAAGCUUUUGCAUUGUUGAUAUAACAUCCUCGAAUUCCAAGUCACGAGAAUAAGGUUUGAUGGUUGAUCAUGGGAAUCAAUGACAUAAACCUUAGAUAGACCAAAACAUGGCAUGUUCGGUCAUGGACCCUGUCCACCCGACCGAGACUUGGUUAGGGCAAAUAACCAAGACCAACUACGAGGUUUAUUUUAAGACAUCCAAUGGACCAAUUCUAAUUGAAAAGGGUCAUUGACAAGUUUAAGAAGGCUACAAACUUAGUCGCACUCAUUUGAUUAAAGUUUAGUAAAUUUUGGCAUGGACCUUGGUUUUCAUAGAAUUGUUGAUCGUAUACAAAUAUGAACGACUCCUCCAAUGAGGCGACGCCCUAUAUUAGUCUUAUGAAUGCCUUGAAUGAAUUUUUGGACACAAAUUAAUUAAUGUGGGGACAAGUCACUGGACAAAUGUCAAGAUUUGAUUGGAGUUUUAGAAUCUUCCAUAGCUUUUUGACUUAGUCCAUCCUUAUCCAUUUAAGUGCCACAUGGCCACAUCAAGAGAGAAGGAGAAAACUUGCUCCUUAAGUAGCUCGGCAAAAAUAUCUAGGCCUUAUUUAAUAAUUUUGGACAUUAAUUCAUUAAUGAACAUGAUGAAUUAUCAACCUAGAUUUCUCUAGAAUCUUAGGUAAAUCUUAAGGUAUGAUGGGUCUAGAUUAUAGCCUUGGUGAAUAAGUCAAGAACUAACUAAUUAGAAGAGGACAUGAUGCAUCAAAAGUCUUAUGUGUCUCCUUAGGCACUAUAGGUAAUAUCAAACCUAGAAUGAGCCUUGGAGAACAAGUCAAUAUGUGAACCAAUCACAAGUGAACACCAAGAGACUUAGGUGCCAACUCAAGAGGAUAGCUAGGCCAACUUGCCUCUUGGGUGUAAUUAUGAGCUUGUAAUAAAACUCUAAGAUGAGGUAGCCUAUAAAUGGGAAGAGCCAUUUUCACAUUUUAAGGCUUGGCCUUUCUCUCAUUUCCUCUCCCUUCCUCUCCUCUCUUUCACGCCCUUCUCUUCCAAGCCGCCCUAGAUGCCGACUAACCACCAAAGAAGCAUCUUAGAGCUAGGUCCAAAAAGUAGUAAGUAGAUUUUCCUAACUCUUCGAUAAGGUGAUGUGCUAUGCGUAUCGAUUCUUGGGUCAUGUCAUCAUUUGCUUUUGUUGGCUUUGUGUUAUUAUGCUUGUUGUGUUCUAUUUGUUUGUGGUUACAUCAAGUAAGUUCAUGGUCUUGCAUCGAUGUCGAGCACGCUUGGAUGUCGAAGAAAAGUCUCACAUGACUAUGGACGUGCACUAAGGUGGGUGCAUGACCCACACCUGAUUUCGAGACAACAUUGAGACAUGUUGUUACUCGAGACAAGUCACAGGUUGAUGCCGAAGCAGGAGUGAACGAUUCCAAGUCCAAACCACAAACCUAAGUCACAUUUGGCAUGAGUUUAAUUUAGUAAAGCUGGGUCCGAACCAGGAUUCUGAAAUUCAAACAGAAAAAAAAAAAAAAAAAAACACAACAACAACAACAACAAACCAGGAUUCUCAAAAAGUACCAAAAUUAAAGGUUAAUUAAUAUCCUUUAUCUGUUUAAUUUUUAUUUUUUGAGGUAUAUAAAAAAUUCACCUUUCACUAUGAUGGAAAGUUUUUUGAGUCAUAUUUUUGAAUUCAAACUCAAAUCGAUCUAAUGACUUAAGUUAUUCAAACAUCAAAAGAAUGUAAUCGAACUUGAGUGACUCAUGAGUUGAGCUUAACUGCAAAUUAUGAAAUUUACUUCUCUCGGGCUAGAAAGAGAGUUUAAAAAGAUGACUUGCUAUUAUGUAUAGAAUCUUGAAUGCUCUCUAAAUACUUAUGUUGAAUUGGAUGCAAUAUUCCUUUUUAGUUAAAUGUACUUAUAGUAUUUCGAGUCAAGACAAUUUGUGUAAAAUUUCCGAACUAUUUAUAAUGCGAAUGUGUUUCGAACUUAUAACCUUGUAGAAACUUAUAGCCUUCUUGAAAAUUGUGACAUUAUCUUGUUAGGAAUGCAAUUUGUUGAAGAGAGAGAAAAAAAAAAAAAAAAGAUGACAAGCAAAGUUUUAAGUGAAAAAACCCCUUCGGAAUCAGAAGGAAAAAAAAAUUACAAUGUUGCACUAUACAAUUUUUACACUAUCAAUAUUAGUUUAACAUGAGAAUUACAUGUACACCAUUAGCAAUAAAAAGCCUCUAUGCUUUAAUAGCACCUUCUUAUGUCACACUUCAUAACUCUAUCAUUAUCUUCCCAUAAUUUCUCUAAAUGAAUACGUUAGCAAUACGAUCGUCAGCAUUGAAUUUACGUGUAAAUGAAUGAGGAAUAGAAGAAAAGGUCCACGAAUGUUGAGAACAAAAAUCAUUGGGCUUUUUCAUUGGCUUUGUGCAAAGUAAAUAGAGUUUAUGAUCUUAGACAACAAAAUCAUGAUACACUUUUAAUGAACAAAGAGCAUGAUUGAUUUUUUGAUAAAUAUAAAAUAAGAACCCAAAUGUAUGGUAGGCGCCAUGUUCGGUGGCUCUCAUGAAUUUAUAUUUGUAGUGGGAUAUUUAAAAAGGUACAAAGAUAGAACAAUUUUAUACGCGGCUUAAUUUUUCUUACAAAGCUCAUGCACUACUCAUUCACUUGAAGCAAAUGCCCAAAAAAAAACAUAAAAACAUAAAAAGAUUCCAACUCACCCCUCAAGUUAUUAAAAAAUCAGUGUUUUUUCGUGAAUUCACGAGUUUAAGUUAUGUUAUAAGCAUACUUCUAACCAGUUAGUAUUUGAAGUGUUUGCCACCUCAUGUGGAAAUAUUUUUUUAGACUUUUAGCAUGAUCAUGAAGUUAUGAUGACAUAUUUAUAUACUUAUAAGUGGACUGAUUAAUAAUGACUCAUAUUGAAUAUUUCGUGUUAGACGAUCAUCUCCUCCUUCUCUAUUUAUCUAUUGAAACAAAAAUUCACGACCCAUCGUGAAUCAGGCAGUGAGGCCAAGUCGGAUCACCCCCAACUCGAGCCGGGGAUCCAGUUCGCCGUGAGCCAGGCGGUGGCAUCAAUUCCCACGGAGGGGAACGAAAAGUACAUUUCCUACAUUUUCCCCGCACUGCCUGGCGGGAAAUUUUCCCACCACUGGCAUAAAACCAAAGUCGAAGAAAGAAAAAAGAAAAAUUAAAACCAAAACAAAAACGAAAAUGAAAAGCGAAUAACAAUUCGAAACAGAAAAUACCCAAAACGCGACCCCUUCUCCUCUGCUUCCUCCCCAGAUUCGGGCAUCCGUUCAGAUGAAAGUGGAACGGCUAUGAUCCUUUCUCCAUCCCACUCCCACUCACUCUCUCUCUCUCUCUCUAGAACAAGCACCGAUGACCUCGAUCGACCCGAUCGAUCGGCCGGUCGCCGCCGUAACAGGCUUUCAGCACCACCGUGGCGAAACCCUCGAAGCAGCGGGCGUCGCCCGACGGCUUCGAGGAGCGGCGGCGGCAGCUCAACGAGCCCGGUCGACGAGGAGGAGCUCGAGGCACGUUGGACCGCCCCCUCCGAAGAGGAUGACGGCGCCGCGGCAGCCGGCGCCGACGAGAAUGUCGAGGCCGAGGAGGAGGAGGACGAUGAGGCUCGAUGUUCGCCUAAGCCGUUCUUGCUGGAUUAGUUGAAUCAUGCAAUUCCACUCCGAUCCUUGACAAAUCUCUUGGAACGCUCUGCGAGGAAACCCCAAGUGUCUGGAUCGUAACAAAGGGCUUCAAAGAAAAAGGAUGUCAAAUAGCACGAGUAUAUCGAUAAAUUGAGGGUAGCAACGCAUAGGGGUGAGCAUGGUCCGGAUUGGUCCGGGCCACCCCCUAACCCUAGGACCAACCCGUACAGUGCCGGUCCUCAAUUUUUAGGACCGAGGACCGACCCUAUUGAGCCUGGGACCAAGGACCGAACCGACCCAAUGGGUUCAGUCCGAUUCCAGGGUCAACCCAACCCGGGACCGAUCAAUAAUUUUUUUCGUCUUAUUUUUUAUACUCCCUAAAAAAGCAAAUCUAUACAUUCAAAUUACACAUCCAUCAACAAUGCGGCAUUGUGCAACUAAACUAUAAAUACCAAUACAUAUUUAGCAAAUUUAAGAUGACACGAUAAUAGAAAUUUCGUACUUGCUAACCACUCAUCGAGAUAUGGGACAAGAUGGAAAGUUCUUGUAAUCAUCUAUCUUUAAUAUUCAUAACACCAUAUGCAAAAACGUUUUUUUGUAUUUGAUCAUGUAGCAAAUCACCAUAGUAACUGCAAUACUACUCUAUUCUUCAAAAGCUUCUACCAUUUGACGCAACUUGAAAAGCAAAGUGCAGCUGAAAUUCAUUAGUGAAGUACAAUUAAACUAUAAAAAGUUCAAAAUACUUAAUAUAAAUUAUGAAUAUAUAACUUCACAUCUUGUUAAUUCACUUGAACUUCUAAACACCUAAAAACAAAACAAAUGAUACAUAAUUAAUACUCAACAAAAGUUUUAAAUUGAAAUUACUAUUAAUGCUAUUGAUAGAACAUCUCAAUAUAAUAUAAUAUAAUAUAAUAUAACGGAUAUUUUACUUGAAUUAUAAAUAAUAUAAUAUAAUAUACAGGGUUGGUCCAGGGUUGGACCGACCCAAAACUCUUAGGACCGAGGACCAACCCGCACAGUGUUAGUCCUAGAAUUUCAGGACCAAGGACUGACCCAAUCCUCUUGGGAACCGGACCAGGACCGGCAAGGUUGGGCCAGUCCAGGGUCGGUCCAGGGUCGACUCUAGACCGCUGCUCACCCCUAGCAACGCAGACAAAAUGACAAUAACAAUAAAGGACAAGUUGAUUUUAUUCAUAUAAGAUUAUUUUUCACAUAGUUAAGUUAGGUGCUUUAAUGGCGUACCACAUGAUGAUGAUAACAUCCUUUUCAGGAUGAACAGCAUGGAAGCAGGACAAUCGGCUUGAAAGUGAACCUAAAAGCAGUAUCGGCCGUGCCGGGCUGCAAUGGCAAGUUAUUCUCUUUCAAGAGCUUCAUACCUUGCCGCAUGAGUGCAGCAUCUUUCUGCUAUUUAGCAUAAUGCCGCAUUUCCAAGCCCCAUGUUAACAGAAGAAAUGUGUAAGUAAAACAAAACGAAAGAAAAUCGCUUGAUAUAAGUACAUAUAUCAUCAUUAUAGAUAUAUGCUUUGUAGAGUCAAUUGUAAGGGUCAAACAAUAGACAUAAUGCUUCCACAAGGCCUUCUUGCCUACAAUUUUGUCAGCCCUUAGUCUCUAUCAUCAAGGACUAAGUACCCCGUGGUAAGGAUUUAGAGAUAUAAAUGCUGAUUAAAUUAUGUAUUCUCAAAGACAACUAAUUGUUGUAAUCUCCUGACAUGAGACAUGCUAUUGGAAAUGCAGUUUGAUUUGAUUUAUUUUGCUUGGAAACAAUGAAAAGCUUAAUUACUAGAAUUAGCUCAAACUCAUAAUCCCUCAAGCUAUCAGUUCAAAAAAACACGUUUUGCCCAAAUUGAACGCUCUCUGUUGAGCUUCUAUGAUGAAUCAAAUAACUUGAAUUGGAGUUGUCAUUCAAGAAAUAAAAGGCUUGUAGAAUAAAUGGAUUACACAUAUUAAGUUGGAUUGAGCUUAAUAGUGCCCAAUCAUAGACAAGUUCACAAGUUUGCACUGAAAAAUAAAGAUAUCAUGAUUGACACUUUUAACCAAUUUAAACACAGAUAAGCAUGAUGAGCAAAUUAACAUGUUACUCCCAGAAGACACGUUUAUACACAUUCGACAAUAUUAUAUGUAUUUUAAAUUAAAUGCGGUUUCAGAAAAUUAAAUUUGACAAAUUCUUUUUUAAAUUGACAUUUAAGAACAUGAAGCACUCGACUAGAAAAAAUGAUUCAACAUGAUUCAUUCUAUCACUAAAUCGUGUCUCCCAACAUCAGAUUUAUACAAAGCAAACACAUUGAAAUCAAUAAAAAUACGACAUUUCUAUAUUCACAAGCACAAUCUUUAACAGCAUAAUCAAUCCUGAUCUAUAUAUAAUCUCUGCUUUGACUUUGACUGCACCAGGUACCCAUUCAUUUGAGGAAUAAUGCUUUUGGUCACUCAAUCUAUUUCUGAUAAUAAAUACUAAAACAAAAACACACAUUUUUUAUACUCAGAGUUGAAUUAACAUUCUUCUUUGGCCAAAAAAAUAAAAAUAACAUUCUUAAUUCUACCCCAAAUUCUGAGAACAUUAUUUCCUCUUUAAUUUUCUUAUGCCACAUCACAUAUUCUUGGUUCAUUACCAAGACCAUAACCGAUCAGUAUUUAUAUUACACCAUUUCUGCCUUGAAAUAUGAAUUUGACUAAUUAUACUUGUGCUUACAUAUCUUUGGCUUUGAACCAAGUUCGCAACAGACUUGAACUUCAGCAUUUUGCCUUUUCCAAGUGCGCACAUUAACAAAUCCCUACCCUAAGAAUAGUAAUUGGGCCAUGUCGGCCGAGACCCAGCACAGACCGACCCUCUUGGGCCCGAGCCCGUGAGAGGCCGUACCUAGUCAGGCCUGUUAGCAAUAAGGGGCUAUAUCAAUAUGCCCAAGCAAUGGCCCAAGGCCAUUUUCAUUUUCGGGGUGAUUGUAGUUGGAGCAAAAAAAAUGAAGAUGGUGACAGUAAUUGAAGAUCUCAAUGAUGAUUUUUCGUGAACUUAAUUAUGAAAAGAAAUUCCUCGGGAAAAGAAGGGGCAAAAUAGGAAGAAGUAGUUAUAAACUUUUUCUUUCCACUGAAAUGCAUCCUCAUGGUUUUUUUUAAUCCUUGCACGCUUCUUUUGACUAAAAUCUUGUGAACAGCACAAAAGACACGCUAAAUGUAUUGGCAGCUCUUCCGUUCCACAUUAAUAAUUGUCACAUCUUCUUUUUCUUUGCUUUAUUGCUUUAUACCUUCUCCAUCAUCACUGUGCUUUAUACCCACUCCCACCUUGCAUGUUUCUUUUGACUAUAAUCUUGCUAGCCAUUUCACCAUCAACGACGGUUUAGGUCCCCAAGAAAUGGUUUUUUAUUAUGACUUAGACUUCAUGCAAUGUGAACUGACGUUUGGAAAGAUCGCUACAAUGUUGAUUUAGGAUUGUCCAUAUAUUUUGAUCGAUUACGGGAGCUCUCAACCACUACAAUUAGGACAUCAAUAGAAAUUAAGGAAACAUCUUGGAAUCGCCAAUGAACCUUAUUUUAUGCAUCAACUUGUUGAACAACUUGGAAGAAUCCAUCCAUAUUAUUUCACUGAUGAACCUUAUUUUAUGUAUUAGAUGUUGAAAACACUGCAUUAUCAACUUUGACAGGCUGGAAAUGUUGCCACGUUCUUAUAAUUCUAACAAAUUGGUACACAACUCUGUGUAUAUUUAGCUAAUCCCCAUUUUCCUUGUAUCUUCCUAUUUAUAUCUCAUUCUUAUUCCCUCAGUAUUAUCGAAACAUAUAAGUUAAUAUAGAGCUAUCCACAAGUGAAAGGCUUCUCUAUCAUAUCCGUGGAAUGUGUGGCAUUGGAUGGAUGGCUAUUACCAAAAUCAUCUUUAAUCACCUGAUUGAGCAUUUUUGCUUUCUUUUUCAAUAUCUGAGAAACUUAAAAAUCAAGGGCGUCGAGUGCUUGCAAAAUCAUAUGAUCUCUAUUUUCCUGUAAAAAAAAAUUGAUAAUUAUAAUGAACAUAAAUGAAGGUAUUAACAAUUAAAAUAUGCUAUCUAAUAAAAUAGUUCCCCUUCUUUAAGAUGAUAUCGACAAAAAGAAUCAUAUUGAUGCACUAGUGAGCGCACAUGACUGGUCGGGUACAGUAACCAAAUGCGCUUCUUCUAACAUCAGCUAAUGUCUAGCUAAAUCUAAAACAUGACCCAAACCACUUAAUUUUAAAUGAAUAGAAAUGGAGCAAGUUCUUCUUUUUUUUUUUGCCAUAUUUUUCCCUUAAUGAUACAUAUCUGAAAGCAAUAACCAAUGGAGUUAAGAGCCACAUAUUUGAAAAAAAUAUCUGGAGGAGAGAAUUUUCAUACUUGAGAUCUAGCAGGAAAUGAUGUCUUCUAUUAAUCGAAGUCUAUGAGCUUAAUACCCUAGUGCUAAUGCUUUUUUUUAAGACUUAGACUUCAUGAGAUGCAAACAAAUGUUUGAAAUAAAUAUGUAAUGAUGUUGAUCUAGGACUUUCCAAAUAUAUUGAUUGAUUACAUGGGGGCUCUCAACCACGACAACAAAAGAAAUCAAGAAAGCAUCUUGGAAUCGCUGAUGAAUCGUAUUUUAUGCAUUAGGUGUUGAAAAACUCGGAAGAAUCCAUCCAUAUCAUCUUGGAAUCACUGAUGAACCUUAUUUUAUGCAUUAGGUGUUAAAAAUACUGCAUUUUCAACUUUGACUGGCUCGAAUGAUGUUGCAAUGCUAUUAUUGACCAAUCCUAGCAAACUGGUCCACUACUCUCUACAUAUUUAGCCACUCCAAAAUUUCCUAGUAACUUCUUAUUUAUAUCACAUUCUUGUUCCCUAGCUAUUGUCAUAAACAUAUAAGUUGUCUACGAGUUGCAAGCUUCUCAUUUAAUUUUGAAUCAGUAGAAGUGCAUCAAGUUAUUUUCUUUUUGCCUUGUUUUUCUCUUUAUAAUACAUAAAGAGAAAGCAUUAACCAAUAGAGUCAAGAGCCGCAUCUUUCGAAAACAUAUUCUAAAAGAGACAACUUCAUGAGAUUCGAUAGAAAUCGAGUCUUUUCUAAUCAAAGUCUAUGAGCUUAGAGUCUUCUGCUAAUGCAUUUUUUUUUUAAGACUUAGAAGUUAUGCCAUGUGAACAAACAUUAGAAACGAAUGCCCAACGAUGUUGAUCUGGGAUUGUCCAAAUAUAUUGAUAGAUUACAUGGGAAGCAUCUUGGAACUGGUGAUGAACCUUAUUAUAUGCAUUAUGUGUAGAAAAAUUUGGAAAGAUCCAUCCAUAUUAUUUCAAUAAUGACCCUUAUUUUGUGCAUUGGUGUUGAAACAACUGCAUUAUAAACUUUGACGGAAUGGAGUGAUGUAGGCACGUUCUUAUUGACCAAUUCUAGCAAGCUGGUCCAUGACUCUCUGCAUAUUUAGCCAAUCCCAACUUUCCUUGCAUCUUUUUAUUUGUGUCACAUUCUUAUUUACUCGAUAUUGUGGCAAAUAGAGCUAUCCAUGAGUGGAAGGCUCCUCUAUAAUAUUCUUGGAAUGUGUGGCAUUGGAUGGACUGCUAUUGCCGAAAACAUCUUUAAUUAUAUUUCACUCAAUUGAGGGUUGUUGCUUUCUUUUUCGAUAUGUGAGAAACUACAAAAAUAAAGGGCAUUGAGUGCUUGCAAAAUCAAUUAAUCUCUUACAUUCUUAGAAAGGAAAUUGGCAGAUUUAGAGAAUAUUAAUGAAGGGAUUAACAAUUAAAGAUAGGCAGUCUAAUAAAAGAGUUCUCAUUUUUCUCGAGAAUGUGGAUGAAAAGAAUUAUAUCGAUGCACUUGCAAUUAGGUACAAGGAGCCAAUUACUUAUUAGUACUACUGGAAAUAAAGAUGUUCUCAACACUUCCGAAUUAGAUUGCAGUAUAAACUUAACGGCAUUAAUCCCCGACCAAACUCUUCAACUUUUAUUGGGAAACAUUUAAAGUCGACUUUAGUCCCUUUCACAAUCUUGGGGUGGUAAACAAAGUAUUCAUCUGUUGAGAGCCAAAAUCUUGAAAAGCUAGGGAGGGAAGUUGUUGCCUGUUGAUGAAAUCCAUAUAUCUGUCGGAACUCAAUGUGAAGUUUCACCCUGUUUUUUUUUUUUCACCGAAGAAAUCAUUAGAAGAAGGUAGAAGGAUAUAUUUUGCAUAUUGGAGCAUCAUACGCAAUGUUAUUGGGGUAAAAGGCUUUUUUAUUUUUAUUUUAUUCCUUAAGAAACCAGAACGUUUCUUCUUUUUUUUUUUCUUUUAUGCAGGGCCAUAAAUAUGAAAAUUGCAUUUCAUCUAGGGUGUGUUUCGCGGAAAAUGAGUGAUUUGAAAAACAUUUUUUCAAAAAUAAUUACUUUUAUCGUUUAGAAAAAUUAGUCAACGGAAAAUAUUUGCAUCAUCGGUAACAAUCUAUGUCUAAUUAUUUUUGUGGACAAUGAAAAUUUUUUUCCAUCCAUGUAUUUUUCUAAAUGAUACAAAUGAUCAUUUUUCUGAAAAUGUUAUCCAAAUCACACAAAGAGAAUGCAACCAAUGUGUGCUCUCUACAUUAAUACUUAAUAGAACUUGCUCAUCAGUACCCAAAUGUUCUUUUGGGACAAAAAACUUGAAAGGCUUGCCUCGGUAUUUCCUCGUUUGUUAUGGAUCACAGAUCUUUGGGAGUAUGCAUUCAAUUGAUUACUUUAAAGUACUAGCUAGAUAAGUUGCCAAAUCAUCUCAGAAAGAUCCGUGGGUUUUUUAAAAUCAUGUCCCUAAGAAAAUAACUACCGUCACCGCCACAAUUAGAAUUUGAAAGUCCAGUUAAGUCUGCAAAUAUCUCAUUAUGGACUCUCAGUGGUAAAUUGAGUAAUACUCUAUCUUGCAAUAAGAGAAACAACCCAAAGUUUUUAACAACAUCGCUUACGACGUUUAUGUAUCCCACAUUGUCUGCAGGAUUCAUAUACUCUUUAUACACUUACCAGGAUUAAGUGCUGCUCCUAUAUAUUUCGCAUGUUCAGCCAUUUGUCAAAUUCUACGUGCCUUGCUUAAUGUUAAAUGGCUAAAAUGUUCUCCGUGCACAAGGAUUCGAACAAAAGAUUGAAGAGCCACACCUUCAAAAACAUCAUCCGAAACACUUUAUUAGUUGAGAUUUAGGAGGUGUCAAUUGUGUCAAUUAUCCUAGUCAUCGAAGAGGCUUCACCGAACUUUUGCAAGUCAUUGAAGCUGAUUCCGAGUUUGAUCGGUGAGGAUAAAUCAGAGUCCCGUGCGUUUUUGGAUGAUGAAGAAGCUCGAAGAACGUAUACUUGGAAGUGGAACUACCGAAUGGAAGUUGCUCGAUGGAUAUGCAGUACGGAGGCUUAUUUCCAAAAGUCAUGUCCAUCUAACAUUUGUUAGACUUGCACAUGAGCACGUUUCCAGUGAAACCAUUGAAAGCUUGACAUAUAAAACCAAUAAAAUAACAUAAAUUAUAAUCUCAGCUAAAAGGCAAUUUUAUUGGUCAACGGAAAUAGAACUGGGAAAUGGAAGUUAUAAGAAAACUCCAUUACUCAUAAAGAAAGUGGGGGUAGCCUUUGAUACGUUUUCAAAAUGUAAUGUUUAAGGAAAUACAUUCGUAAAACUCAGAUUAAAUUUAUUAAAUUUAUAAAAUCAUAUUUGAUUAAUAAUUAAAAGUUGGAAUUUGAAAUUCGCAUCAGUGGAAUUCGGAUGCUAGAAAAAAAAAACUCAAAUUAAAAUAAUUUCUGUUAGAAAUGGCGAGCAAAGUAUAAAACGGCUUAAGAUAAAGGAAACCAAUGGUCUAAUUUGAAAAUUAGAAAUUAGUCCUGAAACUAGUAUUGGGCAAUCUUUUAAAGAAUUUAUGUCAAUAAGAGAAAGCCAAGGUCCGUACGUCUUCAAUGACUUACAUUUACCAUAUGCGAUAUGACGAAAUAAUUUGCACGCUUUUGUGCUUUUGUUUGAAACUAUAUAUAUUCAAUUUAAUGUUCUUUGUAAGCAAUUGAAUAAAUAGUCGACAUUAAAUAAGAUAAAUAGGAGGAUAUUUGAUAUUUUGGUUAAAGCUCAAUACAAUUACUUUUCACCAAAAAAAGAAAAAAGAAAAGAGGAUAUUUGAUAUAGCUUAUUUCAGUAACUACACUGACAAUUAAAUCAGCAUAAUUAAAUCUAUAUAUAUGAAUGAUCAUAGUUAAAGUAGAGAAAAUGAUUGCAAUGGGGCAUGCCACAUAGCUUGUGUUUGCACAUGGGUUUGCUAGACCCACUUGGUGUAGCAAGAGUAUGAACUAUCUACUUGAAUGUAUCUUGCAUAUUUUAAGACUAAGACUUUAUGCAAUGUGAACAAAUGUUUGGAAAAAAAAAUGCCAAACAAUGUUGAUCAAGGACUAUCCUAAUAUUUUGAUAAGUGACAUGGGGGCUCUCAACCACCACAAUUAGGAUAGCUAAAGAGAUCAAGGAAGCAUCUUGGAAUCACUGAUGCACCUUAUAUCAUGCAUUAGCUGUUGAAAAACUGGGAAGAAUUUCUCCAUAUUAUUUCCCUAAUGAACCUAUUUUAUGCAUUACGUGUUAAAAAGCGACUACACCAAGUAACAUGGAAAUCAAUCAAAAUUUAUGCCAUAAAUUACAUGCUCAACUGACUUACCAUUAAAAAAAAAAAAAAAAAACUUCUGGCCACGAGGGCAUUGGAGUAAUUUGGCAGCAGCAAAAUAGACAUCCAGAUGAUAAUGAUCAACAGAUUCCAUAAGAUAGCGCCGUUUUGCCAUUUGUAGUGUGCUCGUGCGUGUGGAUCAGGCACAAGAACAACUCAUACGAGCCGAUGGGAGGCCGUUUUCCCUAAAAUAACCCCUACUCAACACCCAAAACCCAAAAGUGACACUGCAAUUAUGUACAGGUAAGCACGCGCUGCGGGCAAGUGCGCGGGGCAUUCAUCGCGACACAAUGUGGUCAGAAACUCCACAAACACAGAGAUUAAAAUUCAAAAGAAUGAUAAACGAAAGCACUCUGAUUGCUCCCAUCUUUUUAAUAUUUUAUUUUAGCCGCCGAAAGCACUCGAUUGCUCCCAUCUUUUUAGAAUUUCACUAGUUUGUCUACCCUGCACCUGUGUCUUUCCUUUUUCAAUUGCGUGGCGGCUGAUAAAAGAGAGGAAUCGAGUGGGGAGGGACCACUUUGGUUUUAAAAGAACCUGCACUCGUCAACUUUGACAGGCUGUAAUGAAUCAUUCUUUUUGACCAAUUCUGGCAAACUGGCCCUGGACUCUCUGCAUAUCUAGCCAAUCUGUCUUCUGAGUUUAAUGACCUAAAGAGAUCUCCAUUUGUAAUUCUGGCUUCUAAAACUUUUUCCAUCUCUAGCUGUCACUGCUUUUGCUUCUAUACUUUUCAAUUUCUUCUCUUGGAGAAGAUCAAGCGAGAUCAAUGGAGAGGAGGGCCAAAAAUGAGGGAAUAGCGGGAGGUAAAAUUGGUAGAACAGCCUAUCUAAGAAAACUUGAAUUGCAUAAAUAGAAUAUAUAGAAUAUUAAUGCUGCUGUUUCAUGUUUGUCGCUCUUUGAGAUUGCGUUCUUUCUCAUUGUUUCUGGGACAUUUGUAAAAUUACAUAUGCUAAGAAUGGAAUUUUGUUUCGUGAUUGAUAGAUAGGUAAAAUUGGUAGUAAAUUCUACAUCGUGUCGUAAAAUUUUCUAAUUGGUAAACUGAUGAUAUCAUACAAAAAAAAGAAAAUACUAGUAAGGUUGGGAAGAUUACCAAAAAAGUCUAAGUCCUAAAUAUUUUAAUUAUACCAAUUGAGUCAUAAAUAUUUUCACGUUUUGCCAAUUGAAUACAUCCAAUCAAUUUUAGUCAUAAAUUGUUGAUAUGGACGCCAGCUGUCCCAUGUGUUACAACCAACGUUAACUUGGCUUUUUUUAAUUUUUUAAUAUUUCCUUUCCUUUUCUUUUUUACUAUGGUUAGCAAGGGUUGCUAGGCUGUCGCCUUCAUUCAACCUCCCUCAAAUCUGGGCAAGGCCAUUGCAGCCAGCAAGGCCACAGUGACCCUUGCUUGCCACAAUAUUAAAAAAAAAAAAAAAAGGUAAAGAAGGAAAAGAUAAGAAAACAAAGCAAAAAAUCAAAUCAAAUCAAAUAAAAAAAAUUAUUAUUCAAAAUUCUUUGCGUUAAUGCCGGCUGUGCCACAUAGGACGGCUAAGCUCAUAUUAGCGAUUUCCAACUAAAAUUAACUAGAUGAGCUUAAUUGACAAAACGUGAAAAUAUCCAAACUCAAUUAACACAAUUAAAAGGUUUAUAAUUAAAUGGGCAUAACUGCAAUAAGUUUUAGACUUCUUCGGUAAUUUUGCUGUUAAGGUUACUAGUUGUUAUUCAUGAACGACGUUAGUAACUUACAACCGUCAAUGUAAUAGUAACCUAUUAAGUUAUUCAUUAAUUCAUUACUCAUAAAUAAAUCUUAACGGUGUAAAAUAGUAAGUUAACAGUGAAAUUAAUAAUAUUCUACAAGGAAUUUAUAGUUGUAAAAUAGUAAAUCUAUUAGGAAGAUACAACCGUUACCUGAUGUUUGGGUAUUUCGAUGUAGUAUCAAUGUUAGUGACUUACAACCAUCAAUAAAAUAGUAACUUAUUAAGUUUUUUUAUAAACUUACUACUAAAAACUAAAUUUUAGAUGGAUGAACAAUAAGUACCAAUGAAAUUAACAACUAUUGAAAAAUUUCCUAUGCCACUUUGAAGUUGACAAAACCAUCUAUCUAUUUCAAUAUUUGAGAAGUUGUUUUUUUUUUUUCUAUAUACACUAAUACAAGGAUAGCUUUAUCACAAAUAAUAGAUCCUGCUGUAUGAAGUGAAAAAUUGAUGAUAAUUGGAGGGACCUUAAUAAAGGUAGCAAUUAUUGGCGGGAAGCCUUUAAGACUUACGCGUUGCUAAUAGAAGGGGUUCCUUAUAUCACAUGAGAAGAAUAUGCACGUCAAAUUAUUAUCCAUCAUGAUUUGAAGAUCCAAAUAUUCCAUUGACUAUUAAUCAAAGUCUCAAGUACCUUUGACAGCAAGCCACAAGCCUAGAACUAAAGAGAUACACAAAGGAGAAUCCAAUUUCUGUUUCAAUCAAUUUGGUGAAAAAUGGUUAUUUCUUGAUUUAGGCAACUCUAUUAAUGGAAACUACACCAUUACUAGAAAGAUUUGAUUGUAUCGACAAGCAGACCUUAUGAUGAUCAUCCAACAGUUAGCUUGGAUCUUGAAAACUAUUUAAGAAAAUCAACACAUGUUGAAGAAUACACGAAUUGUGAGAAUAUGUUACUAACAAGUAUAUAUUGCUACUCUCAAAAUUGAAACAAUGUUAAUAAUCUAUUAAGAAUUUAUAGCAACAAAAUUGUUAUUUUGAUUACUACGGUUAACUUAGACUACCAACUAAGCAUGUAAGCAAUUUGUAAUCUACUAGAGAAGAUACUCGUUCACUUAUAAAAGCAAAUGAUUGUUCCUAAUCUACAAUAGUAUUUCAGUAGUAAAUCGGUUUAUUUCAUUGGUGCGUUAUUGAAAAAUAAAUGUUGCCACUCGUAAAUUUGAAACAAGGUUAAUAACCUAUUUGGAAUUUAUGGUGGUAAGAUAUUUGUUCAGUUCAUAAGUUACAACCGUUAAUUGAAAUUACCGGUAAAGUACGUAAGCAUUUGUAAUUUACUAGCGAAAGUACCCACUCACUUAUAAAGUCUAAGAAAAAUGGUAAUAUGUGAUUUGGUUUGGGGAUGAAAAAAUUAUUAUUUUAUUGAUAAGUUACAAAUAGUUGAUUGGAUUAAAAAGUUAUCAGUUUUACUUAUCGACAAUAUUUCCAAUUUACAAUUCAUGGAAGAAAACUCUGUUUUUGGUUAAUGGAAUUUAGAAAUGCGCAAGAUUUCAAAUUGCAACUAUCUGAUUAGAUGAAUGACUUGGUUAAUUUUUUGAUGUAAUCUCGAGAGAGGUCCAUAUCUCCAUAAGUGACAUUAGGAAGAAUUAGUUCAUGUUCUCGAGAUUUGAGAAGAUCCAAACUUUUUCUUUUCGAAUAGAAAACUCUACAUUGUCCGAUGAUAAAUGCGAAUAUAUUAACGUUUUCCCCUUAAGAUUUAAAAUUUCUAGGAAUUAUUUAGUGGAAAGGUAUUUUGCUAGCCUUGGUCCGUCCAGUGGCUUAACCUUCCAAUAAUAUUCCGUCACUUUAAUACUCACACUUGCUAGCAAGCACCGGUGAGGGACCACCUAUUAAUUUCAUCGAUUUUCUAGUAAUGUGAAAGCCUUGGGCAAGAAUUCAAACAGCCACCAAGGAUUCUUGUCUUGGUUUUGCCCAUCGAGCAAAAAGCUGUGUGUCAGUAAUUAAAUAUGAACUCAAGAAGGAGAGUGAAGGACCAAGUCUUAGAAAUGAGCAAUAUUCGUUCUUGAGAUGUGAGAAGGGACCAUCUUUUAUCGAAGCGGAUGAGCGUGGCGGUCUUCGAGACCAUCCCAGCACGCGAAACAUGCUAAUUUUAUAUUUUUUAUUCCUCAUGCCUACUGCCUAGUGCAGUGUCGACAUUUUCAGAACCUUUUGCUAAUUCUAAGAAUCAUUCCAUGUGAACAUCUAUAUUUUCGAGAUGCCGACCUUGUUGCCAUGUGCCUACCAUCAUGAAUAAUUUACUGAAAAAAAAUUAUAUAGAAAGCAUCCAUGAAAAUGCCGAGGAACCUUAUAACGUGGGAGAAGUUGAAACACACACAACGAGGCUACUGCUUAGCUGUACAUGGGGAAAACGAUGGAGAGUGUGCACUGUGCAUCCUUGGCUUUGCCGCAUUCAAAGUACGUUGCGGUAUUCUAUCGAGGCAGCAUCAGCAUCUCUAGCAAAUUAGGGGGGUGCAUGACAAACUUUUUCAGAAAUAAUUUUUUUAUUUUAAACUUACUUUUGAAAUAAAAAUCCGUUUAGUAAAUUUAUUAUUUUUUUUUUGAAAUAAAUUUUUAUUUCAAAAAUAUAUUUGGAAUAGAAAUCAGAAAUAAAAUUUUUUUACUUUUCUAUUUCUGGAAUAGAAAUGAGAAAUAAAAAUUGUUCUUAUUAUUAUUAUUAUUAUUAUUUUUUUUUUUUUUGUGAAAGGUAAUAAAAAAUUGUUCUUAUUAUUCGUCACUUCCGUCGGUCGCUAUUGCCAUCACCGAUCACCGCUGUCCGAAAUAAAGAAAUUUUAUGUCAUUAUCAAACGAAUUUUUAUUUUUGGAAUAGAAAUUUUGUAUCGUUAUCAAGCUGGUAUUUUUGCUUAAAAACUUAUCUAAAAAUAGAAAAAUCUAUUUCUCUUCCAGAAUUCAAUUUCUGGCCAUAAUAGUUAUCAUUCACACCCUUAGCAAUCUUUUCUUAUUUAAACAAAAGGUUCCUAAAAAAGGAUAGGUAUUGUCCUUGAAACUUCGUUGAUAUGUGUAAAUGAAAAAAGUGUGGACUUUGUAUUACGUGGGAGAAAAAAGUGACUUACAAACAACCAUGUUAAUAUGUCAAAAUUUCCAUCAAUACAAAUGACUAUCAACAUCGCCACAAUGCAAAUACAUACAAUUGACUAGCACAAACUUGACAAUUCUAUAAAUGACGUUGGUACAAUACUAACAAAUAAAUGUUGGUACCCAUAAAAUUGAAACAAUAUUGAUCAUCUAUUAAGAAUUUAUGAUAGUAAAAUAGUUAUUUUUUCGGAAAUUACCACGUUUCACGGACAUUGCUAAUAAAAUAUGUAAACAACUUGUAACCUAUUGACGGAAAAACACACCUACUUGUAAAAGCAAAUAACUAUUUGUAAUCUUCAAGAAUAUUUCACCUAGUAAAUCGGUUAUUUCAUUAGUAUGUUACUAGCAAAUAAAAAUAGCUACUCGUAAAAUCGAAACAAUGUCAAUAAUCUAUUAAGAGUUAAAAUUGUUAUAAUCGUAAGUUACAAUCCUUAACCGAGACUUCUAGCAAAGCAUAGCAGCUUGUAAUCUAGUAGGGAAAAAUAAUCAUCCUCUUAUAAUUUCUCGCUGAAAGGAGUAAGACAAAAAGUGAAAUGCUAAAAUCAAGGUGGACGAAUGCGAAAGUCCCAAACGCGGAGCGGAAGAGGAUGAAAGCUCAUUUGUUUUGCAAGAAAGAAGGCGAAGUGAAUUAUCUUACCUUUUCGACUCUAAAAGUUGCUAAAGUCCAGUUUUCUUUCAAAAUCUUAAACUUCGACUCAAAAAAUUGCGAAGUUUAGAUUUUCAAGUUCGUCACUGUCCAAGCAAGACAUCACAUUGGAUUUUCGAUGUCUGUCGUGGACCUAACUUUGAUGAAACAAAUUUUUUGAUUAUCAUACAAGUUUUGGAUUUGAUGAUAUAAAAACAGUUUGAAUAAUUGAUAUUACAGUCGAUAUAAAGGUUAGAAUUUUUUUUAUGGAACCGCCCACUUGCUGUCAUCGAAUUUGCCGCCCACCCAUUGCCAUCACGAGCCCUCACCUUCGUGCAUCAAUCUGUCGGCGAGUUUGUCUUGUCUUCGACGCCUUCGUCCCUUUUCCUUUCCACACAAAGCUCAGAACCUAUGUUCAUGGAAAUCGCGACCGACAGAGUUCGCUAGCCUCGCACGGCCGCGAAUAUGCGGUUGUAUGGCCGCGGCGUCGGGGCAUGGCUUAAGCUAAUUCGCUCGAUUUAUUGAGGAACGGAGAGGUCUUCAGCCCUGUUUAUCAUUAAAAUCAACACCAAAAAAGAAAAAAAGAUAAAGAAAUUUGCGGAUCUUGGCAGCAGCAAAAAGGCGGAAAGCAAUUGAUAGGGGAGAGAGAGGAACAGAGGAAAAGGACAGGGGUCGUGAUUAUGAUGCGCGUGCUGUCAGCUGUCGGGGGUCACAUGGGGGAGUGAUGAUAUCUUGUGCAGUGAAGCAGGAGUCAAUUAAUAAAGAAAAAGAUGCUAAAUCAAUGUGGGGUCACGCGUCCCGAUGGAUGAUUCAUCCCUGCAUCAGUUGGGUUCACAUGCGCUGGUGUACGGACGGCCAAAGACCUGCUCGGAGAAUAUUUUCUCGGAAGUGAAGAGAGCUGUAAAUGCAGUAACCCCAAAAGAAUGGAACGAACAAAGCCACGAGUGCGUCCUGUGCCCUGUCAUUCCUGUAAAUUUGCGGGCAAGGACAAGGGCAGGGGCAUUUAUCGCGACAUAGUGUUGUUAGAUAAUUCAAUUGAAGAAGGAAGAUACAUUUGACACCGGGCGGUCCAUUUCAGGGUGAAAACAAACUCUACAAAGACAAUAUAAUUAAAAUACAAAUGACCCACAGAUAUCUCCUAGUGAUUUAAAUUUCACAAUGCAUUGUACCGAUUUUGCUGCUAUACAGCUCAUCAAUUUUGAGGGGCAUGGAGUUGGGUUAGGGUUUUUGAAGAUAAGGUAUUUGGAGAUGAGGAAGAAAUGUGCAGUUUUAAGCUCAUCAUUGAUAGAGCAAAUCGUCACGUCGGAUUUUCAACAUCCGUCUUGGAGCAAACUUUGACAGAACGUAUUUUUUGGUUACCAUAGAAGUUUUGGAUUUUCAUGAUAUGAAAAAUAGUUUGGAUAAUUGGCAUUGCAAUGAAUAUAAAGGUUAUGGAUUUUUACGGAAUCACCACUCGCUAUCAUUCACCGCUUGCUGCCAUCGAGUUUGCCGCCUCUCUUUGGCAUCAUAAGCCCUCAACUUCAUGCUUCAAUCCGUCGGCGAACUAACAUGUCGCUCGCUCGAGUCUAUCUUCUAUGCCUUCAUCUCUUUUUUCUUUCCACUCAGAGCUCAUAACCUAUGUUCAUAGAAUUCGUAACCAACAGAGUUCGCUAGUCUCGCAUGGCCACAGAUUUGGGGCUGCAUGGCCGCGGGUUUUGGGGCUCAACUUAGUGAGUUUACUUGAUUUUCUAAGCAACGGAGAGAGCCCUCAGCCCUCAAACUGAUUAUUAUUAAAAUCAAUACCCAAAAAGAAAAAGAUAAAUAAAUUCCUCAUUAUGAGGGCAUUUGGGUAUUGCCGGUGCUAGUACACACAGAUCACUCAUGCAAUUGCAAGGAACUUUGAUGAGGUCUUUUAGAAUGACCACAGCAAUGAGAUUUUUAGGAUUUUGAACAGAUGUGAGUAGAGCAGCGAUAAAUUUAGUCUUUUGAUAUAAGAACGUGCUUAUAGCUACAAACUGUAAUAUUUUGAUUUAUAAGUUUUGUCCUGUCUUGUUUUGCCGUUCUUUUGGGAUUUGUUUUUUUGGGAUUUGUUUGCUUGAAAGUUUUCUAUCUUCUUCCCAUAUUUGAUUACGACAAAUAAAAAAAAAAUCUUUCUACCAAAAAAAGAAAAAUCCGAACUCAUGUAUACCGAUGGAUAACGAGGGCGCUAUGGAGAAUUCACCAGAUCUAUCGAUGCACGAGUUGGAUUCACACGUGUCGGUGCACAGACAAUACCCGCUCGAUGAAUAGAGAGGGAGGGAGAGCGCUAUAUAUUUAUAUAAUAUGUACGGGCAAAGACGCGAGCGUGAAGUAACCCGCAGAGGCAGGACGAGUUAAAACUCAAUAAUACAGAAAGAACGAGAGAGAAUAGUUUCUUUUAAUAUUUCGUUUUAGUCACCGGAAGCAACUCAAUUGCUCCCCCAUCUCUUUAGAAAAUCCAGGGUUUUCUACUAGAGCCCUUGGCUUCCGCCGGAGCUGCUGCUGAAGUUGCGCGCGUGGACAUCGCAAACCCGUCCUCCGAAACACCACCGCAGUCUCGGCACGCGCGGCGAAUCGCUCCCUCCGUCGAGCCCCUGGCGAAGGACCCGUCGAUAUUUCACCUCGAUAGCUCCUUGCCGCAAUCGGAGCCAGAUCUGAGGUGAGUCUCCAAGGGCCCCACUUUUUGGUGUUUAGAAAGAACCCCUGGCAUUUUGUCAGCUUUGACAGGCUGCAAUGAAUCGUUUUUAGUACAGGGAUCUCGUGGCUUGAAAGUUUUUCCUAUCUCUGGCUGCCGCUGAUUUUGCUGCUAUUCUGUUUCAAUUUUUUCCUGGAAGAGAUCAAGCGAGAUCAAUGGAGGAGAGUGCAAAGAGACGGCGCGUGUGUGAAAAUGAUGGAACAGCACGAGGCGCUUCUUCCACUUACGCUUCAACAGAAGGUCAAGAAGUGGCUGCUUCAUUAGGACAUGACUAUGAAGUAUUCUUGAGCUUCAGAGGACCAGAUACUCGAGCAGGUUUUGCCGACUUCCUUUACACUAGUCUUAAAGAUGCGGGAAUCCACACAUUUAGGGACGAUGAAGAGCUCCGCGUUGGGGAAAAGUUUGCCCCAGAACUUCUCCAAGCGAUUAAGCAGUCGAAGAUCUUAAUACCUAUAUUUUCGAAAGGAUACGCCUCUAGCCCAUGGUGUCUCAAGGAGCUAGUCCAGAUGGUCGAGUGCCAGGAAAAUGGAAGACAAAAGAUCAUGCCCAUUUUUUAUGAUGUGGCACCUUCUGAGGUUCGAUACCAAACUGGGGAUAUAAAGAGGCGUUUCGUUCACAUGAAAAUAAGAAGCGAUACGAUGAAAAGACUAUGCAAGAUUGGAAGGAUGCUCUCAGCACAGUCGGGGCAAUACACGGAUGGGACCUGCACAACGAGACCAACAGGUGACUUCUCCUAGCAUUCCAUCUCAAGUGCAUUGUAUCAUUAGAACUCGAUGCAUUUCCAUUGGUUUCUUUUGUAGGUUUCUGUUAGUCUGGUUGAAAUUGAACUUUAUGCCACAUAAAUCACGCUAAAUAAUGGCACGGUCCAAAAUUUGUCAUUUUUGAUUUCAGACAACAUAUUUUUCAUUUUAGGCCAUUCAUUAACUCUCAUUACCAACGUUAGUUCAUGUAAAAUAAAAUAAAUCCUCAAAGAACACAUGCCGGAUAGGUCUGUAGUUUUCAAUUUUGCUCGUCAGAUUCAACACAAUUUUCUAACUCGUUGCCUUUUGACCUUCAACAAGCACUAGGCGAGAAGGUGAGUUUGCAAAAGAAGUCACUGAGAAGGUUUUCAGAGAAUUGAAAAAGGCUCAUUUGCUGGUAUCAAAUCGCUUGGUCAAUGUUGACAACCAAGUAGGUAAAAUCAUGGCGAUGAUAGGUGCCCAGCCAACUGAAACACGGAUUAUAGGAAUUCAUGGGAUGGGUGGCAUCGGAAAGACAACUAUUGCCAAAAUCAUCUACGAUCAACUUUCAAGCAAUUUCAAGGAUUGUUGCUUUCUGCCCAACAUCCGUGAAACGUCAAAAGUCAGGGGCAUUGCAUGCUUGCAGAAUCAACUCAUCUCUGACAUCCUCAAAGUGAAACAAACGGAUAUGAACAACGAAGAUCAAGGGAUUGAGACAAUAAAAAAAAGGUUGUCUAAUAAAAGAGUCCUUAUGCUUCUCGAUGAUGUGGAAAAAGUGAAUCAUAUUGAUGCAUUUGUAGGUAAUCGUGAUUGGUUUGGCAAAGGGAGCAAAAUUAUUAUUACUACAAGAAAUGAAGAUAUUCUCCAUGUUCCUAAUGUGGACCAAACAUAUGAGGUUGAAUGCAUGGAUCGCAAUCAAUCUCUUCAACUUUUUAGCAAACAUGCCUUCAGAAGAGAUUAUCCUUUAGAUGAGGAUAUGGUCCAAUCCAACAAGGCAAUAUGCAUUGCUGGAGGUCUUCCGCUUGCUCUAGAGGUCAUAGGCUCACUUUUAUGUUGCAUUGAAAAGAAAAAGUGGGAUGGCAAAUUGAAGGAGUGGGAAAAAAUUCCUCCUGAGGAUGUUCUGAGUAAGCUGAAAAUAAGUUAUGACGCAUUACGCGAUCAUGAACAGCGUAUAUUCCUCAAUAUAGCUUGUCUUUUCAUUGGACGUGAGAAAGACGUCGUGAUUUAUUACUGGGAUGAAUCUAGAUUUUUUCCGAAAGAAGCCAUGGAUGUUUUGGAAAACAUGUCUUUGAUGAAGAUUGAUGACAAUGAAAAAGUGUGGAUGCACGACCAAGUCAGAGACCUCGGAAGAGAAAUAGUUCGUCGAGAAAGUAACUACAAAAAAGAGGAGCAAAGUAGGGUGUGGGAUCCCGAGGAAGCAUUGGGUUUGCUGAGGAAACAAAAGGUAAAACCCUCCGUAUAAUUCAUCGCCAAGUUUCUUAUGGACAUUCUCUUUUCAAAGGGAGGCAGUUAUUUUUUGUAUUCUCUAGCACCAUUGUGACGUACUCAACCAAUAUUUUUGCUCUUUUCAAAUUAUAGGAACAAUACUACUUAACUCAAUCUCUUGAAAUAGUGAAUUUGGAUAAAUGUGUUUCCCUUCAACUCUUUUGUGUUUUUAAAAUUUUCCUUUGGGCAGAAGAAGAAAAAACUUGAAGCUCUUCGUCUCCGCUUGGACCGUCAGCGCCCUUUUGCCUAUGACGACUUUAAAAGACUACCAAAUCUAAGUUUCCUUGAAGUUUGCGGUUCAACGGGAGGUUUUUGUGCAGAAGAGAGUCUUCUUUGGCUUGAAUCGCUGUCAAAUGUUUUUCCAACUAAUGAGGAUUCGCAUCUCCUUCCACAAUUACGAUGGCUUUCUUGGCAUUAUAUCCCCCCAACAUUUAAAAUUACAAAUUUCUCUAUGGAGGAUGUGGUUAUUCUUGAUCUGUCUUGGAGUAACAUUACGCACGAGUGGCAAGGGUGGAGCCACAUGAAGGUAUCUUUUAUGGUAGGAAAAACUCAUUAUUUCGUCUUAUCAUAUUCGAAAGUAAUCUUUGCAUGAUUUUUCUUUUCACAGGUGAUGAAGAAUAUGAAAGUUCUGAAUCUCAUAUAUUGUGCUAGAUUGGAGAGAACUCCUAACUUCUCUGCUCAAUCAAAUUUAGAACGCUUGAUCCUAAGCUGGUGUGAGAAUUUAGUCGAAAUUGACGAGUCAAUUUGUCAAUUGAAACACUUAGUUUCCUUAAGAGUAGAUGGAUGUCAAAAACUUCGAAGGCUACCACAAGUGGUGCUUAGAGAUCUUGCAACUCUACAACAUUGCAAUUCGUCGGAGAGGCUUUCGGAUACAAUCGGAAAUUUGGAAUCGCUGAUUGAGUUGGAUACAUCUUGUACGGAGAUCAAAGAACUACCCGAUUCUAUCGGAAAGUGGAAAAAUUUGAAAGUACUGAAGAUUGGUAGUGCCAUGUGCAAAGUACCCGAUGCCCUCUGGAUGAUUAAGAGCCUUGAAGAAAUAGAAGUCAUUGGUUGUUCUGAUAUCGAUGUGGAAAUUGACGAUUGUAUCUACGAAAAUCGAUGCCUGAGGAGCUUGCACUUGAUGUUUGUUAGAAUGAACAAAGUACCGAGACUUCCUGAAAAUCUCGAGAUUCUAAGGUUGACUGAAAUAUAUAUGGAUACAUUUCCAGAUCUCUCAAACCUCGUUAAUUUAAAGGAAUUGGUGCUGGGGUUUGGCCGACGCAAUGAUGGUGGGGAAUCUGGUGGGCCUGUGCAAGCAUAUCCAAUGCCACGGUGGAUUGAGAAUUUAAUCAAACUGGAGUCCCUGCGCCUGUGGUCCCAUUACGUGACCACCUUACCCACGGAUCUCAGUAGUAUCCUUCCCCGACUCAAGUCACUUUCACUCGACGGUGAUCUUCUGCGUUGCCCCCCGAGCCUUCCCUCCAGUUUAUCAAGGUUCUCCUUGGGAUCUAAAUACGUGACCACCUUACCAGAUAUUAUGAGUCUUCUCCCCCAACUCCGGGAUCUUUCACUCUGGUUGUGCCCUAAUUUGCGUUGCCUCCCGAGCCUUCCCUCCACUUUAUCAUUCUUAACAUUGGAAUCUGAAUGCUUGACCGCCUUACCAACAGAUAUUAGAAGUCUCCUUCCCCAACUCGAGCAUCUUCAACUCUGGUGCCCUAAUCUGCGUUGCCUCCCGAGCCUUCCCUCCUGUCUAUCAUCGUUGCUGUUGAGCGGUUGCAAGCCAUUAUCUUCCCUGGGGGAUCUAUCAAACUUGAAGGAACUAUCAGAUCUUGUAAUCGAUGAUUGUGCAAUCUCAGAUAUUCGAUGCUGUGAUCCUUUGGAGAACCUACAACAAUUGUGUCUUCAGGAUCUUCGACAGUUGGAGACUUUACCUUCUCUAGGUAAUUUCAACAAACUACGUGAUCUUCAUGUAAUUAAAUGUGGUGAUCUGGUUGAGAUUCAAGGCGAACUACCACAAUCUUUGGAAAAAUUGAAGAUUUGUCAAUGUGGAUCUUUAAAGAAGUUGCCUGAUCUGUCACCCUUGAAGGGACUGAAAAUGGUUAAAAUAAAGUGUUGCGGGAAUUUAGACGUGGAGGCAAUUUCUUCGCUUUGCUCGGAGAAGUCAGUUGAAUUUGGGGAAGAAGACGACUACUUUGAAUGAGGGAGAAGGCGACGAGUGCGAGGAAGAAGACGACGAAUCUGAAUCUGAGGGAGAAGGCGACAAGUACGAGGAAGAAGACAGACGAAUCUGAAUAUGAGGAAGAAGACGACGAAUGAGUGCACGAUCUUUUGAAAGCUUCUUGAUCCACUUCCACAAAUUGUUACCUCGUGUUCAAGCUUUAAACGGAUUGAGGUAAGUUAAUUCAUCUGACAGCCAAUGUUUUCCCUUUUCAGCAACGUAAUUCUUUCUCGGAUAUGAACAGUGAAGUUUCACAUGCACUUUUUAAUUACCUUUUCACGAGUUGAUGACUGCAAUUCUGAUAAAGGCAUUGAAGUUAUGAUACCUCCGUACAACCAAAAGGUUGUUAAUUAUGUACAAAUAUUCGUUCUCUUUUCCUAGUUUGGUUUUGCUUUUUAGCUGGAUUUUUCUUGGAUGGUUUCUCCUUGCUUUUAUGUUUCCCAGCUGGAGGUAUGUAUGUCGAUUGCAUCGUUUUUAUUU
rnacentral:lncRNA from 1 species